rnacentral:lncRNA from 1 species
UUUGUGUGUGUUGGAUUCAGUACUUAUCAGUGAUAUUGGUAGUUCUCUGUAGUACUCUGUUUGUAUUAGUUUUACCUUUUCUCCAUCAUGAUUGCUUAGUUGCAUUAUUUUUGCUUCUAACUAUACUGCCCUGCUGCAGAUGAUAGCGUCUCAAACUGGACUUUUUGAUCAUUUGAUAAACGUUUGUAAAUUCAAGUGUGGUCCUCUUCUGCAACCUGUGACCUAUUACUUCUUAAUUUAUAGGCUUUAAGUUUCAGUCAUCCCUAUAUCGUCAGGUAAUAUAACAAGGCUGUUGUUUAGAUCAUAUAAUCAAGCAUGUCUGCUUAUCGGAAUUAAUGAUUGCCACGUUUGUUGAAUUAAAGUUUCACUUGUCAGAACAGUUUACACACAUUGAAUUACUUAGUGUACCUCUAAGGUUUUACCUUCUGCAAAGGUAUAACACCUACAGAUGAUCUGAUUUUUCUUCUUCUAGAUCCCCAUGUGUGUGAAUAUGUGUGUGAGUAACUAAUUUGCCCCAUGUAUAGGUAGACAACGAUCAAUAUGAGAGGGUGCUCAGCUACAUAUUGAUCCUUGUCAAUUCAGUACAAAUUUAGUGAAUUUACAGAUGGAGCUAUAUGUCCUCGGUGAUGUACAAGCAAACACUAAAUUGUUGCAGUGUACAAAGUCCCUAAGUAAUUCCUGGGGCUACAAGUUUUAAAUAAAAAGAUGACGAGUCUCUACCAUAUUCAGCCUCUGCUUUAGAAUAUGAUUUGAACUAUAGGACAACCGGUUGCUUUUGGUAAUUUAUGCCACUAAUUCUCGGUCCUUUGUGUGAGCUAUGUUUUCCUUGCGCUUUUGCUUCUUACUUACAUAUUGGUAUGGUGUCAGGUUUACUUGCCUACAAGUUUGGUUCCACUUGGUACGGACACCGUUCUCUGCUGUCAGCAUAUCUAUAGUAUCAGGAUAUUGUUACUACCUUGAGUGCUGAAUUUAAGGAUGUCUUAUCAUGUAUUACUUUGACUCCCUUCUGAAUUAUGAGGUCAUCCCAUAACCGUCCACUAAUCAGGUGUCUGGUCCAUCUUUUUACCCUUACUAGUAGAAUGCCCGUGCGUUGCCACGGGCUACAUUGCUACUAAAUGAAUCAAUCAAAUAAUUAAGAUCGUCUUCAAAGUUGAAACUCAUUUCUUUCUCAUAUGUCCUUUUGUGUUCGGACAUCAAACGCGUCCAACGGUACUCCUUAAAAUUAAUUGGUGUGACAGUUAAGACUCUUCUAAUCCAGUCCAUAUAUGAUGGAGAAAUGUAGUUAUUCGGACUAUCUAUAUUGUUAUAUCGAACACGAGGUCCAACAUAAAAAUCUACCACCAUGUUACCUUCACCACACUGUCCAACACAAAAAAACAUCCCAUGACGCACCCUUUCUUUUCUCUACAGGACAUUUCUCGCUAAAGCCCUCUCCUUUAAAACCAGAUGAGGCCCACAUCACAUUCGUCAUAGUGCCAUCUCUCCUUCACACUAUACUUCCCUACGGACCGCUAAGGAUGGGUCCCCCACCAACCACCCCGCUCUCUGCUCUGAUCCCCGUGUCCGUACCGAUCCGCCACCACCAUCAAGGGGGAGAAGGCGUGCACUACUCAUGACGCCCCUGAGCCAAGAAGGCACACCCGAUGUCUCCUGACAAUUGCCACGUUGUAACAUACAGUUGAAUGUCAUGCAUAACCACGAUACGCCAGCGUGUUCAUUAUUAACUCUUGAAAAACUACCGAUGCAUUUACCAUUCUAUCCUAACCAAAAAAAUGUAUUACUCGAUGAAAAACAAUGAACAACUCACUCAUGCAAUUUUCUGUUAAGCCAUUUCUAAUGAAAUGCAAUUGGCCACAUUUUCUAACGUAGAAAAAUUAUUCCGGUCAUAUAGCAUUAGACCAACCCCAACCCCCAUCCCGCUCACUCUCAACCCUCAACGUAACUAUAAUAUCCAUAACUUGUGUUCUAAGUGGGCCAGUGCACGCCAGCAGCAAGGGAAAAGGGCGACAACCGCCUUCGGAUGUUAUUCGCUAUGGCCUAUAGCAAAUUUUCUAGACAACAAAGAUAAUGCUAGCUCAACAUGCAUUUAACAAAAAAAUGAAUUACAAAUCACAAUGAAAAUAUAUUUGACGACUUAAAGCAAACAAAUACUAAUCUUUGUUGUUUUCUUUUCCAUUUCAGUAAGAAACAAAAUGAGUACAUGAGUCAUCCCCAUGAAAUGCAUCAACAAAGCAGACAGGAGCAACAAAAUUAAAGCAAACUUCUUACCGGGUUGGCAAUUCAUCCAAGUAUUUUUACAUGGACCAUCAUAAUGCAAGACAAAUAAAGUUCACAUAAAAAACAACAAUGAUCGGACGCAUUACAGACAUCAUCAUAUGUAUGUGUAAUACAUGACCAUGUUUGGUGUUGCUGGAAGACCACUUUCCUUCUCAUCCCGAGCAACAACUUCAGCUUUGUUUCCACACGAUCUCUUUAUAGCAUAGGUCAGGGCACUUCACGGAUAAUCUGGAUAACACUCACAUGUUCAUUCAUUUUUUCAUAUAACGGUCAAAGAAAAAAGUACACUCAAUUUAUCAUUUAAUUAGAGCACCGGUUUAAUCCAUAAAGGCAGCGUGUAGGGCACUCUCUCACACACAGAGGAAUGCUUGUAUUUCUUAGUUUUUCCACCUACCUACGGCACAUCAUUUCAAGAAUAGUUGUUGAAGCAACUUAUAUGCAAAGCACGACUACUAUCACGGCAUCCUUUUUGAGGAGAAAAAUAACUAAUAACACGACAUUCUAUGUCUCGUUGCUAUCCUAUUUAUUUGAUCAUUUUGGGAGCUUCAAUUCCUUGAAUAAUUCAGUGAAUGCUAUCUGCAAUGACCCGUUGUCUGCCAAUGCCAACACUCAUCUAGCCUUCUCAUUCGCCAAUGUUAGCCUCCCACUUAGCUUCUCUCCUUCUUCUCCAUGCCCUCAACCUUCACAAGUUCUUCGUCAUACUUCUCCAUCACCUCCCCGACAUUCAUAUCAUCCACCACGAACAUAAUUCAUAACAUUCAGGCAGUAAAGGUCAAUGUACACCAAGCCGGUCAAAUAAACAAUACUUUAGCAUCUCUCAAGGGAAGUUUCAAAUUUCACCUAAAAAUUUCAAUUAAAGUCACGUUGGAAAUUUAAUCUACUACCCAAUAUUAAAUUCUAUAUGAUAAAUGUGAUAGCUUAAAUUCAAAGUAAUAGAUUGGAUCCUCCCUUAACAAUAUGACUGGUAGAUAGUUUUGAGGGGAAAUCUGCAUAUAUUUUAGCAUAGACUUACCCAAAGAAAAAGUCAUUAUAACCAUUCAACAAAUGACCUAUAACCUCUAAUGUACCCAAGGGGAACAGAUCAGACAUGUUUUUGUAAGUCCUAGGAUAACCAAAAAGCACAUCAUCAUGACAUGUCAUCAGUUGGAAGUGUGACACUUAUGACCGUGGUAUGUAAUUGAUAUAUUCUGGUUGGAAGUGUGUCACCAGAUGCAAUGUGGAAGUGUGUCAUUAGAUGCAAUGUGGAGGGAAGAUAUCAAGGAUACUCAUCGGAGUAUGCUGUGGCACUGGAGCAGCUGCGUACCGGUAGGAGAACGGUAGCCCCACUCGUUUACUGGUCGGCGGUCACAACCACGCACUUGUUGUCGGUUCUAUAUCCGGCAUAUCUCGUAAUAGGGGUCCUAAGCUAAGCGUCUUGGAGCGAUGGUAACAUGAACACAUGAUUUUAGCCAGCUUCGGGCUCUCUCGAAGAGAUAAUACCCUACAUGCUGCUUUUGAUUGUAUUCAUAUGGGGUGUAGUACAGAGUACAUGUAUCUACCACGAGACUGUUCCCAUGAAUCUGAGAUUGCCUAUUGACUAGCCUGGCCUCGGUUUAUAUAAAACACCAGAGGCCUAGGGUUUAGGGGAGUGCUCGUGUUGGGCGCCAAGUCUUGUGGGAUCUCCCUUGUAUGCGGCAUGGGCUUCCCGAAGUGGCCCAUGAGUAAAUCGUCAUGGGGGUUCUCGGCCCGAUCCAGCUGGUCGGGAGACGACGUGGUGAGUACCCCCUAGUCCAGGACACCGUCAGUAGCCCACUGAACCGGUCUUCAAGUUGGGGACGCUCCUCGAUUCUUCCGAACUGUUCUUCAUCUUCGGCCGUCGGUCUUGAAAACUGGUUCAAUAAAUCUUCUCAUCUUCGAUCUUGAGGAUCGCCGAAGUGAAUCCGAAGAGUUUACACGUCGGGUAUCCGAGGAGCCCCUUUAAGUUCUCGGCCUUUAUCAAUGCCUUGUUAUUUUUAUGCCACACCUCGGGUUUGAAAUUGUUCCCGUGCGGCGGUGCCCUCUUGCAUCCGAGCUCCAACGCCAGACUGCAUUCGAGGUAUCUUUUGCAGCCGAGCACCAACGCCGGACCGCUUCCAAGCUCCAACGCCGGAAUGUAUCCGAGCUCCAACGUCGGACUGUAUUUGAAGAGUCUUUUUACAGCCGAGCUCCAGCGCCGGAUUGUAUCCGAGGACUCUUUUUACAGCCGAGCUCCAGCGCCGGACUAUAUCCGAGGUGUCAUAGAUUACCUCGGUCUUGAAAAAGUUAAAAGGGUUCAACCAAGCUUAAUGCUGGAGAUGCCCUCUAUGGAUUUAAUUCCGAUUUGUGCAAUGUAUUCUCUGCUGAGAUGUAUAGCCAAUAGCCCUCAAGGUGUGUGUCGGCCAAAAAUCCGAGAUGCACAUUAGAGGAGAUAGUGAUCAGCGGACAGGCCCUUGAGAGAGGGUUUCGAGAAGUCGCCGUAAUAUAUUAGCUUGAUGCCGGAUAAGUCCCAGAUAGUAUCUAUUGUUGUCCGAAGACGCGUUUGCCCAUAGUCCGGUCAAGCCGAACACUAAGCACUUUGAAUUUUCUGCAUUGAAUAGGCAAUGCAGUAGCCCCCGAGACACUGGUCGGGUGGCAACACCAGAUCAAGGGAUCGAUGUGCCCCUUUAAUAUUAGUAAAUGAUAAGCCCAAAGCCCAGUAGCCCCCGAGCCUUAGUGUGGACACGGGUGGCCGAAUUAAGGAUCGAUAUCCAGAGUAAAAUCACAAAUUAUGUGUAGUGAUUUUACGUAUCCAAGUACUCUACAUCAUUAAUGCUCGGAUCCGCAUCUAUAAUACCUAAAUAGUUCAUCCCACUACCUUAUUUCUUUUGACAUGCAGCCUAUCCACAUCAGCAAUCUGCCACAUCAGCAAUUAUUUAUUUUUAAACCAUUUUUUGUUGACAUUUACACAAGUUGCUUUCAUCACUCUGCUUCUAGACUUUAAACAACCGAGUGAAGCCCAAUGGUCUCGAUUGGCAAAUAGAAAAAAGAAGCCCAAUCGUCUCAGGAGAAGCCCAACCGUCUGUCCCUGCGUUGUUUUCUACCUCCUACUACUUCAUCCUCAUCCCUCCCCUCCGCGCAUCUCUUUGCUUCUCUCCCAACCCCCUCCAUCCUCCUCUGCUUCUCCUGCAGUGCCAUACCGCAUCCUCUUAUGUGCUCCACUGCAAGCACCAACAAGGCAGACGCUUCGCCUUCUCCAGAUCUGUGAAGCGAUGAACAGGGCAUCGAGGCGUUAGGUAUCACGAGAAGAAGCUCUGCCCAUGAUCCCUCGCCACCAAACUCAUUCUACCAGGGGAGACUAGCCACCAUCUGAAUGGCUUCGUCGACUCAAAGCUCCCCGAGUGUCGGUCAAGCACUUCAUGACGUGGUACCUCCUGGUCGUUUUAUAUGCGUAGCUGUGGAGCCAUCUCCGGCGCCUCUGCCAUAAAGGUAGCCGUCUCUCUUGCUCUCUGCUUCAGGAGCAAGGCCCCCUGUUUUCUUUCAUUUGCCAGAGCCGACGACCUCGCAAUUGAGAAGGUUACUAAUCCCUUAUGUCAAUCCCUGUUCAUAUCUCUCAAAUUAACCUCAGGGUGUUGUCGAUUUUGCUUCGUGCAUGUCUGCUUCCGCUCAAGUUAUAGCACUGGGUGAAAUUUUGAGUCCCCAUCGCCAGUUGGUACCUCCCUCUCAUCAUCUGAUAUGUAUCAGGUUGUUCUGUAUUCCUCCAUGGAUCUAUUCCUAAACAUAUACUGUACUAUCUUGCUACUUUUUCGUCAGGUUAUCCUACACGAUUUGCUGAUUAUUGUUUUUCUACAGCAAAAGGGUCUCGCCCCGAUUCCGUUUCAGAAAUCAGGUACUAUAUAGUUUGGUAGCAAGAGGAACACAGCUAACAUACAGGCUCAGCGGAAAGAAAGGAAGGAAACGCCAACCAGCCACUAGGAAAGGCAUAUAACUUUUGUAUUUGCGAGAAAAAAGGCGUAUAACUAAUUACAGAGAUUUCAUACACAUUAACUCGAAAUGACAGAAUAAUCAGGCUGAGGAGAUUAAUUGCCGAUUAUUUUUCACAUGCCUUCUAUACUUAUGCACAUGAAUGAAUUCCCUAUUUUUUGCAUCCUCAAUCGUGCAUCUUUAAUUAUUUAUUGGUUGUUGUUCUGAAUUGUUGUGAAAUUGUGCUAUCUAAUUUCCUACAUAUAUGGUUAUCGUACUUGAGGGUUGGAGGUCCAAGAUUUAUAUUGACAUGCACAAUAUCAAAACAGGGAAAACAAUCUUAAGCACUGCAGAUUGUUUCUCUAGCUCUAUAGGAUAUUGUAGAUUAUUUCAAGUUUUGAUGUUUACUUUCAGUUGUCCAAGCAUAUUUUCCUAACAAUUGUAUCUUUUCUUUACCAGGAGAUUUUAUUCCUCAUUUAAGUUCCUUUCAAGAAUCAAGACUACCAUGGACAAUUUUUUUGUUUCAACUCAUGUAAACCUAAAGUGUUGGCUGCAUGUUGUCAUGAGAAUAGGAUCAUCGGCUUAAGGUAAAUACAUAUCUCAAUAAACCAUUUAAUGAUUAUAAUUUCUAAUUGUUCCUUUGUUUUGACUAAGAAAUAUAAGAGCAUAUGAGCAGAGAAACUGUAGACAAAAUACAAUCUACAGCCAUCCAUGGUCAUUAUUACAAGGGCAAAGGAGGUUGCGUAACUCUGGUGGUCAAAAACACUGUUGUCCGCGCUUCUAUAUCCUAAGUAUUAGGGCUAAUAACCGCCCUGCAAGGCUCCAAAAAGGUAUUUGUUUCUCUUACCAUGACAAUGAUGCAGCUCCCAGCACACAGGAAAGUGCCGUCAGAUAACACACAUAUUCGUCUCCCUUUCUUUUGUGUGUGCGCGUGUGUGCUCAGAUAUUCAUUUUUUCCCACUUCGUGAAUCAUUCAUGCCCGCUAUAUUCAUUCAGCCUGAUGCUCAACAAUUUUUUUUUUGCAUACACGCUUGUGGUAUUACUUACUGAUGUUUCUUUUGCCGUGCAGGGGAUGCUCUUUAGAAAAUUUGUUACCUCUAAAGCCAUAUUUUCUGAAAUGAAAUUUGAUCAUUCCUAUGCCCCCUCCAUUUUCUUGAAUUGAAGUUCCAUCAUAGUUUGCAGAAAUCAGCUUAUUAGUUGUCCUCUUAGAUCAAUCCUCAAGUUUGUUAUAAGUUGUUUGCCACCUUAUGACUAAUGACAAUGUUCUAAAUAAAACAAAUUGUACUUCCAUAUGUGUCUAGCUCUCCAUGUUUCAAUUUCUCAGAAGUAAAGACGCACUUCAAUAAUUUUAAGCUAAGCUUCUUGCUUGCUUUCCGGAAUAAUUAUUUUGUUAUAUGUGCCAACUGGCUACAUUCAAUUUAACCUUUGCUUUAUGGUAUAAUAAUAUUCAAAUAUUUCAUGAGGUCAUGGGUUUGAGUCAUGCCUCUUGCAGAAAUGUAGGGAAAGACUGCAUAGUACGACCCAAAGCAGUCGAACCCUUACCGGACCCUAUGCAAGCGGGAGCUACGUGCACCGGGCCGCUCCCUUUAUGGUAAUAAUAAUAUUCAAAUAUUUCAUUAUGUGAUGAGGUGACAUUAUUAGAGGCUAAUUCACCUUGGAUUGUUCUAUUCCUCUCCAGAAAAGAUUUGCAUAUAUACGACAUGUGCACUGUGAUUGGAUUGCAACUGAGUUGCAUUUGUCCUUAUCAUUCUAUUGUACUAGAGUGCAUGCAUUCUCACUUUUGUAUUGUCUAUUUAUACAAACAACCGUAGAUAACUUAUGCUACUCCACGGUAUUAACAUACUUACUAAUUGAAAAAGCACCUUAUGAUCUGUACAAUUGCCCUUGAUAUGUCCACUAUAUUUUCCUAAUGCAUGUCCACUAUUCUUCUCUAUAUUUUUAACGAUUGGCUAUGUUUUAUUCAACCAUAUAGUUUUUCAAAGUGUUAUAUAUCAUCUCACAAAAAUAUAGUGCAUUAUAUCAUGUGCAAAGGAUUCCCGCGGCAACGCGCGGGGAAUCUUCUAGUUGUACAGAACUUUGAUGACCGACCAUCGGCUUCAACCACAUCGGCUAGUAGUCAAGGAGUGUUUGUCCUACUUUAUAAAGCCUUGAUAAGGGUAAAGAUUUACGACAAACAAGGCAAUCCGGCCAUAUGGUUUUAUAAACAAAGGUAUACGAAGAGAUAUGUUAUGUUACUUUUUAACGGAAGAAACAUCGUCCGAAGAAAAUAGCCCCACUAUUGGUUCCUUUCUUUGGGUUGUCAUGCUGAUCACGUUCAUAAAACCUCACCUCCGAUCAAUGUGGGAGAAAAAUAUUGAGGAUUUAGUGUGGGGAAAGUUCUUGAACUCUUAUGGUCUCAAUGAACCAAAAUUUUCGCUUCCGUCGUUGCCGACCAAUUAUAUCCUUUAAGAUCGCUAACUUUCAGCUUCACCCAGUCCGAGGUACUAACUCGGAUGACCCGGUAGUAACAAUCACAGAGGUGCUCCCUUUACCGCCUAGCCAAAAAAUUGGGAACGUAGGGGUAAGCACAGGAGCCAGGCAACGCAACUUGGCCAAAAUCUUAAGUCAAAUUGAUCCACAUUUGUGGCUUUAUAACGAUGAUUACGGAAGGCGACCCUUGUAUAUUAAAUACAAAUGCCAAUGAUAUGUUUAUUUUGACUCCGUUGCGACCAUUUAUCAGUUGAAAGUGGCCCAUCGUCCGCUUCCAUCCCCUUGUAGAUGCUACGUGGGGUGUUUCCGCAAAAACAAAAUAAUCCUUAGCCGACGGCUCGGUGCCCGAAGGCGGUUGUGUUAGCGGAAACGAGGCAAUCAGAUAUGCGGGCUUUAUAACUUUCACUUAGUCAUAGGAGCUUAAAGUUGGGAGGCCAAUUAUUAGCCCCCGGUUAGUGUUCGGCGACGGCCGAGGUCAAGCCGUUAACACUUUGGCCAAUGUUGUGAACGGUCCGUCGUUUAACACGGGGUGACCUCCAUCGAUCUUAUAGUUUAACACAGUCAUCGGACCGCUGACCAGUUUACGCUUAUUGUGACAGUCAGUUUUUGGCUUUCUCCACUAGGGCGCUUAACCAUGCGAGUUGAAAGCACAAUCGCAGUGGUUCUCCCUUUGCACACCUAGCCGAACAAAGUGGAACGUAGGAGGCAAGGACAUGAGCUGGGCAACCCAACUAUUAACCGAAGACACAAUUCGAAACCGAUGCAUAUAUAGCAAUAUCCGAGAAUGUUUUUUUUUGUCGAGGACUCUAUGGCGUGCCUUCGUUUUUGGUGGGUUCGGCUGUAGUCCAGCCCCCCAUCAAUAUUGCCAAUGAUUUAAAGGUGUCUGGCAUUGUACUGCUCAGAAACUAGUCUCGAUGUGGCGUGUGUUUUGUCAACGCCGAGGUGUAGUUCGGCGAGAAAGAUGCCGAACUGUGGGUCGAAAAGGAUCUCCCAAGUUGAAUUAUUAUGCAGGGCACCUCGGUCAUGAGGAUGUCCCGCUUCCUGAAAGAAAAACAUACAAGUAGCUAAAAAGCGCCAUAAGCUCGAAAAGCCAAAAACUUAUGGAAAAGCUUAACGUCUGAACUAAAUCAAACUUCUGGUGCCAAUCCGAAAAUUGGUCUUAAAGUUUUUGUGCUUCUAUCGUGCAUUAAUAUGACACAUCCGAUCUCAAGACUUCAAGCGGGUCAGCCUACGACUUCAACCUCCUUAUCCCGAAGGCGUAGUGCUUCUCCGAGGCCAGUUUAGCGAAUUAAACUCGAGCGGCUUUAGAGAGAAGCAAGGCUAUCCGACUAUUGACCAUACACUCGAGUCGAAAAAGGAGUGAUAGAAAAAGACUUUGCAACGACCAAGAAGAAAACACAUUUACUAUAAAACGGCUCAUAUAAAUUUUAAGAGCCCGUAGUUAACAUGGGUAAUGGGAGUUUCUUUUAACCAACAACGUAUGUGAGCACGGUCGAACCGAACACAAAUUAAAAAAUUAAAAACUUUGAGCAUGAAAGCGACUUAGCUGGUUAAUGUGUUAGGCAUUGAUGAGGCGGUCCGAGCUUGAUUCGGGACAACGUUCCAGCCACCAGGCUGGUCCCGAGGUGGCCGAGCGGAGAGCUCGGCGCUCCGAAGUGGCGACACAGCACGACCGCUAUGGAGAGGUGAAGCUCCCAAUUCGGCCGAGGUGACAAAGCAGCUCGGCGGGUGAUGCCGGAGCCCCCACGUCAGCCAACGCGUCGAAACAGGUCGGCGUCGAUUUACCUGUGCACAUGAAACAGUGCAAGCCAAAAGUAAUAACAUAAUAGUAAUUCUACUUAAUUAAUUUAAGUGAAGUAAAUAAUAAGAAUAUGGCCUGAGCGCCAUGGUCGGUCUGGUGGAGUGGCAGCACGGAAAAGCCGACACAGGGACGCGCGUCGAGGCGACGCCAUGACUUGGCCGACGUAGGCGGGACGACGCCAUUGACUUGACGAGGUGUUAGCGCGGCCUAGCCUAAAUAGAUUGCCUGCACACACACAAAGUAGUGCCAGCCGGGGAUGAUAGUAAUAAAAAAAAAAUCAUAGCAUAAUAAAUAAUUUAUGCAAAAUGAGUAAUAAGAGAAAUAUGACCCGUGUGCCGAACACCCGACAAGGUAGAGCUCUCUCGACGAUGCCGAAAUCCCCGAGGCAACCGAACAUGUAGGUGAUCACGCGAGCCGAUUUAUGCCGAUUGGGAUGACGACGUCAGUUUGCCAAAUUGACCGUGUGACGCGGUCGAAGUUGAUUACCUACACACUUAAAAUAGUGCAGUCCAAAAUGAUCUUCUACGUAAUUGUCAUAAAUGAAAUAAACAAUUGGAGGAAUAUGGCUUGAGCGCCGAGGUCGGCCUGGCGGAGCGCCAAGGUCCGUGUGCCGCGUCCGAGGUGACCCCAUGACUUGGUCGGUGUAGGCGGGACGAUGACGUCGGCUUGCCAACGGCGGGGCAUAGUCGAGGUUAAUUAUACGCAUGCAUUAAGUAGUACAAGCUGUUGGGGAACGUAGUAAUUUCAAAAAAUUUCCUACGCACACGCAAGAUCAUGGUGAUGCAUAGCAACGAGAGGGGAGAGUGUUGUCCACGUACCUGUUGGAAAUAUGCCUAGAGGCAAUAAUAAAUGGUUAUUAUUAUAUUUCUUUGUUCAUGGUAAUUGUCCAUUAUUCAUGCUAUAAUUGUAUUGUCCGGAAAUCGUAAUACAUGUGUAAAUACAUAGACAACACCAUGUCCCUAGUGAGCCUCUAGUUGACUAGCUCGUUGAUCAAUAGAUGGUUACGGUUUCCUGACCAUGGACAUUGGAUGUCGUUGAUAACGGGAUCACAUCAUUAGGAGAAUGAUGUGAUGGACAAGACCCAAUCCUAAGCAUAGCAUAAAAGAUCGUGUAGUUUCGUUUGCUAGAGCUUUUCCAAUGUCAAGUAUCUUUUCCUUAGACCAUGAGAUCGUGCAACUCCCGGAUACCGUAGGAGUGCUUUGGGUGUGCCAAACGUCACAACGUAACUGGGUGACUAUAAAGGUGCAUUACGGGUAUCUCCGAAAGUGUCUGUUGGGUUGGCACGGAUCGAGACUGGGAUUUGUCACUCCGUGUGACGGAGAGGUAUCUCUGGGCCCACUCGGUAAUGCAUCAUCAUAAUGAGCUCAAUGUGACUAAGGCGUUAGUCACGGGAUCAUGCAUUGCGGUACGAGUAAAGAGACUUGCCGGUAACGAGACUGAACUAGGUAUUGGGAUACCGACGAUCGAAUCUCGGGCAAAUAACAUACCGAUUGACAAAGGGAAUUGCAUCGGAUUGAUUGAAUCCUCGACACCGUGGUUCUUCCGAUGAGAUCAUCGUGGAGCAUGUGGGAGCCAACAUGGGUAUCCAGAUCCCGCUGUUGGUUAUUGACCGGAGAGGCGUCUCGGUCAUGUCUGCAUGUCUCCCGAACCCGUAGGGUCUACACACUUAAGGUCCGGUGACGCUAGGGUUGUAGAGAUAUAUGUAUGCGGAAACCCGAAAGUUGUUCGGAGUCCCGGAUGAGAUCCCGGACGUCACGAGAGGUUCCGGAAUGGUCCGGAGGUAAAGAUUUAUAUAUGGGAAGUCUUAUUUUGGUCGCCGGAAAAGUUUCGCACUUUAUCGGUAUUGUACCGGGAGUGCUGAAAGGGGUCCGGGGGUCCACCAAGGGGGUCCACCAGCCCCGGGGGGCCACAUGGGCUGUAAGGGGUGCGCCUUGGCCUAGAUGGGCCAAGGGCACCAGCCCCAAGAGGCCCAUGCGCAAGAGAUAAGAAAAAAGGGAGAGUCCUAAAAGGGGAAGGCACCUCCGAGGUGCCUUGGGGGGGAAGGACUCCCCCCUGGCCGCACCCUUCCUUGGAGGAAGGGGCAAGGCUGCGCCCCCCUCUCUCCCUUGGCCCUAUAUAUAGUGGGGGGAAGGGAGGGCAGCAACAUCUAAGCCUUGGGCGCCUCCCUCCUCCCCUGCAACACCUCUCUCUCUCUCGCAGAAGCUCGGCGAAGCCCUGCCGGAGACCCGCUACAUCCACCACCACGCCGUCGUGCUGUUGGAUCUCCAUCAACCUCUCCUUCCCCCUUGCUGGAUCAAGAAGGAGGAGACGUUGCUGCACCGUACGUGUGUUGAACGCGGAGGUGCCGUCCGUUCGGCACUCGGUCAUCGGUGAUUUGGAUCACGGCGAGUACGACUCCGUCAUCCACGUUCAUUGGAACGCUUCCGCUCGCGAUCUACAAGGGUAUGUAGAUCCACUCCUUUCCCUUCGUUGCUAGUAGACUCCAUAGAUGCAUCUUGGUGAGCGUAGGAAAAUUUUAAAUUAUGCUACGAUUCCCAACAGUGGCAUCAUGAGCCAGGUCUAUGCGUAGUUACUAUGCACGAGUAGAACACAAAGCAGUUGUGGGCGUUGAGUUUGCCAAUUCUUCUUGCCGCUACUAGUCGUUUCUUGUUUCGGCGGCAUUGUAGGAUGAAGCGGCCCGGACCGACCUUACACGUACGCUUACGUGAGACAGGUUCCACCGACUGACAUGCACUAGAUGCAUAAGGUGGCUAGCGGGUGUCUGUCUCUCCUACUAUAGUCGGAACGGAUUCGAUGAAAAGGGUCCUUAUGAAGGGUAAAUAGAAAUUGGCAAAUCACGUUGUGGUCAUACGUAGGUAAGAAACGUUCUUGCUAGAAACCUACAAACCACGUAAAAACUUGCAACAACAAUUAGAGGACGUCUAACUUGUUUUUGCAGCAAGUGCUAUGUGAUGUGAUAUGGCCAGAAGAUGUGAUGAAUGAUAUAUGUGAUGUAUGAGAUUGAUCAUAUUCUUGUAAUAGGAAUCACGACUUUCAUGUCGAUGAGUAUGACAACCGGCAGGAGCCAUAGGAGUUGUCUUUAUUAUUUUGCAUGACCUGCGUGUCAUUGAAUAACGCCAUGUAAAUUACUUUACUUUGUUGCUAAACGCGUUAGCCAUAGAAGUAGAAGUAAUCGUUGGUGUGACGACUUCAUGAAGACACAAUGAUGGAGAUCAUGAUGAUGGAGAUCAUGGUGUCAUGCCGGUGACAAAGAUGAUCAUGGUGCCCCGAAGAUGGAGAUCAAAGGAGCAUAAUGAUAUUGGCCAUAUCAUGUCACUAUUUGAUUGCAUGUGAUGUUUAUCAUGUUUUUGCAUCUUAUUUGCUUAGAACGACGGUAGCAAGUAGGAUGAUCCCUUAUAAUAAUUUCAAGAAAGUGUUCACCCUAACUGUGCAUCGUUGCGAAGGUUCGUCGUUUCGAAGCACCACGUGAUGAUCGGGUGUGAUAGAUUCUUACGUUCGAAUACAACGGGUGUUGACGAGCCUAGCAUGUACAGACAUGGCCUCGGAACACACGCAAUACACUUAGGUUGACUUGACGAGCCUAGCAUGUACAGACAUGGCCUCGGAACACGGAGGACCGAAAGGUCGAGCAUGAGUCGUAUAGAAGAUACGAUCAACAUGGAGAUGUUCACCGAUCUUGACUAGUCCGUCUCACGUGAUGAUCGGACACGGCCUAGUUAAACUCGGAUCAUGUUUCACUUAGAUGACUAGAGGGAUGUCUAUCUGAGUGGGAGUUCAUAAUCAGAUGAACUUCAUUAUCAUGAACAUAGUCAAAAAGGUAUUUGCAAAUUAUGUCAUAGCUUGCGCUUUAGUUCUACUGGUUAAGAUAUGUUCCUAGAGAAAAUUUAGUUGAAAAUUGGUAGUAGCAAUUAUGCGGACUGGGUCCGUAAACUGAGGAUUGUCCUAAUUGCUGCACAGAAGGCUUAUGUCCUUAAUGCACCGCUCGGUGUGCUGAACCUCAGCGUCGUCUGUAGAUGUUACGAAACAUCUGACAUACACGUUUUGAUGACUACGUGAUAGUUCAGUGCGGUUUAGAAUUGUGGCACCAAAGAUGUUUUGAAACGUCGCAAAACAUGUGAGAUGUUCCGAAGACUGAAAUUGGGAUUUCAGACUAGUGCCCACGUCAAGAGGUAUGAGACCUCUGACAAGUUUCUUAAGCCUGCAAACUAAGGGAGAAAAGCUCAAUCGUUGAGUGUGUGCUCAGAUAGUCUGAGUGCCACAAUCGCUUGAAUCGAGUGGGAGUUAAUCUCCCAGAUGAGAUAGUGAUAGUUCUCCAUAGUCACUGCCACCAAGCUAGUAGAGCUUCGUGAUGAACUAUAACAUAUCAAGGAUAAUCAUGAUGAUCCUUGAGCUAUUCGCGAUGUUUGACACCGCGAGAGUAGAAAUCAAGAAGGAGCAUCAAUUGUUGAUGGUUAGUAAAACCACUAGUUUAAAAAGGGCAAGGGCAAAAGGGAUACUUCAUGAAACAGCAAGUCGUUUGCUGCUCUAGUGAAGAAUCCCAAGGUUGAACCCAAACCCGAGACUAAGUGCUUCUGUAAUGAGAGGAACGGUCACUGAAGCAGUACUACCCUAGAUACUUGGUAGAUGAGAAGGCAGGCAAGGUCGACAGAAGUAUAUUGGAUAUACGUUAUAUGAAUGUGUACUUUACUAGUACUCCUAGCAGCAGCAGGGUAUUAGAUACUGGUUCGGUUGCUAAGUGUUAGUAACUCGAAAUAAAAGCUGCGGAAUAAAUGGAGACUAGCUAAAGGUGAGAUGACGAUAUGUGUUGGAAGUGUUUCCAAGGUUGAUGUGAUCAAGCAUCGCAUGCUCCCUCUACCAUCGAGAUUUGGUGGUUGCGCUGAACAUGAUUGGAUUAUGUUUACCGCAAAACGAUUAUUCAUUUAAGGAGAAUAAUGGUUACUCUGUUUAUUUGAAUAAUACCUUCAAUGGUCUUGCACCUAAAAUGAAUCUCGAUCGUAGUGAUACACAUGUUCAUGCCAAAAGAUAUAAGAUAGUAAUGAUAGUACCACAUACUUGUGGCACUGACACUUGAGUCAUAUUGGUGUAGAACGCAUGAAGAAGCUCCAUGUAGGUGGAUCUUUGGACUCACUCAUUUUUGAAAAGAUUGAGACAUGCGAACCAUGUCUAUUGGUAUAUAUGCAUGAAGAAACUCCAUACAGAUGGAUCGUUUGGACUCACUUGAUUAUGAAUCACUUGAGACAUGCAAAUCAUACCACAUGGGCAAGAUGACUGAAAGGCCUCGUUUUCAGUAAGAUGGAACAAGAGAGCAAUUUAUUGGAAGUAAUACAUUUUGAUGUAUGCAGUCCAAUGAAUGCUAAGGCAUGCAGUGGAUAUCGUUAUGUUCUUACUUCACAGAUGAUUUGAGUCGAUACUGAGUGUAUUUACUUGAUGAAACACUAGUCUGAAUUAUUGAAAGGUUCAAGCAAUUUCAGAGUGAAGUUGAAGAUCGUCGUGACAAGAGGAUAAAAUGUCUGUGAUAUGAUCAUAGAGAUGAGUAUCUGAGAUACGAGUUUGGCACACAAUUGAGACAUUGUGGAAAGUGUUUCACAAUUAAUACCGCCUGGAACACCAUAGUGUGAUGGUGUGUCCGAACAUCAUAACUGCACCCUAUUGGAUAUGGUGCAUACCAUGAUGUUUCUUAUCAAAUUACCACUAUCGUUUAUGGGUUAGGCAUUAGAGACAACCGCAUUCACUUUAAAAGGGGCACCACGCAAUUCCGUUGAGACGACACCGUUUAGAGAAACCUAAGUUGUCGUUUCUUAAAAGUUUGGGGCUGCGCAGCUUAUGUGAAAAAGUUUCAAGCUGAUAAGCUCGAACCCAAAGCGGAUAAAUACAUCUUCAUAGAAAACCCAAAACAGUUGGGUGUACCUCCUAUUUCAGAUCUGGAAGCAAAAGUAAUUGCUUCUAGAAACGAGUCCUUUCUCGAGGAAAAGUUUCUCUCGAAAGAAUUGAGUGGGAGGAUGGUGGAAACUUGAUAAGGUUAUUGAACCAUAACUUCAACUAGUGUGUAGCAGGGCACAGGAAGUUGUUCCUGUGGCACCUACACCAAUUGAAGUGGAAGCUUAUGAUAGUGAUCAUGAAACUUCGGAUCAAGUCACCACCAAACCUCGUAGGACGACGAGGAUGCGUGCUACUUCAGAGUGGUACGUGAUCCUGUCUGAUAUAUCAUGUUGUUGGACAAUACUGAACCUACGAGCUAUGGAGAAGCGAUGGUGGGCCCAUAUUCCGACAAAUGGUUAGAAACCAUGAAAUCCGAGAUAAAUGGAUCUUUGAGAAGAAGACGGACGUGGACGGUAAUGUUACCGUCUAUGAAGCUCGACUUGUGGCAAAGAGUAUUUUCACAAGUUCAAGGAGUUGACUACGAUGAGUUUUUCUCAUCCGUAGCGAUGCUUAGGUCCGUCGGAAUCAUGUUAGCAUUAGCUACAUUUAUGAAAUCUGGCAGAUGGAUGUCAAAACAAGUUUCCUUACCAGUUUUCGUAAGGAAAGGUUGUAUGUGAUACAAUCAGAAAGGUUUUGUCGAUCCUAAGGAUGCUAAAAGGUAUGCUAGCUCCAGCGAUCCUUCCAAGGAUUAGAGCAAGCAUCUCGGAGUCAGAAUAUACGCUUUGAUGGAGUGAUCAAAGUUUUUGGGUUUAUACAAAGUUUGUUAGAAACUUGUAUUUACAAUAAAGUGAGUGGGAGCGCUACAACAUUUCUGAUAAGUAUAUGUGAAUGACAUAUUGUUGAUCCGAAAUGAUGUAAAAUUUCUGGAAAGCAUAAAGGGUUGUUUGAAAGGUGUUUUUCAAAGGAAGACCUGGAUAAAGCUACUUACAUAUUGGGCAUCAAGAUCCAUAGAGAUAGAUCAAGACGCCUGAUGAUACUUUCAAAAGACAGCACACCUUGACAUGAUUUUGAAAGAGUUCAAAAUAGAUCAGCAAAGAAGGAGUUCUUGGCUGUGUUACAAGGUGUGAGUAUUGAGUGAGACUCAAGACCUGACCACAGCAGAAGAUAGAGAAAGGACGAAGGUCGUCCCCUAUGCUUUAGACAUAGGCUCUAUAGUAUGCUAUGCUGUGUACUGCACAUGUAGUGUGCCUUGCCAUGAGUUGGUCAAGAGGGUACAAUGGUGAUCCGGGAAAGGAUCUCAUGACAGCGGUCGAACUUAUCCUUAGCACCUAGUGGAUUAAGGAAUUUUCUCGAUUAUGGAGGUGGAAAGGAGUUCGUCGUAAAGGGUUACGUCGAUGCGAACUUUGACACUAAUCCGGAUGACUCUGAGUAGUAAACCGGAUUCGUAUAGUAGAGCAAUUAUUUGAAAUGGCUCCAAAUAGCGCGUGGUAGCAUCCACAAGAUGACAUAGAUAUUCAUAAAGUACACGGUUCUGAAAGGUUCAGACCCGUUGACUAAUAACCUCUCUCACAAGCAUAACAUGACCAAACCAGAACACAUUGAGUGAUAAUCACAUGGUGAUGUGAACUAGAUUGUUGACUCUAGUAAACUCUUUAGAUGUUGGUCACAUGGUGAUGUGACCAGUGAGUGUUAAUCACAUGGUGAUGUGAACUAGAUUAUUGACUCUAGUGCAAGUGGGAGACUGUUGGAAAUAUGCCCUAGAGGCAAUAAUAAAUGGUUAUUAUUAUAUUUCUUUGUUCAUGGUAAUUGUCCAUUAUUCAUGCUAUAAUUGUAUUGUCCGGAAAUCGUAAUACAUGUGUGAAUAUAUAGACAACACCAUGUCCCUAGUGAGCCUCUAGUUGACUAGCUCGUUGAUCAAUAGAUGGUUACGGUUUCCUGACCAUGGACAUUGGAUGUCGUUGAUAACGGGAUCACAUCAUUAGGAGAAUGAUGUGAUGGACAAGACCCAAUCCUAAGCAUAGCAUAAAAGAUCGUGUAGUUUCGUUUGCUAGAGCUUUUCCAAUGUCAAGUAUCUUUUCCUUAGACCAUGAGAUCGUGCAACUCCCGGAUACCGUAGGAGUGCUUUGGGUGUGCCAAACGUCACAACGUAACUGGGUGACUAUAAAGGUGCAUUACGGGUAUCUCCGAAAGUGUCUGUUGGGUUGGCACGGAUCGAGACUGGGAUUUGUCACUCCGUGUGACGGAGAGGUAUCUCUGGGCCCACUCGGUAAUGCAUCAUCAUAAUGAGCUCAAUGUGACUAAGGCGUUAGUCACGGGAUCAUGCAUUGCGGUACGAGUAAAGAGACUUGCCGGUAACGAGAUUGAACUAGGUAUUGGGAUACCGACGAUCGAAUCUCGGGCAAAUAACAUACCGAUUGACAAAGGGAAUUGCAUCGGAUUGAUUGAAUCCUCGACACCGUGGUUCAUCCGAUGAGAUCAUCGUGGAGCAUGUGGGAGCCAACAUGGGUAUCCAGAUCCCGCUGUUGGUUAUUGACCGGAGAGGCGUCUCGGUCAUGUCUGCAUGUCUCCCGAACCCGUAGGGUCUACACACUUAAGGUCCGGUGACGCUAGGGUUGUAGAGAUAUAUGUAUGCGGAAACCCGAAAGUUGUUCGGAGUCCCGGAUGAGAUCCCGGACGUCACGAGAGGUUCCGGAAUGGUCCGGAGGUAAAGAUUUAUAUAUGGGAAGUCUUAUUUUGGUCGCCGGAAAAGUUUCGCACUUUAUCGGUAUUGUACCGGGAGUGCCGAAAGGGGUCCGGGGGUCCACCAAGGGGGUCCACCAGCCCCGGGGGGCCACAUGGGCUGUAAGGGGUGCGCCUUGGCCUAUAUGGGCCAAGGGCACCAGCCCCAAGAGGCCCAUGCGCAAGAGAUAAGAAAAAAGGGAGAGUCCUAAAAGGGGAAGGCACCUCCGAGGUGCCUUGGGGGGGAAGGACUCCCCCCUGGCCGCACCCUUCCUUGGAGGAAGGGGCAAGGCUGCGCCCCCCUCUCUCCCUUGGCCCUAUAUAUAGUGGGGGGAAGGGAGGGCAGCAACAUCUAAGCCUUGGGCGCCUCCCUCCUCCCCUGCAACACCUCUCUCUCUCUCGCAGAAGCUCGGCGAAGCCCUGCCGGAGACCCGCUACAUCCACCACCACGCCGUCGUGCUGUUGGAUCUCCAUCAACCUCUCCUUCCCCCUUGCUGGAUCAAGAAGGAGGAGACGUUGCUGCACCGUACGUGUGUUGAACGCGGAGGUGCCGUCCGUUCGGCACUCGGUCAUCGGUGAUUUGGAUCACGGCGAGUACGACUCCGUCAUCCACGUUCAUUGGAACGCUUCCGCUCGCGAUCUACAAGGGUAUGUAGAUCCACUCCUUUCCCUUCGUUGCUAGUAGACUCCAUAGAUGCAUCUUGGUGAGCGUAGGAAAAUUUUAAAUUAUGCUACGAUUCCCAACAGUACCCUCGUAGACCGACAGCGGAAGCGUUAUCACAACGCGGUUGAUGUAGUCGUACGUCUUCACGAUCCGACCGAUCAAGUACCGAACGUACGGCACCUCCGAGUUCUACACACGUUCAGCUCGAUGACGUCCCUCGAACUCCGAUCCAGCCGAGUGUUGAGGGAGAGUUUCGUCAGCACGACGGCGUGGUGACGAUGAUGAUGUUCUACCGACGCAGGGCUUCGCCUAAGCUCCGCAACGGUAUUAUCGAGGUGUAAUAUGGUGGAGGGGGGCACCGCACACGGCUAAGAGAUCUCAAGGAUCAAUUGUUGUGUCUCUGGUGUGCCCCCUGCCCCCGUAUAUAAAGGAGCAAGGGGGAGGCAGCCGGCCAAGGGGAGAGGCGCGCCAUAGGGGGGAGUCCUACUCCCACCGGGAGUAGGACUCCUCCUUUCCUUGUGGGAGUAGGAGAAGGGAAGGGGGAGGAGAAAGAAGGAAGGGUGCGCCCCCCUUCCCUAGUCCAAUUCGGACCAGACCAUGGGGAGGGGUGCGGCCACCUUUUGAGGCCUUUCUCUCCUUUCCCGUAUGGCCCAUUAAGGCCCAAUACGAAUUCCCGUAACUCUCCGGUACUCCGAAAAAUACCCGAAUCACUCGGAACCUUUCCGAAGUCCGAAUAUAGUCGUCCAAUAUAUCGAUCUUUACGUCUCGACCAUUUCGAGACUCCUCGUCAUAUCCCCGAUCUCAUCUGGGACUCCGAACUCCUUCGGUACAUCAAAACUCAAUGAAACUGUCAUCGUAACAUUAAGCGUGCGGACCCUACGGGUUCGAGAACUAUGUAGACAUGACCGAGACACGUCUCCGGUCAAUAACCAAUAGCGGGACCUGGAUGCCCAUAUUGGCUCCCACAUAUUGUACGAAGAUUUUUAUCGGUCAGACCGCAUAACAACAUACGUUGUUCCCUUUGUCAUCGGUAUGUUACUUGCCCGAGAUUCGAUCGUCGGUAUCUCGAUACCUAGUUCAAUCUCGUUACCGGCAAGUCUCUUUACUCGUUCUGUAACACAUCAUCCCGCAACUAACUCAUUAGUCACAAUGCUUGCAAGGCUUAUAGUGAUGUGCAUUACCGAGUGGGCCUAGAGAUACCUCUCCGACAAUCGGAGUGACAAAUCCUAAUCUCGAAAUACGCCAACCCAACAAGUACCUUUGGAGACACCUGUAGAGCACCUUUAUAAUCACCCAUUUACGUUGUGACGUUUGGUAGCACACAAAGUGUUCCUCCGGUAAAUGGGAGUUGCAUAAUCUCAUAGUCAUAGGAACAUGUAUAAGUCAUGAAGAAAGCAAUAGCAACAUACUAAACGAUCGGGUGCUAAGCUAACGGAAUGGGUCAAGUCAAUCACGUCAUUCUCCAAAUGAGGUGAUCCCGUUAAUCAAAUGACAACCCAUGUCUAUGGUUAGGAAACUUAACCAUCUUUGAUUAACGAGCUAGUCAAGUAGAGGCAUACUAGUGACACUAUAUUUGUCUAUGUAUUCACACAUGUAUUAUGUUUCCGGUUAAUACAAUUCUAGCAUGAAUAAUAAACAUUUAUCAUGAUAUAAGGAAAUAAAUAAUAACUUUAUUAUUGCCUCUAGGGCAUAUUUCCUUCACAAGCUAGGUAAUAAUAACAGGAUAAAGAAAGAACGAGAGAAAAAAAUUUGCAGAAUUAUUACUGCGAAAUAAAUUAUUAAAAGAGAUUUGGCCUGGUGCGAGGACGAUGUCGACAUAGGGCGUUGACACGCCAAGAUGACAAAAUCUGAAUUCGCAGGGUGAAAGAUCGUGGAUGUCGCCUAGAGGGGGGGGGGGUGAAUAGGCGCUUUAAAAUAAUUACGGUUUAGGCUUGAACAAAUGCGGAAUAAACCUAGCGGUUAAUUUAACAAGCACAAAACCUACAACAACUAGGCUCACCUAUGUGCACCAACAACUUAUGCUAAGCAAGAUAAACAACUAAGUAAUAGCAAGAUAUAUGACAAGAAACAAUAUGGCUAUCACAAAGUAAAGUGCAUAAGUUAAGGGUUCGGGUAAGAGAUAACCGAGACACGCGGAGACGACGAUGUAUCCCGAAGUUUACACCCUUGCGGAUGCUAAUCUCCGUUUGGAGCGGUGUGGAGGCACAAUGCUCCCCAAGAAGCCACUAGGGCCACCGUAAUCUUCUCACGCUCUCGCACAAUGCAAGAUGCCGUGAUUCCACUAAGGGACCCUUGAGGGCGGUCACCGAACCUGUACAAAUGGCAACCCUUGGGGCGGUCACCGAACCCGUACACUUUGGCAACCCUUGGGGGCGGUCACCGGAACCCGUCAAAUUGCUCGGGGCGAUCUCCACGACCUAAUUGGAGACCCUGACGCUUGCCCGGAGCUUUACACCACAAUGAUUGAGCUCCGAACACCACCAACUGUCUAGGGCGCCCAAGCACCCAAGAGGAACAAGCUCAAGGGCACCAAGCACCCAAGAGUAAUAAGCUUCUCAACUUGUAACUUCCACGUAUCACCGUGGAGAACUCAAACCGAUGCACCAAAUGCAAUGGCAAGGGCACACGGAGUGCCCAAGUCCUUCUCUCUCAAAUCCCACCGAAGCAACUAAUGCUAGGGAGGAAAAUGAGAGGAAGAACAAGAAGGAGAACACCAAGAACUCCAAGAUCUAGAUCCAAUGGGUUCCCCUCACAUAGAGGAGAAAGUGAUUGGUGGAAAUGUGGAUCUAGAUCUCCUCUCUCUUUUCCUCAAAAACUAGCAAGAAUCCAUGGAGGGAUUGAGAGUUAGCAAGCUCGAAGAAGGUCAACAAUGGGGGAAGAACACGAGCUCAAGAGAUAAGGUUCAUUGGGGAAGAAGACCUCCUUAUAUAGUGGGGGGAAUAAUCCAGCCGUUACCCCCACUUCAGCCCCGCAGAGAGCGGUACUACCGCUUGGCCAGCGGUACUACCGCUUGCCCCUAUAAGCGGUACUACCGCUCCCCCUCGCGGUACUGCCGCUGGGCCCAAAGCGGUACUACCGCGGUGGCAGGGCGGUACUACCGCAAACGAGCAGUACUAUGGCCCCCACUGCCGCGGCUAGUACCGUAGAACCCGGCAGGAAAAAGACCCCUCGAAUCGAGGCGGUACUAAUACGAGACCGCAGCGGUACUACGGCUUGGGGCUACCAGCGGUACUACCGCUCAGGAGCGGUACUACCGCUUGUAGCAGCCAAGCGGUACUACCGCUCCGUCCCGCGGUACUAUCGUUGGGACCAAAACUGCCAUAACUUCUGCAUAUGAGCUCCGAAUUGAGCAAACUCAAGCUUGUUGGAUAGAGGAAGACGAGUAGCAUCAAAACAGCUACUGGUUAUAGUAAGAAGAGGCAGGGGAGGUAUGCCAACAAAUAGAGGAGUGAAACCUCCAACCGAGAAGAACCGGCAUAACCUCCAACAUCGAAAACAUCAUAGAAGAUGCGAGUGAACUCCGUUUUCGAUGAACUCGAGCUUGUCAUCAAGAUGACCAUAAGCUCCAAAACUCACAAAGAAAAGAACCAAACAAGAACCAAUAAGGAUGAUGCAAGGAUGCAAUGGUUUGAGCUCUCUACGAAUGAUACGAUCAAGCUACUCAUCGAGAGCCCCCCUUGAUAGUACGGUAAUCGAUCCUAUAACCCGGUCUCCCAACUACCAUCAUGAGACCGGCAAAAUAGAAAACCUAUCAAGGGCAAACCUUUGCCUUGCACAUGGUCCACUUGAGCUAGAUGAUGACGAUCUUGACUCCCGCAAGUUGGACCACCUUUCUUGGUUGCGUUGGCUCGAUGAAGACUAGUUGAUUGCUCCCCCAUGCUCCACUAUGGGUGAGCCACUCUUCCGCACAUCUUCACAAGUCCAUUGUCACCACAAUGGACGGCAAGCUUCAAGCAUUUGAUCUCUUCAUGAUGCUUCACUUGAACUUGCACACCGCAACAUCUUCACAAGUCCAUUGUCACCACAAUGGAUGACAAGCUUCAAGCAUUUGAUCUCUUCAUGAUGCUUCACUUGAACUUGCACACCGCAACCUAACCCCACAAAAAACUCUCACGAAGAUCAUGGGUUAGUACACAAAGCGUAAUUGACAAUGCUUACCACACCAUGGGAUCGCUUGAUCCCUCUCGGUACAUCUUCUACGCUUUGUGAGUUGAUCAAGUUGAUUCACUCUUGACUUAGUCUUGAUCAACCAUGAAUGUUUUCAACUCUCUUCAUUUGGAUGAUGUCUUGAAGAUAUACAUAAAUGAUCACACAAUCUUCUUCUCCAAGACAUGCUUGCGAUAAGCUCAACUCUCACAUGACCAAUCUUUGGAUAAUUCCUUAAUAACACCUUGGUCACCACAUAAACUCCUUGAAACCAACACAUGAACUUCAAGAAAUGCCUAUGGACAAAUCCUUCAAAUAUAACUCAAGGCAACCAUUAGUCCAUAGAGGUUGUCAUCAAUUACCAAAACCAAACAUGGGGGCACCGCAUGUUCUUUCACAGGGUCACACGAGUUACAAGCACAAUGUGUGCGGGACAGCGAUGACAUAUCGGAUCGCCCUAAAACGACGGCCUCAAAGUAGACGCUGCAAAACCUGCAGUACCAAAAAUCAUCGACGAGUAGAAUACUCUUUGAAAUAUUAUUAAUAUGUGCAACACAAAUAAUUAAAAUAAUUGCACCUGUCGACUUAUCCGACGACGUCGAAACUUGCUAGCAGACGAGAUGACGAUAGACGAGGGACGUCCUGGCCGGAGUGCAUCGGGCCGGACAAUAUAUGGAACAGCCGAUCCGAACGCGUACAUCGGCUGGCCAAGUUGAUGCAGACGGAAAAAGCAUGUACAAACGCCGGCAAAGUAUCUCUGCAAAAAAUAAUACAGUACAAACCAACAAAAAACAAUCUGUAAGCCAAGAAAAAUAAAAUCUGACGGCAAUGACCACAACAGACCGAAAUAGAUAAAAAAAACGAUCUGGAUCAGUAAUCAGAUCACUUUGGCCUUCAUCUUUUCAGGAGGAUUCACCAAUACGUGAAACAUCAGUACUAGCAAUUGAAUUAAAUUUAGUACUCCCUCCGUCCGGAAAUACUUGUCGGAGAAAUGGAUGUAUCUAGACAUAUUUUAGUCCUAGAUACAUCCACUUUUAUUCAUUUAUGCGACAAGUAAUUCCGGACGGAGGGAGUAGUACUUUUUAAUCUACGCACUUAUCAGCAAAAAUUAAUACUAGUAGAGGACAAGCUGCAGCAAAAGGUGGCUUGGUCGGCCGACGCCGCUGCCGAUAGGCCUCGGGAUUUGUGUUGCAUCUAGUACUAAGGCUGGUCAUAGUGGGGAGUAACUUAGACUAGUGUCAUAUGCAUGACACUAGUCUAAGUUACUACCUUCAUAAUGCAAAGUAGCAUGAUAAUAGUGUCAUAGAUGACUUCAUUUAUUAGCUUGUAGACUCGUCUUGUCUUGGAAAGCGCUAUGUUAUAGUAACAUAUUAUGUUACCACCUCACAUUAAAUACUUGCCACAUAAGCAAAAAUUUCUUGGAGUGCGCUAUGUUACUAGCUAAGUUACGUUACUCCCACUAUGACUAGCCUAAUUGCGGUAGUACUUUGACACUAGUCCGGAUAGUUAGAUCUUGGGACACAUCAGGGUUGGACAUCCGAUUUGUUUCUUCAAGACAACGGAGGCAGCGCAAUUUUUACGUAGCCAGCACGCGGCCGGUAGCUCUGGCCGAGUAGUUGUGGGCUUGUGGUAGGAUUCUUACAGAGCUGACCUAGUCUCUACUUCUAAUGAAGCAGCUGGUAGUCUCCGCCGGUCAAUUUUUGUCCCACCUAUCAUGGUUUUUUUCGUCCCACCUUCGCUAGUUUUUUUUCGUAGAUUUUUUUCGUCCCCUUCCCCCACUUCAUCGGUUUAUAUCAGGUAAUAAUUCUUGGGCUUUCUUUGGUAGGUGCUCAUUUAAUUUUGGGUAACUAAGGAUUCAAAAAUCACAUCAUGAUUUGCUUACCUUCUUACGUGAGAUCACCUUCCCACCAAAAACCAAAUUGGUUUCCCAUUUGAUUUUUAUAUCCAUAAUAUUUACCGAAUUACGGAUUAAAUAUUUGCAUUAUCUCUAUUCCUAAUGUCUGAGUUGGUAGGAUUGCGUCCACGAUUUAUUUUCGUCUGGUUAUAUUUCGUUUAGUUUAUUUUCGUCCAGUUUAUUUCCGUCUCACAUCCCACCACCAUAUCUCCUCGAUUUUUUUUACCUUCACAAUAAAAACUUACCUAACUUUUUCGAAGUUUCCUAACUAGACACGUUAUAAAUAGGCAGGAACAGAUAGCACGUUACCAAUUAAUAAAAUUUAGUUUUAUGACAAUCAAUUUCAAAUCCUAAUUUUCCUAAUGCAUUGACCUUUGCCUUCUCUAAGAACCAAUCAACAAGAAAAAAACGCUUCGCACCUAGCGAGCCAGCCGCUUCUCUUCUCGAUUAACAAUCUUUUGCUAGGUGUUCAAAAAAAAAAAACAAUCUUGCGCUAGGGUUCCUUGUGUUGUGUCGCCGCCGCGGCGCUCCUCGACCAGCCCGUCCCCUGCCGCCUUGCCCCUCUCUCUUCCCUCCAGCCUAGACGCCGGCGAUGAGGCGCACAAUGCCCCCACGGCCAUGCUCGAUCGCCUCCAGAACCCUCCGCGCGCGUCGAGGCGAGGCACCUCCUGGGCUCCGUCCGUCACCGCUUCGCCGACGACCCGCACGCGUCUGUCACCGCUUCACCGACGACCCCGCCGCCGGGCAGGAGGAGUGCUUCGGCGCCUCAUCGGCUCCGUCCGUCGCCGCUUCGCGGACGACCCCCACGCGUCUGUCGCCGCUUCGCCGACGACCCCGCCGCCUGGCACGAGGAGUGCUUCGGCGCCUCAUGGGCUCCGUCUGUCACCGCUUCGACGACGACCCCCACGUGUCGGUCGCCGCUUCGCUGACGACCCCGCCGCUGGGCAGGAGGAGUGCUUCGGCGCAUCAUUGGCUCCGUCCGUCGCCGAUUCACCAACGACCCCCACGCCGGGCAGGAGUAGUGCUUCUGUGCCUUCAACCUCAGCCUCCGCGAUGUCGUACUCUACGCCCACCUGCAAGGUCCCCCGCCCCGAAUCCCCCUGGUCCUUCCCAGCAAAUGGAUUUGCUAAAAUUCGAUUGUUCAUCCGGCCUUCAAUGAUGAAUCAAACCUUCUGUAGCUGAAGAAUCCUUUCCACUAAUUUAGGAAGGACUGGAGCUUGCACUUGAGCUUGCAGUCUGAAUUUUCUUCAGGUGAUUGACGUGAUUUCAUUUGGAGAAGCACAUGUUAGGCUGCAGACACCAAUUUUUUAAUUGCUGCUUAUUCCUUGUGGUAUUAUAAAGUUCAGGGUGAUAACCAUCGAGAACAAAGAGCCAAAUAUGACUCUUUUUUCAACUUCUCUAGGAUAAUAUGCAGAUUAACUUUCGAUGAGUGCUAUUCCAAGAAGAGAAAAAGGGUUUUGCCAGAAUGGGACUCGUUUUUUCCAAGCUAAAUGUUUCUUGUAGUUAACUUGAUUCAGCAACUGGCUACUAUUUCAGUUUGAAGAGGAUGCUUUUGUUUCAACUUUAAGAAUGACCAUUGGAUUUUGCUUCAUGAGGUCAACCUUGCACCUCCAGAGACUCUUCAGAGAACUGGUGUUGUACUGGACGGAGAGAAGGGCAUGUUGUGCCUUGCUGAAAUGGGUGAUGUUGAUUAUAUUGAAAGCCAUGCAUGAAUCCGACAACGGAUUCUGGGAAAAGAGAGUUGUCAUACAAUCUUAGGAGCAGAAUUGUGGAAUGCUUUGUUCAUGAUCUCAUGGAUGAUGAUGAUCUACGUAUUUUGGCCAAUAAAUAUUUGGAUGGUCUGCAUACUGCUAAAGGAGUUACAACUGAGCACUGUACUUGGAGAACAUCGCCAUGGUAUUUUCUGUACAAACUCAUCCAAGCUUUUUCUUCUUCUCACGUAGCUUCUUGAUUCUUAUUGAUAGAAAAAUCACCAAGGUAUUUUCUGUAAAAACUCAUCCAAACUUACAUACAUAGAUGACUGGAUGGAUUAGCCACCUCUGUAGCAAUUUCCAAGGUACGAUUAUAAUCUCAUAAUGAUCUGUUAAAUCAGUGUGGGUGUCAUCCUGUUUAUAUAUAAAUGCACACCACUUGCAGCUAUAUAACUCUAUAGUAUGAAGACAUAAAAAGACGAGUGUCUUCUGUUGAUGUUUUACAAACCAUCUUCGAUCACAUCUUAAUAUUAUGUAUUUCAUAAUAGCUUAAUAAUAGUAACUGUUGAACAUUUGACUGCCACAUGGAUGAUGUUUUACAAUUUUCUUUUUGCAUAUUACCAAAAAAUGUAUUGGAGCCCUAUUUGCAAUGGACUAACAGAAGCACACGACACAUAAAUAACAGAUGCUAGCAACAUUGGUAUAUGUUGGCAUUGAAGAAUUACAAUUGUGUUGGUUAUUUUUCACCUUUUGUUUGUUCAUGUAGUCAUUGAAGAAUUUAGAUGACUAUUAUGCAGCUCAAUAUAUUCGUGUCCAAGGCUACGAGUCGUCUGCUGAUGCAUGGUCCUGCCUUCCUUGGCAUAUCUGAUGUUUUUUUUCAUUCAUAUACAACAAAAGGAAAGGAAUGCUCUUGAGGCUUGCUCUCUUAGUGUGAAGGUUUGUUAGUUUUCUUGUAGAUCUGCAGUGGCAUGCUCUAGCCAUAUCGUUUCUGUCCUUCUUAUGUGCUUGUAAUUUGAAGGAAGUCUUAGUGUCGCAACAGUGAUUUCUCUAAUUUUGUAUUUUGCUAAAACACGUUAGAUGGAAAAUUCAAAAUGAUCCUUCUAAAUUUUAGUGGCAUGCUCUAGCCAUAUCACUUCUGUCACUUCAAUUCACAUUGAGUUAAACUGAAUAAUCAGCUUCACCAUCUAAGUUUGCUUUCUUCUUUGUGUCGUAGGAAAAUACAUUCAUUGCUCACACACUUACAGGUUGCUUCUUCAAAAUUGCAUAAACUGGAUAGCCGGGGAAGCUCGCUUCCUCUUGCACAUGUGUACGGUCUGCGCUAUGAUGUACGCCCGUGAAAAUGACAAAUCCGAGAAGGUUCACUAAAUGUUUAUGAAUUGUGGUGUCAUCGCUCUUGUUUCCUCUUGUGUUCAUAUGAUCGAAGAGUUUUUGGCUGAUGAGUUGUGUAGGGUCAAUGCGAGGAAACAAACUUAGUGUGCCUUAUAAGGUCCAACGCGGUGAUCGGAUAACUCUAGCAAGCAUUGAACAUUGAUGUAUCAGGAACAACAGGUAUUUAUUUCCCUCAAACUCACUUUUUUGUGUUCAGAAGCACACUGUAUAUUAAUUCAUUGUCAUAAUCUUGUUACUCAUGUGCUUACCAUUAAAAUCGUAAACUGGUUGCGACAUAAGGCUCUGAGCAAGUUUUAGGGUGAUUCACAAUUGAUCCUGCAUGUGAUUCAUCCUGACAUUUAAUGUUCAAAUGUAUAUAUUGCAGAGACUACUCAAAGUCAGAUCGGAUGAAUGCUCACGCUUUGUGUACAAAGUAGUAUGUGUAGCAUGUUAUUGUUUCCCUUUCUCCUUUUUACUGUCCAAUGAAAUAUUAUGUGGUGUGGCCUCACAAUGUGUCAUUCCCGAAGCUAUCUGCAAACAAUGUUGUAAUCUGAUGUGUUUUAUUCUUUCAACUUAUCAAGUUUCUAAGUACGCACAUCUACAGCUCAAAAUCCACCAUGUAUAGUUCAGCUGAAUUUGCCAUCGACAUCUACAGGUAAGCAUAUGCUCGAUUGCUUGCAUUACAGUUUCAGUGAAGUCCUCGCAGUAUUUGUCACCUCAAAGAAGAUUAAUUCAUUGGCAUUUCAGUGUCUUCAAUUUUCUCAUGUUCAGUUUUUGCGAACCCGUGUAGAUGAAUUUUUGUUUGCCCGUACUACAUUGUAUUCUUGCCUGUAGCUUGGCUAUCUGCGUGUAAAGGAGAAACUGCUUGGCGUCAUCUCCCUUUUAAUAUUCACCGCGUCUCCCCAAGACGCACACUGCUCGACGGCUGCUGCGACGCACUCCCUGUUCCUCAUAGUGGGCCUGCCGGAGGCCGUGCUCUGCUCUGGACACUUGAAUUGAUACACAAAAAGUCAUUUUGGUGGAUGGGUGCAUUGGAGCCCUAUAUUUUGAAUAGUAUCAAAAUGAUAUUUUGAAGUUUCAAAAAAUUCCAGAAACAAUUCCACAUGUUCAUAUGGAUGUAUGUUACACAUGUGCAAAUUCUGAUGACGAAAUAAAUAACCAUCUGAGUUACAAACAAAUGAUAAGAUCGUGAUUUUUGAAAGAUGAACAAUGCAUGUAUUAUUCACUAUUUAGAUAGUCAUUUUGUCAUUUUUGCGUAGCUUACAUGUUUACUUAUUUCAUCACUAAACUUUACACGUGUAAUACCCAUAUUAUCAUGUAGAAUUAUUUUCAGGAUUUUUUGAAAUUUUAAAUGUGGUUCUUAAAUUAUUUAAAAUAAAGCCCUCCAAUGCACCCAUGUUCCAAAAAUUCACUCUACACUGAUACAUUGCAUUGUAAAACACUAUAUGUUGUUUACAGUGAAAGAGAGCCAAGGAAGAGCAAUUUAAUCUCUACUGAAGCUGGACUGGCAGGGGAGGCACACUAUGUCCUUGUCAGUCUGUGGAUUGGGCGGCUGAAUUAAUAUUUUUUCUUAAAAUUUAAUAUACCGAUUUUAUGUUUUCCUGAAUGCAUUGGCGGCGGUUUGUAUAUUCUUGCAGGUAUAUUUUCUAUUAGUUUCAGUGAAAUCAAUAAUUUCUGUGUACCACUAUAAAGAUGGUGGCGAAGAGGCCAUUACUGAGGGGAACGGUGCCAGAUGCAUUAUCAGUGCCACUGGAGGCAAUGAAGGUGCUCAGACCUACAUCAGUGUUGAAUAACGUGGGGAGCUGGAGAAACAUGACAAUGGUGUUGCUUCAUCUUCAUGUUAUCAGGUGAGUUAAAAAAAUCAAACAUGUCAAGUACUGUUGUGUUUGGACUAACCUUUUCACUCUAGAAUCUAGAUCUCAAUCACCAUGGUUAUUUCUGAUCCAAGGACAUAAAACUGGUCUAAUAUGUAUUUUGGCAUUUGUGUAUUUACAAUUUUUGUAAAACAACAGAUGGGAAACAAAAGGGGGAUACGUAUAUUUGGGAUUCCCCAUAGUUGUCGUUUGUUCUUUGAUUGUUUAAAUCCUCCAUAGAAGUUCAGGAACUUCUGUUGAUGUGUUCGCUCUAUAUCUAUUUAUCACUGGAUUGUUUUUGGCUAUCUUUUCUAUGCAUGUAAUAGUUAACAUGUUUUAUGUUUAUAUAUAACUCCAACAAAAUAUUUCAAAUGCCCGUGGCAACGCACGGGCAUUAUACUAGUAUGGAUAAAGUCCUCCGCAUGUGGAACCCAGCCGUCGCCUGCCAAGGAGUGCAGAUCAUAUAGAUCAUCCGCGUCUGUGCAUAAAUCCAUGAACACGACAACGUAACAUCAGAAAAAGUAAUCCUUAAAGAAAUUAAGUGAUGAUGAAUAGAUCUAAUUGGAAAGACAUCACCUGAUCAUUUCAUUGAACCAUGGCGAUCACCCAGCAGGCUCUUAAUGAAAGCACCAAUGUCGGUUCUAUAUCCGGCAUAUCUCGUAGUAGGGGUCCUAAGUUAAGCGUCUUGGAGCGAUGGUAACAUGAACACAGGAUUUUACCCAGCUUCAAGCUCUCUUGAAGAGAUAAUACCCUACAUUCUGCUUUUGAUUGUAUUCAUAUGGGGUGUAGUACAGAGUACAUGUAUCUACCACGAGAUUGUUCCCAUGAAUCUGAGAUUGCCUAUUGACUAGCCUGGCCUCGGUUUAUAUAACACACCAGAGGCCUAGGAUUUAGGGGAGUCCUCGUAUGCGCGCCAAGUCUUGUGGGAUCUCCCUUGUAUGCGGCAUGGGCUGCCCGAAGUGGCCCAUGAGUAAAUCGCCAUGGGGGUUCUCGGCCCGAUCCAGCUGGUCGAGAGACGACGUGGUGAGCAUCCCCUAGUCUAGGACACUGUCACUUGUACCCGUUGCUACUGCGUGUCUUUGCCAAUUAGAGAGAUAUAGAUUAAGGAUCCAGAGAAUGGAAGAAGAUACCUGGGUUGCUAAUGUUACUGUCAUUGAUCCAAAAAUCCCUAGGACUGCCUCCAGCAGUGGGCCCUCCAGUAGCAUGGCACAGAGUGUGCGGCCCUCUCAUCCUCUUCAACAUCGCCAACCGCCUCACACUACUCCUUUCCUCGCUUAUGUCCACCGCUGCUCACCUUCCCCGCCGGCGCCAUCCGUCGUGCCCUUCGUCUGACAACAAAAAUUAUUUUUUUUAUCAAUAGAUAAAAGUAAAUUCACUUCUAGCAAAAAUACUAAAUUCAUAAUCCAUAUACGUGUCCAUGAUCUUAUUCCAUAGGCAUGUUCAGAAAUGGCCCUAGAACAAAUAAAUUUGAUCUCGCUAUACAUACGGAAUUUAAAACUUAGAUGGUCAGCCUGAAAUAGUUCAUUUCUUAAUGCAAGCAGUACCAGAAACUACAUAUCAUUCACAACUUCCAUAGUAGCCUAUGGCAUCGGACACUUGCAUAUUUGAAAGGCUCGCAAGCUGAAAGUUACACGUAUCACAAAAAAAACUCCAAGUACAGUUGAUUAUACUCUAACCCAGCCGGCAGUGCCACUCCCUUGAUCAAUAAUGAGUUUGUGCUCUAGAUUCACAAGUUUGCUCAUUCUACACACUGUACACUGCACAUUAAACAAUCUUUGCUACAACAGCAAGAGGUCAGCCUAAAAAUAGUUGCUAUCAUCAUCUGCACAAAUAUAAGAUAAUUAACGAUUCUGCACAUGCAUCAAGCUUCAUUCUAUGGGGUCAUGGCGCCCGGACAGGUGAGCACAUCGAAAUUUCCAGAAACACAUCUCAGAAGUACCAUUUCCAGAAAUAUAAAGUGUAUUUUGAUUUCCUAGCUUCAAGCACUGAUCAAUGAUUAAUCUAAUAACACAUACUUUAUAGCGGCACAAAUUUGAUAUCAUUAGCUUUGUGCCUCAUGUUGUGAUUUUCUGACUAUUGCACUGUCAAUGUCUGAACUCGGACCAUUAUGAUAUGUAAUGUUUUUGAAUGGAGGGUAUGAAGCAACUGCGGAUGCAUUAGUUACCUCACGCAUUUUAUGCGCCUCAUCAGGAGUACUGUAGUUUGCGGCAGAUUUGUCGAACAUUUCAAGUAUCCUGAAGACUCGAUUCCUGGCGUCAUUCAGAUUCGAAGCGGACGACAUCUCCUUGACAAUUAGCUCCGCCCACCAUCGCCCGAUCCCGACCUAAGCACUACGCGCAUGCUCCUAGGGGAAGGGUUGGUAGGAGUUAACCAUCGCGCGAUCCCGACCUCCACUCAUAAGGAAGACAAUCAAUAAAUAAAUCAUGCUCCGACUUCAUCACAUAACGGUUCACCAUACGUGCAUGCUACGGGAAUCACAAACUUUAACACAAGUAUCUCUCAAAUUCAUAACUACUCCACUAGCAUGACUCUAAUAUCACCAUUUUCAUAUCUCAAAACAAUCAUAAAGAAUCAAACUUCUCAUAGUAUUCAAUGCACUUUAUAUGAAAGUUUUUAUUAUAUCCCUCUUGGAUGCCCAUCAUAUUAGGACUAAAUUCAUAACCAAAACAAAUUACCAUGCUUUUCUAAGAGACUCUCAAAAUAAUAUAAGUGAAGCAUGAGAGUUAACGACAAACUACUCCAAAAGAUAUAAGUGAAGAUCAAUGAGUAGUCGAAUAAUUAUGUAACUAUGUGAAGACUCUCUAACAUUUAAGAAUUUCAGAUAUUGGGAUAUUAUUCAAACAGCAAGUAAAACAAAAUAAAAUAAAAUGACGCUCCAAGCAAAACACAUAUCAUGUGGUGAAUAAAAAUAUAGCUCCAAGUAAAGUUACCGAUGAACGAAGACGAAAGAGGGGAUGCCAUCCGGGGCAUCCCCAAGCUUAGGCUCUUGGUUGUCAUUGAAUAUUACCUUGGGGUGCCUUGGGCAUCCCCAAGCUUAGUCUCUUGCCACUCCUUAUUCCAUAGUUCAUCGAAUCUUUACCCAAAACUUGAAAACUUCACAACAGAAAACUCAACAGAAAACUCGUAAGCUCCGUUAGUAUAAGAAAAUAACUCACCACUUAGGUACUGUUGUGAACUCAUUCUAAAUUCAUAUUGGUGCAAUAUCUACUGUAUUCCAACUUCUCUAUGGUUCAUACCCUCCGAUACUACUCAUAGAUCCAUCAAAACAAGCAAACAACACAUAGAAAACAGAAUCUGUCAAAAUCAGAACAUUCUGUAGUAAUCUGUAACUCUCAAAUACUUCUGUAACUUAAAAAAUUCUGAAACAAUUAGUUCCACCUGAGCAAUUUGUGCAACAAUCCAUAGCAAAAAUAAUCAGGUCAAAAUCACGUUUCAAUAAGAUUCUGAAAAUUAUUUAUUGAGCGCAAAAGUUUCUGAUUUUCAGCAGGAUCAACACAACUAUCACCACAAGCUACCCUAAAGGAUUUACUUGGCACUUUAUUGAAACAAAAUCUAUAAAAAAUGAUUACUACAGUAGCUUAAUCAUGUGAACACACAAAAACAUUAGGGGUAAAUAUUGGGUUGUCUCCCAACAAGCGCUUUUCUUUAAUGCCUUUUUAGCUCGGCAUGAUGAUUUCAAUGAUGCUCACAUAAAAGAUAAGAAUUGAAACAUAAUGGGAGCAUUAUGAAGAAUAUGACUAGGCACAUUUAAGUCUAACCCACUUCCUAUUCCUAGGGAUUUUGUCAGCAAACAACUUAUGGGAACAAGAAUCGACUAGCAUAGGAAAGCAAAACAAGCAUAGCUUCAAGAUUUUCAACACAUAGAGAGGAAACUUGAUAUUAUUGCAAUUCCUACAAGCAUAUAUUCCUCCCUCAUAAUAAUUUUCAGUAGCAUCAUGAAUGAAUUCAACAAUCUAACCAUCACAUAAAACAUUAUUUUCAUGAUCUACAAGCAUAGAAAUUUUAUUACUCUCCACAUAAGCAAAUUUCUUCUCAUGGAUAGUAGUGGGAGCAAACUCAACAAAAUAACUAUCAUGUGAGGCAUAAUACAAUUGAAAAUUAAAAUCAAGAUGACAAGUUUCAUGGUUAUGAUUAUUCUUUAUAGCAUACAUGUCAUCACAAUAAUCAUCAUAGAUAGAAACUUUGCUCUCAUAAUCAAUUGGAACCUCUUCUGAAAUAGUGGAUUCAUCACUAAAUAAAGUCAUGAGCUCUCCAAAUCCAUUUUUAUCAUUAUAAUAAGGUUCAACACCCUCCAAAAUAGUGGGACCAUUACUUCCUAAAGUUGACACUCUUCCAAACCCACUUUCAUCAAUAUAAUCAUCAUAAAGAGGAGGCAUGCUAUCAUCAAAAUAAAUUUGCUCAUCAAAACUUGGGGGACAAAAAAUAUUAUCUUCAUCAAACAUAGCUUCCCCAAACUUGUGGCUUGGCAUAUCAUUAGCAUCAUGGAUAUUCAAGGAAUUCAUACUAACAACAUUGCAAUCAUGCUCAUCAUAAAAAUAUUUAGUGCCAAACAUUUUAUAGGCUUCUUCUUCUAACACUUGGGCACAAUUUUCCUUUCCAUCAUUUUCACGAAAGAUAUUAAAAAGAUGAAGCUUUUGGGGCAACCUCAAUUCCAUUUUUUUGUAGUUUUCUUAUAUAGACUAAACUAGUGAUAAAACAAGAAACUAAAAGACGGUACAAAUCGGGGUUCUCAAGUCCACUGUUGUGACAUAUAUGAUGUCUACUACGCAACCUUCUUCUUGUAGAUGUUGUUGGGCCUCCAAGUGCAGAGGUUUGUAGGACAGUAGCAAAUUUCCCUCAAGUGGAUGACCUAAGGUUUAUCAAUCCGUGGGAGGCGUAGGAUGAAGAUGGUCUCAAAAAACCCUGCAACCAAACAACAAGGAGUCUCUUGUGUCCCCAACACACCCAAUACAAUGGUAAAUUGUAUAGGUGCACUAGUUCGGCGAAGAGAUGGUGAUACAAGUGCAAUAUGGAUGGUAGAUAUAGGUUUUUGUAAUAUGAAAAUAUAAAAACAGCAAGGUAGCAAGCGAUAAAAGUGAGCACAAACGGUAUUGCAAUGCUUCGAAACAAGGCCUAGGGUUCAUACUUUCACUAGUGCAAGUUCUCUCAACAAUGAUAACAUAAUUAGAUCAUAUAACUAUCCCUCAACAUGCAACAAAGAGUCACUCCAAAGUCACUAAUAGCGGAGAACAAACGAAGAGAUUAUUGUAGGGUACGAAACCACCUCAAAGUUAUUCUUUCCGAUCAAUCCAUUGGGCUAUUCCUAUAAGUGUCACAAACAGCCCUAGAGUUCGUAGUAAAAUAACACCUUAAGACACAAAUCAACCAAAACCCUAAUGUCACCUAAAUACUCCAAUGUCACCACAAGUAUCCACGGAUAUGAUUAUACGAUAUGCAUCACACAAUCUCAGAUUCAUCUAUUCGAACCAACACAAAGAACUUCAAAGAGUGCCCCAAAGUUUCUACCGGAGAGUCAAGACGAAAACGUGUGCCAACCCCUAUGCAUAGAUUCCCAAGGUCACGGAACCCGCAAGUUGAUCACAAACAUACAUCAAGUGAAUCAAUAGAAUACCCCAUUGUCACCACGGGUAUCCCACGCAAGACAUACAUCAAGUGUUCUCAAAUCCUGAAAGACUCAAUCUGAUAAGAUAACUUCAAAGGGAAAACUCAAUCCAUUACAAGAAGGUAGAGGGGGAGAAGCAUCAUAAGAUCCAACUAUAAUAGCAAAGCUCGCGGUACAUCAAGAUCGUGCCAAAUCAAGAACACGAGAGAGAGAGAGAGAUCAAACACAUAGCUACUGGUACAUACCCUCAGCCCCGAGGGUGAACUACUCCCUCCUCAUCAUGGAGAGCGCCGUGAUGAUGAAGAUGGCCACCAGUGAUGGAUCCCCCCUCCGGCAGGGUGCCAGAAUAGGGCCCCGAUUGGUUUUUGGUGGCUACAGAGGCUUGCGGCGGCGGAACUCCCGAUCUAGGUUUCUUUUCGGGGGUUUAUGCAUUUAUAGGAAUUUUUGGCGUCGGUCUCACGUCAGGGGGUCUCCGAGUCAUCCACGAGAUAGGAGGGCGCGCCCAGGGGGGUUGGGCGCGCCCUCCACCCUCGUGGAUGGCUCGGGACUCUUCUGGUCCAAAUCUUUUACUUCGGGGGCUUCUUUUGGUCCAUAAAAAAUCCAUAAAAAUUGGCAGGUCAAUUGGACUCCAUUUGGUAUUCCUUUUCUGUAAAACUCAAAAACAAGGAAAAACAGAAGCUGGCACUGGGCUCUAGGUUAAUAGGUUAGUCCCAAAAAUCAUAUAAAAUAGCAUAUAAAUGCAUAUAAAACAUCCAAGAUGGAUAAUAUAAUAGCAUGGAACAAUAAAAAAUUAUAGAUACGUUGGAGACGUAUCAAGCAUCCCCAAGCUUAAUUCCUGCUCGUCCUCGAGUAGGUAAAUGAUAAAAACAGAUUUUUUGAUGCGGAAUGCUACCUAACAUAUUUAUCAAUGUAAUCUUCUCUAUUGUGGCAAGAAUAUUCAGAUCCAUAAGAUUCGAAACAAAAUUUUAAUAUUGACAUAAAAACAAUAAUACUUCAAGCAUACUAACAAAGCAAUCAUGCCUUCUCAAAAUAACAUGGCCAAUGAAAGCUAUCCCUACAAAAUAAUAUAGUCUGGCUAUGCUCUAUCUUCAUCACACAAAAUAUUUAAAUCAUGCACAACCCCGGUUUCAGCCAAGCAAUUGUUUCACACUUUAGUAUUUUCAAACUUUUUCAAUCUUCACGCAAUACAUGAGCGUGAGCCAUGGACAUAGCACUAUAGGUGGAAUAGAAUGGUGGUUGUGGAGAAUACAAAAAAAGAAGAUAGUCUCACAUCAACUAGGCGUAUCAACGGGCUAUGGAGAAGCCCAUUAAUAGAUAUCAAUGUGAGUGAGUAGGGAUUGCCAUGCAACAUAUGCAAUAGAGCUAUAAGUGUAUGAAAGCUCAAAAGAAACUAAGUGGGUGUGCAUCCAACUUGCUUGCUCACGAAGACCUAGGGCUCUUUGAGGAAGCCCAUGAUUCGAAUAUACAAGCCAAGUUCUUAUAAUGAAAAUUCCCACUAGUAUAUGAAAGUGACAACAUAGGAGACUCUCUAUCAUGAAGAUCAUGGUGCUACUUUGAAGCACAAGUGUGGUAAAAGGUUAGUAACAUUGCCCCUUCUCUCUUUUUCUCUUUUUUUUGUUUUUUUGUUUUUUUGGGCCUUCUCUUUUCUUUUCUUUUUUGGCCUCUUUUUUUCUUUUCCUUUUUUUUAAUUUUUCGUCCGGAGUCUCAUCCCGACUUGUGGGGGAAUCAUAGUCUCCAUCAUCCUUUCCUCACUGGGACAAUGCUCUAAUAAUGAUGACUGAGGGAGUCCUGGACUAAGGGGUCCUCGGACAGCCAAACUAUGUACUUUGGACGGACUGUUGGACUAUGAAGAUACAAGAUAGAAGACUUCGUCCCGUGUCCGGAUGGGACUAUGUAGAUUUCUUUCUCUGUAACCGACUUUGUGUAACCCUAGCUCCCCCGGUAUCUAUAUAAACUGGAGGGUUUAGACUUCUAGAGUUUAGUCACAACAAUCAUAAUCUCAUAGGCUAGACUUCUAGGGUUUAGCCAUUACGAUCUCGUGGUAGAUCAACUCUUGUAAUACUCAUAUUCAUCAAGAUCAAUCAAGCAGGAAGUAGGGUAUUACCUCCAUAGAGAGGGCCCGAACCUGGGUAAACAUUGUGUCCCCCGCCUCCUGUUACCAUUAGCCUUAGACGCACAGUUCGGGACCCCCUACCCGAGAUCCGCCGGUUUUGACAUCGACAUUGGUGCUUUCAUUGAGAGUUCCUCUGUGUCGUCGAAGAUAGGUUUGAUGGCUCCAUCAAUCAUCUACAACAAUGCAGUCCAGGGGGAGACCUUCCUCCCCAGACAGAUCUUCGUAUUCGGCGGCUUCGCACUGCGGGCCAACUCGCUUGGCCAUCUAGAGCAGAUCGAUAGCUACGCCCCUGGCCAUCAGGUCAGAUUUGGAAGUCUGAAUUUUGUGGCCGAUAUUCGCGGAGACUUGAUCUUCGAUGGAUUCGAGCCCAUGACGGCCGUCCUCGGCCACCACAAUGAACAUGACCUAGAUCUGUCAUCUGACCGCACACAGGAGCUAGCGCCUGUGACCGCCCUGGCCCUAGAGCCGGAGCGGACUGCGUCAUCCGAAGACGGGAAGCUCAGCCCCGCCGCGGAGGCCGCAGACUCAACGGCGCUCGAGCCGCACACAGACCCAACGUCGAGCUGGGCUUGUGUUUCCGGAACCUCGGACUCGUCUACGACCAUGGACUCCGGACUGCGUGCACCCGCGUCCAUCGAACCUGAUUGGGCGCCGAUCUUAGAGUUCAGCUCCGCGGACAUUUUCCAGCACUCGCGUUUUGGUGACAUGUUAAGCUCAUUAAGAUCCCUCUCCUUGUCAGGGGACUCUCGGCCGAACUAUGUCCGGCUCGAAUGGGAAGCGGAUGACGAAGAACUUCGUUUCCCACCCACCACCCACUUUGUAGCCGCUGUCGAUGACUUAACCGACAUGCUCGAUUACGACUCCGAAGACAUCGACGGUAUGGAUGACGAUGCCGGAGAGGAGCAAGAACCACUGCCUACAGGGCGUUGGACAGCCACCUCCUCGUACGACAUAUACAUGGUGGAUACACCCAAAGAAAAUAACGGCGACGACGAAAAUCCAGUCGAGGAUAAACCUCCUGAGAUACAGCCGAAACGCCGACGUCAGCGGCGUCGCUCUAAGCCACGCCGUAGUAAAAACAGCAAUGCCGUCACAAAAGAGGAUAACACCCCGGACGGUGCCGAAAACAAUGAAGACCCCGUUGAGCCGACCUCCGAACAGGAGGAACGGGAGGAUGGGCGAGCCAGCCCUGGCAAACAGGCCGCGAACGAAGACCCGGAGGAUAGCAACUACCUUCCGCUCUCCGAGGACGAGGUUAGCCUCGGUGACAAAGAUUUCAUCAUGCCGGAAGAGCCCGCCGAGCAGGAACGCUUUAAGCGUCAGCUAAUUGCCACUACAAGAAGCCUAAAAAAGAAGCAGCAGCAACUUCAAGCUGAUCAGGAUCUGCUCAAUGAAAGAUGGACUGUGUCCUAGCAGCCGAGCAAUAUGGCCUCGAGCGCCCAACCAAAAGCUACCCGAAGCACAAACUGUUGCCACAGUUCAACGACGAGGUGCUGGAACCCGUCCUACCAAGGUACAGUACGGCUGAUCGACCACCAUGUGGCCGGGACAAAGCGACACCUCAAGCCGAAUACCAGCCCGCACUACCUCGCCGAACAAACAGAAAUACAACAACUCGGGGAUAUACUCAUGACCCGCUUCUGUGCGGGCAAAGACAGCUGGCUGGCCUGUAACAACAACAAUACAAGCGAACCUGGCACUUUUGAAGCCAGAAACAGCAACGGCAAGCCCCGACGCAAUAGACAUAAGCGUCGAAACAACGGUGAUAGCACCAAAGACACGCCGGUCAACGCCGGAUUCAGUGGCUGUAAGUCCGGUCAGCGGAAGAAGCCAUUCAAGAGAAAUAAUCCGGGCCCGUCCAGUUUGGACCACAUACUCGAUCGACCAUGCCAAAUCCAUGGCACUCCUGAUAAACCAGCCAAUCAUACCAACAGAGAAUGCUGGGUUUUCAAACAGGCCGACAAGUUAAAUGCCGAGAAUAAGGAGAAAGGGUCGCAAAGCGAUGAUGAUGACGAGGAACCCCGACCACCGAACACAAGGGGACAGAAGAAAUUUCCCCCCAAGUCAAAACGGUGAAUAUGAUAUAUGCCACCCAUAUACCCAAGAAGGAGUGCAAACGUGCACUCAGGGACGUCUACGCGAUGGAGCCAGUCGCCCCAAAGAUCAACCCAUGGUCCUCUUGUCCGAUCACCUUCGAUCGCAGGGAUCACCCGACCAGUAUCCAUCAUGGCGGUUCAGCCGCACUGGUCCUUGACCCAAUUAUUGAUGGAUUUCAUCUCACGCGAGUCCUCAUGGAUGGUGGCAGCAGCCUGAACCUGCUCUAUCAGGAUACAGUGCGCAAAAUGGGUACCGAUCCCUCAAGGAUCAAGCCCACUAAAACUACCUUCAAAGGUGUCAUACCAGGUGUAGAGGCCUGCUGUACGGGCUCAAUCACACUGGAAGUGGUCUUCGGAUCCCCGGAUAAUUUUUGAAGCGAAGAGUUAAUCUUCGAUUCGUCCCUUUCCAUAGUGGUUAUCAUGCACUGCUCGGAUGAACCGCAUUUGCUAAAUUCAAUGCGGUGCCGCACUACGCCUAUCUCAAGCUCAAGAUGCCCGAACCACACGGUGUAAUAACGGUCAAUGGAAAUACGGAGCGCUCCCUCCGUACGGAGGAGCACACCACGACCCUUGCAGCAGAAGUAUAGAAUAUCCUUUUUAGCCAGAACCUCAAUUCGGUAGUAAAGCCCCCGGACGCCGUCAAGCGAGUCCGAACUACUCUGCGGCAGGACGGUCCAGCUCGUCCAGAGCUUGACUAGCAAUCCGGCCUCCGUCCCAGUCCCGGUCAAGCAGCGACAUUUGUGCCGCGCGUGCAUAACUACACACUUAAAAUACCAUGGGCAAGGAAGGAGGCAUAGCUAGACCGCGGUCCACAAUGCGGCUCAACCGCCCGUGGAUCCGCAUACCUUUACAUUUUCUCUUUCUUUCAGUUUUUUCUCUUCUUGAGGCUUUUCUGAUAACCUGACCAUCGGACCCAUCACGGGACGGAUACACCAAGGAGCCAAGGAGCUUUGACGUACAAGGGAAUACCCAGGUGGUCUCUGCUAACGAUCACUAUACCUGUUUUACAUACCCGCACGCAGCUCGCUCUUGGUCAUGGCAUGUUAAAUAGCCUUACUUAUCGCAUUACUUGUACAAGUAUGCCUCGACGUAUUAAUCAAAUUACAAUGGAAAAUAAUUUGUAGCGUCAGCUUAUCGCUUGAUCUUUUCCUUGUCUUCAUAUUUUUCAUCAAUUGCAUCCGUACACUCUGGUAUGCAUUACUUCGCCAGGGGCUUUAUUACACCCUACAAUAUGGCAAUCAAGUCCGAACACUUUUACAGUACAGUUCGGCACCCCAAACUUAUAGCAUUAUAUGCAUCGACUCCGAAUCAUGUCUUUGGUCAAUAGUUGGGUUGCCCGGCUCCUGUGCUUACUACCUUACGUUCCGCUAUAUCGGCUAGGGUAGUAAAGGGAGAACUACUGCGAUUGUGUCCCAGUUCUUCCGGAUGAGCACCUUAGUAGAGAAAGCCGAAGACUGACUAUCAUGAUGCGGCGAGAGCUGGUCAACUGUUCGAUAGGUUUUGAAAUCCUUAGAGAUUUUUCUGCUUUAUGCGAGGAAUCGGUUUUUAUCCCAACUUCGGUCUUCCAAAUACCUGGGGCUUCGCCAAAAUUUUCAUGUCAAACUCCUAUGGCUAAGUGAGGGUGAUAAAGCCGUAUAGUCCGAUUGCCUUGUUCGUUGUAUUAGACACCUCCUUUAAGGACCAAAAUUUGGAGUAAAGAGUGUUUAUAUUUAUCCCAAACACCCCCGUACUAUCUACGUGGGGGCAGAAGCCGACGACUGGCCAACUCUCAGAUUUUCAUAAACGGCCGCAUAGGAGGUAAUUUUUUUUUAAAAAACAAGCAUUAUAUUACAAUAUAGGACAGGAUAACAUGAAUGUUUUCAUGGGAAUAUAACAUCCUGCGCACAUUGCUCCGCCGCAAGGCGGGAUCCCUCCAGGACACCAUCGAAAUAUAGCUCGGGGCGGCGGUGCUCCUUGCCCUUAGGCGGCCCCUCGGUUAUUAGCUUUGUGGCGUCCAUCUUCGCACAGUGCAUCUUGGCACGGGCUAAGGCCAUCCGCGCACCUUCAAUGCAGACUGAUCGCUUGAUGACUUUGAGCCGCAGGCAGGCACUGACAAGCCGCUUCACGAGUCCGAAGUACCUGCUGGGCAUGGGCUCGGCAGGCCAUAGCCGGACUAUUAAGUCCUUCAUGGCUAGUUCGGCCGCCUUAUGCAGCUCGACCAGCUGCUUCAGCUGGUCGCUAAAGGGCACCGGAAGUUCUGGUCCAAGGUAUUGAGACCAGAACAGCUUCUCCGUAGAGCUCCCUUCUUCGGCUCGGUAAAAUUGUGCAGCAUCUGAUAUGCUGCGCGGCAGAUCCGUAAACGCCCCUGGAGAGCUCCAAAUCCGGGUAAGUAACAGGAAUGUUUCCUUCACAUAUCUGCUUUGCAUAAUGAAAGCCUUACCCGCUGUAAUUUUCUUGGCCGCCUGGAUCUCCUGGAGGGCGCCCUGUGCUUCGGCUCGGGCGUCUAGUGCGCUCUGGCGAGCCUUGGCAAGUUCAGACUCUUGAGUCUUAAAAUCGCGCUCCAAGGACUCGUACUUCUUGACGACGUCCUGGAGUUCUUGCCGGACCUCGCUGACCCGGGCCUCCUGCUUCUCGCGCGCGGCGCGUUCCUUGGCCGCUUUGUCCUCGGCCUCGGCCAACGCCUUCUUGAGGGCCGCUACUUCGGUCGUGCCCCCUAAUAAAGUUCAUGUCGGAGUAAUUGGCCACGGGUAGCCUAACCGACUACCCCUGGCUCUUCAGAAAAUUUAUCAGGCCUUUGGGCCUUCAAACACUCCAAGCAUUUGGGCCGCCUUCCCCGGCCAGCUACCACUAAAGCCGACUCCCGGAAGGCGACCCAGCCUCACCGACUCCAAGAAGCCGGCCAAGAAGGACGCCGACUCCUAGAAGCCGGCCAAGACCACAACCGCUCCUACAUAAUGACGACCUGACGGGGCAUGGCCACAGUGCGGCCCACGACCCCCGAAGCCCGAGGCAGGCAUGGCUACAGGAGGCCGUACGGGAGGGAUGUCUCCCGUGCGGCCCGGCACUGUAGCCACGCCAGCCGCGACGUCAUCCACGACCCCCUCCUGUACGGCCCAAGGACCGCGGGCCCCUUCAGCUAGAGAGAGGCGUGAAGGCGGCCCGGAUUUUCCUAGUCGGCCAGGAGGAUAGCCGGCCUCCAGAAGCCGGCGACUCCCUUCCUCUAAGCAGGAGCCCCAUUAAGGAGACAAGACGAGGUGAGGCUACAGUGAUAGCCCCCGAUGCGGAUCACUGUAGCCACGCUUACCCCGACAAAGCCCUCAUCAUCAGAGGCGCGGCUACAGUAAGCAGCCGCCGACAAGACCCUAGGCAGUGGGGCCGGCCUGUCGACCGAGUAGCCAGCAGCCGGCGGGACCCACCAGCCGGCGGGACCCAGCAGCCGGCGGAGAAGCCGGCAGGCGUAGACACUGACGGCUAGGGCCAGUUCCCAGUCGGAUUACCAUUGUACCCCCGGGGGGUAGGGCUAUAUAAACCCCCCGGAGCACCCAUGCAAAGGGUUCGCACCUCUGCAUGUUUGGCUUCUAAGCAUAGCACACACACACACGCACCAUAGAUAGAGAGAAGCAAGAGCUAGCCUUGUUCUUCUUCUCCCUUGAUCCCAACAGCUCUAGGGGCGAUUGUAGCUACUCUUUAUCGAUCUAGUGAUCAUGCGGAGACCCCGCAGAGCAGGACUAGGGGUGUUAUCUCCUCGGAGAGCCCCGAACCUGGGUAAGAUUCGCCGGCGUGCAUGUCUUCGCCUCAUCCCGUUUCCAGGCACCGGCGACGUUUUGUUGGCUCCCACAAUGAUAAGCCAUCCCUUGGCAUAUGUCGCACCAACCACCCGACAUUUGGCGCCCACCGUGGGGCCAGGUGCACAGUUGUCCGGAGACCUGUUCUGGACGGGAACCCUCUUCCUCCCCCGCGAGCGCAGCCAGCCUGCUGCGCCCGAUGGCGUUUGCCCCGACGCGCUGCAAGGCGUCGACGACGUCUGCGCAGCGAGCCGCCUCACCGAUCUGCUCGGCGAGACUCGCAUCUCCGACGAGCCUGCGUCUGACGCAGGCACCGACUACCCCGAGAGCCGCCUCGUCAGCCUCCUCGACCAACUUCACGUCUCCAGCGAGCCUGUUGCGGACAUGGAGUCUGUCGGCUCCACCGACCCGAUGCUCAUAGACUCCGACACCGCGUCGCUCGACGCUUACCCCUCUGACGUGGUGGUCUUCGACGACCCACUCCCUCGAGCUGACAGCGGCAGCAGCGCUGUCACCGAAGUGCUGGUCAUCAGCCACGUCUCCAACUCGGGCGGGAGCGCCCGCGACGCUCAGCAAGCGGUGAUGCACGACCUCUCCAUCCCCAUCCCAGCCGACGCCGAUGCCGAGACCCUGGAGGCACGCCGUCUUGCCCUCAUCACGGAGAGCAAGAAGAUAGCCUCGAUGAGACGCCUCGCUGAGGCCCACCAGCGCGAAGUCGACCGCGCCGCCUUCGGAACGCCGCCGCCCAGCGGUCCGAGCCGAGCCGGCUUCGUCCAGAAGCGUGGUGCAGCCGUUGCCAGCAUGAUGGGCGCAGAUCACCCCGUCUACGCCACCCCGCUCGAGAAUCUGCGAGCCGCUCAGGCGGCGGUAGAGGAGCUCAAUGGGUUGGGGGCCGAUGAGCUCCCCUACAUGACAAGACGGAUCCAGCAGUUGAUCGACGCGGCUGCAGAACGGCACGAAGCCGGCGCCCGUGCUGAUAGUCAUCCCCCAUGCCGGGAGCACGCCGCGACGUCCCGCUCGCCGACUGCGAGCGGCACGCACCAGAGGAAAGACAAGGAGCCGGCUGCCAGCCGCAGCCGGACUCGCAUCACUAUCGAGCGCGACGCGGAUGGCCGCCCUCGGGCGGUCGAACACCAAGGAAACCUGCCGCCUCCCCCGCCUCGAAGAGAAAGACGCCUCACUCCGCGGCCCAUCACGCAUCCGACUCUUGGCGACCGACUCGGCCGCCGAGAAGUAGUCGGCGAGAGUGACGCCCGCCACAGGAUCGACCGCCUUGCUCGAUCCUUGGCGUUAGAAGAAGAAGACGAUGUCGGCCCGCCAUGCUUUGGCCCCCGCAUCCGCGACGAGCCCUUCCCCAAAGGGUUCUCGCUCCCCAGAGACACACCCAAGUACAACGGCUCAGUGAAGCCGGAAGAUUGGCUCAUCGACUACUCCACAGCCGUCAGCAUCGCCAACGGCAAUCGGCGCGUCGCCGUGAAGUACGUCCCCUUGAUGCUGCAAGGGACGGCGCGCAGGUGGCUCAACAGCCUCAAGCCAUACAGCAUCAACAGCUGGUUGGACUUCACCGAAGUUUUCGUCCGCAACUUCACCAGCACCUACAAGCGACCUCCCAAGCCUCGCCAGCUCUCCCUCUGCGUCCAAGGGCCCAACGAGUCGACCCGCGACUACCUCACGCGAUGGGCCGAGCUCCGCAACUCCUGCGAGGGAGUGCACGAGGUCCAGGCCAUCGAGUACUUCACUGCCGGGUGCCGAGAGGGCACCCUCCUCAAGCACCGACUCCUCUGCGACGAGCCGGCUACCCUCGAUGAGUUGCUGAUUACCGCCGACAAGUAUGCCACUGCCGACUCCUCCAUGAAGACCGAGCUCCGAGUGGACGCCUCGGGGAAGGUAGUUGCUCCGGCUCCCAAGACGCCGGCUGGCGACCCAAACCGGCGCCCCUACCAGAACGACCACAAGCGCAAGGGCCCCAUGCUGACUUCCUCCAGUCGGCAGGUGGCCACAGUCGAAGACGAGCAGCCCGAGGAGCGGCCCGCUCCCAAGAAGAAGGGAGGCCGGCCGCCCUGGCAGCCGUCCUUCUCCUACGAGCAAGCACUCGAUGCUCCCUGCAAGUUCCACAGCGGCGCGAAGCCGUCCAACCAUACAACACGAAAAUGCCACUGGCUCACCCGCAUCACCAAGGGCGAAGGGAUGGUGCCGCAUCCGCCUCCCGGCCCGCUGCCUCCAGCUCCCCAGCAGCCGGCGGCCCAGCCUGCAGUCGGCGCCAUCCAAGACGAGUUCCCCGAAGCGCACGACGCCUACGUCGUCUUCACAAGUCAAGUCGACGACAAGCGCAGCCGACGCCGGCAACACCAAGAAGUAAACGCAGUCGCCUCUAGCACCGCCGAGUUCAUGCACUGGUCGGAAAAGCCCAUCAGCUGGAGCCAGGCCGACCACCCAGAGGCGAUGCCCUCGCCUGGCUCCUAUGCUAUGGUCCUAGACAUCACCCUCGCGACGGAGAGGCGAGCUGCCAGAUUUUCCCGCGUCCUGAUAGACGGCGGAAGCAGUAUCAACAUACUGUACCGCGACACCAUGGACAAGCUGAACAUCAAAGCAAAGCAGCUCAUGCCGAGCCGCACUGUCUUCCAUGGUAUCGUACCCGGCCUAUCUUGCUCUCCAAUCGGCAAGAUCAAAAUGGAUGUUCUCUUCGGAGACAAAGAUCACUUUCGCCGGGAAGCAAUAUGGUUCGAGGUGGUGGAUCUGGAGAGCCCCUAUCAUGCACUGCUUGGCCGACCUGCUUUGGCCAAGUUCAUGGCUGUGCCCCACUAUGCCUACCUGAAGAUGAAGAUGCCGAGCUCGAAGGGGAUCAUCACGGUAGACGGCGACUACAAGAAGUCCAUCGAGUGUGCCAUGGCCAGCAGCCGGCUGGCCGAGUCCCUCGUGGUGGCCGAAGAGAAGAAGAUGUUUCAGCGGGUUGUGGCCAUGGCCGGCAAGCAGCCGGCUUUGUCCCCCAACCCCAAGGACGGUGAUGCGCAGGGCUCCUUCCAGCCUGCGAAAGAGACAAAGAAGAUACCUCUAGACCCAGAGCACCCGGAGAGGUUCGCCGUGAUUGGGGCGAACUUGGACAGUAAAUAGGAAGGCGAGCUCGCCGACUUCCUCCGUGAGAAUCGAGACAUCUUUGCAUGGUCCCCAAAGGACAUGCCGGGUGUCCCGAAGGAUUUCGCCGAGAACAAGUUACAUGUCCGAGCUGAUGCGAAACCAGUCAGGCAACCCCUCCGCCGACUAUCAGAAGAGAAGCGAGGAAUCGUGGGAGAAGAGAUAGCCCGGCUCCUUGCAGCCGGCUUCAUCAUGGAAGUGUUCUUUCCAGAAUGGCUUGCCAAUCCAGUUCUGGUUUUGAAGAAGAAUAACAAGUGGCACAUGUGUAUAGACUACACAAGUUUGAACAAGGCCUGCCCAAAGGAUCCGUUUGCUUUGCCACGGAUUGACCAAGUGAUAGACUCCACAGCCGGAUGCGAGCUGUUGUGUUUUUUGGAUGCAUACUCAGGGUAUCAUCAGAUCAAGUUGGACCCGGCUGACCGCCUGAAGACUGCCUUCAUCACACCCUUUGGAGCUUUCUGCUACCUGACAAUGACAUUCGGCUUGAGAAACGCCGGUGCCACUUUUCAGCGUUGCAUGCAGAAAUGUCUCUUGAAACAACUCGGCAGAAAUGCCCACGUCUACGUAGACGACAUUGUGGUGAAGACAGAGAAGCGCGGUACCUUGCUGGAAGACCUGAAGGAAACAUUCGCCAACUUGCGCCGAUUCCAGAUCAAGCUCAACCCCGAGAAGUGCGUGUUCGGAGUGCCAGCCGACCAGCUGCUAGGCUUCCUGGUCUCCGAACGCGGCAUUGAGUGCAACCCUGUCAAGAACAAAGCCAUCGAGAGGAUGGAGAUUCCCACCAAGCUGCGAGAUGUGCAGAAGUUCACUGGCUGCUUAGCCUCCCUGAACCGUUUUAUCAGCCGACUAGGAGAGAAGGCCCUCCCCCUGUACCGACUCAUGAAGAAGUCCACUCACUUUGAGUGGAAUGAUCAAGCCGACCAAGCCUUCCAUGAGUUGAAGAAAAUGUUGACCACUCCGCCUGUCCUGGCCGCGCCGACUGAGAUGGAGCCCAUGCUCCUCUACAUCGCCGCGACAAGCCGAGUCGUCAGCACUGUUGUUGUGGUCCAGCGCCCGGAGGAAGGCCGAGCCCAGCUGGUCCAGAGGCCGGUCUACUAUCUCAGCGAAGUACUGUCUAGCUCAAAGCAAAACUACCCGCACUAUCAGAAGAUGUGCUAUGGGGUAUACUUCGCUGCCAAGAAAUUGAAGCCCUAGUUCCAAGAGCACCCCAUCACGGUCGUGUGCACCGCCCCGCUCGCCGAGAUCAUAGGCAGCAGGGAUGCAUCCGGCCGGGUGGCCAAAUGGGCCAUUGCCUUGGUGCCCUACACGAUCUUCUAUCAACCCCGCACCGCCAUCAAGUCGCAAGCAUUGGCCGACUUCCUCGUCGACUGGGCCGAGACCCAGUACUUACCGCCGGCUCCCGACUCCACCCAUUGGCGGAUGCACUUUGACGGGUCCAAGAUGCGCACUGGCUUGGGAGCCGGCAUCGUCCUCACCUCUCCCAAAGGCGACAAGCUCAAGUACACGCUGCAGAUCCACUUCGCCGCCUCCAACAACGUGGCCGAGUACGAGGCGCUCGUACAUGGGCUCCGGCUAGCCAAAGAACUCGGCAUACGCCGGAUCCUGUGCUACGGCGACUCAGACUUAGUGGUCCAGCAAUCAUCUGGCGACUGGGACGCCAAGGACGCAAACAUGGCAAGCUACCGAUUCCUCGUCCAGCAGAUGAGCGGAUACUUUGAAGGUGCGAGUUCCUUCACGUGCCAAGGGCCGACAACGACCAAGCAGAUGCCCUAGCACGGAUCGGCUCCACCCGACAAGCCAUACCGACGGGCGUCUCCCUCCAGCGCCUCCUCAAGCCGUCCAUCAAGCCGUCUCCAGAGUCGGAUUCCAUCUUCGUACCGCCUGCGCCAGAAACAGCCGGAUCCGGCUCAAGAAAUCCCGCAGGCGGCGCGGGGACUUCGACGACUGCCCCGGGGACUGACGUAGUCGCACCCGGCCCAGGGACUUCAGAACCCGGCCCGGGGACUGCAGCAGUCGGCCCGGGGACUGCAACGACACAAGAAGCGGUGGACGACUCCAAUGCAACACCCAACCCACCCACCCGAGUCAUGGUGGCCACGUUAACAGCAGAAGAAGUCACAGCUCCCUCAUGGGCCCAGCCCAUCCUCAAGUUCCUAGUCAGCAGAAAGCUGCCGGCUGAUGAGACCGCAGCAAGACUAGUGCAACGACGAGCCGCAACAUACACAAUAAUCAACAGGGAGCUUGUGAAGCGCAGCGUCACUGGAAUCUUCCAGCGUUGCGUCGAGCCAGAAAAAGGAGUGGCAAUCCUCAAAGACAUCCACCAAGGCAAAUGCGGCCAUCACGCCGCCUCAAGAUCCCUCGUGGCCAAGGCUUUCCGCCAUGGUUUCUUCUGGCCGACUGCCUUGGAGGAUGCUAAAGAAAUAGUCAAGACCUGCAGAGGAUGUCAAGUCUUCAGUUCCAAACAACACCUGCCGGCUUCUGCCCUCAAGACCAUUCCCCUCACCUGGCCCUUUGCCGUCUGGGGACUGGACAUGGUGGGCCCUUUCAAGACGGCCCGCGGUGGCUUGAGACAUCUACUCGUUGCUGUGGACAAGUUCACAAAGUGGAUCGAAGCAAAGCCGAUUAAGAAGCUGAACGGGCCGACUGCCGUGACAUUCAUCACCGACAUCACUACUCGGUACGGCGUGCCGCACAGCAUCAUCACUGACAAUGGCACGAACUUCGCCAAAGGCGCACUGGCACGUUUCUGCGCGACACAGGGCAUCCGACUGGACUUAGCGUCCGUUGCCCACCCGCAGUCAAACGGCCAAGUCGAGCGAGCAAAUGGACUUAUCCUCUCCGGCAUCAAGCCCCGAUUGGUUGUACCACUGGAGCGAUCGACCGGCUGCUGGCUCGAAGAGCUGCCGGCUGUCCUCUGGAGUCUGCGAACUACACCCAACAAGUCAACCGGCUUCACUCCAUUCUUCCUUGUGUACGGUGCCGAGGCUGUCAUCCCAACAGACAUCGAGUUCGACUCGCCUCGGAUCACCAUGUACACGGAGGAGGAAGCCAAAGAAGCAAGAGAAGACGGCGUCGACCUACUGGAAGAAGGCCGGCUGUUAGCCCUCAGCCGGUCCGCCAUCUACCAGCAAGGCCUGCGCCGCUACUACAACCGCAAGGUCAAGCCAAGAUCCUUCCAAGAGGGCGACCUUGUGCUCUGGCUGAUCCAGCGAACAGCCGGCCAGCACAAGCUCUCGGCCCCUUGGGAAGGCCCCUUCGUCGUCAGCAAGGCACUCGGCAACGACUCCUACUACUUGAUCGACGCGCAAAAGCCAAGAGCACACAAGAGAGACGACUCCGGCAAGGAGUCGGAGCGACCAUGGAACGCAAACCUCCUAAGACGAUUUUAUAGCUGAAAAGCAGUAUGUAUCACGCUACCCCUUUUGUAUUAAGUUACAAACCAACAGGCCCCCCGAACAGUACUCGGGGACUGCCUUUUAUUUAUCUAUGAAUGACGAGUGUCAUAUCCAUGAAUGUUAUUAUUACAUUUUGAACUCUUGUCCGGCACCGGGUCCGACUAGUCGGCCCGGGGACUGGCCGCCUUGAGCUAUAUUCUAAGUUCUUCCCGAAGUCAGCAAAGUAGUGUGCCGGCUCCCAAGUCCUCCCUUGUUGAAAGUCGCAGCUCAAAGAACUGACUGUCCGACUAGCAAGAGGAAAGACAGAAAAGACGCCCACACGAAAAACGGCUAAGGAACAACUAACCCAUAUAGCAAAGAGACGGCCUCCAUAUACGCCUGCCGGCUGUCACAGCAGCCGGCUGGCCGGCUUCCUAAAAAACUUAGCUUAAGUCCAGCAGAGCUAAAAGUACUUCCCCCUCCCCAAUCGGCCAGGCACUCCCCGGCUACAGUUUGUAGAAAAACUGUUUGACUAGGGAGGCGGCAACCAAGGGAGGGCGGCAAAGAAAAAAAGCAGAAGGACAAAAAGCGAAAGUACAAGGAAAGGCCGAUUGCAUAACUUAUAUACAUAAGGCCGCCUAAAGGCUGGCAACAGACUUGAGUUUCAAUACACCCAGUGGGUGGAAUUGUGCAGACUUAACCAAACAUUGUUCAAAGCAACAAGACAGGAAAACAAAAGAAAGAAGACUAAGGUGCGACUUGGAGGCCGAACUGAUCGGUGAAGGCAGCUCGCCGGCUGAAGGAGUGGCCGCCUAGUUGGUCCCGGCCUGACCACCUCCCGCGGCAGGAGACGCACUCGCACGCGACGUAGUGCUGGAGGCGCGGUCAGGCUGGCCGGCUUCUCCACCAGCCGGCUCGGCGUCUUCACCUUCCUCUUCCUCCUCCUCCUCGCCCUCGUCGCUGGAGUCGAUCUCCUCCGCCGAGUCCUCGCCAUGCGCCGGGUCCAGCCCGAACCAAUCUUCCGGCUGGGCGACUCCAUUGUCGUCCACCUCGGGGGCGAAGACGUUGGUGUCGGUGUAGUCGGCGAUCGCCGAAGCUCGCCGAAUGAUGGCCGGCCGCGCCGGCUCCAGCUCCGUGUCGGCUUGCUGCCGCCAGGUCGCCAGCUGGUCCAGGUUCAGGCCGGGAUACCAGGCCUUGACGAACUCCAGCGCCCGCCUGGUGCCGGAGCGAGCCGCCGACGUCUUCCAAGCCUCGAAGCGGCCGACGGCCACCUCUAGCCAGUCGGCGGUCCGACUGGGAGUGCGCGGGACCACUUGGCCGGGCCAGAGGGCGGCCAAGACCUGCGACCCGGCACGCUGAAGCCGGCGAAGCAGCCUGUGAGCUGGCUGGAUACGAGCCUGGAUCGCCAGGAGCUGCUCCUCCAGCGAGCGGCCGGCGGUCGGCGAGAUCUCGAAGCCGGCUUGCCUCUUCGCCUGGCGACGAGCUUCGAUGGCCUGGUUGGCAGCAGUUGAGUAGCCAGGGAAGUACUCUGCGCGAAGGAGAAAAGGAAAGAAGAACACCAAAAUCAGAAAAACAAGCCGAAGUGGCAGAUGGCAAGAAAGGAUGAAGGGAUAGACGACUUACCGUCAACCAGGUCCUCAAUCUGGCCAUAGCCAGAGACCAGAGUCUGCCUGGCCUCUGCCCAGCCGGCCGCCUCCGUCUUGAACUCGGCCUGAAGGGCGGCCUCGCGAUCCUGCGCAGCUUUCAGCGCAGCCUUGUGGCCUUCCUCCUGGUCGGCCAGCUUCUUGACCAGGCAGUCGCGCUCCUGCACCAAGGCGACGAGCUCCGCGUCCUUGGCACGAAGAGCAGUCUGGGACUCCCCCAGCUGUGCCCUCAGACUGGCGUUGGCCACUGCAGGGAUAGAAGAAGAAGAAGAAGAAUGAGAAAUCAUCAAGGAAGAUCCGAGCCGACUGCUCAGCAGUCAGCCCGAAUCUCGGGGACUACACCCAGUGGGUGCGCUGACGCGCCCCCACAUGAGAUAAAAAUCAAGUCACAUACCUCGGCUUUCCGUGAGAUUGGCGGUCUUCUGAGUCAACUCCCGAGCCUGGGAGUUGAAGGCGGCCGCUCGGAGAUUGUGGUAGUCCUGCAAGACGGACAGAAGACCGACGUGAGAACAAAAGCAGCAAAAACAAAAUUCUCCAAGAAGUUCCAAGCCGCCUGCUCAGCAGCCGACUCGGAACUCGGGGACUACACCCAGUGGGUGCGCUGCCACGCCCCCACGAGAGAAAUCAAGUUCAAAAAGAGCAAGAUGAGGAUACUAACCCGGAUGGCUGCCCGUGUGGCGAGGAAUUCGUCGGUGAACUGCCUCAGCGCCGCGGCUUGGCUCUGCAGCCGGGUCCGGACGUCUUGCGCGGCGACGUUCACCACGGCCGACCCUCCGCCCGGCGUCCACCCCGAGGUAGCGCUGGCCGCCUCCGCGUCUCGAGCCGACGAGCUGGAGCCCACGGCCGGCUGUGGCUCCGACGCAGCCUUCUGCGGUUCAGCCGCGGCCUUCCCCGCACGCCGGCUUGACGGAACCCGGACCGCCACCUCAGCCCCCGCGACCGGCUCGCCCCCCGCCGACUGUGCGGGCGCAGGCUCAGGCUGGCGGCCUUGGGACGCCCCAGUCGGAGGAGUCAGCCCCGGUGCCUCCCUCAAGAAGAUGACGUCGUCGCCGCUCCCUCCCAAACCCGGCUGGGAACCGCUGGCUCCCCCUGGCGAGGGAUCCGCGCCCCCGGGCGCCAUGGUGCGCAGGGGGGUGACCAUCAAGGCCUCCCCUGCCGCCGCUUCGGCCUCGGCCUCUGCCUGGGCCUUGGCUGCAGCCUCGGCAAGCGCCUUCGCCGCCUCCUCCUCCCGAGCUGCCUGGGCGGCGGCUGCCCUCCGUACCUCCGCCUCCCGUGCUUCCUGCUCCUCCCGCACCUCCCGCGCGUUCCUUUCCGUCGCCUCCAGGAGGGCGGCACGGGGAUCUACGCGGUGGGUGGUGCUCCCAGAGCCCCCUAGCAACUCAACAACGGAGCCGGCAGCCGCCCGCUCAAGUGACAGUGGAGCACUGAUCAUUGAAAAAGAAGACGAAGACUCAAGAACCAUCAAAGGAAAGAAAGAAGGAUAGUACGAAGAAAGAGAGAACUUAUGCCGAUACCGUCUGCGGCUGCUUCACCACCUUGCGGAAGCGAGCCGCCUUCGCGGCCGCCUCUUCCCGCCUGGUGGCCGCCGCCCCACCCAUAGGCUUCUUCGUCCGGCUGCCGAACAUGCCCUGGGUGGCGCGACGUUUUUGGCCUCUACCCCUACCAGGCUGCGCGCCGGAAGAGCUCGCGCCGUGUCCGGGGGCCGGCUGGCGGGGCGGGACGGCUUCGGCUUCGUCUGGCCAGUCCUCGAAGGUAGCGGUAAACCCAGAGCCGCCUGCUUCACCGCCAGCCGGCUCGGUGGCAUCCUCCAUAUGGACUGCCCCCAGGUUGGGGUCCUCCUGGUCGUGCUCGGUCCGGUCGGGGACGAAGCGGCGCUCCGCGUCUGCCCCGCCGGCCGGUCGAAGCAGAGGACUCUGUCAAAAAGAGCGAACCGACGGAGUUAGAGUCGGCCCAAAGGAACUCGGCGACAAAGCUGAGAGAGAGAAAGAGAAAAAGAGAAAGGGAGCGUACCGUAGGCGGGGGAUUGGCGCGGCUGUAUGGCUCCUUGCCAAAUUGCCAGUCAUCGGAAAGCUGGCAAUUGGCGAGGUAGUUCACCAUGUCGGCGGCGUCAGGCCGCGGCAUCUCCUUGGUACACAUCCGGCUCGGAUCGAGCUAGCCGCUCAUCUAACAGAUCAGAUGAGGCCGGCUCUGGAGCGGAAGGACCCGGCGCGUGACGAACGCGGCCAGGAGGUCGGGCCCCGUCAGCCCCUCCGACUGGACCAUCACCCGCAGGCGGGCGAUGGCGGCGUUUCCUCCCUGCGACAGCGUUACCGCCCGGAAGGACCACUGGGGCAGCCUCCCCGCCGGCGGGCCGGCUACGUAAGCCGGCAGGUUGAGGUAGUCACCUCGGGGAGCGAUGUUCCGCACGUAGAAGUAUGACUUCUGCCACUUCUUCACCGAUUGGAUCAGCGUGAUGACGGGGAAGGGGUUGUCGGCGCCUGAUCUCCGCGGCGCAAUGAAGGCGCCGGUCUGAGCCGGCACGCCCCUCACGCGCGUGCCCAGCUUUGAUUGGAAGAACUCCCCCCAGAGCUUGAGGGUGGGGAGGACGCCAAGAUAGCCCUCGCACAGGGUGACGAAGGCCGACAGCAGCACCACCGUGUUGGGGGUGAGGUGGUGCGGCUGGAGUUGAUAGAAGUCCAACCAGGAGCGGAAGAAAGCGCUCACUGGCAGGCCGAAGCCGCGCAGGAAGUGCGAGCGGAAGACCACCCGCUCGCCCUCCUGCGGCGUCGGCCUGACCUCCUUCUCCGGCGCGAGGCGGACCUCCACUUUGUCCGCGCUGGGCAGACGCCGGGUGUCGCGGAGGAAGUCGAUGUGGUCGUUGUGAAUGAUGGAGCCAUCCCAAUCCCCGCCGAGCUGCUCUACGUGGGGAGGCAUAGCGGAAGCUAGCACGGCGGCGGAGAAGCGUGCGAAGGAAGAGCGCGGCGGCGAGGCGCUGUCGCAAGAACAAGCAAGGCGAGAAGACGAAGGGAGUAGGAGGAGCGUGCGAGGGUCUGCCGCCCUCCACCCCCCUACUUAUAGCCUCACGCGGCCGAAGAGGCCGGACGUGGGGGGAGACGUAGGAUUAACUGCGCCCACUCCCCCCACGUCUCGCGUUUAUUACACAUAAGUGCGAGCCGAAACUGUCGCACGGAUCGUGCGGGCGGUUUCGGGAUACAAAGGAUCCGCGCCUGGGCCGGGGCGCGGACGUGGCGGGCCCCCUCCCUGCGGCGAUGUCCCAUCACGCGCGUGGGCUGGCAGGCUUUCCGGCCACGUGGCACGCCAACGGCCCGAGGCCGGCCCGCGGCCCGGAGCACGAGCCGGCGGGUUCCCGCCCCCCGACUCCAGAAGAAUUCGACUAAGGGCGGCACGCCUGCACCGAGGCCGACUCCUAGCUGCCGGCUUGUCACGAUAGGAAGCUGAUCGAGCUUCUCGGACCCCACUCCACCUCGAAGCCCAAUCAGCUUCGGGGACUACAAUAGUCAGCCCGAACCAUUCAUCCUUCCCGUAUAUACACGCAGGUUACUGCAUACCUUGGCUGUCCUCCAGCUGCUUCUUCACGAGGCCGAGCUCCUCCUCGGCCCGCUCCAAUUUCUGCUUCAGUCCGGAGACCUCUGCAGUGUGAGCAGUCGUAGCCAGCGGCGACGCCUGCUCAUUCACAUAGACACUUUAUGUUAGACUCCUGCGAAAAUUAUUUUGAUCCUCUGUUCGGCUUUUCUUUCCGAACACCGAACAGAGCAUCAGGGGCUACUGUCUAUAUUGUGACAUUCUUUUACAAUUACUUACCUCAAAGCCUGUUAGAAGGCUAGUGCAGGCUUCGGUCAGUCCACUUUUGGCGGACUAGACCUUCUCAAUCACCGUACUCAUAAGAGUACGGUGUUCUUCCAUAAUGGAAGUGCCUUGUAGCGCUUCCAGUAAUCUCCAGUGCCUCUGUAUGGACAGAGGUCACCGGCGGGGUUGGCUCGCCUCCCUCGUUCGAAAGAGGCGGCCUGCUUGAAUUCGGAGCCGCUUGGGUCUCCGGAGCUGUAUGCGGCUGGGGGCCGAAUUGGAUGCGGCCCCCAUCAUCGGUGUCCAUGGGGGCUUGCUCCCCCACGUGUUUGGAAGCCUCGGCUUCACCCUCUGGCACCACCGGACGGCCUCCUGAGCUUCUCCCGGGCCUGGGAUCCUUCGAGACAACACCUCGGUGUUGUCCGCAGCCUUGGGGGAGGAGGCCGUCGGAAGGGAUGUGCUGUUCAUCACCGACGGGUCUAGCGACCCCUCCGAAGAGGAGGACAGCGCGAUGUUGGAUUGGGCCGGGCUGCAAGUGCGUGAUCCAGCACGUUAAAAACAAUAAAGUAAAAAUGCCGGGUAUAUUACUGUGUCCGGACACUUACGAGUUGGCUAGGGGCUUGUGUCACGCCCAAUAUGCGACCCUAUCCUAAAGGAACUCGAAGGUCCCACCAAGGAUAGAAGCGCAUAUUGGAGACGCUUUUGCAAGGUGGAUAUCAUUACAUCGUACCAUUACAUAAUAGUAGGGGAUACAUACAAGAGGCAAACAAUGCCACAUGAAUACAACAACAUCAUACACAAGAGCCACAUCCGACUACAGAUGAAACACAAACAGAAACUCAACGACAUCCACCCUGCUAGCCCAGGCUGCCGAGCUGGAACCUAUCCCCUGAUCGAAGAAGAAGCAGAAGAAGAACUCCAAACAAGUAAACAUCACUCUCGCGUCAAGAUCAUCGCAAGACCUGUACCUGCAACUAUUGUUGUAGUAAUCUGUGAGCCACGAGGACUCAGCAAUCCCAUUGCCAUGGGUAUCAAGACUAGCAAAGCUUACUGGGUAAGUGUUGAGGAUAUAACCAUUAGAGUCACCCGCCCAGGAGGGGCCGGGUUACGUCAUAAUGAUCAUCACGUGAAGCCCAGCACCAAGCUCGAGGAUGGCGGUUCAGUAAUGGGCUUAAGACCCGGAGGCGGCUUAAGGCCCGUAGUGAUAAACCGCCACCAUGGCAAGACUUGUAGUGUAAGGCAAGGAUAGUUAAGAGUCCGAGCCGGACACUGUUAUGAGCCGGCUGGGACUCUGGGAGCCGCUGGGCGUCAACCUCUCUAUAUAAAGGGACGACCCGGCGGCGAUUCAGGACAGGCAACAUCAGAUCGAUAGCCAGGCAUAGCGGUUAAGCUCCUGGUCAUCGAAACCCUAAAUAAUACCACCUCAACUGGACGUAGGCUUUUACCUUCAACGUAAGGGGCCGAACCAGUAUAAUCUCCGUGUCCUUUGUCCCGUUUAACCCCUUUAAGCUUCCUAGCUGCGAUGGCUCCACGACUAAGUCCUUGCACGAGGACAUCUGCCGUGACAACUCCACGACAGUUGGCGCACACCGUGGGGCCAGCGCACGGUGGAUUUGAGUUCUUGAAGGGCAGCUUCGAAGGGCUCAAGGGAUACGCUGUGGGCCGGAUGACCAAGAGUCGUCGCGGCAAGCUCUACAUCAACGAUGCAGGCUGGGGCCCCGACGCCGGCUCAAUCGAGUAUGGGUACCGGGUCCCCUUCGGCGGAAUUCACAUUUUCAUUGGCAAGAUUGGCGAGCCGGGCCCUGAGCCGGACCACUGCGCCGACCCCAUCGAGACGGCUCAGCGUGCAAGACCCGCCCGGACUCUGCCUGCUUUGAAGCGUGCUUUCGUGGGAUGCGUCCAUGGAGGACUCUCUGAAGAAUCUGGAUCUGGCGAUGAGACGGCCGCUUGCUCUGACGGCGGGUCGUCUACAGACGAGACCAGCUCAUUAUAUCAACUUCAAGAUGGCAGGCUCAGGGGCGGCUCCGAUGGCGACAGUAUUCCGGACCCCUUUGAGCCGCCCAGCCGGGUCGGGAUCUUCAUGGCCGGCGAACAACCUGUUCAAAACCCCGCUGCUGGGGCAGGAGGCCCUGCGCACUCGCCGGCUCAGGCGCUGAUGGAUCUCACAGAUAAGAUGACAGCCCUGUUAACUGCUACGGUCGUCCCAGUGGAUCAAGCUCAGCAUGAUGCAGAGGUGGCACAGUUAAAGCUGGAUAUAGCGAGAGCCAAGGAAGAUCUAGCAGCGGAAGGGAUCAGGAUGGCUGCAGAGCGGGCGGCUCUCAACGCCCAGACUCAGCUGAUUCAGGCGCAGUCUUUCCGGCUUACGAUGGACCAGAACGCAUCCAAUGAGAUCAUGAGAAGGAGGCAUCAGAAGGCUCAAUCUCGACUCCCUCUGGUUUAUGAUCCUCGAAACCUUUUCAACACGCCUGGUGCAGGGCCCAGUAACCCGCCAGAGAUCACGGCACCCGGGGCUGGAACGCCGCUUCAGCCGCAAGUGAUGGGGCCUCCCCGUGUGAACACUACCCCGCCUCAGUACGUGCCAAUACCACCGGGUCAUUAUGCCAACCCAUUGGAAAACAUGGUCGCCGCGGCGGCGUGACUGGCGGCUCUCCCAAUCGAUGGCGACUCUCCAACGGCGGUCGAAACCCGUCGGGUUAGAGAACUUCUCCAGAUGGCUCUGGCGCAACAGGAGGCAUAUUCAUAUAGCCGGGACAGGAUUCAUUCAACCCCUCGUCCAGGCCGGAGCCCAAGUUAUAGCAGACACAUGGUCUCAGCGACCGGCUCAAGCAACGUCCGGCGCCGUGACUUGCCAGCGGGCCACGGCCCGGCUCAUAACGGAGCCUUUAACGUAGUAGACCAAGACAGAGCACGACAAGAGGCAGAGCAGGCGCCUCAGUUAACAGCUUACCAGCCCCUCCCGGUUUUGUCCGACGGCUUCUAUAGAGGCGGGUAUACCUACGAGGACCGGAGGUGUCCCUUGUCUGGUGCCGGCUCUCCGUAAUGAAUGUCUGCCCAAGGAUUUGAAGGGACCUAGGAAGGUGCCUAAUUAUACGGCUGAUUUACAACCUGGAGCAUGGAUCGAGAGCUACGAGAUGGCUAUGGAGUUGCUAGAGGUCAGCGAAGCGGCAAUGGCCAAAUACUUCACCAUGAUGUUGGAUGGAACUGCCCGCACUUGGUUGAAAGGACUGCCACCUAAUUCUAUUGGGUCAUGGGCAGAGCUAAAAGGCCGGUUCAUCCAAAACUUCAAAGACACAUGUAGGCAAUCUAUGUCAAUUGUGGAUUUGACUAACUGCAAGCAGCAGGAGGGUGAGUCUACAACCCAUUGGGUUCGCCGGGUCAAAGAGAUAAUACAUUCAUCUGAUAAGAUGGAUGCCGGCUCUGCAGUCUUAAUGUUGGAGCAGAAUUGUCGUUUUGCGCCCCUGAAGAUGAAGCUCGGGCGGCUCAAGCGCGAUUGCAAUGAUAUGGGUACGCUGAUGGCGGCUCUGGUCAAGUACGCCGACUCUGAUAGUACCAAGGAUCCCACGUCGGAUGAUGAAAGGACAGGGAAGGGAAAACGGAAUGGCAAUGGCAAGGGCCCUCAGCAUAACCCGGCAAACCAGGGAGGUAACAAGUGUAAGGCUGAUGGCAGUAUGGAGUUUGUGGCCAACGCUAAUUCACAGGGUAGCAACCACCGACGUAAGGGGAGACCACCUCCCCGAGCCGGCGGGUCAGGCCCGACGCUUGAACAGUUGUUGAAUGAGCCUUGUCCAAGGCAUGGCUCUAGGGAGAAGCCGGCCACUCAUCUAUGGAAGGACUGCGCAAUCAUGAAGGCCUUUAAAAAUUCCAAUGCUUUUAAUGGCAACAAUGGCCCGGGCGGCGGCUCAGGCGCCGGCGGUUUUCAUGGCCCGGGCGGCGGCUCAGGCGCCGGUGGUUUUCAUGGCCCAGGCGGCGGCUCAAAUCCCAAUUCUCAGAGUUUCCAAGGGGGUUUUAAUCAGCAAUCUGGCCAGGGUAAUCAGCAGCAGCAGCAGGGGGGUACCAGACCAAUCCAAAGCAGCUCAAUGGUGGACAGUAUCAUGUGUUCACUACCAGCCUGUGCAAGCGAGAUCAGAAGCUUCAUAAGAGGGCUGUAAAUGCUGUUGAGCCGGCGAUUCCCCGCUAUUUAAGAUGGUCUGAGCAGCCUAUCAUAUGGAGUAGGGAAGAUCACCCUCCCCGGGUCGAUAAUCCGGGUCACCUGGCCUUGGUGGUGGCCCCUCAGGUUGGGGGAUAUAAAUUCACUAAAGUGCUCAUGGACGGAGGCAGCAGCAUCAACAUCAUCUAUUAUGAGACCUUCCGUCGUAUGGGAUUAACUGAUAAGAGCCUCAGUCAGUCCAAUACCGUUUUCCAUGGGGUGGUGCCCGGUAAGUCGGCGUAUCCAGUCGGUAAGAUCGAGCUGGAAGUAGCCUUUGGAGAUGAGUACAACUACAGGGCGGAAAAACUAACCUUUGAGGUGGUUAAGAUAAGAAGUCCGUACCAUGCUUUAUUUGGGCGGCCGGCUUACGCCAAGUUCAUGGCACGGCCGUGUUACGUGUAUUUGCAGCUCAAGAUGCCGGGUCACAAUGGGACCAUUACGGUUCAUGGCAGCCGAAAGAUAGCCUUGGAGUGUGAGGAAGGUGACGCGGCUUACGCUGAAUCUGUUUGUGCAACAGAGGAGUUGAAGUUUUACAAGGACAAUGUUGACCCGGCAGAUAUGACGUCUUUGAAAAAGCCAACCACGGAGCAUGAGUCGGUAAUGAAAUUUAAGUCAGCUGAUGAGACUAAACUUGUUGACUUUGUUCCAGGUGACUCAUCUCAGCAGUUCAGCAUCAGUACCAAUCUGGAUCCGAAAUAGGAAGGCGCGCUCAUCGAGUUCAUCCGUGAGAACAGGGACAUCUUUGCAUGGAAACCUUCUGACAUGCCGGGUGUACCUAGAGAACUCGCUGAGCACACUCUCAAUAUUGAUCCGAAAUUUAAGCCGGUCAAGCAAUUCCUCCGGCGGUUUAAUGAGGAGAGGCGGAGAGCCAUUGGUGAGGAGGUAGCCCGGCUCUUGGCGGCCGGGUUUAUUGUUGAAGUUUUUCAUCCAGAAUGGUUAGCUAACCCGGUGCUCGUGCUCAAGAAGAACGGCACCUGGCGGAUGUGUGUGGACUAUACGGAUUUAAACAAAGCUUGUCCGACUGAUCCUUUUGCUCUCCCCCGUAUUGAUCAAAUUAUUGAUGCUACGGCAGGUUGUGAGCGUUUAAGCUUUUUGGAUGCUUACUCUGGAUACCAUCAGAUCAAAAUGGCAGUUAAGGAUCAGGAGAAGACAACGUUCAUCACUCCCUUUGGAGCCUUCUGUUAUGUGUCUAUGCCUUUUGGGCUCAAGAGUGCACAGGCGACUUACCAGCGUUGCGUGCAGAAUUGUCUUCAUAACCAGAUUGGGCGCAACGUUCAUGCCUAUGUGGAUGAUAUCGUGGUUAAAUCCAGGGAGAAGGAGACCUUGAUAGAUGAUCUGAGAGAGACCUUUGAUAAUCUCCGAAUCUACAAGAUGAUGCUUAACCCGACCAAGUGUGUUUUUGGUGUUCCCGCAGGCAAGCUCUUGGGUUUUCUGGUUUCUCACAGAGGCAUUGAAGCUAACCCGGAAAAAAUCAAGGCAAUCACCUCACUGGCUAAGCCGGCGUGCAUAAACGAUGUCCAGCGUCUGGCGGGUCGCAUCGCUGCUUUGAGCCGGUUUAUAAGCCGGUUGGGUGAAAAGGCCAUGCCACUGUACCAGAUGAUGAAGAAAACAGAUGACUUUAUCUGGAAUGAUGCUACUAAUGCUACUUUUGAGGAUUUGAAAAGACAGCUAGCUGAGCCACCAGUCCUUGCUGCUCCUGUUGACAAGGAGCCUUUAUUGCUGUAUGUAGCCGCUAACACACGAGCCGUCAGUGUGGCUGUGGUGGUGGAGCGUAAGGAAACGGGUAAGGAGUAUUCGGUUCAGCGGCCGGUUUACUACGUCAGCGAAGUACUCAUUGAGUCCAAACAACGGUAUCCACAUUGGCAGAAGCUUGUUUAUGGGGUAUUCAUGGCAAGCCGGAAGCUUAAGCAUUAUUUCCAGGGUCACCCUAUCACUGUGGUUAGUUCUGCUCCCCUAGGAGAUAUCAUCCAAAACAGAGAAGCCACAGGAAGAGUUGCUAAGUGGGCUAUAGAACUUGGGCCUCAUGGUCUAAAAUACGUGCCACGCACUGCUAUCAAAUCUCAAGCAUUGGAGGAUUUCAUCAACGAUUGGACAGAGCUGCAGGUGCCUGAAGAGAAACCGGAUAAUACAUACUGGACUAUUCACUUCGACGGGUCCAGGCAAUUGGAGGGCUCGGGGGCUGGAGUUGUAUUAGCUUCCCCUCGAGGUGACAAGUUUUGCUAUGUGCUACGGUUGACGUUUCCCUGUACUAACAAUGCAGCUGAGUACGAGGCCUUGCUCCAUGGUCUUAGGAUGGCUAAGGAGAUGAGCUUAAGCCGGGUAAGGUGCUUUGGUGACUCAGAUUUAGUGGCCCAACAAGUGUCAGGCAAGUGGGAUUCCAAGGACCCCCUAAUGGCGGCUUAUCGCCGCGAAGUUGAUGCCAUUGCUGGACAUUUUCAGGGUUACCAAGUAGAGCACAUCGAUCGCAGGAAGAACGAGGCAGCUGAUGCAUUAAGCCGGCUGGGCUCUCAGCGAAAGCCGGUGCCGCCUAAUACUUUCUUGGACAUUCUGCAUAACCCUUCUGUUAAGUUGCCUACAGAGGAAGACUUGGCUGUUCCUGACCCGGAAGCACAGUUGGUGGCGGCUCUCCACAUUAUCCCAGAUUGGACAGUACCAUACUUGGCUUACAUGACCCGGGGAGAAUUGCCUGAGGAUGAAACUUUGGCCAGACAAAUAACCCGGCGGUCUAAGUCAAUGAUAAUUAUCAAUGGCGAGCUGCAUCGUCGCAGUGUCACUGGAACUUUCCAGCAUUGUGUUUCCCCUGAGGAAGGUCAAGAAAUUUUACGUGAGAUUCACGAGGGGGAUUGUGGCCAUCAUGCCGUCUCAAAAUCCCUUGUGGCCAAGGCUUUUCGUCAUGGUUUUUAUUGGCUGACAGCUCAUGCUGAUGCAGAGGACUUGGUCAGUAAAUGUGACGGUUGUCGGAGGUUCUCACGAUGGGCUCAUGUGCCGGCUCAAGAGUUGAGGAUGAUUCCAAUCACUUGGCCAUUUGCGGUCUGGGGACUUGAUAUGGUUGGGCCUUUUAAAAGGUCCAAGGAUAAGAAGACCCACCUCUUGGUGGUGGUCGACAAGUUCACAAAGUGGGUUGAGGCAGAGCCGGUUAGUAAGUGUGACGCAGCCACGGCGGUUCAGUUCAUGAAAAAGGUGAUAUUUCGCUUUGGUUUUCCACACAACAUUAUAACUGACAAUGGUACCAAUCUGUCUAAAGGCGCCAUGGAGGAGUUUUGUCAACGAGAGCAUAUUCGGCUUGAUGUUUCAUUAGUGGCUCACCCUCAAUCCAAUGGUCAAGCUGAGAGAGCCAAUCAGGAAAUCUUGAAGGGCAUCAAGCCCCGGCUUUUGGUCCCUUUGCAACGGACGCCGGGUUGUUGGGUGGAGGAGUUACCCUCCGUGUUAUGGAGCAUCAAUACUACUCCUAACAGGUCUACGGGUUAUACGCCUUUCUUCAUGGUUUAUGGAGCGGAAGCGGUCCUCCCUAGCGACAUCCGUCAUGACUCGCCUCGAGUGACGACUUAUGUUGAGGAGGAUAAUGAGCAGGCGCGUCAAGAUGCUCUGGACUUGUUGGACGAACAGCGUGAUGUGGCAGCAGCUCGCUCGGUGAUUUACCAACAAGACCUGCGUCGCUAUCACAGCUGCCGGGUUAAGUCCAGGGUCUUUCAGGAAGGUGAUCUGGUGCUCCGGCUCAUCCAAGAUCAAACAGACGCACACAAGUUAUCCCCGCCUUGGGAAGGGCCCUUUGUGGUCAGCAAGAACUUGCACAACGGGUCAUACUACCUUAUCGAUGUUCGGGAGCACAAAGAUUCACAUAAGUCGGAGGAAGAGACCCGUCGGCCGUGGAACAUAGCUCAGCUUCGGCCUUAUUACACUUGAGCCACCGGCUCUCAUAAUGUACAUACUUCUAUAGCCAUGUAUAUAUUGUGAUAAAUAAUAAAGCAGGACAUCUGUCCUUUUUUCCUCCAAAAGGUAAAUGUAUUAUUGUUAUUUCCAUUACAACUUUACAUGGUCACUUGGAGGUUGAUCCGGCUUAUGAUCGUAUUCGAAUCUAGCCGUUAAUAAUAAUGAUCACUUGGGGGCUUCCUGUUCAAACAUAGGUCCUAUUCGAACCAAAGAGAACAUAGCUGUCGAUACCCACUUGAUUGGCAAAUUGCCGAGCUCAUUGGGGAGUUUUUCUUGAUCAUAUUUGAAUCAUAGCUCAACCCCCUUUGGGAACCGACGUGGAUCGUAUUCGAAUCAGCGUCGUUAAACAACUCUCAAGGUCAUUUGGGGGCUUCCUGUUCAAACAUAGGUCGUAUUCGAACCAAAGAGAACAUAGCUGUUGGUACCCUCUUGACCGGCAACGCCAAAGCCACUGGGGGCUAUAUGAUCGCAUGCGAAUCUUAGCUUAACCCCUUUGGGACGGUUCUCUGGUCGUAUUCGAAUCAGAAGCCCCUAAGUUUUUGAUCUCUUGGUUUGCAACAAAUUCUUUUGAUCAUAUCAAAAGUGUUCAAGGGUGGUUCUUUUUCCACCGGCUUAACUUUGAUUAAUAAGGUUGAUAGCACACAAUAAGCAUUAUAGGUGUUGGUGAACCGGCGUUGAGUUCUCAACCUUAUUAUUUGGGUUACAUGAACCGGAAGUGUACUUGAAGGCUUGCAGCCGCCUAGAGACUUGUGAUUUGUUUUCUAUGCAGGACAAUUAAAGACAGAUCUUUAAGCUUAAGGAAAGCAAAUGAUCAAACAUAACCUAGAGGAAUAUAAAAAAGCAGCCUAAACAGAGUUGAGCGCUGCACACGUGCACGAUGGCACGACAAAAUUAAGUGUUUGUCCUACUCUAUUACAGGACUCCCCGAGUCCAAAAGGCGAGGCAUUGUUUUUAAGGCAUAACCAUGAGCCGCCUACAAAAUUAAAGUGCUUGUUGGGUUGAAGCUUCCGGCUCAUCCCUCUCCGCUCCUCCGGUUGUUUCCAUGACCUGGAAGGUUGAUGAUUUCCAGUCAAUGCCGCUCAAAGCUUCAAAUUGAGCCUCAUCAUCAAUUAACCCGGCCGGGUCAACUUCAGGGGCGAAGGUAUGCUUACGAGUCGGAGGGAUUAGGCUGACUGCUUCAUAGCGUGGAGUCGGGAUCCUCUGAUUCUCCGCGUCAUAGCCCGGUUGAUACUUGGUAAGGUCUGUGUCAUUCCCAAUCAAGGUGGCCACCGGGCGCACGCUCUUCACACAGGCGGCGAAGUCUUUCUCGUCAAAGGGGGUGCCGUCUUCUUUCAAGCUGGGGUAUCCAAGAGCGAUGUCGGCCGGGUCUAGCUCCGGUAGAAACGCCUUGGCCCGGCUCAGAGCAGCUAUAGCUCCGGCUCUUGCAGAAGCCCGUCUCAGCUCUUGGAAGCGUUGAGGAAGUAUGGCAAGCCGCCUAAGUACGUCUGCCAGGUGAGUGGGAACCUCGUUUGACAGAGCACAACGGCUAAGGCACGUUGUGACCCGGUGUAAAGUUGCUCUACCAAGGUAUAAACCGCCUUCAGCUUGGUCAGCACGUUCUGAUUGAGAUUGGAACUUCUGGGACCUGCAUGACAAAGUCAGGUGAGCUGAUGGCAAUGGUGUGGUUUAUGGGAAAUGAAUGGUGUGAACUAGUUAGAAACUUACGGAGUAACUUACCGAAGAUUGCGGAGACCAUCUGAGAUACAUGACGCUUUAAGCCGGAAAGUUCGGCGGUUCUUUCAGUAAGAGCGGCCUUCGCUUGUUCGGCCCGGCUGAGCAAGGCAGUCUUCUCAUCCACCCAGGCUUUUCUUUCUGCUUCAAACUUUGUCUUCAGUUUCUCUUGUACAGACACACCGAAUUCAAAUUUGGCAUUGGCCUUUUGGGUCUCACUUUCCUGAGUCUUCAGGCGGUUCUUCAGAUCAGAGAUUUCUGCUUCAAAUUUCUUACAGGCGGCCUGUACAAUUUCCGGGUUACGGUUUGGGUGAUUAUCAUGCAAUAUUAAAGUCCCAAGCACUUUGCAAGCAAAGCCACUUGGCACUUGGGGGCUAAUGUAUGCUGAGAAGCUCUAUUUACAGUACCGGUUCAUGAAAAUAAGUCCCAAGCACUUUGUAGACAAAGGUACUUGGCACUUGGGGCUAAUGUGUAAAGCUGUUCAAAAUACUUGAUUAAAGUAAGGAAAGAACCGGGUUAACUAUGCUGUUUAAGCCGGCCUUUGAGUGGUACCAGGUAAGCCGGUUUUCUUGCAGCAGUUAUUAAGCCGGUAUUAAGUCUACAACAUAUUUUAUCAUAAGCCAUAGACUUGGGGGCUGGCAUGGUAAGGGUAACUAUGGAGUAAGCAAGAGAGUCAUACCUCAGAUUUUUGCUGGAUUUGCUUCACCAUGUCAAUUUCCAGGUCCCGGCUGUUGUUCACCUGAUUAACAUAGCCGGAGACAAUAUCUCCAAUGCUCAAAUUAGCAUAGUCAGUGAUAUCCAGCCUGACCCUGCGGCGUUCCAGCAGUUCUUCUUUGGCAGAGCAUCUGGCUAACACAGUGGGUCUCCCCGGCUCGACAAACUCUGUCCGGGUGAUUACAACAUCCGGAUCAUCGGCCGGUUGAGCCGGGCUGGGGAUCUCCGGAUUAUCAGAACCCUCCACGACUUGUUCUUCAGAUGGAGCAGUGGUGGUUUCAGGAGCUGAGGCAGACGGCGGCUCAUGAGCAGAAGCCUCCGGUUCAGUUAGGACCGACUCUUCGGCCGGCUUAUUCUUCUUCGCCCUCUUGCUGGGCUUUACUUGUACACUGAAAGUCAAAGAGUUAGUGCAAAACCAUGAGUAAGGUAAGCACAAAGUAAGCUGAUCAUCAUUACCCGGGGGUGGUCUUGAAGGCCGGCAAGUUAGAUUGCAUGGAGUCGCCGGAGGAAGGUGAAGUUCCCUGAUAGUUUGAAACAGAAGAAUUGAGUGGUUGAUGAGUGACGCCUGCCAAAGGAUGAAAAGGAUAUAAGUCGGAGAUAACCUUGGUCCGGCGCUUCCUUGAUGCUUCAGGUAAGCCGGAGGAGAGGUCUGCGUCCUUGCUAGUCCGGGUCUGCCUCCGACUCUCAUGAAUCUGUCGCUUCAAAAGAAAUUGAGGAACUUGAUAAGCUAAAGGAUGUGAAAAUCUUACUUUCCGGGUUACUCUUCGGACUUUCAGUCUUGGCAAGGGCUCCGAGUCGGAGGAAAGUAUAGUUACCUCUUCAAUCACCGGGUUACUCGCUCCGGUAUCCUCCUGCUGAUAAUCAGUGUCAAUAAGACGGUUAAAAAAGGAGCCUAAAGAAUCAAGGGCUACCUCUGACUCGGAGGUGUCGUCCAGGUGAAGCAGGUCCGAGGCACUAGGCUUACUCCCCUUCUUGCGGGGAGCGGCUCUCCUGGCGGCUUUUUUAGCCUUUCUGGCUUUCUUAGCAGCUUCAUGGUCAUACCCGACCUUCCAGAAUUUGUCAUUAGCCUGUAAAAUGCAACGAAGGUUUCUUGAAGUUAAGACAAAAAUUGUUAAAAUGAAAAGUAAGGAGUUCAGGUCAAUAGCUUACCGCCGGGGCCGGGUUAGCCUUGCAGAAGGGGCUUAGGCCUGUCCUCCCGCAAUCUGCUAAGCUCUUGUUCAGAAGAGACUUGGUCAUGUCAUCAACGACGUCCACAGGUAAGUCGUUGGGGCUGUGCCAAAGAGGAUCAUCCUUCCGGCCCGUGUAAUUACACAUUAAGCCGGGGCGGCGGCUUAGAGGAAUCACCCGCCAAGCAAUCCAGACCCAGACUAGAUCAACGCCGUUUAGGCCGUUUCCCAGAAGAGCUUUGAUUUUGUUGAUGGUGGGAAUAAGCGGUUGACGCUCAGCUUGAGAUAAUUUGUCUGGCAGAGGGUGAUUUGACUCCAGACACAAGGCGCGAAAACCGGGCAGAGGGUUCUCAUCAGCCGGAGAAGUAUCUUGGCAGUAGAACCAUGUCUGGUUCCAGUCCUUCGGGUGGCUUGGCGGCUCAGCAUAAGGAAAGAGACAAUCUCUCCGUCGUUGGAUUGAGAUUCCACCAAGUUCCAAGCUAGGCCCGUUGGCACAUUCAUUCUGGCGGUUCAGGUAAAAUAACUCCCUGAAGAGUAGUAGGCUGGGUUCUUCUCCAAGGUAUACCUCACAGAACACUUGAAAGUUACAAAUGUUUGACACGGAGUUGGGUCCAAUGUCUUGAGGUCGCAGAUCGAAAAAGUGCAGAACAUCUCUGAAGAAUUUUGAGCCAGGAGGAGCAAAGCCCCAGCUCAUGUGGUCAGCAAAUAUGACAACCUCUCCGUCCUUUGGUUGAUGUCUCUCUUCGGACGGGUCAGGAGCUCGGUAGGACAUGACGUCCUUCUUAGGCAGGUAACCCGUUUUUACGAAGUCAUCUAAGGUGCUAUCAGUAAUGUUGGAUCUCACCCAGUUGCACGUAAUGGGCGCUUUGGGAGCCUUGGGCGGCAUUGUGGAAAAUGGAAGCCUAUGACAAAAGAGAAUUCCCGGUUCAAAUUUAAGCCGGAGGAAGAUUCCGGUUCAGUAUUCAAAAUGGCGGUUUAUGAGGGGGCCUAAUGAUAUAUGACUAACUGUGUCAGGUUAUUUAAGCCGCCGUGGAUAUCUUAAGCAAUUUAAGUUAUUUAACUCUAUUGUGAGUGAGCCGGAGAUUUCACAAAGCAGGGUUUCUUUUAAGCCGGCGAUAUGACCCGCCAUGGUUAACAGAUGCAGUUUUUGCCUAAGUGUUGCAUAAACAGGUUUCACAGAUUACAGAAAUUAUUUUGGAUCAAACGAUCGUCCAGAAAGGAAAAAUUUCUAGACCUAAAAACUGGUACAGAGGAGUUCAUGAGUUCUAAGGAGGUCUUUUUGCAAGUAAAAGGGAUGUGUUAAUGUUGGAAAUGGGUGCGAAACAACUACCGCAUGAGCUCUGUAUUAUUUUUGGAUCCAAGGGGACCGUGUAGGAAGAACUGUGAAGGAAUCGCGAUGAACUGUGAAGAACAUGGAGAACCUGCGAACCCUAAUGCGGAUCUAAUGUACGGGACGGCAAGAACUUACUGGUGCUGAUGGGCAGCGGAGGUGCGCCGCGAUUCUCUGGUCAAGACAGGUUGAUGCAGCGGCCUUGGUCGAUGCAGAUGAGGUGCGCGGCGGCGGCGGCGGAGCUCGAGCUCUGGGGCGUCAGAGGAGGAAGACGAUGGAUCGAGAAGAGUGACGGAAGGCUUAUGGGCCGGGCUUAUUUAUAAGGACGGCUGGUAAAUGGGCGUGAGAAACGAGGAGGUUGAAGACAUGAUUAUCUUGCCGCAGAAACGCCUCGAUUCUCAGGAUGGUCAUUAAGAUAAGAUCUGUUGGGAUAUGACAGAAUAAAAAAUGAAUUUAAUGGAAGAUGACGUCAUGGCGGGUUACCAAGAAUCCAGAAGAUGAUGUCACGGCGGGUCAUAACCUUCGCGCAAGCAGAAGCCGGAAGAUUUUUUCUUAAAGGUAUUGAAGAUUGACAUGAACCGGUUCAAAUCAAUCUCGGGCCUAAUGUUGAGGAUAUAACCAUUAGAGUCACCCGCCCAGGAGGGGCCGGGUUACGUCAUAAUGAUCAUCAUGUGAAGCCCAGCACCAAGCUUGAGGAUGGCGGUUCAGUAAUGGGCUUAAGACCCGGAGGCGGCUUAAGGCCCGUAGUGAUAAACCGCCGCCAUGGCAAGACUUGUAGUGUAAGGCAAGGAUAGUUAAGAGUCCGAGCCGUACACUGUUAUGAGCCAGCUGGAACUCUGGGAGCCGCUGGGCGUCAACCUCUCUAAAGGGACGACCCGACGGCGAUUCAGGACAGGCAACAUCAGAUCGAUAGCCAGGCAUAGCGGUUAAGCUCCUGGUCAUGGAAACCCUAAAUAAUACCACCUCAAUUGGACGUAGGCUUUUACCUUCAACAUAAGGGGCCGAACCAGUAUAAUCUCCGUGUCCUUUGUCCCGUUUAACCCCUUUAAGCUUCCUAGCUGCGAUGGCUCCACGACUAAGUCCUUGCAUGAGGACAUCUGUUGUGACAACUCCACGACAGUAAGGAAAGGAUAAGUGGUGAGGUUGCAGCAGCGACUAAGCAUAUAUGGUGGCUAACAUACGCAAAUAAGAGCGAGAAGAGAAGCAAAUGGAACGGUCGAGAAGGUAGAAGUGAUCAAGAAGUGAUCCUGAAACUACUUACGUUCAUACAUAACCCAAAAACCGUGUUCACUUCCCGGACUCUGCCGAAAAGAGACCAUCACGGCUACACACGCGGUUGAUGCGUUUUAAUUGAGUCAAGUGUCAAGUUCUCUACAACCGGAUAUUAACAAAUUCCCAUCUGCCACAUAACCGAGGGCACGGCUCUCGAACGUUUAUACCCUGCAGGGGUGUCCCAACUUAGCCCAUCACAAGCUCUCACGGUCAACGAAGGAUAUUCCUUCUCCCAGGAAGACCCGAUCAGUCUCAGAAUCCCGGUUUACAAGACAUUUCGACAAUGGUAAAACAAGACCAGCAAAGCCGCCCGAAUGUGCCGACAAAUCCUGAUAGGAGCUGCACAUAUCUCGUUCUCAGGGCACACCGGAUGAGCAAUCCGUACAACUCAAACCAGACCUCAAGUUUCCUUGAGGGGGCGCUGCAAAGGGCUCUAGUUUGGACCAACACUCAGAGGAGCACUGGCCCGGGGGGGGGGUGUCGUGGAAUUGUCACGGCAGAUGUCCUUAGUGUCAGGACUUAGUCGCGAGGCCAGCGCAUCUAUGUGGUAGCUUGAGAGGGGUUGAUUGGGAUGAGAGACGCAGAGCGGUUCAACGUACAAGACAAGGGUUUAGACAGCUUCGGGCCCCGGGAAACAUCAUCCGGUAAUAGCCCUACAUGCUGUUUGAGGCUAGGUCUCAUUAUGCUCAUGAGAGAGUCGCCGGUAAGCCGGCUCUUUGUGUCUAGCCUUAGAGAUUGUUUCUUGUUGCUUGUCCCUCUUUGGGGUGCCCUGCCCCUCCUUAUAUAAGUUAGAGGGGCGGGUUACAUGUGGAGUCCUAGUAGGACUAGGACUAGUCUAUCUUCUCUUACAAGUUAAUUACAAGUCCGGGUCUUGUUUCCUUGUAAAGGAAAUAUUCGUCAUCCCUUUCCUCUUAAUCCGGCCCAUCAUAACAUGAGCCGGCCUUCUGGGCUUUGAGCCUUGUUGUCCAUCUGACCCGUCCGCCGGGUUACUAAUGAGUCGCCAAGAUCGGGCAGGUUAUCUGUGAAUCGCCAAGCUCCGGGCGGGUCACCAGCGAGUCGCCAAUUCCGGCCGGGUCAUACCGCGGGAUAUAUCCCCGACAUUAGCCCCCAGUUUAAUUUGGAUUUAUCCAUGUUAAACUAAUCCUGUAAAAUAAACACAAGAACAAACUUGAUAGGUUGUGCUCCGGGUUAAAUUUUGUAAGACGGCACCUGAUCACCUUUAAAUCCUUGUCAUUUCUUUCUUGAUACAUGCCCAUGAACUCAUAGAAAAUCUCCUUUAGUAGAUAUGUUCAAACUUUGUGAAUGCAAAAAAUCCAGAUACUUCUUUUGAGAAAUCCGGGUCAAUAGGCCAGCUUCAGAGUCAAUUUGCUGGCAUUGGUCUCUUGUAGAGAAAUAUUGUAAGAAACAAUCCACUUGAAUCGGCUUUCAAUGCUCUGACUUGACAAAAAUAUUGGUCUUCAAAUAUUCAACUUAUAUUCAUCCGGCUUAAAGAUAUAAAACUUGUCGGUUUAUGAGUACCAAAAUUGCCGGGUUAUAAAUAGAUGAUGCCAAGUCAUAAUUGUCGCCGACGCCGGUUUAUGAUUGUUAAUGACGCCGGUUUACAGACACAGGGUCAUAAUGAUUGGUGACACCGGAUCAAUCUGGUUUUGCUCAAAACAGAGAAAUUGAAGAUAUUUCUUUGAUAAUAAUAUAAUACCUGUAGCCCCCAAGUCUUGAGCAGAACAAAGCGAUGGCUUAAGACUUGCUUCAAUAUGAAUACUGCCACUUUGAAGAAAUCCAUGUUGUUCAUCCCAAUCACUAGUAAAAACUGAAUAUUCCAUAUUAUGUAGCCCCCAAGUGCCGGGUUGUCAUGCUUGCAGCAACUUGGGACUUGUAAUUGCCUGAUUCUCAAAAACUUCAACCAGUGUAGCCCCCAAGGGCCGGGUCAUUAUGCAAUAAUGAGCAGGGACUUUAUAAAUAUGAUCAUGUAAAUUUGAACAGCAAUGUGUAGCCCCCAAGGGCCGGCUUAGUAAGAUAAUACUGAGCUGGGACUUUUCAUUGAAAAUAAUCAUAUGAUGUAACCCUCACCAUGGGGCUUGAACCCACGUCCACAAGGUUAAGAGCUUUGUGCUUUACCAACUAAACAGUGGAUCCUUCAAUAUAAUGGAUUAAGACUUAUGUACCUUGAAUUGUUGACAGGAGCAAUUGGUAGCCCCCAAGGGCCGGUUUAUCAUAAUAUGAUGAGUCGGGUCUUCAACAAGGCCAAUAAAAAGUAAACUUGCAUUAGCCCCCAAGUGCCAUGGUGCAUGCUGGCAGUGACAUGGGACUUGCACAUUUGAUGUAAUCUCAAUUUGAAUAAUGUAGCCCCCAAGUGCCGGGUUGUAAGCCUGCAGCGACUCGGGACUAUUCCUUCCAUUGUAGAAUAAAUCAUAUCCAUUGAUAAAAUAAUAGCCAUUGCGCUGAAGCGACUUUGAAAACCUCAAUCAUAAUAUUAGUUUCUGAUAACCAUAAUAAAAAUCCAGCCAUGUUGGCUAUUAAAGAUCUGACUAACCCGGUUUGAAAACCUCAAUCAUUCAAAUCAUAAUGAAAAUCCAGCCAAGUUUGGCUAUUUAAAGAUUCCAAAUACCUUAUCUAUUGACAAGUAAAUCCGGAGUUUAAAUACCCGGCGGCUCUUGGCUGAUGGCGAUUUAUUACGCCUCCAUUGUAAGCCGGAAUUUUUACAACCCGGCGGCUUAUAGCCUUUGAGAAAACCAAGAAUUGAUAACCCUUUUGAGACACCAAGUUCAAUCUUUGAUGAUGGGCUUGAACUUAAUCAUUUAUGUAAGUCAUAGCCCUGUAAAUCCUGCACAUAGUUCAAACAACAUAUGUCCUGGCGACUUAACGUUAAAAGCCAGGGCGGGUAACCACCCAAAUGUAGUCUUAUCCUGCACACAAGUAGAUCACAAGAUCCCUUGGCGGUUUACCGCAGGGCGGGUCAUAAUAUCUCACAUAUAACCACUGUGAUAUUGAAUUUGUACUGCCGGUUUACAUGACCUGUGCAGUAAGGGUGAUAACCCGAUCCUUAGAAGCCAAUGCUUCCACUUAGAUGAUGAUUGUCAUAAGCUGGCGAUUUAUCAUCGAAAAUCAAGCCGGGUUAAAUAGCAACCACUCAUAUACACUUCAGAUAUGAAAAAAAGAGCUUCAAAUAAAAUCCAAAAAUUGUUUGCAAAAAGAGACUUCGAAAAUUUUUGAGGCUUCUGAUUCGAAUACGAUCAGAAAACCAUCCCAAAGGGGUUAAGCUAAGAUUCGAAUACGAUCAUAUAGCCCCCAGUGGCUUUGGCGUUGCCGAUCAAGAGGGUACCGACAGCUAUGUUCUCUUUGGUUCGAAUACGACCUAUGUUUGGACAGGAAGCCCCCAAAUGACCUUGAGAGUUGUUUAACGACGCUGAUUCGGAUACGAUCCACGUCGGUUCCCAAAGGGGGUUGAGCUAUGGUUCAAAUAUGACCAAGAAACUCCCCAAUGAGCUCGGCAGUGUGCCGAUCAAAAGGGUAUCGACAGCUAUGUUCUCUUUGGUUCGAAUACGACCUAUGUUUGAACAGGAAGCCCCCUGGUGAUCAUGAGAAUAUUUAACGACUCUGAUUCGAAUACGAUCAGGGUCACACCAAAAGGGUUAAGCUAAAUUCAAAUACGAUCAGCUCCCAAUGGUCAUUAAAGCAGGGUACCUAUAUUUGAGUUGUGCUUUGUAACAGACUCUCUUUGGUCCCUUUAAUAUUUACUGAGAACUCGAACUUUGCGAGAGAUAACCUCUUUUUGAACCGGAAAUUUGUAAACCGGAUAUUAAGAGCUUCAAAGCUUUAUAAGAUACAAAUUUACCUUGAGCCGGACGAUUGAACCGGAUUUGAGAGCUUCAAAACUUUGCGGGAGAAAGAUAUCUCUUGAACCGGAUUUUAAACCGGAAUCUUUAUUUGAACCGGCAAUUUUCUGACGGCCUUUAAAGUUUCAUCAAUAUGGUAGCAGCCUCCGGAACCGGGUUAUCAUUCCCUCCAACGACCCGGGCUUCACGAGUCAUGUCACUGUAGCCCCCGAGUCUCAAGAUGACUCGAGGAGUUGGCUUGAGAUUCUCCAUAUUUAACCAUGAUAUAAACCGGCAUAACUUGUAUAUCAUUGGUGUUGAUAACACGAUGUGUAUCCACGGAAGGUUAAGGUGACUGCGGCGGGUUAUAAAUGAUCCCGUAUGAGCCGUGUCAGCAACUCGGCCAAUGGUUCCUUCCAACUGGCUGUUUGAAGUUUAACCAAACUGUAGUGACGGCGACUCGUGCACCUGCCCAUUGAACAAUCCAGUGCAGACGACGGCUGAUAAUAUAUGAUAAUUUGCCUCCAGUUUGUUGGAAGAAAACCGGGCUUCCCAAGUAGUGACUUGCUCAUAAUCAAUAAACAACUCAUCCAGCCAAGUGCGGCCUGGUGUGUUGAUGUAGAUCAGGCCGCGAGAGACGGACGGUAAAGACGAUCGUAACAUCAGAGGCGGCACAGACAGAUGAGUCGGCCGUGGCGUUAUAAACCGGUGCGGACGGGUGAGUUGUCCUCCUUGUUGUAAGCUGGCGUGGUCGCGAGAGACGGCCACGGCGUGGUAAGCCGGCGCGGUCGCGAGAGACGGCUACGGCGUUGUAAGCCGGUGCGAGGGUCCGUUGAAUAACGAAGACCACCUGUGCCAAAAGAUGUUGGCGUGCCUCCAUCUCCGCAGUAUAAUAUCACUUUUUGUCAUAAAUAAUUGCCCUGUAUAAGCAAUAUUGCAGACCAAGGCAAACAUAAACUAUUCUUUGACAAAAAUAAUAUGUACUAAAAAUAUAUUUUAGAUGGAUAUCACCUGAUGUGUUUCGGCCGAAAAUAAUCCGCCAUGAAGUUGAUGAUCACUAAGUGAAACUGAAACCUUUCACGGGUGAAUCGGCCGUGGGAGCAGACAGAUAAACCGGCCACGGUGUUUGUGAGCCGGUGCGGACGAGCAAGUUGUCCUCCGCGUUGUAAGCCGGCGCGGACGCAUGAACCGGCCGCGAGGGCGGACGGGCGAUUCGUCCGUGGUGUUGUAAGGCGGUGCGGACGGGCGAGUCGGCCGGCGCGUUGAUGUAAACCGGACCGCGAUACGCGUGUCCGUGAAGCUGCGCGGCACAGCCGGACAUGCCUCUGCGGUAUAAUACCACCCCUUUUUCUUUUAAUAGCCGUCCUACAUAAAAAUAUUACAGGCCAGAGUAACUGUUGUCGGAUGAAUUAACAUGUACUGAUAAAAUACAUUGGAGGGAUAACACCUGAUUCGCCCGGACAACAGAUGCGUCGACCGUGGUAUUGUAAGCCGGUGUGACGGGGAGAGUCGGCAUCGGUGUUGUAAACCGUCACGGGCGGGCGAGUCGGCCGUAUGUUGAUGUAGACCGGACUAUGGGGGACGGCGGCUUACACGCGUGUCCGUGAAGUUGCACGGCACAGACGAACGCCAAUAAAAAUGAUGCUGGCGCAUGCUCAUGAAUAAUUUACCUUUCGUCAAACACCGGCCCCGAUAAUUUUGUCUGGUAGCCUGGCACCCUUUUUUUAGCAGCCUUGAAAAGAUGUGACGGGCGUAUACCCCUGCUCUGUAAUAGUAGUAGCUAGUCCUACUAGCGCCCCCAUGGUUUUUUUUUUCGUGAUGUACUCAAGUAGUACUUUCCAAAAUCACGUAUACUAGUAGCACUCCAACCUGGCAGACCGCAUCUUUCCUUCUGAUUUUUUUUGUAUCCUUUUUUAUUUCCAUGCCCAUGAUACUAGUAGUAUUUUGGAACGGUUAGCAGAGAUCUGUUUUCUCGGCGGAGACUUGCCAUUGGACCGAUUCCACGGCGUACGGCAUACCACUUAACCAAAGAAAAAAAAUUCCUCUGAACCCCUGUCCAUCUCGGCAAUACGCUGUAGCAGUGGUGGAAGUUGAUCCGUGUCCCUCUUUUUUUCCUUUGAUUUGACCCGGUCUGUACGUAGCAAACUAUGGAUGACUCCUUUUGGGAGAACCUUCUUGAUCUGACAUGUACCAGUACUAGCAACAAUUCAGGUUGUGUGUACUUAUCCGUAGAUGGUAAGAUGUGGCUGUAUUUUCUUGACUGUCCACGCACGGCUACAGCGAACUCUGCCUCCGACCCGGAAAACGAGUCUCCUUUGGUAGAUUUCUGCAACGGUGCCAAGGCGAAUCUUCCUGUCGGUCUCGGCGACUUUUGUAGAACACCGCGGAGGAAAUCGAUCCAGAUGGAUCCCCUCGUCAGGUGCGGCCACGCGCGCAACCCUAAAUUCUCUUAUCGGCUGUGUCCGAGGCUGUCUGUCCACAGCUGUCUACUGCCGGGUUAUCCUGCGGGCUGUCCGUCCCGGCGCUUUCUCAUCCGAUAAUCGCGAGCUUCUCGAUUCCUGGAAAAGAUCCCUCCAAGAACUCAACACCACCGUGCGCGAAGCCCCACGGUGGGCGCCAACUGUCGUGGAAUUGUCACGGCAGAUGUCCUUAGUGUCAGGACUUAGUCGCGAGGCCAGCGCAUCUAUGUGGUAGCUUGAGAGGGGUUGAUUGGGAUGAGAGACGCAGAGCGGUUCAACGUACAAGACAAGGGUUUAGACAGCUUUGGGCCCCGGGAAACAUCAUCCGGUAAUAGCCCUACAUGCUGUUUGAGGCUAGGUCUCAUUAUGCUCAUGAGAGAGUCGCCGGUAAGCCGGCUCUUUGUGUCUAGCCUUAGAGAUUGUUUCUUGUUGCUUGUCCCUCUUUGGGGUGCCCUGCCCCUCCUUAUAUAAGUUAGAGGGGCGGGUUACAUGUGGAGUCCUAGUAGGACUAGGACUAGUCUAUCUUCUCUUACAAGUUAAUUACAAGUCCGGGUCUUGUUUCCUUGUAAAGGAAAUAUUCGUCAUCCCUUUCCUCUUAAUCCGGCCCAUCAUAACAUGAGCCGGCCUUCUGGGCUUUGAGCCUUGUUGUCCAUCUGACCCGUCCGCCGGGUUACUAAUGAGUCGCCAAGAUCGGGUAGGUUAUCUGUGAAUCGCCAAGCUCCGGGCGGGUCACCAGUGAGUCGCCAAUUCCGGCCGGGUCAUACCGCGGGAUAUAUCCCCGACAGGGGGGUAAAUAAAGAUGACCCUCGGGCUCCGGAAACCCAAGGGAAAAAGGCUUAGGUAGGCAAAUGGUAAAACCAAGGUUGGGCCUUGCUGGAGGAGUUUUAUUCAAAGCGAACUGUCAAGGGGGUGUCAUAAAUCACCCAACCGCGUAAGGAACGCAAAAUCAAGGAACAUAACACCGGUAUGACGGAAACUAAGGCGGCAAGAGUGGAACAAAACACCAGGCAUAAGGCCGAGCCUUCCACCCUUUACCAAGUAUAUAGGUGCAUUAAUUAAAUAAGAGAUAUUGUGAUAUCCCAACAUAAUCCUGUCCAUCAUGGAGCAAUCUUCAACUUCACCUGAAACUAACAACGCUAUAAGAGGGGCUGAGCAAAGCGGUAACAUAGCCAAGCAACGGUUUGCUAGGAAGGGUGAAAAAGGUUAGAGGCUGACAUGGCAAUUUGGGAGGCUUGAAGAGCAAGCGAUAGGUAGCGCAGCAUAGCGAUAGAACGAAGCAACUAGCAUAGCAAUGAUAGUAGUGAGAUCCAGGGUGAAGGUCAUCUUGCCCGAAAUCCCGCUAGGAAGAAGAAUGAGUCCAUGAAGAAGAUGAAGCCACGAAGACGAGCCAAGCGUAGUCGAACGAAUCCUCACGGUCGAUAUGAAACGGGAACUAUCGAGAAGAAGCACUACCGGAAAGAAGCAAACAACAAGGUAAACACACAACACAUAGACAUGGCAUGAUGCACAACCAAGCAUGAUGCAUGACAAAGGCUACAUGCAGCUACUCAUGGCAAGAGAGGAUGCAUACAAGAGCAACACAUCAAAGCAAGUUUAAAUGAGGCCGGAAACAACAUAUAACAAAUCCGGUAACCUCAUUUGCAAAUUUCGAAAUUGGUCCAGAUCUGAAUAAACCUUAUGUUCAAGUUGUUAAACAGCAAGUUAAGAUGCACCAAGAUGAUCUACACGAAAUUCUAGUCAAGUUACAUAUAAAGUUCAAUUAGUUCGGAGCUACGGCCUAGAAGAUAUGAGCAAAACAAGUCAAACAUGUCAUUGAUGCAAAAUGCAUACAACCAUCAAGCAAACACUCUCAAAACAAGUAUUCAACAUGAUAAGAUGAAACUACAUGCAAUUCUAAGUAAGUUUCAUAUAAAGCACACUCAAAACGGAGCAACGGUUCAACACAUACACAUAAAACAAGUUUAAAGGACAAGCUGUCCAAAAUAGCAAUUAGGCAUCUAGCAAGCAUCAAAACAACAUGCUACAGCACCCCAACAUGAAAAAAGGGCAUGUACAUGAUGUACAGGUAAAGCAUGAGAAAAUAGGAACACUGAGCUAUCUCCAGAAAUCACUAGAACAUGCUCAAAAGGACAUGACAAGAUUGCAAAUAAUAACAGUUCACAGACUUAGCAGAAAAUCACUGAGCAUGACAGAAAUAACAUCAGGUUGCAAUGUUUAGAGCUAUCAAACAACAUGUUACAGCAAGCUAUCAUGGCAAACAAAGGCAUAGCAUGCUAAUAGUAAAGAUAAAGAACAAAUCUCCCUUACUGAACUUAUUUCAAAGAUCAACAGAAAAUAUGGUAGCAUCCAUGCAAACAUGGGAAGUGAUAUGACAGAUUCAGAAUAACAGUACAUGGCAGGAACAACGAUAAGUAGGCAUGUUGGUGAGCUUGUACCACUCACCAUAGAGCAUUUCAUGGCCUGUGAAGUCAACCAACCGUAUGAAUACACAUUUAUGAAGCUAAACAUGGCAAUUGCAUAGUCAUAGGGUGUAUGAAUCACUAGCAAAUCACAUGGCAAAACUGAACUUAAUGUUAACAGGCUGACAGCAACAUUAUUUAGCAAUUUGAGAGCAAGAUUACAACAAGCUACAAUAGGCUAUAAAUGCAACCAAGGGCAUGGAGGAUAGAGAAUAACAUGUAUAAUAGAACAUCCUUAGUGAACAUCUGCAGAUUAUGCAAAGAAAGACUUGUAGUAGCAGGUUUACAUAGCAUCAUGAUAUAACAUAAUCAGCCUAGCAAAACAAUAACAGCAAGUGCCCUACUUCACAAGCUUGAUGCACUCACUACAAGACUUAAAAAAAUACAUGGAUUGCACCAUCUUAAAGAUGGCAUGGUGUAGCUCAAAAACUCAUGUAGACAUCAAGCUCAUAGGAUGCACAUAUAAAAUGCAAUGAAAAAGAUAAAUCACCAAGUUCUAUUAACAAACAGCAGUUAACAUCAUAUAACACUCUUGCAACGAUGAUUAGGGCAUCCAUAUGGACUCAAAGAAGCAUGGAUCAAUGGAAUGAAAUGAAUAUCAUCUCACAAUGAACAAUUUGAUAUAUUACACGCAGAAAACAGAGCUACAUGCAAGAAGUUAUGGCAUCAUGAACAAGUGCACAAAAUGUAGCAGAUCUGGGGACUUAGUGAAAAAUUGGACCUCGGGGAAACGGGACGAGGGGAUCCGGGAUGGAGCGAUCCGGGGACGAGGGCGCGCGGGGAGGCGUUUGGUUGGGAUUCUCGCCGGAGAUGGCAGGGACGAGGCGGCGACGACCCGGCAGCGGCGCUCGCCGGCGCGGNNNNNNNNNNNNNNNNNNNNNNNNNNNNNNNNNNNNNNNNNNNNNNNNNNNNNNNNNNNNNNNNNNNNNNNNNNNNNNNNNNNNNNNNNNNNNNNNNNNNNNNNNNNNNNNNNNNNNNNNNNNNNNNNNNNNNNNNNNNNNNNNNNNNNNNNNNNNNNNNNNNNNNNNNNNNNNNNNNNNNNNNNNNNNNNNNNNNNNNNNNNNNNNNNNNNNNNNNNNNNNNNNNNNNNNNNNNNNNNNNNNNNNNNNNNNNNNNNNNNNNNNNNNNNNNNNNNNNNNNNNNNNNNNNNNNNNNNNNNNNNNNNNNNNNNNNNNNNNNNNNNNNNNNNNNNNNNNNNNNNNNNNNNNNNNNNNNNNNNNNNNNNNNNNNNNNNNNNNNNNNNNNNNNNNNNNNNNNNNNNNNNNNNNNNNNNNNNNNNNNNNNNNNNNNNNNNNNNNNNNNNNNNNNNNNNNNNNNNNNNNNNNNNNNNNNNNNNNNNNNNNNNNNNNNNNNNNNNNNNNNNNNNNNNNNNNNNNNNNNNNNNNNNNNNNNNNNNNNNNNNNNNNNNNNNNNNNNNNNNNNNNNNNNNNNNNNNNNNNNNNNNNNNNNNNNNNNNNNNNNNNNNNNNNNNNNNNNNNNNNNNNNNNNNNNNNNNNNNNNNNNNNNNNNNNNNNNNNNNNNNNNNNNNNNNNNNNNNAAGGGGCCGGGCGGCGGAGCGCGCGAGGGCGCGGGGACGGCAUGCUCGGGCCCGGGCGGGCCUGCCCUAGGCCCCGCGGGCCGGCGGCAGCUGCUGGCGGCGGAGGACCACGUGGCGCUCCCUGGUUGGCUCGGGGCGGCGGGCGGACGCGUCCGGCGCGGGAUGGACACGUCCGGCGGCGGGGGGAGGAAGAGGCUAGGGUUAGGGUAGGAUUCAUCCGCGAAUUUCGGGGGAGGGUGUGUUUUUAUAGGUAGAGGGAGUUAGGAGUGUCCAAAUGAGGUGCGGUUUUCGCCCACACGAUCGUGAUCGAACGAUGGAGAGCAUGGAGGGGAGUUAGAUGGGCUAGGUGGGCUGUUUGGAGGGGUGCUGGGCUGCAAAGGGAAGGGGCUUUCAGGGUUACACGAUUAACCGUUGGGGCAUCAAAUGACCUCCAAAUGGAACGAAAUUUGACGGGCGGUCUACCGAUGCUAUACCAAGGCCACUCAGCAAAUCUUGGACCAUUCCGAGAAAGUUUUUAUCCCGCUCACGAAACAAGGUCUGAGAGGGGCGACGGGCGCGUGCGAGUGUGUCUGGGCUCAGAACGGACAACGGAGAGAACCGGGGGAACCUGAACGGAUGCAAGUUUUAAAAAACAUGCAGAUGCAAUGCAGAUGAUGACAUGGCAAAAUGCAACACGCAAGCAAAUGACAUGGAAACAACGACGAGUAACUGGAAGACACCUGGCGCAUCGGUUUCGAGGCGUUACAACUCUACUCCGCUAACAAGAGAUCUCGUCCCGAGAUCUUAGGAACGAGACGGAAGAGAAAGAGGAAGAGGUGGAAUAAGAACGCAAGUGAGAAUUUUAACAAGGUCGAGAGCACUCGGGUAGAAAGAGAAAUGACGAAUAUGAUGAGAAUCAAAAGCUCAUGGAAUAAGGCAGACUCUGAAACCACUCCGGUUAGAACAAGAUAGAAAAGGAAUAAGAAUGGAAGAAUUUAGGCAGCACUCCGGCUGAAAAUGGAAGGAUUAGAACAUGAACUUCACCCAAUGAGAUGGCACUUGACGAGAUGAACAACGCAAUGCCUCUGGAAGAAUUGAAAGAAUGGAAUGAAAAGAACUUAGAAGGAAGUGUUGAACGGAGUUGUAGAGAAAAUCAACAACGAAAGAAAUGCUUGUUGUGGACUUAUCAAAAACAUCUCAAAAACUUGAGGUGAAAUAUACCACAACCAAAUGUCUGAAAAGCUGAGAAGAACGAAGAAAUGCAAAACUCCACUUCACAAGAAAUACGGAGAAUUAAUUGCACUUCGAGACGCAAGGGAAAAAGAUAUUUGCGCUCCUCCAACAAUAAUCUUGAUGAACUCUUGAAGAAUGAAUUAAAUCAUGAAGAACCACCAUGAAGAACUCCGGUGACAAAAGGAUGAUGAGAUAGAAUGAAGGAAGAAAGAAUAAGAUGAGCCUUGCGAUGAUUUAGAUGGAGGUUCCGACGAAAUGGUCGAGGAAAUUUGAACUCCGGAAAAGAAAAGAUGAAAACACUUGGAACUAGAAUUUAUUCAUCAAGAACAAACUCCGAAGAAAGGGAUUAAUCACUUUGAGGAAAUAAGAAUAAGAUUUAUUGUAUGCUUAUCCUUCAUCAAAUUAAAUUGAUGACAAGCAAUGGAUUUUGCAUACUACUUAUUCUUCUUAAAAAGGAUUGAGAAGUGACAUAUCGCAAACUUGAGAAGGUCUUCAUGAGCCACCGGUAGGAUUGAAAAGAACGAAUGAAUUAAUAUGAUAACAAAGGAAAAAGUAUCUGAAGGAACCACCGUAAGAAUUCGAAUAUAACUGAUGAAAGAGAAUGAAUCACCGGGAAGAAUUAGAAGAACAAAUAUGCUUGAGGGGAUUUAGAUACAAGGGAACGGGAAGAACUCGAGCUGAUUAAAGAACAUUUGAACGAAGCGCCGGGAUAAAUAGAGAACGAUAACUGGAAUGAUGGCCUCCGGUGAAAAGAAAUGGAAAAAACAACUCCUGACAUACUUCGGAUGGUUAAGAAAAGAAUAUCUGACAAAUGAAAUAAUUCGAGAGGAUAAUAUGAAGCUAGAACCACGAAUCUUCGAGAGAACUGGCAAGAUUUAGAGGAAAGACUCUUCUUCUAUCUUGAAAUGACGAUGAGGAACGCCACCAAAAUUACUGAGAUUCUCCGGGAGAAUGACAAGCGAAGAGGUUGAGCCAGCAAUGAAAAAAUUUGAAAGAGAUCUUGGAGAAGGCAUGUGACUGAUGGGAUCCAUUCUUACAUCACCUUGAAAAGAAUUUGAGAAUAACCCCGGGAGAAUCAGAAGAGUCAGGUAAGAUCCUGGGAAAAGACCUGUGGGUUAGGGCCCACUAAAGAGAAAAAUACGGUUGGAAAGGACUGUUGAAGAGAUAGAUGAUACACCGGAACGAUUGAAAUAUUUGAAUGAGGUGAUAACCUCGAAUUAAUUUGAACACAGACGAAUCUCCUGAGAUGUCUUGAACACUCCGGAAGGAUAAACUGGCGAGAGGCGAACGAGCAGGGAAAACACUUGAGCCGAGGGAAAUAAUAUAAUCACUACCAAAAAUUGGAAUUGAAUCCACCAGAGAAGAAAAAGAGAUGAAGAAUGUCAAACAAAAGAGAAUUCACCGGUUGAAACAAUUAACGAAAGACUGAAGAGGCUCCGCACGAAUGACAUUGAUGGUCGAAAGAGACUCAGACUCCGGGAAGAAAAAGGGUGGGAGGGCAGGAAAACAAAGGCAACUAGAAGGGGGAAUCAAUGAGUAACUUGAAUAGAAAACACCGGUUGAAAGAAUGCAAAGGCUUCGCACGAGUAGGAUGGGUCGACUCCGGCUCUGAGAAGAAAAAAAGGGUGGGCGGGUGGGAAAAGAAAACAACUGAGGAUUGAACUUGCAAAAACGGAGAGGGUCGAAUCACCUUGACGAGAAAUGCACCGGAUGCAAAGAGCUGAGGAACAACGAUCGAAAACCCAACUGCGUGAUCCUAAAGAAAGUUUGAAAGGGAAGAGGAGUACUUCAAAACAUCUACGUCAAGAUUCCUGACCAGAGCGAUGAAGGGGCUGAGGAGUAAAAAGAAUUCCUACUCUCCGAUAUAACUAGACUCCGAAAACAGUUUUCUUCUAGACUCGAGAACGACCAAACUACACGACCAGUCAAGGGGGCUCCUAUGGUCGGUCGAGGCUCUGAUACCAACUUGUCACGCCCAAUAUGCGACCCUAUCCUAAAGGAACUCGAAGGUCCCACCAAGGAUAGAAGCGCAUAUUGGAGACACUUUUGCAAGGUGGAUAUCAUUACAUCGUACCAUUACAUAAUAGUAGGGGAUACAUACAAGAGGCAAACAAUGCCACAUAAAUACAACAACAUCAUACACAAGAGCCACAUCCGACUACGGAUGAAACACAAACAGAAACUCAACGACAUCGACCCUUCUAGCCCAGGCUGCCGACCUGGAACCUAUCCCCUGAGCGAAGAAGAAGCAGAAGAAGAACUCCAAACAAGUAAACAUCGCUCUCGCGUCAAGAUCAUCGCAAGACCUGUACCUGCAACUGUUGUUGUAGUAAUCUGUGAGCCACGAGGACUCAACAAUCCCAUUACCAUGGGUAUCAAGACUAGCUAAGCUUACUAGGUAAGGAAAGGAUAAGUGGUGAGGUUGCAGCAGCGACUAAGCAUAUAUGGUGGCUAAUAUACGCAAAUAAGAGCGAGAAGAGAAGCAAACGGAACGGUCGAGAAGGUAGAAGUGAUCAAGAAGUGAUCCUGGAACUACACGUUCAUACAUAACCCAAAAACCGUGUUCACUUCCCGGACUCCGCCGAAAAGAGACCAUCACGGCUACACACGCGGUUGAUGCGUUUUUAUUGAGUCAAGUGUCAAGUUCUCUACAACCGGAUAUUAACAAAUUCCCAUUUGCCACAUAACCGCGGGCACGGCUCUCGAAAGUUUAUACCCUGCAGGGGUGUCCCAACUUAGCCCAUCACAAGCUCUCACGGUCAACGAAGGAUAUUCCUUCUCUCAGGAAGACCCGAUCAGUCUCAGAAUCCCGGUUUACAAGACAUUUCGACAAUGGUAAAACAAGACCAGCAAAGCCGCCCGAAUGUGCCGACAAAUCCUGAUAGGAGCUGCACAUAUCUCGUUCUCAGGGCACACCGGAUGAGCAAUCCGUACAACUAAAACCAGACCUCAAGUUUCCUUGAGGGGGCGCUGCAAAGGGCUCUAGUUUGGACCAACACUCAGAGGAGCACUGGCCCGGGGNNNNNNNNNNNNNNNNNNNNNNNNNNNNNNNNNNNNNNNNNNNNNNNNNNNNNNNNNNNNNNNNNNNNNNNNNNNNNNNNNNNNNNNNNNNNNNNNNNNNNNNNNNNNNNNNNNNNNNNNNNNNNNNNNNNNNNNNNNNNNNNNNNNNNNNNNNNNNNNNNNNNNNNNNNNNNNNNNNNNNNNNNNNNNNNNNNNNNNNNNNNNNNNNNNNNNNNNNNNNNNNNNNAGAUGACCCUCGGGCUCCGGAAACCCAAGGAAAAAAGGCUUAGGUAGGCAAAUGGUAAAACCAAGGUUGGGCCUUGCUGGAGGAGUUUUAUUCAAAGCGAACUGUCAAGGGGGUCCCAUAAAUCACCCAACCGCGUAAGGAACGCCAAAUCAAGGAACAUAACACCGGUAUGACGGAAACUAAGGCGGCAAGAGUGGAACAAAACACCAGGCAUAAGGCCGAGCCUUCCACCCUUUACCAAGUAUAUAGGUGCAUUAAUUAAAUAAGAGAUAUUGUGAUAUCCCAACAUAAUCCUGUCCAUCAUGGAGCAAUCUUCAACUUCACCUGCAACUAACAACGAUAUAAGAGGGGCUGAGCAAAGCGGUAACAUAGCCACUGACAUGGCAAUUUCGGAGGCUUGAAGAGCAAGCGAUAGGUAGCGCAGCAUAGCGAUAGAAUGAAGCAACUAGCAUAGCAAUGAUAGUAGUGAGAUCCAGGGUGACGGUCAUGUUGCCUGAAAUCCCGCUAGGAUGAAGAACGAGUCCAUGAAGAAGAUGAAGCCACGAAGACGAGCCAAGCAUAGUCGAACAAAUCCUCACGGUCGCAACAAAACGGGAACUAUCGAGAAGGAGCACUAUCAAAAAGAAGCAAACGACAAGGUAAACACACAACACAUAGACAUGGCAUGAUGCACAACCAAGCAUGAUUCAUGACAAAGGCUACAUGCAGCUACUCAUGGCAAGAGAGGAUGCAUACAAGAGCAACACAUCAAAGCAAGUUUAAAUGAGGCCGGAAACAACAUAUAACAAAUGCGGCAAGUCCUCAUAUGCAAAUUUCGAAAUUGGUCCAGAUCUGAAUAAACCUUAUUUUCAAGUUGUUAAACAGCAAGUUAAGAUGCACCAAGAUGAUCUACAUGAAAUUCUAGUCAAGUUACAUAUAAAGUUCAAUUAGUUCGGAGCUACGGCCUAGAAUAUAUGAGCAAAACAAGUCAAACAUGGCAUUGAUGCAAAAUGCAUACAACCAUCAAGCAAACACUCUCAAAACAAGUAUUCAACAUGAUAAGAUGAAACUACAUGCAAUUCUAAGCAAGUUUCAUAUAAAGCACACUCAAAACGGAGCAACGGUUCAACACAUACACAUAAAACAAGUUUAAAGGACAAGCUGUCCAAAACAGCAACUAGGCAUCUAGCAAGCAUCAAAACAAUACGCUACAACACCUCAACAUGAAAACAAAAGGCAUGGACAUGAUGUACAGGUAACGCAUGACAAUACAUGAACAAUGAGCUAUCUCCAGAAAUCACUAGAACAUGCUCAAAAGGACAUGGUAAGAUUGCAAAUAAUAACAGUUCACAGACUUUGCAGAAAUCAUUGAGCAUGACAGAAAUAACAUUAGGUUGCAAUGUUUAGAGCUAUCAAACAACAUGUUACAGUAAGCUAUUAUGGCAAACAAAGGCAUGGCAUGCUAAUAGUAAAGGCAAUGAACAAAACUCCCUUACUGAACUUAUUCCAAAGGUCAACAGAAAAUAUGGUAGCAUCCAUGCAAACAUGGCAAGUGAUAUGACAGAUUCAGAAUAACAGUACAUGGCAGGAACAACCAUAAGUAGGCAUGUCGGUGAGCUUGUACCACUCACCAUAGAGUAUUUCAUGGCCUGUGAAGUCAACCAACCGUAUGAAUACACAUUUAUGAAGCUAAACAUGGCAAUAGCAUAGUCAUAGGGUGUAUGAAUCACUAGCAAAUUACAUGGAAAAACUGGAACUAAAUGUUAACAGGCUGAUAGCAACAUUAUUUAGCAAUUUGACAGCAAGAUUACAACAAGCUACAGCAGGAUAUAAAUGCAAUCAAGGGCAUGGAUUGAUAGAGUAUAACAUGUAGAAUAGAACAUUCUUAGUGAACAUCUCCAGAUUAUGCAUAGAAUAACUUGUAGUACUAGGUUUACAUAGCAUCAUGAUAUAGCAGAAUCAGCCUAGCAAAACAAUAACAAGUGCCCUACUUCACAAGCUUGAUGCACUCACUACAAGACUCACAAAAAUACAUGGAUUGCACCACUGUAACGAUGGCAUGAUGUAACCCAAAACUCAUGUAGACAUCAAGCUCAUAGGAUGCACACACAAAAUGCAAUGAAAAAGACAAAUCACCAAGUUCUGUUAACAGAGAGCAGUUAACAUCAUAUAGCACUCUUGCCACGAUGAUUAGGGUAUCCAUAUGGACUCAAACAAGCAUGUAAUAAUGUAAUGAAAUGUAGAGCAUCUCACACUGAACAUUUAGAUAUAUUACACACACAAAACGGAGCUACAUGCAAGAAGUUAUGGCAUGAUGAACAAGUGCACAAAAUGUAGCAGAUCUGGGGACUUGGUGAAAAAUUGGACCUCGGGGAAACGGGACGAGGGGAUCCGGGGCGGAGCGAUCCGGGGACGAGGGCGCGCGGGGAGGCGUUUGGUUGGGAUCCCGGUGGAUCUGGUCCCGAUCCAGAUCCAACCAGAGUUCUCGUCGNNNNNNNNNNNNNNNNNNNNNNNNNNNNNNNNNNNNNNNNNNNNNNNNNNNNNNNNNNNNNNNNNNNNNNNNNNNNNNNNNNNNNNNNNNNNNNNNNNNNNNNNNNNNNNNNNNNNNNNNNNNNNNNNNNNNNNNNNNNNNNNNNNNNNNNNNNNNNNNNNNNNNNNNNNNNNNNNNNNNNNNNNNNNNNNNNNNNNNNNNNNNNNNNNNNNNNNNNNNNNNNNNNNNNNNNNNNNNNNNNNNNNNNNNNNNNNNNNNNNNNNNNNNNNNNNNNNNNNNNNNNNNNNNNNNNNNNNNNNNNNNNNNNNNNNNNNNNNNNNNNNNNNNNNNNNNNNNNNNNNNNNNNNNNNNNNNNNNNNNNNNNNNNNNNNNNNNNNNNNNNNNNNNNNNNNNNNNNNNNNNNNNNNNNNNNNNNNNNNNNNNNNNNNNNNNNNNNNNNNNNNNNNNNNNNNNNNNNNNNNNNNNNNNNNNNNNNNNNNNNNNNNNNNNNNNNNNNNNNNNNNNNNNNNNNNNNNNNNNNNNNNNNNNNNNNNNNNNNNNNNNNNNNNNNNNNNNNNNNNNNNNNNNNNNNNNNNNNNNCAGCGGCGGCUGCUGGCGGCGGAGGGCCAUGUGGCGCUCCCUGGUUGGCUCGGGGCGGCGAGCGGACGCGUCCGACGCAGGGUGGACACGUCCGGCGGCGGGAGGAGGAAGAGGCUAGGGUUAGGGUAGGAUUCAUCCGCGAAUUUUGGGGGAGGGUGUGUUUUUAUAGGUAGAGGGAGCUAGGAGUGUCCAAAUGAGGUGCGGUUUUCGCCCACACGAUCGUGAUCGAAUGACAGAGAGCAUGGAGGGGAGGUAGAUGGGCUAGGUGGGCUGUUUGGAGGGGUGCUGGGCUGCAAAGGGAAGGGGCUUUCGGGGUUACAUGGUUAACCGUUGGGGCAUCAAACGACCUCCAAAUGGAACGAAAUUUGACGGGCGGUCUACCGGUGCUAUACCAAGGCCACUCGGCAAAUCUCGGCCCAUUCCGAGAACGUUUUUAUCCCGCUCACGAAACAAGGUCCGAGAGGGGCGACAGGCGCGUGCGAGUGUGUCUGGGCUCAGAACGGACAACGGAGAGAACCGGGGGAACCUGAACGGAUGCAAGUUUUCAAAAACAUGCAAAUGCAAUGCAGAUGAUGACAUGGAAAAAUGCUACACGCAAGCAAAUGACAUGGCAACAACGACGAGUAACUGGAAGACACCUGGCGCAUCGGUUUUGGGGCGUUACAGCUUGGCCCUGGGCUCCCACUCCCCGCCGCUGUUGGUGGCCGCUGCAGAGUAGUCCGGAAGGGAAGUUUUCCCCUUCUUGGACGCCUCGGCCUCUCCAUGUGUGGAGGCCUUCCUCUUCUUUUGCCCCCGGUAGGGGGGAUGGAUUUCUUCUUCCUCCUCCUCUUCCUCGUCGUCUUUGGUGGAGGAGUGCGUCUCGGAGUCUUCGGACGUCACGUCCGAAGUGCCCUUGUGACGGAUACCCCUUCUGGUCCCCGGGGCCUUCUUUUUGGCCUUCUUCUCCGGCACCUCAUAAGGUGCGGAAACAUCAUCUUUGUCAGAAGGGGCGUUUCUGGAUCUUCGGGCAGCGGAGCCGGACAGUUAAUCUGCUCCGCUACCUCUAUCCAGGCCUGAAAAAGUGGUAAGGAGGCUUAGAUUCCUCCCUCAUAUAUGCUAGUAAAGGAUAUACCUUGAAAACUUAAAAGAACUUACCGGAUUAGCCGGGCGUUUUGAGCUAAGCCCACGAUCCUCAGUUGUGGGCGGUGGUACCUCGCCGGCCUUGAAGAGCACCUUCCAGAUGUCUUCGUGCGUCGUGCCGAAGAGCUCUAGCAGCGUCUGGUGCUUGGCUGGGUCGAACUCCCACAAAUUGCAAGUCCGGCGCUAGCACGGAAGGAUCCGGCGGAAGAGCAUGACCUGGACCACAUUGAUAAGCUUGAUUCUCUUGCUUAUCAUGUUCUGGACACACGUUUGGAGCCCCGUCAGCUCGUCCGAAGAGCCCCAGGCCAGGCCCUUCUCUUGCCAGGAGGUGAGCCGCAUUGGGACUCCGGAUCAGAAUUCGGGGGCUGCCGCCCAGUUGGUGCCGCGCGGCUCGGUGAUGUAGAACCACCCCGAUUGCCACCCCUUUACGGUCUCCACAAAGGAGCCUUCGGGCCAGGUGACAUUUGGCAUCUUGCCCACCAUGGCGCCCCCGCACUCAGCUUGUUGGCCGCUCACCACCUUGGGCUUCACAUUGAAGGUCUUCAGCCAUAGGCCAAAGUGAGGUGGGAUGCGGAGAAAGGCCUCGCACACGACAAUGAAUGCCGAGAUGUUGAGGAUGGAGGUGGGGGCCAAAUCGUGGAAGUCCAGCCCAUAGUAAAACAUCAGUCCGCGGACAAACGGGUGGAGAGGGAAUCCCAGCCCGCGGACGAAAUGGGUGAGGAAUACCACCCUCUCCUGGGGCUCUGGGGUGGGGACGAUCUGCCCCUUGACUGUAAGUCGAUGAGCGAUGUCCUUGGCUAGGUACCUGGCCUCCCGGAGCUUCUUGAUGUCCUCCUUCUUGAUGGAGGAGGCCAUCCACUUGCCUCCAGCUCCGGAUCCGGACAUGGUUGGAGUGCUUUUUUGGGCGGAGAAAGCUAGGGCUUGGGCGCUGGAGAUCGAGAAUGGAUGGGCAGAGGAAGGAGAAGGCAUGGGUGAAUGAGGAUGAACCCUUAUCCCCUUAUAAAGACGGCAAAGGUUAUGCGCCUCCCUACUCGUCUUAAAAUCCGCCUAUUCCCCAAGCACCGUGCAGAUGACACGGUUGGGUUACCCAUGCCCGUAUUGAUGAGAAUCCCGAGAUAAGGGGACACGAUCUCUGCUUCGACAAGACGUGCCAAUGAGACCGCACCUCGAAACACGGCUAAAAAACGGUUCGAAUAAUGACCGGGCAGUGGCAUGAUGUCCCGCUACAAAAAGUUGUCAGCGGAUUGGACUCGUAAAAUAUUAUACUCUCUACGAUUGUGUGUGGUACUUGUUUUGCAGAGCCGGACAUGAUUCUUGUGUUUGGAAUUUACUUUGAAGUGUUCGGAGAAGGAACCCGCCUUGCAAUGCCGAAGACAAUCUGCGCGCCGGACUCAUCGUCAUUGAAGCCUGGUUCAGGGGCUACUGAGGGAGUCCUGGACUAAGGGGUCCUCGGACAGCCGGACUAUGUACUUUGGCCGGACUGUUGGACUAUGAAGAUACAAGAUAGAAGACUUCGUCCCGUGUCCAGAUGGGACUCUCCUUGGCAUGGAAGGCAAGCUUGGCGAUUCGGAUAUGUAGAUUCCUUUAUCUGUAAUCGACUUUGUGUAACCCUAGCUCCCCCGGUAUCUAUAUAAACCGGAGGGUUUGGACUUCUAGAGUUUAGUCACAACAAUCAUAAUCUCAUAGGCUAGACUUCUAGGGUUUAGCCAUUACGAUAUCGUGGUAGAUCAACUCUUGUAAUACUCAUAUUCAUCAAGAUCAAUCAAGCAGGAAGUAGGGUAUUACCUCCAUAGAGAGGGCCCGAACCUGGGUAAACAUUGUGUCCCCCGCCUCCUGUUACCAUUAGCCUUAGACGCACAGUUCGGGACCCCCUACCCGAGAUCCGCCGGAUUUGACACCGACAAUGACCAUCACACUUUUAUUUACUUACAACUCAAGAAUUACAACUCGAUACUUAGAACAAAAUAUGACUCUAUAUGAAUCCCUCCGGUGGUGUACCGGGAUGUGCAAUGAAUCAAGAAUGACAUGUAUGAAAGAAUUAUAGACGGUGGCUUUGCCACAAAUACGAUGUCAACUACAUGAUCAUGCAAAGCAAUAUGACAAUGAUGAAGCAUGUCAUAAUAAACAGAACGGUGGAAAAUUGCAUGGCAAUAUAUCUCAGAAUGGCUAUGGAUAUGCCAUAAUAGGUAGGUAUGGUGGAUGUUUUGAGGAAGGUAAAUGGUGGGUGUAUGGUACCGGCGAAAGUUGCACGAUACUAGAGAGGCUAGCAAUGGUGGAAUGGUGAGAGUGCGUAUAAUCCAUGGACUCAACAUUAGUCAUAAAGAACUCACAUACUUAUUGCAAACAUCUAUGAGUCAUCAAAACCAAGCACUACACGCAUGCUCCUAGGGGAAGGGUUGGUAGGAGUUAACCAUCGCGCGAUCCCGACCUCCACUCAUAAGGAAGACAAUCAAUAAAUAAAUCAUGCUCCGACUUCAUCACAUAACGGUUCACUAUACAUGCAUGCUACGGGAAUCACAAACUUUAACACAAGUAUCUCUCAAAUUCACAACUACUCCACUAGCAUGACUCUAAUAUCACCAUCUUCAUAUCUCAAAACAAUCAUAAAGAAUCAAACUUCUCAUAGUAUUCAAUGCACUUUAUAUGAAAUUUUUUAUUAUAUACCUCUUGGAUGCCCAUCAUAUUAGGACUAAAUUCAUAACCAAAGCAAAUUACCAUGGUUUUCUAAGAGACUCUCAAAAUAAUAUAAGUGAAGCAUGAGCGUUAACGACAAACUACUCCAAAAGAUAUAAGUGAAGAUCAAUGAGUAGUCGAAUAAUUAUGUAACUAUGUGAAGACUCUCUAACAUUUAAUAAUUUCAGAUAUUGGGAUAUUAUUCAAACAGCAAGUAAAACAAAAUAAAAUAAAAUGACGCUCCAAGCAAAACACAUAUCAUGUGGUGAAUAAAAAUAUAGCUCCAAGUAAAGUUACCGAUGAACGAAGACGAAAGAGGGGAUGCCAUCCGGGGCAUCCCCAAGCUUAGGCUCUUGGUUGUCAUUGAAUAUUACCUUGGGGUGCCUUGGGCAUCCCCAAGCUUAGUCUCUUGCCACUCCUUAUUCCAUAGUUCAUCGAAUCUUUACCCAAAACUUGAAAACUUCACAACACAAAACUCAACAGAAAACUCGUAAACUCCGUUAGUAUAAGAAAAUAAAUCACCACUUAGGUACUGUUGUGAACUCAUUCUAAAUUCAUAUUGGUGCAAUAUCUACUGUAUUCCAACUUCUCUAUGGUUCAUACCGUCCGAUACUACUCAUAGAUUCAUCAAAAUAAGCAAACAACACAUAGAAAACAGAAUCUAUCAAAAACAGAACAGUCUGUAGUAAUCUGUAACUCUCAAAUACUUCUGUAACUUCAAAAAUUCUGAAACAAUUAGUUCCACCUGAGCAAUUUGUGCAACAAUCCAUAGCAAAAAUAAUCAGGUCAAAAUCACGUUUCAAUAAGAUUCUGAAAAUUAUUUACUGAGCGCAAAAGUUUCUGAUUUUCAGCAGGAUCAACACAACUAUCACCACAAGCUAUCCUAAAGGAUUUACUUGGCACUUUAUUGAAAAAAAAUCUAUAAAAAAUGAUUACUACAGUAGCUUAAUCAUGUGAACACACAAAAACAUUAGGGGUAAAUAUUGUGUUGUCUCCCAACAAGCGCUUUUCUUUAAUGCCUUUUUAGCUCGGCAUGAUGAUUUCAAUGAUGCUCACAUAAAAGAUUAGAAUUGAAACAUAAUGGGAGCAUCAUGAAGAAUAUGACUAGGCACAUUUAAGUCUAACCCAAUUCCUAUUCCUAGGGAUUUUGUGAGCAAACAACUUAUGGGAACAAGAAUCGACUAGCAUAGGAAAGCAAAACAAGCAUAGCUUCAAGAUUUUCAACACAUAGAGAGGAAACUUGAUAUUAUUGCAAUUCCUACAAGCAUAUAUUCCUCCCUCAUAAUAAUUUUCAGUAGCAUAAUGAAUGAAUUCAACAAUCUAACCAUCACAUAAAGCAUUAUUUUCAUGAUCUACAAGCAUAGAAAUUUUAUUACUCUCCACAUAAGCAAAUUUCUUCUCAUGAAUAGUAGUGGGAGCAAACUCAACAAAAUAACUAUCAUGUGAGGCAUAAUACAAUUGAAAAUUAAAAUCAAGAUGACAAGUUUCAUGGUUAUGAUUAUUCUUUAUAGCAUACAUGUCAUCACAAUAAUCAUCAUAGAUAGCAACUUUGCUCUCAUAAUCAAUUGGAACCUCUUCCGAAAUAGUGGAUUCAUCACUAAAUAAAGUCAUGACCUCUCCAAAUCCACUUUUAUCAUUAUAAUAAGGUUCAACACCCUCCAAAAUAGUGGGAUCAUUACUUCCAAAAGUUGAAACUCUUCCAAACCCACCUCAUCAAUAUAAUCAUCAUAAAGAGAAGGCAUGCUAUCAUCAAAAUAAAUUUGCUCAUCAAAACUUGGGGGACAAAAAAUAUUGUCUUCAUCAAACAUAGCUUCCCCAAACUUGUGGCUUGGCAUCUCAUUAGGAUCAUGGAUAUUCAAGGAAUUCAUACUAACAACAUUGCAAUCAUGCUCAUCAUACAAAUAUUUAGUGCCAAACAUUUUAUAGGCUUCUUCUUCUAACACUUGGGCACAAUUUUCCUUUCCAUCAUUUUCACAAAAGAUAUUAAUAAGAUGAAGCAUAUGAGGCAACCGCAAUUCCAUUUUUUUGUAGUUUUCUUAUAUAGACUAAACUAGUGAUAAAACAAGAAACUAAAAGGUGGUACAAAUCGAGGUUCUCAAGUCGACUGAUGUCACAUAAAUGAUGUCUAGUACGCAACCCUCUUCUUGUAGACGUUGUUGGGCCUCCAAGUGCAGAGGUUUGUAGGACAGUAGAAAAUUUCCCUCGAGUGGAUGACCUAAGGUUUAUCAAUCCGUGGGAGGCGUAGGAUGAAGAUGGUCUCAAAAAAACCUGCAACCAAAUAACAAGGGGUCUCUUGUGUCCCCAACACACCCAAUACAAUGGUAAAUUGUAUAGGUGCGCUAGUUCGGCGAAGAGAUGGUGAUACAAGUGCAAUAUGGAUGGUAGAUAUAGGUUUUUUUAAUCUGAAAAUAUAAAAACAGCAAGGUAGAAAGCGAUAAAAGUGAGCACAAACGGUAUUGCAAUGCUUCGAAACAAGGCCUAGGGUUCAUACUUUCACUAGUGCAAGUUCUCUCAACAAUGAUAAGAUAAUUAGAUCAUAUAACUAUCCCUCAACAUGCAGCAAAGAGUCACUCCAAAGUCACUAAUAGCGGAGAACAAACGAAGAGAUUAUUGUAGGGUACGAAACCACCUCAAAGUUAUUCUUUCCGAUCAAUCCAUUGGGCUAUUCCUAUAAGUGUCACAAACAGCACUAGAGUUCGUAGUAAAAUAACACAUUAAGACACAAAUCAAACAAAACCCUAAUGUCACCUAGAUACUCCAAUGUCACCACAAGUAUCCACGGGUAUGAUUAUACGAUAUGCAUCACACAAUCUCAGAUUCAUCUAUUCGAACCAACACAAAGAACUUGAAAGAUUGCCCAAAAGUUUCUACCGGAGAGUCAAGACGAAAACGUGUGCCAACCCCUAUGCAUAAGUUCACAAGGUCAUGGAACUCGCAAGUUGAUCACCAAAACAUACAUCAAGUGGAUCACGUGAUAUCCCAUUGUCACCACAGAUAAGCACAUGCAAGACAUACAUCAUGUGUUCUCAAAUCCUUAAAGAGUCAAUCCGAUAAGAUAACUUCAAAGGGAAAACUCAAUCCAUUACAAGAAGGUAGAGGGGGAGAAGCAUCAUAAGAUCCAACUAUAAUAGCAAAGCUCGCGGUACAUCAAGAUCGUGCCAAAUCAAGAACACGAGAGAGAGAGAGAUCAAACACAUAGCUACUGGUACAUACCCUCAGCCCCGAGGGUGAACUACUCCCUCCUCGUCAUGGAGAGCGCCGGGAUGAUGAAGAUGCCCACCGGUGAUGGACCCCCCUCCGGCAGGGUGCCGGAACAGGGUCACGAUUGGUUUUUGGUGGCUACAGAGGCUUGCAGCGGCGGAACUCCUGAUCUAGGUUUCUUUUGGGGGUUUCUGCAUUUAUAGGAAUUUUUGGCGUCGGUCUCACAUCAGGGGGGGGGGGUCUCCGAGUCAUCCACGAGAUAGGGCGGCAUGCCCGGGGGGUAGGGCGCGCCCUCCACCCUCGUGGAUGGCUCGGGACUCUUCUGGCCCAAGUCUUUUUCUCCGGGGGUUCUUUUGGUCCAUAAAAAAUUCACAAAAAUUGGCAGGUCAAUUGGACUCCGUUUGGUAUUCCUUUUCUAUAAAACUCAAAAACAAGGAAAAACGGAAACUGGAACUGGGCUCUAGGUUAAUAGGUUUGUCCCAAAAAUCAUAUAAAAUAGCAUAUAAAUGUAUAUCAAACAUCCAAGAUGGAUAAUAUAAUAGCAUGGAACAAUAAAAAAUUAUAUAUACAUUGGAGACGUAUCAAUAAACCAAAGCUAUACCAGGAUUUCAGAAAACCAUGGCAGAACUGAAGGAAAUAUGCCCUAGAGGCAAUAAUAAAGUUGUUAUUUAUAUUUCCUUAUAUAAUGAUAAAUAUCUAUUAUUCAUGCUAGAAUUGUAUUAACCAGAAACUUGAUACAUGUGUGAAUACAUAGACAAAACACCGUGUCCCUAGUAUGCCUCUACUUGACUAGCUCGUUGAUCAAAGAUGGUUAAAUUUCCUAGCCAUGGACAUGUGUUGUCAUUUGAUGAACGGUAUCACAUCAUUAGGAGAAUGAUGUGAUGGACAAGACCCAUCCGUUAGCUUAGCAUGAUGAUCGUUAAGUUUUAUUGCUAUUGCUUUCUUCAUGACUUAUACAUAUUCCUUUGACUAUGAGAUUAUGCAACUCCCGAAUACCGGAGGAAUACCUUGUGUGCUAUCAAACAUCACAAUGUAAAUGGCUGAUUAUAAAGAUGCUCUAUGAUAACCCACAAGUAUAGGGGAUCGCAACAGUUUUCGAGGGUAGAGUAUUCAACCCAAAUUUAUUGAUUCGACACAAGGGGAGCCAAAGAAUAUUCUCAAGUAUUAGCAGUUGAGUUGUCAAUUCAACCACACCUGGAUAACUUAAUAUCUACAACAAAGUAUUUAGUAGCAAAGUAGUAUGGAAGUAACGGUAACGGUAGCAAAAGUAUCAGUAGCAGUUUUGUAGUAAUAGUAACAGUGGCAACGGUAAAGUAACUAACCAAAGAGCAAUAUGUGAAAAGCUCGUAGGCAUUGGAUCAGUGAUGGAUAAUUAUGUCGGAUGCGAUUCCUCAUGUUAUAGUUAUAACAUAGGGUGACACAGAACUAGCUCCAAUUCAUCAAUGUAAUGUAGGCAUGUAUUCCAAAUAUAGUCAUACGUGCUUAUGGAAAAGAACUUGCAUGACAUCUUUUGUCCUACCCUCCCGUGGCAGCGGGGUCCUAUUGGAAACUAAGGGAUAUUAAGGCCUCCUUUUAAUAGAGCACCGGACCAAAGCAUUAACACUUAGUGAAUACAUGAACUCCUCAAACUACGGUCAUCACCGGUAAGUAUCCCGAUUAUUGUCACUUCGGGGUUAAUGGAUCAUAACACAUAAUAGGUGACUAUAGACUUGCAAGAUAGGAUCAAGAACUCACAUAUAUUCAUGAAAACAUAAUAGGUUCAGAUCUGAAAUCAUGGCACUCGGGCCCUAGUGACAAGCAUUAAGCAUAGCAAAGUCAUAGCAACAUCAAUCUCAGAACAUAGUGGAUACUAGGGAUCAAACCCUAACAAAACUAACUCGAUUACAUGGUAAAUCUCAUCCAACCCAUCACCGUCCAGCAAGCCUAUGAUGGAAUUACUCACACACGGUGGUGAGCAUCAUGAAAUUGGUGAUGGAGGAUGGUUGAUGAUGACGACGGUGACGAAUCCCCCUCUCUAGAGCCCCGAACGGACUCCAGAUCAGCCCUCCCGAGAGAGUUUAGGGCUUGGCGGCGGCUCCGUAUCGUAAAACGCAAUGAAUCCUUCUCUCUGACUUUUUUCUCCCCGAACGUGAAUAUAUAGAGUGGGAGUUGAUGUCGGUGGAGCUCCAGGGGGCCCACGAGGCAGGGGCGCGCCCUAGGGGGGGCGCCCCCCACCCUCGUGGACAGGGUGUGGGCCCCCUGAUGUUGAUUCUUUCGUCAAUAUUUUUUAUUACUUCCAAAAAGUUGCUCCGUGGAUUUUCAGGUCAUUCCGAGAACUUUUAUUUCUGCACAAAAAUAACACCAUGGCAGUUCUGCUGAAAACAACGUUAGUCCGGGUUAGUUCCAUUCAAAUCAUGCAAGUUAGAGUCCAAAACAAGGGCAAAAGUAUUUGGAAAAGUAGAUACGACGGAGACAUAUCAACUCCCCAUGCUUAAACCUUUGCUUGUCCUCAAGCAAUUUAGUUGACAAACUGAAAGUGAUAAAGAAAAACUUUUACAAACUCUGUUUGCUCUUGUUGUUGCAAAUAUGUAAAGCCAGCAUUCAAGUUUUCAGCAAAGAUUAUGAACUAACCAUAUUCACAAUAACACUUAGGUCUCAUGUUUACUCAUAUCAAUGGCAUAAUCAACUAGCGAGCAAUAAUAAUAAAUCUCGGAUGACAACACUUUAUCAAAACAAUCAUAAUAUGAUAUAACAAGAUGGUAUCUCGCUAGCCCUUUCUGAGACCACAAAACAUAAAUGCAGAGAACCUGUAAAGAUCAAGGACUGACUAAACAUUGUAAUUCAUGGUAAAAGAGACCCAGUCAUAGUCAUACUCAAUAUAAAUUAAUAGUAAUGCAUGCAAAUGACAGCGGUGCUCUCCAGCAGGUGCUUUUUAAUAAGAGGAUGAUGACUCAACAUAAAAGUAAAUAGAUAGGCCCUUGGCAGAGGGAAGCAGGGAUUUGUAGAGGUGCCAGAGCUCGAUUUUGAAAUAGAGAUAAAUAAUAUUUUGAGCGGCAUACUUUCAUUGUCAACAUAACAACUGAGAGAUCUCGAUAACUUCCAUGCUACACACAUUAUAGGCGGUUCCCAAACAGAACGGUAAAGUUUAUACUCCCCCUCCACCAACGAUCAUCAAUCCAUGGCUUGCCCAAAACAACGGGUGCCUCCAACUAACAACAAUCCUGGGGGAUUUUUGUUUGUAAUUAUUUUGAUUUGAUUUGAGCAUGGGACUGGGCAUACCGGUGACCAGCCAUUUUCUCGUGAAUGAGGAGCGGAGUCCACUCCUCUUGAGAAUAACCUGCCUAGCAUGGAAGAUACAAACAACCCUAGUUGAUACAUGAGCUGCUCGAGCAUACAAAACAGAAUUUCAUUUGAAGGUUUAGAGUUUGGCACAUACAAAUUUACUUGGAAUGGCAGGUAGAUACCGCAUAUAGGAAGGUAUGGUGGACUCAUAUGGAAUAACUUUGGGGUUUAUGGAUUUUGGAUGCACAAGUAGUAUUCCCGCUUAGUACUGAAGGCUAGAAAGAGACUGGGAAGCGACCAACUAGAGAGCGACAACAGUCAUGAACAUGCAUUAAAAUUAAUCAAUACUGAGUGCAAGCAUGAGUAGGAUAUAAUCCACUAUGAACAUAAAUAUCGUGAAGGCUAUGUUGAUUUUGUUUCAACUACAUGUGUGAACAUGUGCCAAUUCAAGUCACUCGAAUCAUUCAAAGGAGGAUACCACCCUAUCAUACCACAUCACAGCCAUUUUAAUAGCAUGUUGGCACGCAAGCUAAACCAUUAUAAACUCCUAGCUAAUUAAGCAUGUCAUAAGCAACUAUAAUCUCUAAUUGUCAUUGCAAACAUGUUUAUUCAUAAUAGGCUGAAUCAGGAACGAUGAACUAAUCAUACAAAACAAGAUAGGUCGAGUUCAUACCAGCUUCUCUCAUCUCAAUCAGUCCAUCAUAUAUCGUCAUUAUUGCCUUUCACUUGCACGACCGAACGGUGUGGAUAAUAAUAAUAGUGCAUGUGCAUUGGACUAAGCUAGAAUCUGCAAGCAUUCAAUUCAAGGGAGAAGACAAGGUAAUAUGGGCUCUUGGUUAAAUCAACAAUAAUGCAUAUAAGAGCCACUCAACAUUUUCAUCAUGGUCUUCUCCUCACGACCCCCAAAGAAAAGAAAAGAAAUAAAACUAUUUACACGGGAAAGCUCCCAACAAGCAAAAGAAGAACGAGAAAUCUUUCUGGGUUUUCUUUUAAUUACUACUACUACAGGCAUGGAAAGUAAACUAGCUAGAAGCUACUACUAUUUUUUUUUGGUUUUUCUUAAGGUUAUUCAAGCAUACAAGAAGAAAGCAAGAAAAAGAAAUUAAACUAGCAUGGAUAGUACAAUGAAAAAGUAUGAGCACCGACAACUAGAAUGAAUGUGUGAACAUGAAUGUAAUGUCGGUGAGAAAUAUGUACUCCCCCGAGCUUAGGCUUUUGGCCUAAGUUGGUCUAUGCCCAUGGAUUAGAGCUCCUCUCUCCGGUGUACUGAGGAGUGUCAUCUGAGUACCACUGGCUGGCGAUCUCCUCCGGAUCCCACUAAUAAAAGGACGGUCGAUAAGGGUCAAGUGGUGGUUCCGGCUCAGGCUCUGGAGCUGGUGUCUGGCUCCGGUAUGCGUGAACGGCCUCCGGCAAGAUGAGGUACGUGCUGUUCGAGCUGGUCAUGGAGGAAGUCGGUGAGGCCUCCGCGACGCGAGGGAGAUUAUACUUCGGAUUUUUAUUCUCCUUAUAUUUUUUAUCCUUCGAGCUUUGGCUCGAAGAGCCCCUCAAAAAUCUCUUCAUCAUUUUCUGAAAAUUUCUGAAAUUUUUAGUAACUCAAAAUAAAAGUGAACCAAACUCAACAAAAUUGAUAGCAACUACUCCCACAAGUGCCUAGAGACUAUAUCAUGCAUUAGAACUACUUGGGACCAAGUAAAUUUGACAUGCAAGCUCAAGAAUAGGGUCACCUUAGCAGAAAUUUUUUGCAAUGAAUAAAGCACUAGAACAAAAACUAAUUGGACCAUUGGAGGAGUCACAUACCAAAGAACAAUCCCCCAAAGUAGUUUUGUGAAUGGAGCUUUGAGGAAGGAGAUCGAAAAUGGCAGCAAGAUGAGCUAGAACUCGUGCUUGAGCUGGUUGGCGAUUUUUUUGGAAGGAAGAAGAAGAGUGUUGGUGCAAGAAUAAGUGGAAGGGGGCCACCAUGGGCCCACGAGGCAGGGGGCGCGCCCUGGACCCUCAUGGCCAGGUGGUUGCCCCCUCUGAUGUGUUCUCAGUGCCAAUAAUUCUUAAAUAUUCUAGAAAAAACCAUAAAUCAUUUUCGGGGCAUUUGGAGAACUUUUAUUUUUGGGGUAUUUUUUAUUGCAAGGAUAAUUCAGAAAAUAGACAGAAAAUACUAUUUUUGCUUUAUUUAAUCUAAAUAACAGAAAGUAAAAGGAGGGUACAGAGAGUUGUGCUUUCUAACUUCAUCCAUCUCAUACUCAUCAAAAGGAAUCCACUAACAAGGUUGAUCAAGUCUUGUUACCGAACUCAUUCCGAAUCGCAUGAAACCGGAGAAAUUUUGAAUAACACUAGGUUACCUCAAUGGGGAUAUGUACAUCCCCAAUAAUAAGAUUAUCAUAUUUCUUCUUGACAGUAGGAAGAGGAAAUUCAAAACCUCCAAUAAUAAUCGAUGGAAUUUUUCCAAUAGAAUUGAUACUGUGAACUUGAGGUUGUUUCCUCGGAAAGUGUACAUUAUGCUCAUUACCAUUAACAUGAAAAGUGACAUUGCCUUUGUUGCAAUCAAUAACAGCCCCUGCAGUAUUCAAAAAGGGUCUACCAAGGAUAAUCAACAUACUAUCGCCCUCGGGAAUAUCAAGAAUAACAAAGUCCGUUAGAAUAGUAACAUUUGCAACCACAACAGGCACAUCCUCACAAAUACCGACCGGUAUAGCGGUUGAUUUAUCGGCCAUUUGCAAAGAUAUUUCAGUAGGUGUCAACUUAUUUAAAUCAAGUCUACGAUAUAAAGAGAGAGGCAUAACACUAACACCGGCUCCAAGAUCACAUAAAUCAGUUUUAUCGUAGUUUCUUUUAAUGGAGCAUGGUAUAGUUGGUACUCCUGGAUCUCCAAGUUUCUUAGGUAUUCCACCCUUAAAAGUAUAAUUAGCAAGCAUGGUGGAAAUUUCAGCUUCCGGUAUCUUUCUUUUAUUUGUAACAAUAUCUUUCAUGUACUUAUCAUAAGGAUUCAUUUUAAGCAUAUCAGUCAAACACAUACGCAAAAAGAUAGGUCUAAUCAUUUCAACAAAGCGCUCAAAAUUCUCAUCAUCCUUUUUCUUGGAUGGUUUAGGAGGAAAAGACAUGGGUUUCUGAACCCAUGGUUCUCUUUCUUCACCGUGCUUCCUAGCAACGAAGUCUCUCUUAUCAUAACGUUGAUUCUUUGAUUGUGGGUUAUCAAGAUCAACCGCAGGUUCAACCUCUACAUCAUUAUUAUUGCUAGGUUGAGCAUUAACAUGAACAUCAUCAUUAACAUUAUCACUAGGUUCAUGUUCAUCACCAGAUUGUGUUUCAGCAUCAGAAAUAGAAAUAUCAUUGGGAUUCUCAGGUGUGUCUACAACAGGUUCACUAGAAGCAUGCAAAGUCCUAUCAUUUUUCUUCUUCUUUUUAGAAGGACUAGGUGCAUCAACAUUAUUUCUCUGAGAAUCUUGCUCAACUCUCUUGGGGUGGCCCUCGGGAUACAAAGGUUCCUGAGUCAUUUUACCCAUUCUAGUCAUAACUCUUACAACAUUAUCAUUUCUCUUAUCAUUUAAUUCAUUGAGCAAAUCAUUUUGUGCUUUAAGCACUUGUUCUACUUGAGUGGUAACCACAAAAGCAUGUUUACUAAUGAGUUUAAGUUCACCUUUAACUCUAGACAUAAAAUCACUCAAGUGUCCAAUCAUAUAAGCAUUACUUUUCAAUUGUCUACCAACAUAAGCAUUGAAGUUUUCUUGUUUAGCCAUAAAGUCAACAAACUCAUCCAAGCAUUGGCUAGCAAACUUAGUAGACGGGAUUUCAACUUUAUCAUAUCUAUAGAGAGAAUUUACCUUUACUACCUGUGUCGGGUUAUCAAGACCAUGUAUUUAUUCAAUAGGUGGUAUAUUAAGGCCAUGUAUUUCUUCAACAGGAGGUAAAUUCUUAACAUCUUUAGCUUUAAUACCUUUUUCUUUCAUAGAUUUCUUUGCCUCUUGCAUAUCUUCUGGACUGAGAAAUAGAACACCUUUUUUCUUCGGAGUUGGCUUAGGAGUUGGUUCAGGAAGUGUCGAAUUGUUUUCAUUAGUCAACAUAUUAUUCAAUAACAAUUCAGCUUGAUCAAUAGUUCUUUCCCUGAAAACCCAACUAGCACAACUAUCCAGGUGGUCUCUGGAAGCAUCGGUUAGUCCAUUAUAAAAGAUAUAAAGUAUUUCAUUUUUCUUGAGAGGAUGAUCAGGCAAAGCAUUAAGUAGUUGGAGAAGCCUCCCCCAAGCUUGUGGGAGACUCUCUUCUUCAAUUUGCACAAAAUUAUAUAUUUCCCUUAAAGCAACUUGUUUCUUAUGAGCAGGGAAAUAUUUAGCAGAGAAGUAAUAAAUCAUAUCCUGGGGACUACGCACACAACCAGGAUCAAGAGAAUUAAACCAAGUUUUAGCAUCACCCUUUAAUGAGAAUGGAAAUAUCUUAAGGAUAUAGUAGUAGCGAUUUUUCUCAUCAUUAGUGAAUAGGGUGGCUAUAUCAUUCAAUUUAGUAAGAUGUGCCACAACAGUUUCAGAUUCAUAGCCAUAAAAAGGAUCAGAUUCAACCAAAGUAAUUAUCUCAGGAUCGACAGAGAAAUCAUAAUCCUUAUCAGUAACACAGAUAGGUGAAGUAGCAAAAGCAGGGUCAUAUUUCAUUCUAGCAUUCAGAGACUUUUCUUUCAGCUUAGCUAAUAAUUUCUUAAGAUCAGAUCUAUCGUUGCAAGCAAGAAAAUCUCUAGCAGUUUCUUCAUCCAUAACAUAACCCUCAGGCACAACAGGCAAUUCAUAUUUAGGGGGAGAAUCUUCAUCAUCACUUUCAUCAAUAAUUUCAUUCUCUCUAGCCCUAGCAAGUUGGUCAUCAAGAAAUUCACCUAAUGGCACAGUAGUAUCAAGCAUAGAAGUAGUUUCAUCAUAAGCAUCAUGCAUAGCAGAAGUGGCAUCAUCAAUAACAUGCGACAUAUCAGAAUUAAUAGCAGAAGCAGGUUUAGGUGUCGCAAGUUUACUCAUAACAGAAGGAGAAUCAAGUGCAGAGCUAGAUGGCAGUUCCUUACCUCCCCUCGUAGUUGAGGGAUAAAUCUUAGUUCUUUCGUCUUUCAAGUUCCUCAUAGUGACCAGCAGAUAUAAAUCCCAAGUGACUCAAAGAAUAGAGCUAUGCUCCCCGGCAACGGCGCCAGAAAAUAGUCUUGAUAACCCACAAGUAUAGGGGAUCGCAACAGUUUUCGAGGGUAGAGUAUUCAACCCAAAUUUAUUGAUUCGACACAAGGGGAGCCAAAGAAUAUUCUCAAGUAUUAGCAGUUGAGUUGUCAAUUCAACCACACCUGGAUAACUUAAUAUCUGCAGCAAAGUAUUUAGUAGCAAAGUAGUAUGGAAGUAACGGUAACGGUAGCAAAAGUAACAGUAGCAGUUUUGUAGUAAUAGUAAAAGUGGCAACGGUAAAGUAACUAAGCAAAGAGCAAUACAUGAAAAGCUCGUAGGCAUUGGAUCAGUGAUUGUCGGAUUUCGGGUUCCGGCAAAACCCUUGAGGUUCGAACACUUGGGUGCACACGAAGAUUUCCCCCUACCGAAUCUCGCCCUCAGCCUCGCCGUGAUCUCUAAGCUUAGCUCGAUGAACUCACAACACAAGAGACACAAGAUUUAUAUAGGUUUGGGUCACCAUUGUGGUGUAAUACCCUACUCCUGUGUGGUGGUGGUGGAUUGCCUCUUGGGCUGAUGAUGAACAAUACAAGGGAAGAACAGCCUCCUGAGGAGAGGUGUUCUUGAGCUGGUGUGGUGUUCUGCUUGUUCUAGUUUUCGGGGCUCUCUUGUCUCUCGUUGAUUGUCCCCUCCUACUGUGGUGGCUAGUCCUAUUUAUAGAGGCCCUGAUCCUCUCCCCAAAUAUUGAGCGGAAAGGGAUCCAACAACGACCAAUUUGAAAGGGGACAACUAGUACAAGCUAUCCUGACUAAAGGUGGUCUUCGCCUGUCAAAGGUGCUGGUGGUAACGACGUCUUGGGCUCCACGAUGACCUCCGUCAUGCCGUCCUGCCGGUCUUGGUCUUGUUGCACCGAUAUGGAAAACCUUUGCCAGAUGCCUCGGUACUCCAUGCCUGCGCUUGCCCCCUUAGUACCAAAGGGAAACGAGGACACUACGCACGCUGGUGCCCGCCUGGCGCCCGCCUGACCCAUGUCGUCAUGGCUUGCGUCACGGGAACCUCACGAGGUACCCCUUGCCUUGUUCUCUGUUCGCACACGAACACGUCACCGUGUACCUCCAACGCUGAGGGUGAUGCACCACAGCUCACGUCGAAGGAGACCCGUCCGGAAGCGCGGUACGCAGGCAAUCCGGCGGGCGCUUUUGAGGACCCGAAACCCCACACGCUCGGGAGGGACCCCGUCAGGGCGUGCGGCGGCUAUGGGCUGCCCUAGGUCGACCUGUCCGCCCCUAGGGCCUCGAGGUUCGCCGCCCUGCAAUGAAGAAGAACACGCAAAGAACGAGAAAUAAGAAGAACAAGAGAGAAGGUAAAAGUAAAGGUAAAAAAUUGAUAGAUUGAUAUGUCGAUUGUGUGUUGUUCUUCAAUCGGCCGUCACCUCUUACAUAUAUAUGAGGCGACUGGACUUUCCGUACAAGAAAAGGACUCAAAUCCCGUCUAAAACAUCAAAAGAUAACCUAAGUCGGACUACGAGGGCCGGAACUUCCGGUCAGCCCGGAACUUCCGGGCUGAAAUUACAUUAAGUAGCCCUCUUGCACAGCUCCUGCAGGUCGCAUAUGGCUUCGGAUCGCGAUGGUCCCAAAAGCAAAGUUGUAGAUCUAGCAAUGCAUAAAAUUGCCUUAGUUGAUCACUUUUUCAUCCGAGGUCAACUUGGUGUCGAAAUCGGCUCCGCAAAUCUGCAAAUAAUGUUAAAAUUCCAGUUUUCGGGGCGCACCGCGUGCAAUGUUUCUGUUUAGCCCGGAACCUCCCCGGAAGUUUUUCCCGGAACUUCCGGGCAGACUUAUGCAGCACACCGUUUUGGCUCUAACUUUUGCAUACGAACUCUGAGUUAGAUGUUUCUUAUAUCAAAAUCGAUCGUUUCGACGAGACGAAGACAAUCCAUGUAGAAACGUUUCCCAUAUGAGGCCAUUUUGGGGGCGUAAUCAGCCGAAUAGUGUCCUGAAUACAAAAUCUGGAUACUUCAAACACAACUUCGGCCUUAGAGAUGAGAUCGGAUGGCUACGGCCCAAAUAUCAAAGUUUCUCCUUUUGACGAUACGGAACUUUCUCACUUUGAGCACUUCUCCAUUUGAGGCCUUCUUAAAUAUGUUUUUGACCAUGCCAAAAUCUGGUGUCAACAAUCUCUCCGCCCCUUCGCGAGCCUGCCUGGUGAGGCCGCUCCUGAGGAGGCCUUGUGUCGCCCCCCUCACGAGGCUUGGCCCCUCGAGAGGGUCUUGAGUGUUGGUUGACGAAGACGGGCCGUACUGGGCCACUGGUGGAGCCAUGCCGUGGGCCGCAGGCAGGCAAGUUUGGGGACACCCAUUCCCAGAAUGCCGACAGUAGCCCCCGGGUCCAAGGCGCGCUCGGACUUGGCUUAGCGGUGAAGCCAAAGGGCAAGUGUGGAGCGUCGCGGGCCCCAACAGCCUGCGGCCUUGGUCGACGCGUGGCGACUGAUUGGACGUGGGCGUCUCCGCUUCCCCAUGCUGCCCCAAUAUCCGCCUGGCUAGGCGGCCACAACACCCUACACAGUUAUUUCCUCCUCGCAGGCGGCGUGUUCCCUAUCCUUCCUUCUUCCUCGAGCCCCUGCCUCUGCUUCCAGUCUGACUCGAGAUCUGUCCCCUCCAUUGCCAUGGCGCCGACUAGCAUAGAGAAAGGGAAGAAGCCCCUGUCCUCAGCCAAUCCACCCCUGACAAUCGAGCCCGCCGUUGGCUGAUCGCGGGUACUCAACUAGGAGGCCAUGGGCAAGGUCUUCCCUGCGCUCGCUUCCAGCUUCAACGAGUGGGGAGGGACGGUGGCUUGGCCUGCGUCCCGAGCCUCCAUUGACAGGACAGCCACUGAGGUUCGGUUCUUCGUUGACGCCCUGUGGGCUGGCCUGGUUCCCCCUUUCUCCGCCUUCUUCAACGCAGUGCUUUCCCACUACCAGAUUCACAUGCUGCAUCUUGAUCCCCAAUCCGUCGCCCUUCUCGCCGUCUUCGCCUUCGUUUGCGAGGCCAUGGUGGGCAUUGCUCCUUCUGUUGCCCUCUUGCGCCAUUUUUUCUCGCUGCAUCUGACUGACCCCUCGCAGUGCUCGGGGUGUCUGAGCUUCCAGGCUGUGGCAGAGACGGCCGCCUCGGGGAUUGAUUUUGAUCUCCCGCCGUCCACGAGCGGGUUCCGGACGCGGUGGGUGUACGUGGAUUGCGGAGUGCUCAGCCCCCUGCUCUCGCCUCCGUCGUCGCCCGCCAUUCCCAACUCCGGCUGGGGCCACGAGAAGCUCGCGAGCUCUCGCCUUUCCUUCGUCUGGCUCUGAUUGAAGAGGUUGAGAGACCUUGGCGUGACUGCGCCCCAGGUGGUGAAGGAGUUCCUCCGGCGUCGCAUUGCCCCUCUCCAACGCCAUUCCCGACCGAUGUGGGCCCUGGCCGGUGACCAGGAUCGCAUGAGGCUUCAGGAGUCGGGGCUCACGCUCGAAGCGCGAAGGACGGUGCUUGAAGUCUUGACUGGCAACCCCUCGCCAGGCAAUAUGCCGCAAGGGGGUUGUCUCUUGUAUCUCUGCCUGAACAGGGUUGAGUUCGCGGGGCAGAUGCCUUCCUUCGAUGAAUGGGGGCUGCGUCCGGUCGGCCUUGUGGGGCCUCGUGAGAAUCCUGUCGCUGUGGCUCCCCUCCUUGCCGCCAGCACCGAGCUUGCCCCAAGAGUGGACGCAGGGAGGCAAGCAUCGCUAGAGGCCGGAGGCGCGGGCGUCGAGGUGCUGACGCCGCUCGAGGUUCUUGAGGCGCCGUCCUCAGGAACCCGUGAGGCUCGCCCUGAGGCAGUCGUUGAGGGGGAGAGGCAGUACGCGGCUCCUGAGGCCUCGGCAAGCCAGCAUGAGGUGGAGCCCGAUUGCUCUUCCCAGCUUGGCGCUCUUGAGGUCGACCACCUGGGUGCCUCUCCAGCCGCGCGCCGUGCUGGCCUCCACGUCCAACGCCUUGGCCGGUUCCGUGUGGACUUCGCCAUGCUCCGUAAGAGGAAGGAGUCUUCGAGCUGCAGUGGUGGCACCAUCCGGCCGUUGAAACAUAGGAAGUACUUUGCCAUAGACGGGUAAGUACCUUAUCCUUGUAAUUCCCCAAUCGCUGCUUCCCUUCCUGACUGUGGCUCUUCAGGAUCCCUCCUGCCAAGCCUGCGGAGUCUCCCGAGAAGCAGCGUCUUCUGGCCUUGCCUUCAUCGCUAGCCUUGAGCGUCCCAAGCCUGCACGCCACCCCUGGCGCGGGGUCAGCCGGAGAAGCAAGCCUGUCCGCAAGGUGCCUUGAGCUUGUGCCCUUGCCGCCUUUCCUUUGCAACCUUGCCUGGAGCGCGGCCAGCCUACCCAGGGCUCUUCCUCUGGUCGUCGACGACAGCUGGUUGGCGUCGAUCCUGGGCUCCCCUUCAAACAGCGAGCCUGCGCCGGUCCGGGUCCCUUGCGGGGCCUGGCCAGCGACCGUGGGGCCGCCAGCCCCCAGCCCCCUGCUGAGAGGGGGCGAACCGCUUCGGACCCCGCCGACGGCACCCACAAUGGGGGACGACAUCAGCCGCGCGCUCAAGUUUGCGCGUGAAUGAAGUGUCGUCCGCCAUGAGUUCUUCCAAAAGGCGAUGGAUGCGAUGGGCCAGCUUGGUGGAGAACUUGCGGACGUAGACGCGCGCCUUGAAGCCGAGGGCCUACGACUGAUUGAGGAGCGGCAAGCAGAUCGUCGUCGCAAGAUUGCAGAGAAGCGCACGUGGGAGCUCCAAGUCUGGAGCGCUUCCUUGGAGCAGCAGGUGGAGUUGUGCCAAGCCGCCCUUGCGUCACUGAGGGGGACACCUGUCGAGGAGGAAGAGGUCCUGAAGCGUGAGGAAGCAUUGAAGUUGGAGGCCACCGACGCAGUCUUGAGCUUGAGCGGGUGGAGACGAGGGAGCGCCAGGUUGCCGAAGCGGAGGACGCCGUUGGCGCGCGCGAGGCCCGGGUCCAGGAAGAGGUCGACCGCCGCGCGGCCGAGGCUCGCGCGGAUCUUGCGAGCAGGUAUGACCUGAAGCUGAAGCUGGUUGAAGCCGAGGUUGCGGGUAGGACUGCUGCCCUCAGGUCCAGGCUAACCGAAGCGGAACGGCGCGCGGAGGCCGCCGCAGCCGCCCUGGUCUCGGCGCAGGCCGAGCUGGCCUCUGCCCGCGCCGAGCUGCUUCCUCUUCAGCAGCGGGUUGCCGACGCCGAGUCCAUCGCGCAGCAGAACAGGGAGGAAGUGCUCCAAUGGCGGACGUUGGAGCACGUGCACGGCCCCAUGCUCCAGGACCUCAGGAACAGGGCCAACGCGGCCCUGGGCAACAUCUGUAAUGAGAACGCCCCGCAUCCCCACACGACCGACUACGCCAGUCAUCUCUGCUUCUUUACUAACGUGGUGACGCGCCUGGAGAACCGCUCUGAGAGAGCUCACCAGCUUGUUGAGGAGAGGAGCCGCAGCCUGCUCGAGCGCGCGUUUUCCCGCGUCUUCAGCCAUCUUUAGAACACCUACCCCGACUUUGACUUUAACGCCACCAUCGCCCCGGUGCCCGAGGCCAUCCGGGGCGACCUCGCGCGGUGGGUGGAGGAUAACAUGGAUGUGCUUGUUAGGGCCUUUGCUUUCGACGAUGAUGGGGUGGUUGUUGCAGCGGAUGAAGGCAACAUGGUCGACGAUGGUGACGGCGGUGCCGGUGACGGUGACGGCGAUGCCAGUGACAGCGGCGCCAGCGAUGCAUCUGGAGGCGACCCGGGGGACGCGGUGAGUGAUAUGUCUGACUGAUCCCGUGUUUCUCUACUGUUUAUCCUGCAUACAGAAGCUCGGGCACGGCCCCAAAGGUUGUAAGAGCAUUUUGGGAGGGGAUGCCCCUCAUGUAAAAAGAUUGCUGUCUCUAUGCUUUCAGGUCCAAUGCUGAAUAUAUGCCUCCACGAGCCUACGGGCCCUGCGGCAAGCUUGCUGUUGUAGUUUACCUUUAGCCAGGACAGGUCCUGAACCGGCUCGUGAGGUCGUGAGAUUCCGAGGAUCCCUUGAGGGACCUGCCGACCUAGUCGAGAGGGCCUCGUGAGAGCUAAUGUCGGCCGUAGUAUGGCAUGCGUGCAGCGUACGUGCACUUCGCCCAGCCCCGCCCGCGCGGGGCUCGUGAGGGGGAGGCAGCCGAUGCGAACUCCAAAUUAAGGCAAGAACCAUAACGCAAGAAAUCACACGAACAAGAAAAGUCACCCGCCCCGCGCACACAAAUGAGAAUUCAACUCCAACUUAAAUCCGAAGCAAGGAAGCACGACUACAGAAAGGGAGUCAAAAAGCAAAUGGCCGCAUCUGGCGCCUAGUCUAGUCUUCAUGUCUUCUCAUCAGCGCGGAGCUAAGUGCUGCCACUGGGCGUGGGAGGGAGCCCCCGAGGCCCGAGGGCGGCACUCCUGAGGCUCCGGGGCGUGUACAGCCCCACUCAUUAUUACGUGAGAGUGUCACGGGUGGCGAGCUUCACAGGCACUGGGCCUUCUUCACAGGCACUGGGCCUUGCUUCAUAUCACCAGACGAGGGCCCCGCCUUGCGCCACCCUCGACCACCAUUGGCAGCGACCGGAAACCAGGACGACACCAAGGGGCAAAGGGGACGCCAGCGGCACCCUCGGCGACCACGGGUCCUCUGCCACGGGUAGGCUUUGCAGCACCUCCCCGGCAGAGGGCCUACCUCCGGGGGACGCCUUGCUCCAUGCGCCAUGGGGAGGGGCCUUGCUCCUGGCCCCUCUCCUGCAGCCCCCGGCGCGCUCCUCCUGGUGGAAGGGAGGCUGCCGAGCUGGGGCAGCCGUCCGCUGCUGUGACUUGACCGUCCUGCGACCCAUGGUUAGCAUAAGCUUGCUCCUGACGAAUUAGUGGUACCCGGUAGCUUCUGCUGCCGGCGCAGUUGGUGAGGCUCCUGGAAGGGCUCGACUUUUGGCGUUUCUUCCUCCCAGCCUGGCCCGAGGAACGAGCCAAGGUCGUCUUCUAGCGCGUACUCCUGAUCCACCAUGCGGGGCAUGUAAGCCUUCGAAGCUGCCGCCUCGAAGACUUCGCCGUAGUGCCCCACACUCCAUGUUGCCCGGCCUAGCGCGCUGUCUUGAGGAUGGUGGGGCAGCGGCCCGCCCGGGCCAUAGGAGGCAACGCGCGUGCCCCCAUUCACCAAAGGUGGUGCGGGUGCGACCUGGCAUCUGGCGCCGAUGGUUGAGCUGGUGUCGAUGAAGCCUUGGGGCGUGCUUGGGGGUACGCGGGCGCGGAAAGGUCCAUCGUGUGAUCUGGCCGAGGCCCGGGGUGCAAGCUGGAAGCAGAAGGGCGGUGCCCCCGAGGCCGCGGCAUCCAGGAGCUCGGCAACGCGCUCCAGCAACGCAUCCUGACUGCUCUCCAUCAACCUGCAUCGCAACAGCUCCCGAGCCACAGUGAGCGCGGCUCUCAUGUUUGCUUGUUCCUGUCGGGUGUGCGGCGUCGUGGCUGCGGCGUGGCUUGAGGCCCUUGCGGCUGCCCGCACCUGCCGCGGAGUAAGGGCGGGCAGUGUGUGACCGCGCCGCCCGCGCCCCGCAGCGUUCGGCGGUGCGCGGGCUGCCUGGGGUGUGGGGUUGAGGCCUUCUUGGGCAGGCGGCGUGGCCCGGGUUGGCCAGGCCGCCCAGCGGUCGGUGCUGGUCAUCGGGUCGCCAGACAUUGGACUAGCGGAGCGGCGGCGGGCUAGCCAGCGAAAGGAAAGCUCCAGGGCACCCGUACCUGGCGCGCCAAAUGUCGGAUUUUGGGUUCAGGCAAAACCCUUGAGGUUCGAACGCUGGGGUGCGCACGAAGAUUUCCCCCUACUGAAUCUCGCCCUCAGCCUCGCCGCGAUCUCUAAGCUUAGCUCGAUGAACUCACAACACAAGAGACACAAGAUUUAUACAGGUUCGGGCCACCAUUGUGGUGUAAUACCCUACUCCUGAGUGGUGGUGGUGGAUUGCCUCUUGGGCUGAUGAUGAACAGUACAAGGGAAGAACAGCCUCCUGAGGAGAGGUGUUCUUGAGUUGGUGUGGUGUUCUGCUUGUUCUGGUUUUCGGGGCUCUCUUGUCUCUCAGUGGUUUGUCCCCUCCUACUGUGGUGGCUAGUCCUAUUUAUAGAGGCCCUGGUCCUCUCCCCAAAUAUUGAGAGGGAAGGGAUCCAACAACGACCAAUUUGAAAGGGGACAGCUAGUACAAGCUAUCCUGACUAAAGGUGGUCUUUGCCUGUCAAAGGUGGUCGUGGUGACGCUGUCUUGGGCUCCACGAUGACCUCCGUCCUGCCGUCCUGCUGGUCUUGAUCUUGUUGCACCGAUAUGGAAACCUUUGCCUGAUGCCUCGGUACUCCGCGCCUGCACUUGCCCCCUUAGCACCAAAGGGGAAACGAGGACACUGCGCGCUGGCGCCCGCCUGGCCUUUGUCGUCAUGGCUUGCGUCACGGGAACCUCAUGAGGUACCCCUUGCCUUGAGAUCUCUGCCCCUUCACGAGCCUGCCUGGUGAGGCCGCUCCUGAGGAGGCCUUGUGUCGCCCCCUCGCGAGGCUUGGCCCCUUGCGAGGGUCUUGAGUGUUGGUUGACGAAGACGGGCCGUACUGGGCCACUGGUGGAGCCACGCCGUGGGCCGCAGGCAGGCAAGUCUGGGGACCCCCGUUCCCACAACACUGACAGUGAUGGAUAAUUAUGUCGGAUGCGAUUCCUCAUGUAAUAGUUAUAACAUAGGGUGACAUAGAACUAGCUUCAAUUCAUCAAUGUAAUGUAGGCAUGUAUUCUGAAUAUAGUCAUACGUGCUUAUGGAAAAGAACUUGCAUGACAUCUUUUGUCCUACCCUCCCGUGGCAGCGGGGUCCUAUUGGAAACUAAGGGAUAUUAAGGCCUCCUUUUAGUAGAGUACCGAACCAAAGCAUUAACACUUAGUGAAUACAUGAACUCCUCAAACUAUGGUCAUCACCGGUAAGUAUCCCGAUUAUUGUCACUUUGGGGUUAACGGAUCAUAACACAUAAUAGGUGAGUAUAGACUUGCAAGAUAGGAUCAAGAACUCACAUAUAUUCAUGAAAACAUAAUAGGUUCAGAUCUGAAAUCAUGGCACUCGGGAUCUAGUGAAAAGCAUUAAGCGUAGCAAAGUCAUAGCAACAUCAAUCUCAGAACAUAGUGGAUACUAGGGAUCAAACCCUAACAAAACUAUCUCGAUUACGUGGUAAAUCUCAUCAAACCCAUCACCGUCCAGCAAGCCUACGAUGGAAUUACUCAUGCACGGCGGUGAGCAUCAUGAAAUUGGUGAUGGAGGAUGGUUGAUGAUGACGGCAGCGACGAAUCCCCCUCUCCGGAGCCCCGAACGGACUCCAGAUCAGCCCUCCCGAGAGAGUUUAGGGCUUGGCAACGGCUCCGUAUCAUAAAACACGAUGAAUCCUUCUCUCUAAUUUUUUUCUCCCCGAAGGUGAAUAUAUAGAGUGGGAGUUGACGUCGGUGGAGCUCCAGGGGGCCCACGAGGCAGGGGGGCGCGCCCUGGGGGGGGCGCCCCCACCCUCGUGGACAGGGUGUGGGCCCCCUGACGUUGAUUCUUUCGCCAAUAUUUUUUAUUAAUUCCAAAAAGUUGCUCCGUGGAUUUUCAGGCCAUUCCGAGAACUUUUAUUUCUGCACAAAAAUAACACCAUGGCAGUUCUGCUGAAAUCAGCGUCAGUCCGGGCUAGUUCCAUUCAAAUCAUGCAAGUUAGAGUCCAAAACAAGGGCAAAAGUGUUUGGAAAAGUAGAUACGAUAGAGACGUAUCACUCUACAGGUAUCUCCGGAGGUGUUUGUUGGUUUGGCAUAGAUCGAGAUUAGGAUUUGUCACUCCGAGUGUCGGAGAGGUAUCUUUGGGCCCUGUCGGUAAUGCACAUCAUAAUAAGCCUUGCAAGCAAUGUGACUAAUGAGUUAGUUACGGGAUGAUGCAUUACGGAACGAGUAAAGAGACUUGCCGGUAACGAGAUUGAACUAGGUAUGAAGAUACCGACGAUCAAAUCUCGGGCAAGUAACAUACCGAUGACAAAGGGAAUAAUGUAUGUUGUUAUUGCGGUUGUUGGGGAACGCGAUAAUUUCAAAAAAAUUCCUACGAUCACGUAAGAUCUAUCUAGGUGAUGCAUAGAAAGGAGAGGGGAGAGUGUGUCCACAUACCCUCGUAGACCGAAAGCGGAAGCGUUUCAAUAACGCGGUUGAUGUAGUCGAACGUCUUCGCGAUCCAACCGAUCAAAGUACCGUAUGUACGGCACCUCCACGUUCAGCACACGUUCAGCUCGAUGACGUCCAUCGUGCUCUUGAUCUAGUUGAGGACGAGGGUGAGUUCCGUCAGCAUGAUGGCGUGGCGACGGUGAUGAUGAUGCUACCGGCGCAGGGCUUCGCCUAAGCACUACGAUGGUAUGAUUGAGGUGUCUAACUGUGGAGGGGGGCGCCGCACACGGUUGGGAGAGAAACUUGUGUGUUCUAGGGUGCCCCCUGCCCCCGUAUAUAAAGGAGCAAGGGGGAGGCCGGCCGGCCCUAGGGGCACGCCCAAGGAGAGGGAGUCCUACUAGGACUACUAGUCCUAGUAGGAUUCCAUCACAAGGAAGGGAGGGGGAAGGAAGGAGAGGGAGAGGGAGUAGGAAAGGGGGGCGCCGCCCCCUUCCCUUGUCCUAUUCAGACUCCAAGGGGGGCGCGUGGCCUGCCCUGGCUGCCCUCCUCUCUCUCCACGAAGGCCCAUGGUGGCCCAUUAGUUCCCCGGGGGGUUCCGCUAACCCCUCUGGCACUCCGGUUUUACCUGAAACUUCCCGGAACUCUUCCUGUGUCCGAAUAACAUGUUCCAAUAUAUCAAUAUUUAUGUCUCGACCAUUUCAAGACUCCUCGUCUCGUCCGUGAUCUCAUCCGGGACUCCAAACAAACUUCGAUCAUCAAAAACACAUAACUCAUAAUACAUAUCGUCAUUGAACGUUAAGCGUGCGGACCCUGCGGGUUCGAGAACUAUGUAGACAUGACCGAGACACAUCUCCGGUCAAUAACUAAUAGCGGAACCUGGAUGCUCAUAUUGGCUCCUACAUGUUCUACGAAGAUCUUUAUCGGUCAAACCGCAUAACAACAUAUGUUGUUCCCUUUGUCAUCGGUAUGUUACUUGCCCGAGAUUCGAUCGUGGGUAUCAUCAUACCUAGUUCAAUCUCGUUACCGGCAAGUCUCUUUACUCGUUCUAUAAUACUUCAUCUCGCAACUAACUCAUUAGUCACAUUGCUUGCAAGGCUUAUAGUGACGAGCAUUACCAAGAGGGCCCAGAGAUACCUCUCCGAAACACGGAGUGACAAAUCCUAAUCUCGAUCUAUGCCAACCCAACAAACACCUUCGGAGACACGUGUAGAGCAUCUUUAUAAUCACCCGUUUACGUUGUGACGUUUGAUAGCACACAAAGUGUUCCUCAGGUAUUCGGGAGUUGCUUUAUCUCAUAGUCUGAGGAACAUGUAUAAGUCAUGAAGAUAGCAGUAGCAAUGAAACUGUAACGAUCAUAAUGCUAAGCUAACAGAUGGGUCGUGUCCACCACAUCAUUAUCCUAAUGAUGUGAUCCCGUUCAUCAAAUGACAACACAUGUCUAUGGUUAGGGAACAUAACCAUCUUUGAUUAACAAGCUGGUCAAGUAGAGGCAUACUAGGGACACUUUGUUUUGUCUAUGUAUUCACACAUGUACUAAGUUUCCGGUUAAUACAAUUCUAGCAUGAAUGAUAAACAUUUAUCAUGAAAUAAGGAAAUAAAUAAUAACUUUAUUAUUGCCUCUAGGGCAUAUUUCCUUCAGUCUCCCACUUGCACUAGAGUCAAUAAUCUAGUUCACAUCGCCAUGUGAUGUAGCAUCAAUAGUUCACAUCUGUAUGUGAUUAACACCAAUAGUUCACAUCGCCAUGUGACCAACAACCAAAGGGUUUACUAGAGUCAAUAAUCUAGUUCACAUUGCUAUGUGAUUAACACCCAAAGAGUACUAAGGUGUGAUCAUGUUUUGCUUGUGAGAGAAGUUUAGUCAAUGGGUCUGUAACAUUCAGAGCCGUAUGUAUUUUGCAAAUAUUCUAUGUCUACAAUGCUCUGCAUGGAGCUACUUUAGCUAAUUGCUCCCACUUUCAAUAUGUAUCCAGAUUGAGACUCAGAGUCAUCUGGAUCGGUGUAAAAGCUUGCAUCAACGUAACUCUUUACGACGAACUCUUUAUCACUUCCAUGACCGAGAAAUAUUUCCUUAGUCGUUACUAAAGAUAAUUUUGACCGCUGUCCAGUGAUCUACUCCUAGAUCACUAUUGUACCCCCUUGCCAAACUCAUGGCAAGGUACACAAUAGGUCUGGUACAUAGCAUGGCAUAUUUUAUAGAUCCUAUGACUGAGGCAUAGGGAAUGACUUUUCAUUCUCUUUCCAUCUUUUGCCGUGAUCGGGCUUUGAGUCUUACUCAACUUUUACACCUUGUAAUACAGGCAAGAACUCCUUCUUUGAUUGAUCCAUUUGGAACUUCUUCAAAACUUUAUCAAGGUAUGUUCUUUGUGAAAGUCCAAUUAAGCGUCUUGAUCUAUCUCUAUAGAUAUUGAUGCCCAAUAUGUAAGUAGCUUCACCGAGGUCUUUCAUUGAAAAACACUUAUUCAAGUAUCCUUUUAUGCUAUCUAGAUAUAUCAUUUCCAAUCAGCAAUAUGUCAUCCAGAUAUAAUAUUAGAAAUGCUACAAAGCUCCCACUCACUUUCUUGUAAAUACAGGCUUCUCCAAAAGUCUGUAUAAAACCAUAUGCUUUGAUCACUGAUACGUCCAUUUUGCAUCAUGUUUUCUUACUUUUAUUCAUAAUGUUUUUAUCCAUAAUAAUGAUUUUUGGAGUAAUUCUAAUGCCUUUUCUCUCAUAAUUUGCAAGGUACACACUAAGAGGGAGAAUUCUGGCAGCUGGAAAUCUGGACCUGAAAAAGCUACGUCAGGCUACCUAUUAUGCACAACUCCAAACAAGCUGAGCCUUCACGGAGAAUUUUUAUGAAAUAUUUAAGGAAUAUUGGAGCAAAUAACUACCAGAGGGGGCCCACCAGGUGGGCACAACCCACCUGGGCGCGCCAGGGAGCCCAGGCGCGCCCUGGUGGGUUGUGCCCUCCUUGGCCCACCUCUGGUGCCCAUCUUCUAGUAUAUAAGUCAUUUUGACCUAGAACAAAUAAGAGGAGGACGUUCAGGAUGAAGCGCCGCCGUCUCGAGGCGGAACUUGGGCAGGAGCACUUUUGCCCUCCGGCGGAGCAAUUCCGCCGGGGGAACUUCCCUCCCGAAGGGGGAAAUCAUCGUCAUCAUCAUCACCAACAACUCUCCCAUCUUGGGGAGGGCCAUCUUCAUCAACAUCUGCACAGCACCAACUCCUCUCAAACCCUAGUUCAUCUCUUGUGUUCAAUAUUUGUAUCAAAACUAUAGAUUGGUGCCCGUGGGUAACUAGUAGUGUUGAUUACAUCUUGUAGUUGAUUACUAUAUGGUUUAUUUGGUGGAAGAUUAUAUGUUCAGAUCCAUUAUGCUAUUCAAUACCCCUCUGAACUUGAGCAUGUUUAUCAUUUGCGAGUAGUUACUUUCGUUCUUGAGGUCACGGGAGAAAUCAUGUUGCAAGUAAUCAUGUGAAUUUGAUAUGUGUUCGAUAUUUUGAUAGUAUGUAUGUUGUUAUUCCCUUAGUGGUGUCAUGUGAACAUCGACUACAUGACACUUCACCAUAUUUGGGCCUAAGGGAAUGCAUUGUGGAGUAGUAAAUAGAUGGUGGGUUGCGAAACCCCAGUUUAUGCACUAUUCCGUAAGGGACCGAUUGGAUCCUAGAGUUUAAUCAUAUGGUUAGAAUUUAUUCUUAAUGAUUUUCUCGUAGUUGCGGAUGCUUGCGGGACGGUUAAUCAUAAGUAGGAGGUUUGUUCAAGUAAGAACAACACCUAAGCACCGGUCCACCCACAUAUCAAAUUAUGAAAGUAGCGAACACAAAUCAAACCAACAUGACGAAAGUAACUAGAUGAAAUUUCUGUGUACCCUCAAGAACACUUUGUUAUGGCCUGUCCUUUGCCUCAAAAGGAUUGGGCUACCUUGCUGCACUUUUGUUACUACUAUUGUUACUUGCUCGUUACAAAUUAUCUUGCUAUCAAACUACUCGCUACUUACAGUUUCAGCACUUGCAGACAUUACCUUACUGAAAACUAUUUGUCAUUUCCUUCUACUCCUCGUUGGGUUCGACACUCUUACUUAUCGAAAAGAGCAACAAUUGACCCCCUAUACUUGUGGGUCAUCAAGGCUAUUUUCUGGCGCCAUUGCCGGGAGUGAAGCGCCCUUGGUAAGUGGAAUUCGGUAAGGAAACAUUUAUAUAGUGUGCUGAAAUUUAUUGUCACUUGUUACUAUGGAAAACAAUCCUUUGAGGGGUUUGUUCGGGGUAUCUUCACCUCGUCCGGAACCACAAUUAGUUACCCCUCAACAUACUGCACCUACUGAAAAUAUUGAAUAUGAAAUCCCUUCGGGUAUGAUAGAACUACUGCUAGCUAAUCCUUAUGCAGGAGAUGGAACUGAACAUCCUGAUAUGCACUUGAUACAUGUGGAACAAAUUUGUGGAUUGUUUAAGCUUGCAGGUUUACCAAGGAUGAAGUGAUGAAAAAUGUUUUCCCUUUAUCUUUGAAGGGAAAAGCAUUGGCAUGGUAUAGGCUAUGUGAUGAUAUUGGAUCAUGGAAUUGGAAUCGUUUGAAAUUGGAGUUCCAUCAAAAAAUUUAUCCUAUGCAUCUAGUUCAUCGUGAUCGGAAUUAUAUAUAUAAUUUUUGGCCUCGUGAAGGAGAAAGUAUCGCUCUAGCUUGGGGGAGGCUUAAGUUGAUGUUAUAUUCAUGCCCCAAUUAUGAGCUCUCAAGAGAAAUUAUUAUUCAGAAUUUUUAUGCUUGGCUUUCUCGGAAUGAUCAAACCAUGCUCGAUACUUCAUGUACUGGUUCUUUUAUGAAGAAGACUAUUGAAUUACGGUGGGAUCUUUUGGAAAGAAUUAAACACAACUCUGAAGAUUCGGAACUUGAGAAGGUACAAAGUCUGGUAUAAAGCUUAAGUAUGAUUGUGUUAAAUCUUUUAUGGAUACCGAUGCUUUUCAAAAGUUUAGCACUAAAUAUGGACUUGACUCUGAUAUAGUAGCCUCCUUUGUGAAUCAUUUGCUACUCAUGUUGAACUUCCUAAAUAAAAGUGGUUUAAAUAUCACCCACCUAUUAAAGAUGAAAUUAAAGAACCAGUACAAGUUAAAGAAGAAACUAUACUCUCUAAUGUUGAUCCAGUUGUUCCUUCUGCUUAUAUUGAGAAACCACCUUUCCCUGUUAGGAUAAAAGAACAUGCUAAAGUUUCAACUGUGGUUAACAAAAGCUAUGUUAGAACACCUAAACCUGAUGAGCAAAUUAAAGUAGAACCUAGCAUUGCUAUGGUUAAAGAUCUCUUGGAAGAAGAUAUGGAUGGGCAUGUUAUUUAGUUUUGUGAAGAAGCUGCCAGAAUUGUUAAACCUGAGGGGAAAGAUAAACAUAGACCAGUUGUUGGCAUGCCUGUUGUUUUAGUUAAAAUAGGAGAUCACUAUUAUCAUCAUUUAUGUGACAUGGGUGCUAGUGUGAGUGCCAUUCCCCACUCCUUAUAUGAAGAAAUUAGAGAUGAAAUAGCACCUGCUGAAUUAGAAGACAUAGAUGUUACUAUUAAACUUGCUAAUAGAGAUACUAUAUCACCCAUUGGGAUUCUUAGAGAUGUUGAAGUCUUGUGUGGGAAGAUAAAAUACCCUACUGAUUUUCUUAUUCUUACCACCCCACAAGAUAAAUUUUGUCCCAUUAUAUUUGGUAGACCUUUCUUGAACACCGUCAAUGCUAAAAUAGAUUGUAAGAAACAAACUGUCGGUGUGAGCUUUGGUGGUGAAUCUCACGAGUUUAAUUUUUCCAAGUUUAGUAGAAAUCAUCAUGACAAAGAAUUGCCUAGUAAGGAUGAACUAAUUGGUCUUGCUUCUAUUGUUGUACCACCUACUGAUCCUUUAGAGCAAUACUUGCUAUACCAUGAGAAUUGUUGAGGAUAUAGACCUUGGAGUCACCCGCCAGGAUGGCCGGGUUACUCUAAGGGUCAUUACCAGAAGCCCGGAGCUAAGUUUCAAGAUAAUGGGCCAGAGAUGGGCUGAGACCCGGAUAUGGCUUAAAGCCCGUAGUUACAAUCAUUGUUAUAGUAGACUUGUAGUGUAAGGCAAGUAUUGAUUAGAGUCCGAGCCGGACGCUCUUAUGAGCCGGCCGGGACUCUAAGGGCUGCUGGGCGUCAGCCUCCCUAUAUAAAGGGAGGACCCGGCAGCGGUUCAAGGGCGACAACAAUCUCUCCGAGAGCCGGGAUAGCUGUUUAGCUCCCUGGCGAUCGUAACCCUAAUCAAUAACACCUCGAACUGGACGUAGGCUUUUACCUUCACCGUAAGGGGCCGAACCAGUAUAAACCCUCGUGUUCCAUGUCCCGCAUAACCCCUUCAAGCUUCCUAGUUGCGAUGGCUCCACGACUAAGUCCUAGCCCAAGGACAUCUGCCGUGACAAUUCCACGACAGUUGGCGCCCACCGUGGGGCAAGCGCACGGUGGAUUUGAGUUCUUGAAGGGCAGCUUCGAAGGGCUCAAGGGAUACGCUGUGGGCCGGAUGACCAAGAGUCGUCGCGGCAGGCUCUACAUCGACGACGCGGACUGGGGCCCCGACGCCGGCUCAGUGGAGUACGGGUACCGGGUCCCCUUUGGCGGAAUUCAUGUCUUCAUUGGCAAGGUUGGUGAGCCGGGACCCGAGCCGGGUCUCUGCGCCGAUCUCAUCGAAACGGCUCAGCGCGCACGACCCGCCCGGGCCCGGCCUGCCUUAAAACGCGCUUUUGUGGGAUGCAUCCAUGGAAGGCCCUCCGAUCCAUCUGGGUCUGGGGAUGAGGCGGCCGCCGGCUCUGACGGCGAGUCGGCCGCUGAUGAGUCAAACUCGUUGUACCAACUUCAAGAUGGCAGGCUCAUGAGUUAUUCCGAUGGCAACAGUAUUCCGGACCUUUUUGAGCCGCCAAGUCAGGUCGGAGUUUUUAUGGCUGGUGCGCAGCCUGUUCAGAACCCCGCUACCGGAUCAGAAAACCCGGAGCCUUCCCCGGCUCAGGUGCUGAUGGAUCUCACAGAUAAGAUGACGGCCCUGUUAACUGCCACGGUUGACCCGGCAGAUCAAGCCCAGCAUGACGCGGAGGUGGCACAGUUAAAAUUGGAUCUGAUGAAAGCAAAAGAGGAUCUUGCAGCAGAAGGGAUCAGGCUGGCGGCGGAGCGGGCGGCUCUCGACGCCCGGACUCAGUUGAUUCAGGCGCAGUCCUUCCAACUCACGAUGGAUCAGAACACGGCCAACGAGGUCAUGAGAAGGAGGCAUCAGAAGGCCCAGUCUCGACUCCCGCCGGUUUACGAUCCGCGCAAUCUAUUCAACACGCCAGGUGCGGGAUCCAGUAACCCACCAGGGGUCAUUGCGCCCGGGUCGGGACCCCUUAUUCAGCCACUAGUAAUGGGGCCUCCCCAGGCGCCCCCUGCCCCGCCUCAGUAUGUGCCAAUACCCCCGGGUCAUUAUGAUAACCCGCUGGAGAACAUGGUAGCUGCGGCAGCACGACUGGCGGCUCUUCCCGUUGACGGCAAUUCUCCGGCAGCCGUCGAAACCCGCCGGGUCAGGGAACUCCUGCAGACGGCCCUAGCGCAGCAAGAGGCGUACUCCUACAGCCGGGACAGGAUCCACUCAACUCCUCGCCCAGGCCAGAGCCCGAGUUACAGCCGGCACAUGGUCUCGGCGACCGGCUCAAGUAAUGUCCGAUGCCAUGACCCACCCCCUGGCCAUGGCCCGGCUCAUGUUGGAACCUUCUACGCCGCAGACCAAGCACGGCAAGAGGCGGAGCAGGUGCCGCAAUUGACGGCUUAUCAGACCCCCCCGGCUUAUCCAACGGCGUCCGUUGAUGUGGGUAUUUCUACCAGGACCGGGGGUGUCCCUUGUUUGGUGCCGGCCAUCCGUAAUGAACGUCUACCUAAGGAUUUCAAGGGCCCUAGGAAGGUGCCUAACUAUACAGCUGACUUACAGCCUGCGGCCUGGAUUGAGAGUUAUGAGAUGGCUAUGGAACUGCUAGAGGUCAGCGAGGCGGCCAUGGCCAAAUAUUUCACCAUGAUGUUAGAUGGAACUGCCCGCACGUGGUUAAAAGGGCUGCCACCAAACUCCAUUGGGUCUUGGACUGAGCUGAAGGCCCGGUUCAUUCAAAACUUCAAGGAUACCUGUAGGCAGUCUAUGUCAAUUGUGGAUUUGACUAACUGUAAGCAGCAGGAGGGUGAGUCCACGACCCAUUGGGUUCGCCGGGUCAAGGAGAUCAUACAUUCAUCAGAUAAGAUGGACGCCGGCUCUGCAGUCUUGAUGUUAGAACAGAACUGUCGUUUUGUGCCCCUAAAGAUGAAGCUUGGGCGGCUUAAACGUGACUGCACGGAUAUGGGUACACUAAUGGCGGCUCUUGUCAAAUACGCGGAUUCCGAUGGUACCAAGGAUCCCCCUUCAGAUGAUGAAAGGACAGGGAAGGGAAAGAAGAACGGCAAUGGCAAGGGCCCUCAGUUUAACCCGGGGAAUCAAGGAGGAGGCAAGCGCAAGGCCGAUGGCAGCCUGGAGUUCGUAGCCAACACCCAAGGCAACAACCAGCGACGCAAGGGGAGGCCCCCUCCCCGAGGCGGCGGGUCAGGACCUUCUCUGGAGCAGCUGUUGAAUGAACCUUGUCCGAGACACGGCUCUAGAGAGAAGCCAGCGACUCAUCUGUGGAAGGAUUGUGCUAUCAUGAAGGCCUUUAAAAACUACAAUGGCCCGGGCGGCGGCCCAGGCGCAGGCGGCUCCGGCGCUGGCGGCUUUCAUGGCCCGGGUGGCGGGUCAAAUUCCGGUCCUCAGAACGGUCAAGGGGGCUUCAAUCAAUAGUCUGGUCAGGGUCAUCAACAGCAACAGGGGGGCUAUCAGACCAACCCAAAGCAACUUAGCGGUGGACAGUAUCACGUGUUCACCACUAGUUUGUGCAAACGAGACGAGAAGCUUCACAAGAGGGCUGUUAAUGCUGUUGAGCCGGCGGUUCCACGCUACUUACGGUGGUCGGAGCAGCCCAUAGUGUGGAUUAGGGAGGAUCACCCUCCCCGGGUGGAUAACCCGGGCCACCUGGCCUUAGUAGUGGCUCCUCAGGUGGGAGGCUAUAAGUUCACAAAGGUACUCAUGGAUGGAGGCAGCAGCAUCAACAUCCUCUAUUAUGAGACUUUCCGUCGUAUGGGGCUAGUUGAUAAGAACCUCAGCCAGUCAAAUACUAUCUUCCAUGGUGUGGUACCCGGUAAGUCGGCUUAUCCAGUCGGCAAGAUCGAAUUGGAAGUGGCUUUUGGUGAUGAAAACAACUACAGGGUGGAGAAGUUGACCUUUGAGGUGGUCAAGAUAAGAAGUCCAUACCAUGCUAUAUUCGGACGGCCGGCUUACGCCAAGUUCAUGGCACGGCCGUGUUAUGUGUACUUACAGCUCAAGAUGCCGGGUCACAAUGGGACCAUUACAGUUCACGGCAGCCGGAAAGUGGCUCUGGAGUGUGAGGAAGGUGACGCGGCUUAUGCAGAGUCUGUUUGUGCCACAGAAGAGUUGAAAUUUUAUAAAGACAAUGUUGACCCAACAGAUAUGACCUCUCUGAAAAAGCCAACCACGGAGAAUGAACCAGCAAUGAAGUUUAAAUCAGCCGAUGAGACUAAACUUGUUGAUUUUGUUCCAGGUGACUCGUCUCAGCAGUUCAGCAUCAGUGCAAAUCUGGACCCGAAAUAGGAAGGCGCGCUCAUCGAGUUCAUCCGUGAGAAUAGGGACAUCUUUGCAUGGAAACCUUCUGACAUGCCAGGUGUACCUAGAGAACUCGCUGAGCACACUCUCAAUGUGGACCCAAAAUUUAAGCCGGUCAGACAGUUCCUUCGACGGUUUAACGAAGAGAGGCGGAAGGCUAUUGGUGAAGAAGUGGCCCGGCUUUUGGCGGCCGGGUUCAUUGUUGAGGUUUUUCACCCAGAGUGGUUGGCUAACCCGGUGCUCGUACUUAAAAAGAACGGCACCUGGCGGAUGUGUGUGGACUACACGGACUUGAACAAGGCGUGUCCGGCUGAUCCUUUUGCUCUCCCCCGUAUCGAUCAAAUCAUUGACGCCACGGCAGGUUGUGCACGCUUAAGUUUCUUGGAUGCUUAUUCCGGGUAUCAUCAGAUUAAGAUGGCAGUUAAGGACCAGGAGAAGACGGCGUUCAUCACUCCCUUUGGAGCCUUCUGCUAUGUGUCUAUGCCCUUUGGACUCAAGUGUGCACAGGCGACUUACCAGCAUUGUGUGCAGAAUUGCCUUCAUAAGCAGAUCGGGCGCAAUGUUCACGCUUACGUGGACGACAUUGUGGUUAAAUCCAUCAAGGAGGAAACCCUGAUAGAUGACUUAAGGGAAACCUUCGACAAUCUCCGGGUCUAUAAGAUGAUGCUUAACCCGGCCAAAUGUGUUUUUGGUGUUCCUGCAGGCAAACUAUUGGGCUUCUUGGUUUCUGACAGGGGCAUUGAGGCUAACCCAGAGAAGAUCAAAGCUAUCACUUCUCUAGCUAAGCCGGCAUGUAUAAAUGACGUUCAGCGUUUGGCGGGUCGCAUCGCUGCGUUAAGCCAGUUUAUAAGCCGUUUGGGUGAGAAGGCUAUGCCCUUAUAUCAAUUGAUGAAGAAAACUGAUAACUUUGUCUGGAAUGAUGCAGCUAAUACCGCCUUCGAGGAUUUGAAAAAGCAACUGGCAGAGCCCCCCGUCCUUGCUGCUCCGGUUGAUAAGGAGCCCUUGCUACUGUAUGUAGCGGCAAACGCACGAGCCGUCAGCGUGGCUAUUGUGGUGGAGCGCAAGGAGGCGGGUAAGGAGCAUCCGGUUCAGCGGCCGGUUUAUUAUGUCAGUGAGGUGCUCAUUGAGUCCAAGCAGCGGUAUCCGCAUUGGCAGAAGCUCGUAUAUGGGGUGUUUAUGGCGAGCCGGAAGCUUAAGCAUUACUUUCAAGGUCAUCCCAUCACUGUGGUCAGUUCCGCCCCUCUCGGUGAUAUUAUCCAGAACAGAGAGGCUACAGGGAGAAUUGCUAAGUGGGCUAUAGAACUUGGACCUCAUGACCUCAAAUAUGUGCCACGCACUGCUGUUAAGUCUCAGGCCUUGAUAGAUUUCAUCAAUGAUUGGACAGAGUCACAAGUACCCGAGCAAAAGCCGGAUAACACUUAUUGGACUAUUCACUUUGAUGGGUCCAGGCAGCUGGAGGGCUCGGGGGCUGGUGUGGUCUUGGCUUCCCCUAAAGGUGACAAGUUCCAUUAUGUGCUACGGUUGAUGUUUCCUUGCACUAAUAAUGCGGCUGAGUACGAGGCUUUGCUCCACGGCCUUCGGGUGGCUAAGGAGAUGAGCUUAAGCCGGCUGAGGUGUUUUGGUGACUCAGACUUGGUGGCUCAACAAGUAUCAGGCACCUGGGAUUCUAAGGAUCCUCUAAUGGCGGCUUAUCGCCGCAAGGUUGAUACCAUUGCCGGGCACUUUCAGGGAUAUCAAGUGGAGCACAUUGACCGCAGGAAGAAUGAGGCGGCUGAUGCUUUAAGCCGGCUCGGCUCUCAGCGAAAGCCGGUGCCGCCUAACACUUUCCUGGAUGUCCUAUAUAACCCUUCGGUUAAGUUGCCUACAGAGGAGGACUUGGCUAUCCCUGACCCGGAGGCACGACUGGUGGCGGCUCUUCAUAUCAUACCAGACUGGACAAUGCCAUAUCUGGCUUAUAUAACCCGGGGAGAGUUGCCUGAGGAUGAAAUUCUGGCCAGGCAAAUAACCCGGCGGGCUAAGUCAAUGAUUGUUAUCGAUGGCGAGUUGCAUCAUCGCAGUGUUUCAGGGGCAUUCCAGCGUUGUAUCUCCCCUGAGGAAGGUCAAGAGAUCUUGCGCGAGAUCCAUGAAGGGGAUUGUGGCCAUCAUGCCGGUUCAAAAUCUCUUGUGGCCAAGGCUUUCCGUCAUGGUUUUUAUUGGCUGACGGCUCACGCUGAUGCAGAGGACUUGGUCAGUAAAUGUGAUGGCUGCCAAAGGUUCUCCCGACGGGCUCAUGUGCCGGCUCAGGAAUUGAGGAUGAUCCUGAUCACUUGGCCCUUUGCGGUCUGGGGGCUUGAUAUGGUCGGGCCUUUUAAACGGUCCAAGGAUAAGAAGACCCACCUCUUGGUGGCAGUGGACAAAUUCACGAAGUGGGUGGAAGCUGAGCCAGUUAGCAAGUGUGAUGCAGCCACGGCGGUUCAAUUUAUGAAAAAGGUGAUCUUCCGCUUCGGCUUUCCACACAGCAUCAUAACAGACAAUGGCACUAAUCUGUCCAAAGGCGCUAUGGAGGAGUUUUGUCAAAGAGAGCAUAUCCGGCUUGAUGUCUCUUCAGUGGCACACCCCCAAUCCAAUGGUCAAGCUGAGAGAGCUAACCAGGAGAUUCUGAAGGGCAUUAAACCCCGGCUCUUGGUCCCUUUGCAACGGACGCCAGGUUGUUGGGUGGAGGAGUUGCCCUCCGUUUUAUGGAGCAUCAACACUACUCCUAACAGGUCUACAGGCUUCACGCCUUUCUUCAUGGUUUAUGGAGCAGAAGCAGUUCUCCCCAGCGACAUCCGUCAUGAUUCACCUCGUGUGGCGGCUUAUGUUGAGACGGGUAAUGAACAGGCGCGCCAAGAUGCUCUGGACUUGCUGGACGAACAGCGUGAUGUGGCAGCCGCCCAUUCAGCGAUUUACCAACAAGACCUGCGCCGUUAUCACGACCACAAGGUCAAAUCCUGGGUCUUCCAGGAGGGCGACCUGGUGCUCCGGCUCAUCCAGGAUCAAACAGAUGCACACAAGUUAUCCCCGCCUUGGGAAGGGCCUUUUGUGGUCAGUAAGAACUUGCACAACGGGUCAUAUUACCUCAUUGAUAUCCGGGAGCAUAAGGACUCGCGUAAAUCUGAGGAGGAGACCCGUCGGCCGUGGAACAUAGCUCAGCUUCGGCCUUACUACACUUGAGCUUCCGACUCUUGUGAUGUACAUAUUUAUCUCAGCCAUGUAUAUAUUAUGAUAAAGCAAUAAAGCAGGACCUCUGUCCUUUGCUCUCUUCCAAAAAUGUGUGUUGUUACAUGCUGACUUACAGAAGAUCCGGCUUAUGAUCAUCUUCGAAUCUAGCUGUAAGCAGUAAAGUCGCUUGGGGGCUUCCUGUUCACACAUGGGUCGUAUUCGAACCAAAGAGAACAUAGCUGUCGAUACCCAUUUGAUUGGCAAAGUGCCGAGCUCAUUGGGAAGUUGCCUCUGGUCAUAUUUGAAUCAUAGUGUAACCCCUCUGAGAACCGACGUGGAUCGUAUUCGAAUCAGCGUCGUUAAACAAAUUUUCAGAAUCACUUGGGGGCUUCCUGUUCAAACAUGGGUCGUAUUCGAACCAAAGAGAACAUAACUGUCGAUACCCUCUUGAUUGGCGUCGCCAAACCCACUGGGGGCUAUAUGAUCGUAUCCGAAUCUUAGCUUAACCCCUUUGGACCGAGUUUCUGGUCGUAUUCGAACCGGAAGCCCUUAAGUUUUUAUAUUUUACCACAAACUUGCUUUGAUCAUGUCAAAGUAUGUACUGCCGGGUUUCACUUGCCGGCUUAAUUUUGGUUUAUCUUGUUAGUUGAGCAUCAUGGAUGUCAUCAAGACAAAUAAAUUCGAGUUAAGGUACCAACCGUGCUACCCGGGUUAUUUAACCCGGAAGUAUGCUUACAGGCUGUUAAGUGUGUCAUCACAGCUAUGUUCGAGUAUAGUUAAGGACCAAUCUUUUUUGGUUCGUAUCCCGGGUUAUCCAUCUCAAACACCUGAUUCUCAGGGCGGUAAGCCGCCUUGCGACUUGUAAUUUGCCUUUCUAUGCAGAUAUUUAAAGGCACUUUUUAAGGUUGAGAAGGACAAAGGGAUAAUUACGACCCGGAGGAGCAUCAAAAGAAUGACUUCAAAGGAUUUCAGCAUUCAUUACAUGCACGAUGGCACGGCAGAGAUAAAUUGUUGCACCUACUCUAUUACAAAAAUCUUUCAAAGUUUCAAGGAUGGGGCGUUGUUUGGUGAGCCGCUAGCCGGUUUAUGACGCCUGCUGAGUUGAAGUCCCCGGCUCAUCUUCUGCUUCGGCUGAUCCCAAGGCUUCGAAGGUCGACGACUUCCAAUUGAUGCCGCUGAGAGCUUCGAACUGAGCUUCUUCGUCAAUUAACCCGGCCGGGUUAAUCUCCAGGGCGAAGGUGUGCUGGCGAGCCGGGGGAAUCAGAUUGAUAGCUUCAUAGCGAGGGGUUGGAAUCCUCUGAUUCUCCGCGUUGUAUCCCGGCUGAUACUUGGUUAAAUCGGUGUCGUUCCCGAUGAUGGUGGCCACCGGGCGCACAGCCUUCACACAAGCCGCGAAGUCCUUCUGGUCGAACGCUGAGCCGUCUUCUUUCAGGCUGGGGUAACCCAGGGCGAUAUCUGCCGGGUCUAGCUCCGGCAAGAAGGCUUUGGCCCGGCUCAGUGCGGCGAUUGCUCCGGAUCUCGCGGAUGCUCGUCGUAGCUCCUGGAUCCGCUACGGCAGAACUGCGAGCCGGCGCAGGACUUCGGCCAGAUGAGUCGGCACUUCAUUUGACAGGGCCACCACAGCUAAGGCCCGCUGUGACCCGGUGUAGAGCUGUUCCACCAGGGUGUACACGGCCUUUAACUUGGUGACCACGCUCUGGUUCAAGUUGGCGCUUCUGGAACCUGUUUAACAACAUCAGAUGACCCGGUGAUAAGGAUGAGUUAAGAGAUGUAAACAUUCCAACUUGAAUGAAAACCGGUGAGGCAACUUACCGAAGAUGGCAGCUACCAUUUGGGACACUUGGCGCUUUAGACCGGAGAGCUCAGCGGUCUUCUCAGUGAGGGCCUUCUCCGCCUGUUCUGCCCGGGUCACCAGUGCAGCUUUCUCCUCAGCCCAGGCCUUCCGCCCAGCGUCGAAUUCAGUCUUCAAUUUCUCCUGAGCGGCGAUGCUGGAGACAAACUUGGCAUUUGCCUUCCGGGUCUCCAUCUCUUGUGCCUUCAGCCGGCUCUUGAGAUCCGCCAGGUCCGACACUAAUUUCUUGCCAACAGCCUGCAUAUAUUUCCGGGUUAUUAACAGUCAUUCUAUAAAGUCCCAAGCGCUUUCCAAGCAAAGACACUUGGCACUUGGGGGCUAAUGCAUAUUGAACGUAUCUAUCUAUGUACGGCCGGCUCAGUUCAGUAAGCCGGAAUCUAAAGUCUACAACAUAUUCAAGUAUAAGUCCUAGACUUGGGGGCUAGAAUGGCAAGGAUCACUAUGCGGAAAGUAAGAGAACAGCAGAAGGUUACCUCAGAUUUUUGUUGGAUCUGGUUGACCAUGGCGAUCUCGGCGUCCCGGCUCUUGUGAACCUGGCUGAUGUAGCCUGAGACGAGUUCUCCAAUACUUAAGUCGGUGUAGCUGGAGAGAUCCAGAUUCACCAGGUGGGGUUGCAGCAACUCCCCCCUGGCGGAGCAUUUGGCCAGCGCGGUCGGCCUCCCCGGCUCAACAAACUCCGUCCGGGUAAUUACCACGUUCGGGUCGUUAGCUGGUGGGGCUGAGCCGGAGGCCUCCGGGUUAGCUAAUGCUUCGGUCGUUGUCUUGGUGGUCGGGGCAGGGGCUUCAGGCGCCGUAUCCAUGGGAAUGGUGGCUUCAGGGGCGGAGGCGACUGGCGGCUCUUGAGCCGUCGUCUCCGGCUCAGGCAAGUCGGGCACUCCGGCUGACCUGGUCUUCUUUGCUCUUUUGGUGAGCUUUGCCUGGGCACUGAAAAGGCAGAAGUGUUAGGCAUACAAAGGGUAAGUACAGACAGAUAAUGUAAGGAGAUUGUUAUUACCCGGGGGCAGUCUUGAAGGCCGGCAGACUUGACUGCAUGGAGUCACCCGAGGAGGGGGAGGUCUCCUGGUAAUUGGAGUCAGAAGAGUUGAGUGGCUGACAGAUGACACCCGCCAACGGAUGAAAAGGGUACAGGUGAGAAAAAACCUCAGUGCGGUGUUUCCUCGUUGCGUCGGGUAACCCAGUGGAGAGGUCGGUGUCCUUGCGGGCCCGGGUGUGACGCCGGCUCUCGUGAACCCGCUGCUUCAAAAGAAAUUGAGGGUCUCGGUGAGCUAAUGGAUGGGAAAAGCUUACUUUCCGGGUUACCCUUCGGACUUUCAGCUGUGGUAAAGGCUCCGAGCCGGAGGAAAGUGAUGUUACCUCUUCGACCACCGGGUUACUGGCGCCGGUGUCAUCCUGUCAAUAAGCAAGUGUUGAUAAGGCGGACAGCAUCAGACAACAUAUACUGCAAGAAUUUAAAAGAUUUAAGGGUUACCUCUGACUCGGAGCUAUCGCUUAAUUGCAGCAGCUCCGAAGCAGUGGGUCUGUUUCCCUUUUUGCGAGGGGCGGCUCUCUUGGCGGCUUUCUUCGCCUUCCUGGCCUUCUUGGCCGCCUCGUGGUCAUACUUGACCCGCCAGAAUUUAUCAUCAGCCUGAGAAAUACAGUAAUGAGUUCUUAGUAAGAUGACAGGUAAAACAAAAUGGAAAGGUUAAAGUCAGCGGCUUAUCGCUGGGGCUGGAUUGGUCUUGCAGAACGGGGCUAGCCCGGUUCUUCCACAGUCUGCCAGGCUCUCGUUUAAAAGAGCCUUGGUCUCUUCUUCAGCAACGUCUUCUGGAAGAUCAUUGCGAUUGUGCCUCUGCGGGUCAUCCUUUCGCCCGGUGUACUCACACAUUAAGCCGGGGCGGCGGCUCAAUGGGAUCACCCACCAUGAGAUCCAGACCCGGACCAGGUCAAUUCCGUUCAGACCAUUGCCUAGCAGGGCUUUGAUCUUGUUGAUCGUUGGAAGCAGAGGCUGGCGUUCUGCGGCAGUCAGCUUGUCGGAUAAUGGAUGAGUUGGCUCCAGGCGCGUUGGGCGAAAGCCGGGCAGCGGGCUCUCAUCAGCCGGGGACGUGUCUUGGCAGUAGAACCAAGUCAUGUUCCAGUCCUUGGGGUGACUUGGCGGUUCUGCGUAAGGGAACAGACAAUCCCUGCGUCGUUGGAUGGAGAUGCCGCCUAACUCUAGACUUGGACCGUUUGCGCACUCGGUUUGGCGGUUCAAAUAGAACAGCUCUCUGAAGAGCAGCAGACUCGGCUCUUCUCCAAGAUAUACUUCACAAAAAACUUGGAAGUUGCAGAUGUUGGAUAUGGAAUUGGGUCCUAUAUCCUGAGGCCGAAGAUCAAAGGAGUUGAGCACAUCCCGGAAGAAUUUUGAGCCAGGCGGUGCGAAGCCCCGGCUCAUAUGGUCGGCAAAGAUCACUACCUCCCCGUCUCUCGGCUGUGGCCUUUCUUCGGAUGGGUCAGGGGCACGGUAGGACAUCACUUCCUUCUUAGGCAGGUAUCCGGACUUAACGAAGUUGGCCAGGGUCUCUUCGGUGACGCUGGAUUUCAUCCAGUUGCAAGUGAUGGGAGCCUUGGGAGGCAUGGUGACGGUUGGUGGUCUACGAGGAAGAGAAAAGUGUCCGGGUUAAUUAUAAGCCGGAGUUUAUCAUUCAAGUUACAAUGACGGCUUAUGAAGGGGACUAAUGGUAUGUAUUGAUACGGUGGGUUAUCUAAAGCCAUCGGGGCUUUCAGGAUAAGUUGGUCGUCUACGGCUUACUGCGGUUAAGUCGGAAGAUACUACAGAGCAUGAUUCUCUUUAAACCGGAAAGUUCUACGGCGCGUGUUUUCUCUAAGUCAGAAAUAUAAGCCGCCAAGAUUCAAGGACUGCAGUUUUUACGAAGUGUGGUAAACAGAUUUCACAUAUUACAGUAACUUUUUUGGAUCAAAGUAGUCGGAGCAGAGAAAGUUUUCUAGACCUAAAAAACAGAGGCAGGAGAAGUUUUUGAGGUUGAACACAGUUCUUAUGCAGUAAAAAGAGGGUUUCUUACAGAUGAAAUGGGUCUCAAACCUCUACCGCAGUGGUUUUACGCGAGGUUAAGGAUCAACCAACUACGGUGGCAACAAGAACUACCGAGUUUGUGGGCAAUGGUGACGAACACGAAGAACUGAAGGAACCCUACCGCAGUUCUAUUCUAGCAAGGCAGAGAAGACUCACCGGAGUUGAGGAAGAAAGGAGGUCGCCGGCGUUAUCUGGUCCGGGUCAGGGUGAUGCAGCAGCCGGGUCGAUGAAGAUCAAGGGCGCGACGGCGGCGGCGGCGGCAGAAGCUCGGGCAGAGGAACGACAACGCAAGGAAGAAGAAGGAGAGUGUGAGAAGAGAGUGCCGGGCCGGCCUAUUUAUAAGGUGAGUCAUAAGUAGGUGCGGGGUUCAAGGAGGCCACGGCGUGAUUAUCUCCCCCUCACGGCGCCUCGAUUCUCGGAAGGACAGUAAAAGCAAAGAUCCGUUGCGGAUCUGGCGGAGUAAAAAACGGACUUAAUGGAGGAUGACGUCACGGCGGAUUACCCGGGGUCCAGAGGAUGACGUCACUCCGGGUUAUGACCUUUACAUGAAUAGAAGCCGGGGAUUUUUUUUUCUGUCUGCAGAGCUGAAGAUUGACCCGAGCCGGCUCAAGUCAAUCUGGGGCCUAAUGUUGAGGAUAUAGACCUUGGAGUCACCCGCCAGGAUGGCCGGGUUACUCUAAGGGUCAUUACCAGAAGCCCGGAGCUAAGUUUCAAGAUAAUGGGCCAGAGAUGGGCUGACACCCGGAUAUGGCUUAAAGCCCGUAGUUACAAUCAUUGUUAUAGUAGACUUGUAGUGUAAGGCAAGUAUUGAUUAGAGUCCGAGCCGGACGCUCUUAUGAGCCGGCCGGGACUCUAAGGGCUGCUGGGCGUCAGCCUCCCUAUAUAAAGGGAGGACCCGACAGCGGUUCAAGGGCGACAACAAUCUCUCCGAGAGCCGGGAUAGCUGUUUAGCUCCCUGGCGAUCGUAACCCUAAUCAAUAACACCUCGAACUGGACGUAGGCUUUUACCUUCACCGUAAGGGGCCGAACCAGUAUAAACCCUCGUGUUCCAUGUCCCGCAUAACCCCUUCAAGCUUCCUAGUUGCGAUGGCUCCACGACUAAGUCCUAGCCCAAGGACAUCUGCCGUGACAAUUCCACGACAAGAAUGAUUUACAUAUGCAUGAAAGAAAUGAAAUAGAUAAGAUCUUCUUCGAACAACGUCCUCUGCUUAAACACAAUUUGCCUAUUGAAACUCUUGGAGGUCCUCCUCCACCUAAGGGUGACCCUGUGUUUGAGUUAAAACCAUUGCCAGACACUUUGAAAUAUGCUUAUCUUGAUGAAAAGAAGAUAUAUCCUGUUAUUAUCAGUGCUAACCUUUCAGAACAUGAAGAAGAAAGAUUAUUGAAAGUUCUAAGGAAGCACCGAGCUGCCAGUGUUUGAGGAAUACUCUUGAUGAUUUAAAGGGAAUUAGUCCCACUCUAUGUCAGCAUAAAAUUAAUAUGGAACUUCAUGCUAAACCAUUUGUUGAUCAUCAACGUCGGUUAAAUCCGAAGAUGAAAGAAGUGGUGAGAACGGAAAUAUUAAAACUUCUAGAAGCAGGUAUAAUCUACCCUAUAGCUGAUAGUAAAUGGGUAAGUCCUGUUCAUUGUGUCCCUAAGAAGGGAGGUAUUGUUGUUCCUAAUGAUAAGAAUGAGCUUAUUCCACAAAGAAUUGUCAUGGGCUAUAGAAUGGUUAUUGAUUAUAGAAAAUUAAAUAAGGCCACUAGAAAAGAUCAUUACCCUCUUCCUUUUAUUGAUCAAAUGUUAGAAAGACUAUCUAAGCACACACAUUUUUGCUUCCUUGAUGGAUACUCUGGCUUUUCACAAAUACUUGUUUUACAAUCUGAUCAAGAAAAGACCACUUUUACUUGUCCUUUUGGAACAUUUUCUUAUAGACGUAUGCCUUUCGGUUUAUGUAAUGCACCUGCUACCUUUCAAAGAUGUAUGACUGCUAUAUUCUCUGACUUAUGUGAAAAGAUUGUUGAGGUUUUCAUGGAUGACUUUUUUGUUUAUGGGAAGUCCUUUGAUGAUUGUUUAAGCAAUCUUGAGCGAGUUUUGCAGAGAUGUGAACAAACAAAUCUUGUCUUGAACUGGGAGAAGUGCCACUUUAUGGUUAAUGAGGGCAUUGUAUUGGGUCAUAAAAUUUCUGAAAGAGGUAUUGAAGUGGCCCAAGGUAAGGUUGAUGCAAUUGAGAAAAUGCCAUGUCCUAAGGACAUCAAAGGUAUUCGUAGUUUCCUAGGUCAUGCUGGUUUCUAUAGGAGAUUUAUUAAAGACUUCUCUAAAAUUUCUAGGCCUCUUACUAGUCUUUUGCAAAAGGAUGUUCCUUUUGUUUUUGAUGAUGAUUGUUUAGAAGCCUUUGAAACACUCAAGAAAGCCUUAAUUUCUACACCUAUUGUUCAACCACCUGAUUGGAACUUGCCUUCUGAAAUUAUGUGUGAUGCUAGUGAUUAUGUUGUUGGUGCUGUUCUAGGACAAAGAGUUGAUAAGAAAUUGAAUGUUAUUCAUUAUUCUAGUAAAACUCUAGAUAGUGCUCAAAGAAAUUAUGCUACUACUGAAAAGAAUUUUUAGCAGUGGUGUUAGCUUGUGAUAAAUUUACACCUUAUAUUGUUGAUUCCAAAGUAAAUGUUCACACAGACCAUGCUGCUAUUAAAUAUCUUAUGGAAAAGAAAUAUACUAAACCUAGACUUAUUCGUUGGGUUCUCUUGUUACAAGAAUUUGAUUUACAUAUCAUUGAUAGAAAAGGAGCUGAGAACCCAGUAGCAGAUAACUUGUCUAGGCUUGAAAAUUUGCUUGAUGACCCACUACCUAUUGAUGAUAGUUUUCCGGAUGAGCAGUUGGCUGCAAUAAAUGUUGCUAUUGUACUCCUUGGUAUGCUAAUUAUGCUAAUUACAUUGCUGCUAAAUAUUUACCUCCUAGCUUUACAUACCAACAAAAGAAAAAAAUUCUUCUAUGAUUUAAGACAUUACUUUUGGGAUGGCCCACGUCUUUAUAAAGAAGGAGUAGAUGGUAUUAUUAGACGUUGUGUACCUGAGCAUGAACAGGGACAAAUCCUACGGAAAUGUCACUCCGAAGCUUAUGGAGGGCAUCACGCUGGAGAUUGAACUGCUCACAAGGUAUUGCGAUCUGGAUUUUAUUGGCCUACUCUCUUCAAGGAUGCCCGUAAGUUUGUCUCAUCUUGUGAUGAAUGCCAAAGAAUAGGUGAUAUUGGUAAGCGUCAAGAAAUGCCUAUGAAUUAUUCACUUGCUGUUGGACCAUUUGAUGUUUGGGGAUUUGAUUACAUGGGACCUUUUCCUUCCUCUAAUGGGUAUACACAUAUUUUGUUUACUGUUGAUUAUGUUACUAAAUGGGUAGAAGCUAUUCCAACUAGUAGUGCUGAUCACAACACCUCUAUUAAAAUGCUUAAGGAAGUUAUUUUCCCAAGGUUUGGAGUCCCUAGAUUUAAUGACUGACGGUGGUUCACACUUUAUUCAUGGUGCUUUUCGUAAAAUGCUUGCCAAGUAUGAUGUUAACCAUAGAAUUGCAUCACCUUAUCAUCCUCAGUCUAGUGAUCAGGUUGAACUUAGUAAUAGGGAAAUAAAAUUAAUUCUGCAAAAGACUGUCAAUAGGUCGAGGAAGAAUUGGUCUAAGAAAUUAGAUGAUGCACUUUGGGCUUAUAGAACAGCAUAUAAAAAUCCUAUGGGUAUGUCUCCUUAUAAAAUGGUUUGUGGAAAAGCUUGUCAUUUGCCUCUUGAGUUAGAACAUAAAGCAUACUGGGCAAUUAAAGAACUCAACUAUGAUUUCAAACUUGCCGGUGAAAAGAGGUUAUUUGAUAUUAGCUCUUUACAUGAAUGGAGAACCCAGGCUUAUGAAAAUGCAAAAUUAUUCAAAGAGAAAGUUAGAAGAUGGCAUGACAAAAGAAUCCAAAAGCGUGAGUUCAAAGUCGGAGAAUAUGUUCUUUUGUACAACUCUCGUUUUAGAUUUUUUGCAAGAAAGCUCCUCUCGAAAUGGGAAGGCCCAUAUGUCAUCGAGGAGGUUUACCAGUCUGGAGCCAUCAAAAUAAAUAAUUUCAAAGGCACUAACCCGAAGGUUGUCAACGGACAACGAAUAAAGCAUAUAUCUCAGGUACGCCUAUCAAUGUUGAAAGUAAUAUUAUCCAAACUUUGACACCGGAGGAACACAUAAAAGAGUCCUUCCAGAACACCCCAGAAUCGUCAAAAUAAGGAGGUACGUAAUACGGUAAGUAUCUGAAAAAUCCACAAAAAUAUUUUUUUUAUUUUGGAAUACUUUAGAAUUUUGGAAAUAAAGAAAAUCCCAGGAAACGUCCCCUGGUGGGCAUAAGACACCAGGGCGCGCCAGGCAUGCCUGGUGCGCCCAGGUGGGUUGUGCCCACCUGGGGCACCCACCGGAUUCUGUUUUUCUUCUAUUUAUUUGUCCUGCAAGAUAAAAAAAUUGUAUAUACUUCCCGAACCAGCUAACCUCCGUAUCGCGAAGAAAUCCUCUGUUCUCUUUUCUUGCUGUUCCUGGUCAGAUUUGUCAAGCAAGGAAGCUACCGUAAAUCCAUCCCCGGUGACAACAUGAGCACUGUUUGCCGAGGAGGAGGAAGAAGCUUCUUCACCACCAAGGGAGAACUGAGUAUCGGGUAUGGGCACUCCCCUUGGCUUCCGCCAAGCUUGGGGGAGGUGCCCCGGUAUCGUAUCAUCCCACUAUCUUUUUGCUUUUACGUAUCUUAGUUCAAUCUUUUUGCUUUAGAUGAAAUAAAGUUAGUUCGAUCCUUUCUUAUUUGAGAGUCUGCUUAGUGAUCUAUCCUCGUAAUCGUGUGCAAGUUAUAUAAUAAAGUUAGUCUGAGUUUUGCUUCCUUUACUUUCAUGUUGCGAAUAAAGAAAAGAGAUAAGAAAGGAAGAAAAAUAAAUAAAUAAAAGAAAGGAAAUAAAUCAAUAAGAUCAUAUACUAAUCCUAUGGUAGGUAAUAGCACCACAUAAGGAAAAGUUUAAGUAGGAAAUUUUGUUAGAGAUUGACAAACAGAGAUUAGUAAAUGAUGCAACUCAUGAAAGAAUUAAUAAGGGAAGAGAAUAUUCACAUAUAAAUAUACUAUCCUAGAAAUCUUUUGUGAUUGUGAGCCCUCAUCAAAAUAUUAUAUGCCAAAAUUGUUGACGUUGGAGAAGGAAGACAACUUAAUGAUUUAUGUAUAUUUAUAUUCACAUAGAAGUCAUAUUGUCAUAGAUCCUUUAACAUGUGAUGCUUGCCCCUAUCUUUGCUAGCCAAAAAUUCCACACCAAGUAGAGAUACUACUUGUGCAUCCAAAACCCUUAAACCCAAAUCUUUUUCAAGUGUCCACCAUACCUACCUAUGGAUCGAGCAAGAUCCCUCAAGUAAGUUGUCAUCGGUGCAAAAAGGCAAUAAAAUUGCUUCUAAAUAUGUGAGAUCAUUUAGUGUAAGAAAAAAUUGAGCGUUGUACGAACUUGGAUGACAAAGAAUAAAAGCGACAGACUACAUGAUAAAGGUUGUCAUCUUAAGGGGCAAUACAACGUGACGUUCUCUUGCACUAAGGGAUUGAGCAUGCAAACAAAUAAGCGCAUGGCAACCUCUGCUUCCCUCUGCGAAGGGCCUAUCUUUUACUUUUAUGUAUUUACUUUUAUGCAAAGAGUCAAAGUUUUCCUUCUAUUCCUUUUUAUUUUCUCUUUUGGCAAGCAUCAUGUGGUGAGGAAAGAUCUAGGCACAUAUGUCCAGUUGAAUAUAGAUAGCAUGAGUUAUUAUUGUUGACAUCACCCUUGAGGUGAGUAUGUUGGGAGGUGAAACUAUGAGCCCCUAUCUUUCUAGGUGUCCGGUUGAGAUGUUUUGCUCAUGGGUACGAGGUGAGUGUUAGCAAUCAUAGAAUAGUAUAUGAUGGUUGAGUAUGUGGACUUGCUAGAAGGCUCCGACACGUGUCUCUUGCUGAAAAGAUGAUGAAUUGUAGUUGCAAAGUUGACUGAGAGCAAAGUUUGUUGGUUUUUAAUAGAGUUUUUGCUUUAUACUUCGAUUGCGUGAUGAACUGUUACUUAUUGAUGGGAAGUAUAUGAUGCAAGUUCGAUGAUAAAAGUCCUAUGUUCAAUUUUGUUGCUAUUAUAAUAAUCAACAUGAUGCUUCCAUGUCCGUAUUUUUGUUUUUAUCGACACCUCUCUCUCAAAGCAUGUGGACAUAUUUUUUGAUUUCGUUUUUCACUUGAGGACAAGCAAGGUCUAAGCUUGGGGGAGUUGAUACGUCCAUUUUGCAUCAUGUUUUCAUACUUUUAUUUAUAAUGUUUUUAUCCAUAAUAAUGCUUUUUGGAGUAAUUCUAAUGCCUUUUCUCUCAUAAUUUGCAAGGUACACACUAAGAGGGAGAAUUCUGGCAGCUGGAAAUCUGGACCUGAAAAAGCUACGUCAGGCUAACUAUUCUACACAACUCGAAACAAGCUGAGCCUUCAUGGAGAAUUUUUAUGGAAUAUUUAAGGAAUAUUGGAGCAAAUAACUACCAGAGGGGGCCCACCAGGUGGGCACAACCCACCUGGGCGCGCCAGGGAGCCCAGGCGCACCCUGGUGGGUUGUGCCCUCCUCGGCCCACCUCCGGUGCCCAUCUUCUGGUAUAUAAGUCAUUUUGACCUAGAAAAAAAUAAGAGGAGGACAUUCGGGACGAAGCGCCGUCGUCUCGAGGCGGAACUUGGGCAGGAGAACUUUUGCCCUCCGGCGGGGCGAUUCCGACGGGGGAACUUCCCUCCCGGAGGGGGAAAUCAUCGUCGUCAUCAUCACCAACAACUCUCCCAUCUUGGGGAGGGCCAUCUUCAUCAACAUCUUCACAGCACCAACUCCUCUCAAACUCUAGUUCAUCUCUUGUGUUCAAUCUUUGUAUCAAAACUAUAGAUUGGUGCCCGUGGGUGACUAGUAGUGUUGAUUACAUCUUGUAGUUGAUUACUAUAUGGUUUAUUUAGUGGAAGAUUAUAUGUUCAGAUCCAUUAUGCUAUUCAAUACCCCUCUGAUCUUGAGCAUGUCUAUCAUUUGCGAGUAGUUACUUUCAUUCUUGAGGUCACGGGAGAAAUCAUGUUGCAAGUAAUCAUGUGAAUUUGAUAUGUGUUCGAUAUUUUGAUAGUAUGUAUGUUGUUAUUCCCUUAGUGGUGUCAUGUGAACGUCGACUACAUUACACUUCACCAUAUUUGGGCCUAAGGGAAUGCAUUGUGGAGUAGUAAUUAGAUGGUGGGUUGCGAGAGUGACACAAACUUAAACCCCAGUUUAUGCACUAUUCCGUAAGGGACCGAUUGGAUCCUAGAGUUUAAUGCUAUGGUUAGAAUUUAUUCUUAAUACUUUUCCUGUAGUUGCGGAUGCUUGCGGGAGGGUUAAUCAUAAGUAGGAGGUUUGUUCAAGUAAGAACAUCACCUAAGCACCAGUCCACCCACAUAUCAAAUUAUCAAAGUAGCAAACACAAAUCAAACCAACAUGACGAAAGUAACUAGAUGAAAUUCCCGUGUACCCUCAAGAACACUUUGCUUACCAUAAGAAACCAUUUUGGCAUGUCCUUUGCCUCAAAAGGAUUGGGCUACCUUGCUGUACUUUCGUUACUACUAUUGUUACUUGCUCGUUACAAAUUAUCUUGCUAUCAAACUACUCGCUACUUACAGUUUCAGCACUUGCAGACAUUACCUUACUAAAACUAUUUGUCAUUUCCUUCUGCUCCUUGUUGGGUUCGACACUCUUACUUAUUGAAAAGAGCUACAAUUGACCCCCUAUACUUGUGGGUCAUCAAUCACACUAUCAAAGUGUUUAUUCCAAUUUCGAGAGGCUUGCACCAGUCCAUAAAUGGAUCGCUGGAGCUUGCACACUUUGUCAGCACCCUUUGGAUCGACAAAACCUUCUGGUUGCAUCAUAUACAACUCUUCUUCCAGAAAUCCAUUCAGGAAUGCAGUUUUGACAUCCAUCUGCCAAAUUUCAUAAUCAUAAAAUGCAACAAUUGCUAACAUGAUUCGAACAGACUUAAGCAUCUCUAUGGGUGAGAAAGUCUCAUCGUAGUCAACUCCUUGAACUUGUCGAAAACCUUUCGCAACAAGUCGAGUUUUGUAUACAGUGACAUUACCAUCAACGUCAGUCUUCUUCUUGAAGAUCCAUUAUUUUCUAUGGCUUGCCGAUCACCGGCAAAUCCACCAAAGUCCACACUUUGUUCUCAUACAUGGAUCCCAUCUUAGAUUUCAUGGUCUCAAGCCAUUUCGCGGAAUCUGGGCUCAUCAUCGCUUCCUCAUAGUUCGUAGGUUCAUCAUGGUCUAGUAACAUGACUUCCAGAAUAGAAUUACCGUACCACUCUGGUGCGGACCGUAGUUGACCUACGAGGUUCGGUAGUAACUUGAUCUGAAGUUUCAUGAUCAUCAUCAUUAGCUUCUUCACUAAUUUGUGUAGGAAUCACCGGAACUGAUUUCUGUGAUGAACUACUUUCCAAUUCGGGAGAAGGUACAAUUACCUCAUCAAGUUCUACUUUCCUCCCACUCACUUCUUUCGAGAGAAACUCCUUCUCUAGAAAGGAUCCAUUCUUAGCAACGAAUAUCUUGCCUUCGGAUCUGUGAUAGAAGGUGUACCCAAUAGUCUCCUUUGGGUAUCCUAUGAAGACACAUUUCUCCGAUUUGGGUUCGAGCUUAUCAGGUUGAAGCUUUUUCACAUAAGCAUCACAGUCCAAACUUUAAGAAACGACAGCUUAGGUUUCUUGCCAAACCACAGUUCAUACGGUGUCGUCUCAACGGAUUUAGAUGGUGCCCUAAUUAACGUGAAUGUAGCUGUCUCUAAUGCAUGACCCCCAAAACGAUAGCGGUAAUCAGUAAGAGACAUCAUAGAUUGCACCAUAUCUAAUAAAGUAUGGUUACGACGUUCGGACACACCAUUACGCUGUGGUGUUCCAGGUGGCGUGAGCUGUGAAACUAUUUCACAUUGUUUUAAUGAAGGCCAAACUCGUACCUCAAAUAUUCGCCUCUGCGAUCAGAUCGUAGAAACUUUACUUUCUUGUUACGAUGAUUCUCCACUUCACUCUGAAAUUCUUUGAACUUUUCAAAUGUUUCAGACUUGUGUUUCAUCAAGCAGAUAUACCCAUAUCUUCUCAAAUCAUCUGUGAAGGACAGAAAAUAAUGAUACCCGCACCACGAGCAUCAACACUCAUUGGACCGCAUACAUCAGUAUGUAUUAUUUCCAAUAAGUCAGUAGCUCGUUCCAUUAUUCUGGAGAACAGAGUUUUAGUCAUCUUGCCUAUAAGGCACGUUUCGCGAGUAUCAAAUGAUUCAUAAUCAAGUGAUUCCAAAAGUCCAUCUUUAUGGAGUUUCUUCAUGCGCUUUACACCGAUAUGACCCAAAUGAUAGUGCCACAAAUAAGUUGCACUAUCAUUAUCAACUUUGCAUCUUUUGGCAUCAAUAUUAUGAAUAUGUGUAUCACUACGAUCGAGAUUCAAUAAACCAUCAACAUUGGGUGUAUGACCAUAGAAGGUUUUAUUCAUGUAAACAUAAUAACAAUUAUUCUCUGUCUUAGAUGAAUAACCGUAUUGCAAUAAACAUGAUCUAAUCAUAUUCAUGCUCAACGCAAACACCAAAUAACAUUUAUUUAGGUUCAACACUAAUCCCGAAAGUAUAGGGAGUGUGCGAUGAUGAUCAUAUCAAUCUUGGAACCACUUCCAACAUACAUCGUCACUUCAUCCUUAACUAGUCUCUAUUUAUUCUGUAACUCCUGUUUCAAGUUACUAAUCUUAGCAACCGAACAAGUAUCAAAUACCCAGGGGCUACUAUGAACACUAGCAAGGUACACAUCAAUAAGCUAUAUAUCAAAUAUACCGUUGUUCACUUUGCCAUCCCUCUUUUCCACCAAAUAUUUGGGGUAGUUCCGCUUCUAGUGACCAUUUCCUUUGCGGUAGAAGCACUCAGUUUCAGGCUUAGGUCUAGCUUUGGGCUUCUUCACGGGAGAUACAACUUGCUUGCCAUUCUAUUUGAAGUUCCCUUUCUUUCGAUUUGCCCUUUUCUUGAAACUACUGGUCUUGUCAAUCAUCAACACUUGAUGCUUUUUCUUGAUUUCUACCUUCAUCGAUUUCAGCAUCAUGAAGAGCUUGGGAAUCGUUUUAGUCAUCCCUUGCAUACUAUAGUUCAUCACGAAGUUCCAGUAACUUGGUGAUGGUGAAUAGAGAACUUUGUCAAUCACUAUCUUAUCUAGAAGAUUAGCUCCCACUUGAUUCAAGCGAUUGUAGUACCCAGACAUUCUGAGUACAUGCUCACCAGCUGAGCAAUUCUCCUCCAUCUUUUAGGCGAAGUACUUGUCAGACGUCUCAUACCUCUCGACAUGGGCAUGAGUAUGAAAUACCAAUUUCAUCUCUUGGAACAUCUCAUAUGCUCUGUGGCGUUCAAAACAUUUUUUGAAGUCCCGGUUCUAAGCCGUAAAGCAUGGUGCACUAAACUAUCAAGUAGUCAUCAUAUUGAGCUAGCCAAACGUUCAUAACGUCUGCGUUUGCUCCUGCAAAAGGUUUGUCACCUAGCGGUGCAUCAAGGACAUAAUUCUUCUCUGCAGCAAUGAUGUUGGGGAUAUAACUACUAGGUAUGACCCGCCCAGGAGGGGCCGGGUUAUACUUAUGGCGAUUCAUCAUGUGAAGGCCAAGACGAUACUUGAAGAUGGCGGUUCAGUUAAGGGCCCAAGGCCCAAAGGCGGCUUAAGGCCCGUAGUGAUAAACCGCCAUAUAUGUAUGACUUGUAUUGUAAGGCAGGAAUAGAUAGAGACCGAGCCGGACACUGUUUAUGAGCCGGCCGGGACUCUGCGAGCCGCUAGGCGUCGACCUCUGUAUAUAAAGGGACGACUCGGCGGCGGUUCAGGACAAGUAACAUCAGAUCGAAAGCUAGGUCAAGCGAAUUCGCUCCCUGGUAAUCGAAACAUAAGCAAUUCCACCUCAAACUGGAUUAAGACAUUACCUUCACCGCAAGGGGCCAAACCAGUAUAAACUCCCGUGUCAUUUGUCCCGUUUUAACCCCUUUAAGCUUCCUAGUUGCGAUGGCUCCACGACUAAGUCCUUUUGCUAGGACAUCUUCCGUGACGUUUCCACGAUAGUUGGCACCCACUGUGGGGCCGGCGCACGGUGGAUUUGGGUUCUUAAAGGGCAACUUCGAAGGGCUCAAGGGAUACGCUGUGGGCCGGAUGACCAAGAGUCAUCGUGGCAAGCUCUACAUCGACGACGCGGGCUGGGGCUCCGAGACCGGCUCAAUUGAGUACGAGUACCGGGUCCCCUUCGGCGGAAUCCACGUAUUCAUCGGCAAGAUCGGCGAGUCGGGCCCUGAGCCGGACAUCUGCACCAACAUCAUCGAGAUGGCUCAGUGUGCGAGACCCGCCCGAGCUCAGCCCGCCGUGAAGCGUGCCUUCGUGGGAUGCAUCCAUGGAGGGGAAUUUUCUGAAGGAUCUAUGUCUGGCGGUGAGACGGCCAUCUACUCUGAUGGUGAGUCGUCCACGGGUGAGACGGAUUCGUUGUAUCAACUGCAAGAUGGCGGGCUAGGGGGCUGUUCCGAUGGCAACAGUAUUCCGAACCCCUUUGAGCCGCCGAACAGAGUCGGGAUCUUCAUGGCUGGCACGCAACCCAGGCAGAACUCUACGACUGCGGCGGCAAUGACUUCCGAGUCAACAGCGGUGAUGGCAGCCGGGGCAGGAGGCCCUGCGCGCCCACCGGCUCAGGUCCUGAUGGCUUUAAUGGAUAAGAUGACAGCUCUGUUAACCGCCGUGGUCAGUCCGGCGGAUCAAGCUCAACAUGAUGCGGAAGUGGCACAACUACGUGAGGAGGUAGCACAAGCCAAGGAGAACCUGGUGGCAGAGGACGUCAAGAUGGCUGCAGAGCAGGCGGCUUUGCAUGCCCGGGCCCAACAGAUUCAAUCAGAGGCUUUUCAGCUUACGAUGGAUCAGAACGCAUCAAAUGAGAUCAUGAGGAGAAGGCACCAGAAGGCUCAGUCCCGUCUGCCUACGGUUUAUGAGCCUAGAAACCUCUUCCGCACACCUGGUGCAGGGCCCGGUAACCCGCCAGAGGUAAACCGGGAUGCAGCGCCCGGAGCUGGGACGCCGGUUCAGCCGCGUGUGAUGGAACCCCCUUGUCUGAAUGCUGCUCCACCUCACCAUGUACCGACACCACCGGGUCAUUAUACUAACCCUUUGUAGAACAUGAUCGCUGCGGCGGCACGAUUGGCGGCUCUCCCGAUGGAUGGCGACUCUCUGACGGCGGUUGAAACACGAAGGGUCAGAGAACUUCUUCAGACAGCUCUGGCACAGCAGGAGGCAUAUUCUUAUAGUAGAGAUGGGAUUCAUUCCACCCCUCGCCCAAGCCGGAGCUAUAGCAGGCAUAUGGACUCACCAGCCGUUUCAAGCAACGCCCGACACCGUGACCAGCCGCGCGGGUAUGACCCGGCACGUGAUGUAGUUCCUAAUAUGGUUGAUCAGGACAGAUUGCGUCAGGAAGCUGAGCGGGCGGCUCGGCAGACGGCUUAUCAGCCCCUUCUGGUUUAUCCGACGACUUCAAUUGAGGCAGGUGUGACCUCUAGGACUGUGGGCAUACCUUGUUUGGUACCGGCUCUGCGUAAUGAGCGUUUGCCCAAGGAUUUCAAGUGACCUCGAAAGUUGCCUAAUUACACGGCCGACUUACAACCUGGGGCAUGGAUCGAAAGCUACGAGAUGGCCAUGGAGCUACUGGAGGUCAGUGACGCUGCAAUGGCCAAGAACUUCACCAUGAUGUUGGAUGGAACGGCCCAUACUUGGUUGAAGGGGCUGCCACCUAACUCCAUCGGUUCAUGGGCAGAGUUAAAGGCCCAGUUUAUUCAGAACUUUAAAGAUACAUGCAAGCAGCCCAUGUCGAUUGUGGACUUGACUAAUUGCAAGCAAGAGGAGGGUGAAUCCACGACCCAUUGGGUGCGCCGGGUCAAGGCCAUAAUACAUUCAUCUGAUGGGCCGGGCGGCGGCGGCGGUUUUCAUGGCCCAGGUUAUGGAGGUGGCGGUUCUAAUUCCAACUUUCAAGGCCCUUAAGGUAAUCAGGGUGGUUAUAAUCAGCAAUCUGGCCAGGGAGGUCAGCAGCAGCAGCAAUCUGGAUAUCAGAGUAAUCCGAAGCAGCUGAAUAGUGGAUAGUAUCAUGUGUUUACCACCAGUUUGUGCAAACGGGACCAGAAGCUUCAUAAGAGGGCUGUGAACGCUGUUGAGCCGGCAGUUCCUCGUUACUUGCGGUGGUCUGAGCAGCCUAUUCUAUGGAGUAGAGAGGAUCACCCUCCCCGGGUUGACAAUCCGGGUCACUUAGCCUUGGUGGUGGCACCUCAAGUUGGUGGAUAUAAAUUCACUAAAGUGCUCAUGGAUGGAGGCAGUAGCAUCAACAUCCUUUAUUAUGAGACUUUCCGUCGCAUGGGGUUGACUGAUAAAAAUCUUAAGACGUCCAACACUGUUUUCCAUGGAGUGGUGCCUGGUAAGUCAGCGUACCCAGUGGGUAAGAUUGAGCUGGAAGUGGCCUUUGGAGAUGAGCAUGAUUCCAGGGCUGAGAAGUUAACUUUUGAAGUGGUCAAAAUUAAAAGCCCGUAUCACGCUCUGUUUGGACGGCUGGCUUAUGCAAAGUUCAUGGCACGGCCGUGUUAUGUUUAUCUGCAGCUCAAGAUGCAGGGUCAUAAGGGGACCAUCACAGUGCAUGGGAGUCGGAAGAUAGCCUUGGAAUGUGAGGAAGGCGAUGCUGCCUACGUUGAGUCUAUCUGUGCAACGGAGGAGUUGAAAUUUUACAAAGACAAUGUUGACCCAGCGGACAUGGCGUCUUUGAAAAACCCAACCACAGAGCACGAGCCGAUGAUGAAGUUUAAAUCAGCCAAUGACACCAAGCUGGUUGAUUUUGUUCCUGGCGACUCAUCUAAGCAGUUCAGUAUCAGUGUUAACCUGGAUCCUGAAUAGGAAAGCGCGCUCAUCGAGUUCAUCCGUGAGAACCGGGACAUCUUUGCAUGGAAACCUUCUGACAUGCCGGGUGUACCAAGAGAACUCGCUGAGCACACUCUCAAUAUUUGAUCCAAAAUUUAAGCCGGUCAAGCAGUUUCUUCGGCGGUUCAAUGAGGAGAGGCGUAAUGCCAUUGGUGAGGAAGUGGCCCGGCUCUUGGCGGUCGGGUUCAUUGUUGAAUUUUUCAUCCUGAGUGGUUGCCUAACCCGGUGCUAGUGCUUAAGAAGAAUGGCACCUGGCGUAUGUGUGUGGAUUACACAGACUUAAACAAGGCUUGUCCAGCUCAUCCUUUUGCUCUCCCUCGUAUUGAUCAAAUCAUUGAUGCUACGGCGGGUUGUGAGCGUUUGAGCUUUUUGGAUGCUUAUUCUGGUUAUCAUCAGAUCAAGAUGGCAGUUAAGGACCAGGAGAAGAUGGCUUUUAUUACUCCUUUUGGAGCCUUCUACUAUGUGUCUAUGCCUUUUGGGCUCAAGAGUGCCCAGGCGACUUAUCAGCGAUGUGUGCAGAACUGUCUUCACAAUCAGACUGGGCGCAAUAUUCAUGCUUAUGUGGAUGACAUUGUGGUGAAGUCUAGAGAAAAGGAGACCUUGAUAGAUGAUUUGAAGGAAACCUUUGAUAAUCUCUGGAUCUACAAGAUGAUGCUUAACCCGGCCAAGUGCGUUUUUGGGGUGCCAGCAGGCAAGCUUUUGGGUUUUCUGGUUUCUAACAGAGGCAUUGAGGCUAACCCGGAGAAGAUCAAGGCCAUCACCUCCUUGGCUAAGCCGGCGUGUAUCAAUGAUGUUCAGCGUUUGGCGGGUCAUAUUGCUGCCUUAAGCCGAUUCAUAAGCCGGUUAGGUGAGAAAGCCAUACCGUUGUAUCAGAUGAUGAAGAAAACAGAUGACUUUGUCUGGAGUGAUGCUGCUAACAAUGCAUUUGAAGAUUUGAAGAGGCAGCUAGCUGAGCCGCCGGUUCUUGCUGCUCCCAUUAAUAAGGAGCCAUUAUUGUUAUAUGUGGCUGCUAACACACGUGCUGUCAGUGUGGCCAUUGUGGUGGAGCGCAAGGACGCUGGCAAAGAAUAUCCGGUUUAACGGCUGGUUUACUAUAUCAGUGAGGUGCUUAUUGAGUCCAAGCAGAGAUAUCCACAUUGGUAGAAGCUUGUUUAUGGGGUGUUCAUGGCCAGCCGGAAGCUUAAACAAUAUUUUCUGGGUCAUCCCAUCACUGUGGUCAGUUCUGCUCCUUUAGGAGAUAUCAUUCAAAAUAGGGAAGCCACAGGACGAGUCGCCAAGUGGGCCAUUAAGCUUGGGCCUCAUGGUUUAAAGUAUGUGCCACGCACUGCUAUCAAGUCUCAAGCACUAGUGGAUUUCAUCAACGAUUGGACAGAGCUGCAGAUGCCUGAAGAGAAGCCGGAAAACACAUAUUGGACUAUUCACUUUGAUGGGUCCAGGCAGUUGGAGGGCUCGGGGGCUGGAGUUGUUUUAGCUUCCCCUCGAGGUGACAAAUUUGUUAUGUGCUAAGGUUGAUGUUUCCUUGUACUAACAAUGCAGCUGAGUAUGAGGCCUUGCUCCAUGGUCUUCGGAUGGCUAAAGACAUGAGCUUAAGCCGGGUAAGGUGUUUUGGCGACUCAGAUUUGGUGGCUCAACAAGUUUCAGGCAAAUGGGAUUCCAAGGAUCCCCUCAUGGCGGCUUAUCGCCGUGAAGUUGAUGAUGUUGCUGGACACUUCAAGGGUUUAUCAAGUGGAGCACAUUGAUCGCAGAAAGAAUGAGGCAGUUGAUGCUUUAAGCCGGCUGGGAUCUCAGCGUAAGCUGGUGCCACCAAACACUUUCUUGGAUAUUCUGCAUAAUCCUUCUGUCAAGUUACCUACAGAGGAAGACUUGGUUGUUCCUGACCCGGAAGCGCAGUUGGUGGCGGUUCUUCACGUCAUCCUAGAUUGGACAGUGCCACACUUGGCUUAUAUGACCCGGGGCGAGUUGCCUGAGGAUGAAACCUUGGCUAGGCAGAUAAUCCGGCGGUCUAAGUCAAUGACAAUUGCCAAUGGCGAGUUGCAUCAUCGCAGUGUCACUGGGGCGUUUCAGCGUUGUGUCUCUCCUGAGGAAGGUCAAGAGAUUCUUCGUGAGAUUCAUGAAGGAGAUUGUGGCCAUCAUGCUGGUUCAAAGUCCCUUGUGGCCAAAGCUUUUCGUCAUGGGUUUUAUUGGCUGACGGCUCACGCUGAUGCAGAGGAUCUGGUCAGUAAAUGUGAUGGUUGUCAGAAAUUCUCACGGCAAGCUCACGUGCCGGCUCAGGAAUUGAGGAUGAUUCCAAUUACUUGGCCGUUUGCAGUAUGGGGGCUUGACAUGGUUGGGCCUUUUAAAAGGUCCAAGGAUAAAAAGACCCACCUCUAGGUGGCGGCUGACAAAUUCACAAAGUGGGUUGAAGCAGAGCCGGUCAGUAAGUGUGACGCGGCAACGGCGGUUCAAUUCAUGAAAAAGGUGAUUUUCCGUUUUGGCUUUCCCACAGUAUCAUAACUGAUAAUGGCACUAACUUGUCCAAGGGUGCCAUGGAGGAGUUUUGUCAACGUGAGCAUAUUCGGCUUGACGUUUCAUCAGUAGCUCACCCCCAUUCCAAUGGUCAAGCCGAAAGGGCCAAUCAGGAAAUUUUGAAAGGCAUCAAGCCCCGGCUUCUGGUUCCCUUGCAAUGGAUGCCGGGUUGUUGGGUGGAGGAGUUACCAUCAGUGUUAUGGAGUAUCAAUACUACCCCCAACAGAUCUAUGGGUUACACCCCUUUCUUCAUGGUUUAUGGAGCAGAGGCGGUUCUUCCUAGUGACAUCCGUCAUGACUCGCUCCGCGUGGCAGCUUACGUUGAAGCUGAUAAUGAACAAGCGCGUCAGGAUUCACUUGACCUGUUAGAUGAAAAGCGUGACUUGGCAGCAGCCCGCUCGACGAUUUACCAACAUGACCUACGUCGUUAUCACAGCCGCCGGGUUAAGUCCAGAACCUUUCAAGAAGGUGAUUUGGUGCUCCGGCUCAUCCAGGAUCAAACUGAUGCACACAAGUUAUCCCCACCUUGGGAAGGGCCCUUUGUGGUUAGCAAGAACAUGAACAACGGGUCAUACUACCUUAUCGAUGUUCGAGAGCAUAAAGACUCACGUAAGUCGGAGGAGGAGACCCGCCGGCCGUGGAAUAUUGCUCAUCUUCGGCCUUACUACACUUGAGCCACCAGCUCUUAUGAUGUACAUAUUUUUGACGAUGUAUAUAUUAUGAUAAGUAAUAAAGCAGGACCUCUGUCCUUUUUAUCCUCAAUGAUCAUGUGUCUUCAUCAUCAUAAAUCCAAAGACCAAUUGGGGGCUGAUCGUAUUCGAAUCUAGCUUAACCCCUUUUGGUCCGACUUUGAUCGUAUUCGAAUCAGAGUCGUUAAAAAAUCUCAAGGUCAUUUGGGGGCUUCCUGUUCAAACAUAGGUCAUAUUCGAACCAAAGAGAACAUAGCUGUCGGUACCCUCUUGAUCGGCGCAAUGCCAAACCCACUAGGGGGCUUCUUGAUCGUAUUCGAAUCAUAGCUUAACCCCUUUUGGGUCCGACUUUGAUCGUAUUCGAAUUAGAGUCGUUGAAAAAGUUUCAAGGUCAUUUGGGGGCUUCCUGUUCAAACAUAGGUCGUAUUUGAACCAAAGAGAACAUAGCUGUCGGUACCCUCUUGAUCGGCGCAAUGCAAAAAUCACUAGGGGGCUUCCUAAUCGUAUUCGAAUCAUAGCUUAACCCUUUUUGGGUCCGACUUUGAUCGUAUUCGAAUCAGAGUCGUUGAAAAAGUCUCAAGGUCAUUUGGGGGCUUCCUGUUCGAACAUAGGUCGUAUUCGAACCAAAGAGAACAUAGCUAUCGGUACCCUCUUGAUCGGCGCAAUGCCAAAACCACUAGGGGGCUUCCUGAUCGUAUUCGAAUCCUAGCUUAACCCCUUUUGGUACGGCUUACUGAUCAUAUUCGAAUCAGAAGCCUUGCUUUUUCUCUCUGUUUGGCUUAAGUUUUUUGAAAAACAAUCUUUGGAUUUGUCUUGAGACUUUUUUGUUCAUGAGGCAUAUAUAUAUGUGGUUUCUAUUUAACCCGGUUCUACGUCUUGAGCUUGCGUUGGUUUUCCUUGAAGAGGAAAGGGUGAUGCAGCAAAGUAGCGUAAGUAUUUCCCUCGGUUUUUGAGAACCAAGGUAUCAAUCCAGUAGGAGGCUCCUCAAAAGUCCCACGCACCUACACAAACAAACAAGAACCUCGCAACCAACGCAAUAAAGGGGUUGUCAAUCCCUUCACGGCCACUUGUGAAAGUGAGAUCUGAUAGAGAUAAUAUGAUAAGAUUAUUAUUUUUGGUAUUUUUAUGAUAUAGAUUGGAAAAGUAAAUAUGCAAAUAAAAGUAGAUGAUAAACUUAUAUGAUAAAAGAUAGACCCGGGGGGCCAUAGGUUUCACUAGUGGCUUCUCUCAAGAUAGCAUAAGUAUUAUGGUGGGUGAACAAAUUACUGUCGAGGAAUUGAUAGAAAAGCGCAUAGUUAUGAGAUUAUCUAGGCAUGAUCAUGUAUAUAGGCAUCACGUCCGUGACAAGUAGACCGACUCCUGCCUGCAUCUACUACUAUUACUCCACACAUCGACCGACUCCUGCCGUUCAUAAAGAACAGAGUAACGCAUUAAGAAAGAUGACAUGAUGUAGAGGGAUAAACUCAUGCAAUAUGAUAUAAACCCCAUCUUUUUAUCCUCGAUGGCAACAAUACAAUACGUGCCUUGCUGCGCCUGCUGUCACUGGGAAAGGACACCGCAAGAUUGAACCCAAAACUAAGCACUUCUCCCAUUGCAAGAAAGAUCAAUCUAGUAGGCCGAACCAAACUGAUAAUUCGAAGAGACUUGCAAAGAUAACUUAAUCACACAUAAAAGAAUUCAGAGGAGAUUCAAAUAUUUCUCAUAGAUAAACUUGAUCAUAAACCCACAAUUCAUCGGAUCUCGACAAACACACCACAAAAAGAGUUACAUCGAAUAGAUCUCCAAGAAGAUCGAGGAGAACUUUGUAUUGAGAUUCAUAGAGAGAGAAGAUGCCAUCUAGCUAAUAACUAUGGACCCGAAGGUCUGUGGUAAACUACUCACAACUCAUCGAAAGGGCCUUGGAGAUGAUGUAGAGGCCCUCCGUGGUCGAUUCCCCCUCCGGCGGAGCGCCGGCGAAGGCUCCAAGAUGGGAUCUCGCGGAUACAGAAGGUUACGGCGGUGGAAAUAGUUUUUCAUGGUGCUCCUAGAUGUUUUCGGGGUACAUGGGUAUAUAUAGGAGGAAGAAGUAGGUUGGUGGACGCUCGAUUGUCCCACGAGGAUGGGGGCGCGCCCACCUGUAGGGGGCGCGUCGGGCACCCUCAUGGCCGCCUCCUCUGUUGCUUGACGUCCACUCCAAGUCCCCUGGAUCACGUUUGUUCCAAAAAGAUCACUCCCAAAGGUUUCAUUCCGUUUGGACUCCGUUUGAUAUUCCUUUUCUUCGAAACACUGAAAUAGGCAAAAAAAAUAGCAAUUCGGGCUGGGCCUCCGGUUAGUAGGUUAGUCCCAAACAUGAUAUAAAAGUGUAACGUAAAGCCCAUAAACAUCCAAAACGGGUAAUAUAAUAGCAUGGAACAAUAAAAAAUUAUAGAUACGUUGGAGACGUAUCACCCGACUUGGCUUUGGACGAUAAGUCGCCAGCAUAUGACAAUCAUCAAACAUUUGGAAGUUUUGGCUUCUAAAGAUUAGGUUAUCACCCUUACUGCAUAGGUCACAUAAACCGGCAGUGAAAAUUCAAUAUCACAAGUAUGAUAUCAUUAUUAUAGUUAUGUUUCAAAGAUAUGAUUCAUAACAGGCUUAUCUGUGACUCCUUUUUUACACAUCAGUGGUUAUAUGUGAGAUAUUAUGACCCGCCCUGCGGUAAACCUCCAAGGGUUCUUGUGAUCUAUUUUUGUGUGCAGGAUAUUUUAAGGACUUUUUUGUGCACAAGGAAAAUAGAUGAUAAGUAUGACAAGGGUGAAUAUAAAGGAGGGGGCUUAACAGUAUUGAGCAUCAAAAACGUGCAUGAUGGCAUGACAGAUCAGAGUCAUUUCUAUCCUGUUGCAUGACUCCCCGAGUCCAAAUGAUUAAACUGUUUUUUCAGAAGGCUGCUAAUAUGAGCCGCCCGGCAGAUCAAUUCUCUUGUUGGCCUGAUGCUUCCGGGUCAACCCACUCCGCGUCUUUGCCCUGUCCGGCGUCCUGGAAGGUUGAUGAUGACCAGUCAAUGCCAUUCAAAGCUUCAAACUCAGCUUCAUCAUCAAUUAGCCCGGCCGGGUCAACUUCAGGGGCAAAAGUAUGCUUAUGGAUUGGAGGAUCAGGCUUGUCACUUUACAACGUGGCGUCUGCUCCUCUGAUUGCCCGCGUCAUAAACCGGAUGGUACUUGGUGAGGUCUGUCUCAUCGGCAAUCAAGGUGGCCACAGGGCGUAUUUCCUUCACACAAGCGGCAAAGUCCUCCUGUUCAAAUGAAGUGCCAUCUUCCUUAUGGCUUGGAUACCCAAUGGCGAUGUCGGCCAGAUCUAAUUCCGGUAGCCAUGCUUUGGCCCGGCUUAAGGCAGCCACGGCUCCGGCUCUCGCAGAUGACCGCUUUAAUUCAUUGAACCGCUAGGGCAGCACAGAAAGCUUCCUUAACACACCAACCAGGAGUGUGGGGGCUUCAUUUGAUAGGGCAACUGUGGCUAAGGCACGCUGAGCUCCAGUGUAAAGUUGUUCUACGAGAGUGUAAACCGCCUUCAGCUUUACCAGCAUGUCCUGGUUGAGGUUUCCUGGGGCCUGCAUAGCAGUAACAGAUGAGUUAGCAACAGUUCAUAUGAUUACCAGAAAGAUUCAAACACUUGACACUUGUAGGGCGGCUUACCAAAGAUCUCCGAGACCAUCUAAGACACAUGGCGUUUCAAGCCGGAUAAUUCAGUGGUCACCUCUUCAAGAGCCGCCUCUGCUUUUUCAGCUCGACGGGUCAAGGCAAUCUUUUCUCCAGCCCAGGCCUUUUUCUCAACUUCAAACUUGGACCUCAAUUUUUCUUGUUCAGACACGCUGAAUUCAAAUUUGGAGUUUGCUCUCUGAGUCUCUGUCUCUUGUAGCUCCAAGCGGUUCUUCAAUUCAGGCAGCUCUGAUUGAAGUUGAGCAGUGGUGGUCUGUACAUGUACCGGAUCAAAAUCAUAAACAUUAGUAUGCAAUAUUAAGUCCCAAGCCUUUGCAAGCAACAACACUUGGCACUUGGGGGCUAAUGUCUACCGAAAGUUUUGUCUAAGUGGCGGCUUAUGAGAGUAAAGUCCCAAGCACUUUGCAAGCAAGAGUACUUGGCGCUUGGGGACUAAUGCAUAUUGUUGUUUGAUACGUCUCCAACGUAUCUAUAAUUUUUGAUUGUUCCAUGCUAUUAUAUUACCCGUUUUGGAUGUUUAUGGGCUUUAUUAUACACUUUUAUAUUAUUUUUGGGACUAACCUAUUAACCGGAGGCCCAGCCCAAACUGUUGUUUUCUUGCCUAUUUCAGUGUUUCGAAGAAAAGGAAUAUCAAACGGAGUCCAAAUGGAAUGAAACCUUCGGGAGAGUUAUUUUUGGAACGGAAGCAAUCCAGGAGACUUGGGGUAGACAUCAGGGAAGCUUUAAGGUGGCCACGAGGGUCCAAGGUGCGCCCUACCCCCCUGGGCGCGCCCUCCACCCUCGUGGCCCCCUCGUGGCUCCCCUGACCGACUUCUUUUGCCUAUAUAUAUCCAUAUACCCCGAAAACAUCGAGGAGCGCAAUAGAUCGGGAGUUCCGCCGCCGCAAGCCUCUCUAGCCACCAAAAACCAAUCGGGACCAUGUUCCGGCACCCUGCCGGAGGGGGGAUCCCUCACCGAUGGCCAUCUUCAUCAUCCCGGCGCUCUCCAUGACGAGGAGGGAGUAGUUCACCCUCGGGGCUGAGGGUAUGUACCAGUAGCUAUGUGUUUGAUCUCUCUCUCUCUCGUGUUCUUGAUUCGGCACGAUCUUGAUGUAUCGCGAGCUUUGCUAUUAUAGUUGGAUCUUGUGAUGUUUCUCCCCCUCUACUCUCUUGUAAUGGAUUGAGUUUUCCCUUUGAAGUUAUCUUAUCGGGUUGAUUCUUUAAGGAUUUGAGAACAAUUGAUGUAUGUCUUGCAUGUGCUUAUCUGUGGUGACAAUGGGAUAUCACGUGAUCUACUUGAUGUAUGUUUUGGUGAUCAACUUGCGAGUUCCGUGACCUUGUGAACUUAUGCAUAGGGGUUGGCACACGUUUUCGUCUUGACUCUCCGGUAGAAACUUUGGGGCACUCUUUGAAGUUCUUUGUGUUGGUUGAAUAGAUGAAUCUGAGAUUGUGUGAUGCAUAUCGUAUAAUCAUACCCAUGGAUACUUGAGGUGACAUUGGAGUAUCUAGGUGACAUUAGGGUUUUGUUGAUUUGUGUCUUAAGGUGUUAUUCUAGUACGAACUAUAUGAUAGAUCGAACGGAAAGAAUAGCUUCGUGUUAUUUUACUACCGACUCUUGAAUAGAUCAAUCAGAAAGGAUAACUUUGAGGUGGUUUCGUACCCUACAAUAAUCUCUUCGUUUGUUCUCCGCUAUUAGUGACUUUGGAGUGACUCUUUGUUGCAUGUUGAGGGAUUGUUAUAUGAUCCAGUUAUGUUAUUAUUGUUGAGAGAAAUUGCGCUAGUGAAAGUAUGAACCCUAGGCCUUGUUUCCUAGCAUUGCAAUACCGUUUACGCUCACUUUUAUCAUUAGUUACCUUGCUGUUUUUAUAUUUUCAGAUUACAAAAACCUAUAUCUACCAUCCAUAUUGCACUUGUAUCACCAUCUCUUCGCCGAACUAGUGCACCUAUACAUUUUACCAUUGUAUUGGGUGUGUUGGGGACACAAGAGACUCUUUGUUAUUUGGUUCUAGGGUUGUUUGAGAGAGACCAUCUUCAACCUACGCCUCCCACGGAUUGAUAAACCUUAGGUCAUCCACUUGAGGGAAAUUUUCUACGGUCCUACAAACCUCUGCACUUGGAGGCCCAACAACGUCUACAAGAAGAAGGUUGCAUAGUAGACAUCAAGCUCUUUUCUGGCGCCGUUGCCGGGGAGGUGAGUGCUUGAAGGUAUGUCUUUAGAUCUUGCAAUCGAAUCUUUUAGUUUCUUGUUUUAUGACUAGUUUAGUUUAUAAAACAAAACUACAAAAAAAUGGAAUUAAGGGUGCCUCAUAUGCUUCAUCUUUUUAAUGUCUUUCGUGAAAAUGAUGGGAAGGAAAAUUCUGCUCAAGUACUAGAAGAAGAAUUACAUAGAAUGCUUGGCAUAAAAUAUGUGAAUGAUGAGCAUGGUUGCAAUGUUGUUAGUAUGAAUUCUUUGAAUACCUAUGAUGCUAAUGAUAUGCAAAGCCACAAGCUUGGGGAUGCUAUGUUUGAUGAAGGUGAUAUUUUUAGUCCCCCAAGUUUUGAUGAGAAUAUUUAUUAUGAUGAAAGCAUGCCUCCUAUUUAUGAUGAUUAUAUUGAUGAAAGUGGAUUUGAUGAGUUCAUGACUUCAUUUAAUGAUGAAUCCACUAUUUCGGAAGAGGUUUCAAUUGAUUAUGAGAAUAAAGUUCCUAUCUAUGAUGAUUAUUGUGAUGACACGUAUGCCAUAAAGAAUAAACAUAACCAUGACACUUGUCAUCAUGAUUUUAAUUUUCAAUUGGAUUAUGCUUCACAUGAUAUUUUUUUUGUUGAGUUUGCUCCCACUACUAUUGAUGAGAAUAAAUUUGCUUAUGUGGAGAGUAGUAAAAUUUCUAUGCAAGUAGAUCAUGAAAAUAAUGCUUUAUGUGAUGGUUAUAUUGUUGAAUUCAUUCAUGAUGCUACUGAAAAUUAUUAUUAGGGAGGAAUAUAUGCUUGUAGGAGUUGCAGUGAUAUCAAGUUUCCUCUCUAUGUGCUUAAAGUUUUAAAGUUAUGCUUGUUUUGCCUUCCUAUGCUAGUUGAUUAUUGUUCCCAUAAGUUGUUUGCUCAAAAAAUCCCUAUGCAUAGGAAGUGGUUUAGGCUUCAAUGUGCUAGUCAUAUUCUUCAUGAUGCUCUCUUUAUGUUUCAAUUCUUAUCUUUUAUGUGAGCAUCAUUGAAAUCAUCAUGCCUAGCUAGGGGCGUUAAAUGUUAGCGCUUGUUGGGAGGCAACCCAAUUUUAUUUUCGUUCUUUGCUUUUUGCUCCUGUUUAGUAAUAAAUAAUUCAUCUAGCCUCUGUUUAGAUGUGGUUUUAUGUUUUAAUUAGUGUUUGUGCCAAGUAGAACCUUUGGGAAGACUUGGGUUACAGUAGAAAAUGAUAAGGUUUUCGCAUUGGUUUAUACUAACUUAUCUCACGAGUUCUUGUUGAGUUUGGUGUGGAUGAAGCUUUCGAGAUUUAGGAAACCGAGAUAUAAAAGGAAUUAAGGAGACACAAAAUCUCAAGCUUGGGGAUGUCCAAGGCACCCCAAGAUAAUAUUUCAAUAAGUCUCAAGCAUCCAAGCUUGGGGAUGCACCGGUAGGCAUCCCACCUUUCUUCUUCAACAAUUAUCAGUUAGUAUCGGUUGAACCUAAGUUUUUCCUUCUUCACGUGAUGUGUGCUAUCCUCGAAAUGUCAUUUUGUUUUGCUUUGCUUGUUGUUUGAAUAAAAUACCAAGAUCUGAAAUUCUUAAAUGUUAGAGAGUCUUCACAUAGUUGCAUAAUUAUUCGACUACUCAUUGAUCUUCACUUAUAUCUUUUGGAGUAGUUUGUCAUUUGCUCUAGUGCUUCACUUAUAUCUUUUUAGAGCACAGCGGUGGUUUUAUUUUGUAGAAAUUAUUGAUCUCUCAUGCUUCACUUAUAUUAUUUUUAUAGUCUUUUAGAACAUCAUGGUAUUUGCUAUGGUUAUAAAAUUGGUCCUAGAAUGAUGGGCAUCCAAGUUGGGUAUAAUAAAAACUAUCAUAGAAAGUGCAUUGGAUAGUAUGAUCAAUUUGAUGCUUGAUAAUUGUUUUGAGAUAUAAAGGUGGUAAUGUUAGAGUCAUGCUAGUUGGGUAAUUAUGAAAUUGAGAAAUACUUGUGUUAAAGUUGGCAAGUCCCGUAGCAUGCACGUCUGGUAAAUGUUGUGUAACAAAUUUGUUGCAUGGGGUGCUCUUUUGAUUGCCUUCCUUAUGUGUGGAGGUCGGGAUCGCGCGAUGGUUAACUCCUACCAACCCUUCCCCUAGGGGCAUGCAUAGUAGUACUUUGCUUCGAGGGCUAAUAAACAUUUGCAAUAAGUAUAUGAGUUCUUUAUGACUAAUGUGAGUCCAUGGAUUAUACGCACUCUUACCCUUCCAUCAUUGCUAGCCUCUUCGGUACCGUGCAUUGCCCUUUCUCACCUUGAGAGUUGGUGCAAACUUCGCCGGUGCAUCCAAACCCCGUGAUACGAUACGCUCUAUCACACAUAAACCUCCUUAUAUCUUCCUCAAAACAGCCACCAUACCUACCAUUAUGGCAUUUCCAUAGCCAUUCCGAGAUACAUUGCCAUGCAACUUUUCACCGUUCCAUUUAUUAUGACACGUUUCAUCAUUGUCAUAUUGCUUUUGCAUGAUCAUGUAGUUGACAUCGUAUUUGUGGCAAAGCCACCGUGCAUAAUUUUUCGUACAUGUCACUCUUGAUUCAUUGCAUAUCCCGGUACACCGCCGGAGGCAUUCAUAUAGAGUCAUAUUUUGUUCUAGUAUCGAGUUGUAAUCCAUGAGUUGUAAGUAAAUAGAAGUGUGAUUGUCAUCAUUAUUAGAGCAUUGUCCCUUAAUAAAAAAAGAAAGGCCAAAAAAGGGAGGCCAAAUAAAAAAAAGGCCCAAAAAAGGGGGACAAUGUUACUAUCCUUUUCCACACUUGUGCUUCAAAGUAGCACCAUGAUCUUUAUGAUAGAGAGUCUCUUAUGUUGUCACUUUCAUAUACUAGUGGGAAUUUUUCAUUAUAGAACUUGGCUUGUAUAUUCCAACGAUGGGCUUCCUCAAAAUGCCCUAGGUCUUCGUGAGCAAGCAAGUUGGAUGCACACCCACUUAGUUUCUUUUGUUGAGCUUUCAUACAUUUAUAGCUCUAGUGCAUCCGUUACAUGGCAAUCCCUACUCCUCAUGUUGACAUCAAUUGAUGGGCAUCUCCAUAGCCCGUUGAUUAGCCUCGUCAAUGUGAGACUUUCUUCUUCCUUUUUGUCUUCUCCACACAACCUCCAUCAUCAUAUUCUAUUCCACCCAUAGUGCUAUAUCCAUGGCUUACGCUCAUGUAUUGCGUGAGAGUCAAAAAAGCUGAAGCGUGUUAAAAAGUGUGAACCAAUUGCUUGGCUGAAAUCGGGGUUGUGCAUGAUGGGAGUAUUUUGUGUGACGAAAAUGAAGCAUAGCCUAAAUAUAUGAUUUUGUAGGGAUAAGCUUUCUUUGGCUAUGUUAUUUUGAUAAAACAUGAUUACUUGUUAGUAUGCUUGAAGUAUUAUUACUCUUAUGUCAAUAUUAAACUUUUAUCUUGAAUCUUUUGGAUCUUAACAUUCAUGCCACAAUAAAGAAAAUUACAUUGAGAAAUAUGCUAGGUAGCAUUCCACAUCAAAAAUUCUGUUUUUAUCAUUUACCUACUCGAGGACGAGCAGGAAUUAAGCUUGGGGAUGCUUGAUACGUCUCCAACGUAUCUAUAAUUUUUUAUUGUUCCAUGCUAUUAUAUUACCCGUUUUAGAUGUUUAUGGGCUUUAUUAUACACUUUUAUAUUAUUUUUGGGACUAACCUAUUAACCGGAGGCCCAGCCCAAAUUGUUGUUUUCUUGCCUAUUUCAGUGUUUCGAAGAAAAGGAAUAUCAAAAGGAGUCCAAACAGAAUGAAACCUUCGGGAGAGUUAUUUUUGGAACGGAAGCAAUCCAGGAAACUUGGAGUAGACGUCAGGGAAGCUUCGAGGUGGCCACGAGGGUCCAGGGCGCGCCCCCCACCCUCGUGGGCCCCUCGUGGCUCCCCUGACCGACUUCUUUCGCCUAUAUAUAUCCAUAUACCCUGAAAACAUCGAGGAGUGUAAUAGAUCAGGAGUUCCACCGCCGCAAGCCUCUGUAGCCACCAAAAACCAAUCGGGACCCUGUUCCGGCACCCUGCCAGAGGGGGGAUCCCUCACCGGUGGCCAUCUUCAUCAUCUCGGUGCUCUCCUUGACGAGGAGGGAGUAGUUCACCCUCGGGGCUGAGGGUAGAUACCAGUAGCUAUGUGUUUGAUCUCUCUCUCUCUCUCGUGUUCUUGAUUCGGCACGAUCUUGAUGUAUCGCGAGCUCUGCUAUUAUAGUUGGAUCUUAUGAUGUUUCUCCCCCUCUACUCUCUUGUAAUGGAUUGAGUUUUCUCUUUGAAGUUAUCUUAUCGGAUUGAUUCUUUAAGGAUUUGAGAACACUUGAUGUAUGUCUUGCAUGUGCUUAUCUGGGGUGACAAUGGGAUAUCACGUGAUCCACUUGAUGUAUGUUUUGGUGAUCAACUUGCGAGUUUCGUGACCUUGUGAACUUAUGCAUAGGGGUUGGCACACGUUUUCGUCUUGACUCUCCGGUAGAAACUUUGGGGCACUCUUUGAAGUUCUUUGUGUUGGUUGAAUAGAUGAAUCUGAGAUUGUGUGAUGCAUAUCGUAUAAUCAUACCCACGGAUACUUGAGGUGACAUUGGAGUAUCUAGGUGACAUUAGGGUUUUGGUUGAUUUGUGUCUUAAGGUGUUAUUCUAGUACGAACUCUAUGAUAGAUCGAACGGAAAGAAUAGCUUCGUGUUAUUUUACUACGGACUCUUGAAUAGAUCGAUUAGAAAGGAUAACUUUGAGGUGGUUUCGUACCCUACAAUAAUCUCUUCGUUUGUUCUCCGCUAUUAGUGACUUUGGAGUGACUCUUUGUUGCAUGUUGAGGGAUCGUUAUAUGAUCCAGUUAUGUUAUUAUUGUUGAGAGAACUUGCACUAGUGAAAGUAUGAACCCUAGGCCUUGUUUCCUAGCAUUGCAAUACCGUUUACGCUCACUUUUAUCAUUAGUUACCUUGCUGUUUUUAUAUUUCAGAUUACAAAAACCUAUAUCUACCAUCCAUAUUGCACUUGUAUCACCAUCUCUUCGCCGAACUAGUGCACCUAUACAAUUUACCAUUGUAUUGGGUGUGUUGGGGACACAAGAGACUCUUUGCUAUUUGGUUGUAGGGUUGUUUGAGAGAGACCAUCUUCAACCUACGCCUCUCACGGAUUGAUAAACCUUAGGUCAUCCACUUGAGGGAAAUUUUCUACUAUCCUACAAACCUCUGCACUUGGAGGCCCAACAACGUCUACAAGAAGAAGGUUGCGUAGUAGACAUCACUGUUCAAAGUUACACAAGUACUAUUUUCUACACAAGCAUAAGGACCGGCUCAUUCAUGCUGAUUAAACCGGCCCUUGGGGACUACGGUUUAAGCCGGAUUUUUAAAGGUUUUACCAAUGGAUAUUACUGAUGUUCUUAAGUUCGUUCUAAGUCUACAACAUAUUCGUCACAAGUAGUAGACUUGGGGGCUGGCAUAGUAAGGAGAAUUCAAUAAAGGGAAAAAAUUCGUACCUCAAAUUUCUGGUGCAUUUGUUUCACCAUGUCAACUUCAAGAUCGCGGCUACUGUGCACUUGGCUAAGAUAACCAGAAAAAACUUCGCCAAUGCUCAUUUGAGUAUAGUCAGCAACAUCAAAUCUGACUUUACGUCGUUCAAUGUGCUCCUCCUUGGCAGAACACUUGGCUUGCAGAGUAGGUCUCCCUGGCUCAGUAUAGCCGGUCUUGGUGAUUUCCACAUCAACAUCUUGUGGGUCGGCUGUCUUAGCUGGGCUUGAAGCUUCAGGGUUUACAGAGCCGUCGGCCGCUUGAUCGACAGGCGGGUCAGCAGUCAUUGUUGGCAUGUCAUGAACCGACUCAAGUGGCAGCUCAAGAACAGAGGCCUCAGGCGCUGCGGGUUGGAGCUCCGGCUCAUUGACGGCCGGCUCUUCGACCGGCUGGUUUUUCUUCACCCUCUUGCUGGGUUUUACUUUUCCACUGCAUAAAGUCAAAAAAGGUCAGUACAAAUAUAAAGGAUGGUAAUGAGUACAGGAUAAGUAAAUCGUCAUUACCCUGGAGCGGUCUUAAAAGCCGGCAUGUUGGACUGGAUUGAGUCGCCGGAAGAAUGUGAAGUUUCCUGAUAAUUUGAAUCAGAAGAGUUGAGUGGUUGACGAGUGAGACCCGCCAAAGGAUAAAAAGGGUUUAAGUCAGAGGUGACCUUUUUCUGGCGCUUCCUUGGUGUGUUCGGUAAGCCGGAGGAGAGUUCCGCGUCCUUGCUGGUCCGGGUCUGCCUCCGGCUCUCAUGAAUCUGUCGCUUCAAAAGAAAGUGAGGAUCCUGAUAAGCUAAGGGAUGUGAAAAUCUUACUUUCCGGGUUACUCUUCGGAUUUUUUGUCUUGGCAAAGGCUCAGAGUUGGAGGAAAUAAUAGUUACCUCUUCAUCCACUCCCUGACUCGUUCCCAUGUCAUCCUGAUGAUAAUCAGUGUCAAUAAGGUGGUUAAAAAAGGAGCCAAGAGAGUCAAGGGCUACCUCCGACUCAGAGGUAUCUUCUAGUCAAAGCAAGUCAGAGGCGUUGGGCUUCUUUCCUCUUUUCUUGGCGGCGGCUUUCCUGGCGGCUUUCUUGGCCUUCCUGGCUCUCUUUGCAGCCUCAUGGUCAUAUUUUUUCUUCCAAAACUUAUCAUCAGCCUGUGAAAUCAGCAAAGGUUUGAGUUAAGACGAAACAUCAAGGAUGAAGGUAAAUUAACUCAGUUUGGCGGCUUACCCCUGGAGUCGGGUUAGCUUUGCAGAAAGGGCUUAAGCCCACCUUGCCAUAGUCUGCUAGGCUUUCAUUCAAAAGUGACUUCGUCAUAUCAUUGACAACAUCAUCAGGUAAAUCGUCGGGGCUGUGGCGCAGUGGAUCCUUCUUCUCGCCCAUGUAGGUGCACAUUAACCCGGAGCGAUGGCUCAACGGGAUGAUCCGCCAUGUGACCCAGCACCGGACCAAGUCAAUGCCAUUUAAGUCGUUCCCUAAAAGAGCUUUGACUUUAGCCAUGGUGGGAGCGAGCUUUUGGCGGUCAGCAGCUGACAACUUGUCCAGAAGAGGAUGAUUGGAAUCGAGGCGCAAGGCGCGAAGGCCGGGUAGAGGGUUCUCAUCAGCCGGAGAAGUGUCUUGACAGUAGAACCAUGUCUGGUUCCAGUCUUUGGGAUGACUCGGUGGAUGGGCGCAAGGGAAAAUGGCGUCUCUCCAUCGUUGGAUUGAGACCCCGCCGAGUUCCAAACUAGGUCCGUUGGAGUAUUCAUUCUGGCGGUUCAAAUAAAACAACUCUCUGAAAAGUAGCAAACUGGGCUCUUCUUCAAGAUAUACCUCACAGAACACUUGGAAGUUGCAUAUGUCGGACACAGAGUUGGGUCCGAUAUCUUGAGGACGAAGGUCAAAAAAGUGCAGAACAUCUCUGAAGAACUUUGAGCCGGGUGGUGAAAAGCCCCGGUUCAUGUGAUCUAUGAAGACGAUGACUUCCCCCUCUUUGGGCUAAGGCUUUUCUUCUGUUGGAUCAGGAGCACGGUACGACAUCACAUCCUUUUUGGGCAGAUAGCCGGAAUCGUCAAGUGUACUCUCCGUGACGAUGGAUUUGACCCAGUUACAUGAAGUGGUUGUUUUGGGCGGCAUUGUGAAGAAGGAAGCCUAACAAAGAGUAAAUUUGCCGGUUCAAAUUUAAGCCGGAGGAAAAAUAUUACAGCACAUAUUCAGAAUGGCGGCUUAUAAAGGGGCCUAAUGGUAUAUGACUAAUUAUGUCAGGUUAUUUAAACCGCCGUGAGCAGUCAGGUUAUUUAAGCCGCCAUGAGUGGUUGAUGUUAUCUAUUGAGCAUUGCAAUUUAAGCCGGUGGUUUGAGCUGCCAUGGCUAGGUGGAUCUAUCAAAAUGCAGAUUUUUGGCUAAGUGUCACACAAACAAGUUUCACAGAUUGCAAUCAUUAUUUUGGAUUAAUGGAUAUUCAGAAAAAGGAAAUAAAUCUAGACCUAAAAACCAGUACAGAUGAGUUCAUAAGUUCUAAUGAGAUCUCUUUCCAGAGAAAGGGGAUCCACUGGUAUCAAAAGUGGAGGAAAAACAACCACCACAUAAGUUCUAUAUUGCUUUUGGAUCAAAAGAUGCUACGGUGGAGGAACUAUGGAGAAACCGUGAAGAACACGAUGAACAGUCAGGAACCCUAAUGCGAUAUAACGCACUGGAGAAGAAGCACUUAUAGGUGCAGAUUCAACUGCGGUGGGGCGCCGGCGUACUCUGGUCCAACACAGGUUGAUGCAGCGGCCGAGGUUGAGGAGGACGAGGUGCUCUGCGGCGGUGGCGGAGCUCGAGCGGCAGAAGGUCGCGAGAGGAAGAAGACGCUGGAAAGGGGGAGAAUGAGGAAAGACCAGUCGUGGCUAUUUAUAAGGAAGGACUGAUAAGUGGGCACGAAAAACGGGGAGGCCGAAACAUGGUUAUCCAGCUGCCCAGACGCCUCGAUUCUCAGGACGGUUAUUAAGAUAAGGAUCCAUUGAGAUAUGUUGGACAAAGUAUGAAUUAAUGACAGGUGACGUCAUGGCGGGUUAUCACAGAUCUAGAAGAUGACAUCAUGGCGGGUUAUAAACUUUCGCGCAAAUGAAGAGCAGAAGAUUUUUCUUAAGUGUUGAAGAUUGACAUGAACCAGUUCAAAUCAAUCUGGGGCCUAAUGUAGGGGAUAUAACUACUAGGUAUGACCCGCCCAAGAGGGGCCGGGUUAUACUUAUGGCGAUUCAUCAUGUGAAGCCCAAGACGAUACUUGAAGAUGGCGGUUCAGUUAAGGGCCCAAGGCCCAAAGGCGGCUUAAGGCCCGUAGAGAUAAACUGCCAUAUAUGUAUGACUUGUAUUGUAAGGCAGGAAUAGAUAGAGACCGAGCCGGACACUGUUUAUGAGCCGGCCGGGACUCUGCGAGCCGCUGGGCGUCGACCUCUGUAUAUAAAGGGACAACUCGGCGGCGGUUCAGGACAAGUAACAUCAGAUCGAAAGCUAGGUCAAGCGAAUUCGCUCCCUGGUAAUCGAGACAUAAGCAAUUCCACCUCAAACUGGAUUAAGCCAUUACCUUCACUGCAAGGGGCAAAACCAGUAUAAACUCACGUGUCCUUUGUCCCGUUUUAACCCCUUUAAGCUUCCUAGUUGCGAUGGCUCCACGACUAAGUCCUUUUGCUAGGACAUCUGCCGUGACGUUUCCACGACAAAUGAGGAUAACCCUCAGAUCACGGACCCAGUCCGCAUCAUUGCUACUAUCAUCUUUCAGCUUAUUUUUCUCUAGGAACAUAUCAAAAAUAAAGGGAAGCUACAACGCGAGCUAUUGAUCUACAACAUAAUUUGCAAAAUACUAUCAGGACUAAGUUCAUGAUAAAUUAAAGUUCAAUUAAUCAUAUUACUUAAGAACUCCCACUUAGAUAGACAUCCCUCUAGUCAUCUAAAGGAUCACGUGAUCGAAAUCAACUAAAUCAUGUCCGAUCAUCACGUGAGAUGGAGUAGUUUUCAAUGGUGAACAUCACUAUGUUGAUCAUAUCUACUAUAUGAUUCACGCUCGACCUUUCGGUCUCCAGUGUUCCGAGGCCAUAUCUGCAUAUGCUAGGCUCACCAAGUUUAAUCUGAGUAUUCUACGUGUGCAAAACUAGCUUGCACCUGUUGCAUGUGAACGUAAAGCUUAUCACACCCGAUCAUCACGUGGUGUCUCCGCACGAAGAACUGUAGCAACGGUGCAUACUCAGGGAGAACACUUAUACCUUGAAAUUUAGUAAGGGAUCAUCUUAUAAUGCUACCGCCGUACUAAGCAAAAUAAGAUGCAUAAAUGAUAAACAUCACAUGCAAUCAAAAUAUGUGACAUGAUAUGGCCAUCAUCUUGUGCUCAUGAUCUCCAUCACCGAAGCAUCGUCAUGAUCUCCAUCGUCACCGGCGUGACACCUUGAUCUCCAUUGUAGCAUUGUUGUCAUCUUGCCAACUAUUGUUACUACGACUAUCACUACCGCUUAGUGAUAAAGUAAAACAAUUACAUGGCGAUUGCAUUGCAUACAAUAAAGAGACAACCACAUGGCUCCUGCCAGUUGCCGAUAACUUGUGUUACAAAACAUGAUCAUCUCAUACAACAAUUUAUAUCGCAUCAUGCCUUGACCAUAUAACAUCACAGCAAGCCCUGCAAAAACAAGUUAGACGUCCUCUACUUUGUUGUUGCAAGUUUUACGUGGCUGCUACGGGCUUCUAGCAAGAACCAUUCUUACCUACGCAUCAAAACCACAACGAUUUUUCGUCAAGUGUGUUGUUUUAGCCAUCAACAAGGACCGGCCGUAGUCAAACUCGAUUCAACUAAAAUUGGAGAAACAGACACCUGCCAGUCACCUAUGUGCAAAAGCACGUCGGUAGAACCAGUCUCAUGAAUGCGGUCAUGUAAUGUCGGUCCGGCCGCUUCAUCCAACAAUACCGCCGAAUCAAAGUAAGACGUUGGUGGUAAGCAGUAUGACUAUUAUCGCCCACAACUCUUUGUGUUCUACUCGUGCAUAUAACAUCUACGCAUAGACCUGGCUCGGAUGCCACUGUUGGGGAACGCGGUAAUUUCAAAAAAAUUCCUACGAUCACGCAAGAUCUAUCUAGGUGCUGCAUAGCAACGAGAGGGGAGAGUGUGUCCAUGUACCCUCGUAGACCAAAAGCGGAAGCGUUUCAAUAACGCGGUUGAUGUAGUCAAACGUCUUCGCGAUCCAACCGAUCCAAGUACCGAAUGUACGACACCUCCGUGUUCAGCACACAUUGAGCUCGAUGACGUACCUCGUGCUCUUGAUCCAUUUGAGGACGAGGGUGAGUUCCAUCAGCACGACGGCAUGGCGACGGUGAUGAUGAUGCUACCGGCGGAGGGCUUUGCCUAAGCACUACGAUGGUAUGAUCGAGGUGUGUAACUGUGGGGGGGGCACCGCACACGGUUGGGAGAGAAACUUGUGUGUUCUAGGGUGCCCCCCUGCCCCCAUAUAUGAAGGAACAAGGGGGAGGCCGGACGGCCCUAGGGGCGCGCCCAAGGAGAGGGAGGCCGGACGGCCCUAGGGGCGCGCCCAAGGAGAGGGAGUCCUACUAGGACUACUAGGACUAGUAGGAUUCCAUCACAAGGAAGGGAGGGGGAAGGAAGGAGAGGGAGAGGGAGUAGGAAAGGGGGGCGCCCCCCCCCCCUUCCCUUGUCCUAUUUGGACUCCAAGGGGGGCACGUGGCCUGCCCUGGCUGCCCUCCUCUCUCUCCACUAAGGCCCAUGGUGGCCCAUUAGUUCCCCGGAGGGUUCCGCUAACCCCUCCGGCACUCCGGUUUUACCCGAAACUUCCUGGAACUCUUCUGGUGUCCGAAUAACAUGGUCCAAUAUAUCAAUCUUUAUGUCUCGACCAUUUAGAGACUCCUCGUCAUGUCCGUGAUCUCAUCCAGGACUUCGAACAAACUUCGGUCAUCAAAAACACAUAACUCAUAAUACAUAUCGUCAUUGAACGUUAAGCGCGCGGACCCUACGGGUUCGAGAACUAUGUAGACAUGACCGAGACACAUCUCCCGUCAAUAACCAAUAGCGGAACCUGGAUGCUCAUAUUGGCUCUUACAUAUUCUACGAAGAUCUUUAUCGGUCAAACCGCAUAACAACAUACGUUGUUCCCUUUGUCCUCGGUAUGCUACUUGCCCGAGAUUCGAUCGUUGGUAUCAUCAUACCUAGUUCAGUCUCGUUACCGGCAAGUCUCUUUACUCGUUUCUUAAUACUUCAUCCCGCAACUAACUCAUUAGUCACAUUGCUUGCAAGGCUUAUAGUGAUGAGCAUUACCGAGAGGGCCAAGAGAUACCUCUCCGAAACACGGAGUGACAAAUCCUAAUCUCGAUAUAUGCCAACCCAACAAACACCUUUGGAGACACUUGUAGAGCAUCUUUACAAUCACCCAUUUACAUUGUGACGUUUGAUAGCACACAAUGUAUUCCUCCGGUAUUUGGGAGUUGCAUAAUCUCAUAGUCUGAGGAACAUGUAUAAGUCAUGAAGAAAGCAGUAGCAAUGAAACUGUAACGAUCAUAAUGCUAAGCUAACGGAUGGGUCAUGUCCACCACAUCAUUCUCCUAAUGAUGUGAUCCCGUUCAUCAAAUGACAACACAUGUCUAUAGUUAGGAAACAUAACCAUCUUUGAUUAAUGAGCUAGUCAAGUAGAGGCAUACUAGGGACACUUUGUUUUGUCUAUGUAUUCACACAUGUACUAAGUUCCGGUUAAUACAAUUCUAGCAUGAAUAAUAAACAUUUAUCAUGAAAUAAGGAAAUAAAUAAUAACUUUAUUAUUGCCUCUAGGGCAUAUUUCCUUCAGCGGUUUGACCGAUAAAGAUCUUCGUUGAAUAUGUAGGAACCAAUAUGAGCAUCCAGGUUCCGCUAUUGGUUAUUGACCGGAGAUGUGUCUCGGUCAUGUCUACAUAGUUCUCGAACCUGUAGGGUCCGCACGCUUAACGUUCGAUGACGAUUUGUAUUAUGAGUUAUGUGUUUUGGUGAACGAAGUUUGUUCGGAGUCCUGGAUGAGAUCACGCACAUGACGAGGAUUCUCGAAAUGGUUGAGAGGUAAAGAUUGAUAUAUUUAAAGGUAGUAUUCGGACACCAAAAGGGUUCCGGAUUGGUACAUACCGGAGUACCGAAGGGGUCACCGGAAGCCCCCCGGGGAAAGAUAUGGGCCAUAUGGGCCAUAGGAGGGAGGCUAACCAGCCCAAAAGGGGCUGGCAUGCCUCCCACAGGGGAGGAGGCCGAAUUGGAUUAGGGGAGGGGGCGGCACCCCCCUUUCCUUCUCCUACUCCCUCUCCUUUCCCCCUUUCCCCCUCCGAAAGAAGGAAAAAAAGGGGGCGAAUCCUACUAGGACUGGAGUCCUAGUAGGACUCCCCUCUCCUUGGUGCGCCCCUGGUGGCGGGCCUCCUCCUUUAUAUACGGGGGCAGGGGGCACCCCAAGGCACAUUAGUUAUUCUCUUAGCCGUGUGCGGUGCCCCCCUCCACAGUUUACGCCUCCGGUCAUAGUGUCGUAGUGCUUAGGCAAAGCCCUGCGCGGAUCACAUCACCAACACCGUCAUCAUGCUGUCGUGCUGACAGAACUCUCCCUCAACCCUCUACUGGAUCAAGAGUUCGAGGGACGUCAUCAUGUUGAACGUGUGCUGAACACGGAGGUGCCGUACGUUCAGUACUUGGAUCGGUUGGAUUGUGAAGACGUUCGACUACAUCAACCGCGUUAACAUAACGCUUCCGCUUUCGGUCUACGAGGGUACGUGGACACACUCUCCCCCUCUCGUUGCUAUGCAUCUCCUAGAUAGAUCUUGCGUGAUCGUAGGAAUUUUUUUGAGAUUGCAUGCUACGUUCCCCAACAGUGGUAUCCGAGCCAGGUCUGUGCGUAGAUGAUAUGCACGAGUAGAACACAAAGAGUUGUGGGCGAUAAUAGUCAUACUGCUUACCACCAACGUCUUAUUUUGAUUUGGCGGUAUUGUUGUAUGAAGCGGCCCGGACCAACAUUACAUGACCACGUUCAUGAGACCGGUUCUACCGACGUGCUUUUGCACACAGGUGGCUGGCGGGUGUCUGUUUCUCCAACUUUAGUUGAAUCGAAUUUGACUACGAUCGGUCCUUGUUGAAGGUUAAAACAGCACACUUGACGAAAAACCGUUGUGGUUUUGAUGCGUAGGUAAGAACAGUUCUUGCUAGAAGCCGGUAGCAGCCACGUAAAACUUGCAACAAGAAAGUAGAGGACGUCUAACUUGUUUUUGCAGGGCAUGUUAUGAUGUGAUAUGGUCAAGACAUGAUGUGAUAUAAUUUGUUGUAUGAGAUGAUCAUGUUUUGUAAAAGUUAUCGGGAACUGGCAGGAGCCUUAUGGUUGUCGCUUUAUUGUAUGAAAUGCAGUCGCCAUGUAAUUGCUUUACUUUAUCACUAUGCGGUAGCGAUAGUCGUAGAAGCAAUAGUUGGCGAGACGACAACGAUGCUACGAUGGAGAUCAAGGGGUCAAGCCGGUGACGAUGGAGAUCAUGACGGUGCUUUGGAGAUGGAGUUCAAAGGCACAAGAUGAUGAUGGCCAUAUCAUGUCACAUAUUUUGAUUGCAUUUGUUGUUUAUCUUUUGUGCAUCUUAUUUUGCUUAGUACGGCAGUAGCAUUAUAAGAUGAUCCCUUACUAAAUUUCAAGGUAUAAGUGUUCUCCCUGAGUAUGCACCGUUGCGACAAUUCGUCGUGCCGAGACACCACAUGAUGAUCGGGUGUGAUAAGCUCUACGUUCACAUACAAUGGGUGCAAGCCAGUUUUGCACGUGCUGAAUACUUGGGUUAAACUUGACGAGCCUAGCAUAUGCAGAUAUGGCCUCGGAACACUGAGACCGAAAGGUCGAACGUGAAUCAUAUAGUAGAUAUGAUCAACAUAGAGAUGUUCACUAUUGAAAACUACUCCAUCUCACAUGAUGAUCGGACAUGUUUUAGUUGAUUUGGAUCACAUGAUCAUUUAGAUGACUCGAGGGAUGUCUAUCUAAGUGGGAGUUCUUAAGUAAUAUGAUUAAUUGAACUUUAAUUUAUCAUGAACUUAGUCCUGAUAGUAUUUUCAUAUCUAUGUUGUAGAUCAAUAGCUCGCGUUAUAGCUCCCCUAUGUUUUUGUUAUGUUCCUAGAGAAAAUUAAGUUGAAAGACGUUAGUAGCAAUGAUGCGGACUAGGUCCGUGAUAUGAGGAUUAUCCUCAUUGCUGCACAGAAGAAUUAUGUCCUCGAUGCACCGCUAGGUGACGGACCGAUUGCAGGAGCAGAUGCAGACGUUAUAAACGUUUGGCAAGCUCGAUAUGAUGACUACUUGAUAGUUUAGUGCACCAUGCUUUGCGGCUUAUAAUUGGGGCUUCAAAGACGUUUUGAACGUCAUAGAGCAUAUGAGAUGUUCCAAUAGUUGAAAUUGGUAUUUCAAACUCAUGCCCAUGUCGAGAGGUAUGAGACCUCUGACAAAGUACUUUGCCUACAAGAUGGAGGAGAAUAGCUCAACCAGUGAGCAUGUAUUCAGAAUGUCUGAGUACUACAAUCGCUUGAAUCAAGUGGGAGUUAAUCUUCCAGAUAAGAUAGUGAUUGACAGAGUUCUCUAAUCACAAUCGUCAAGCUACUAGAACUUCGUGAUGAACUAUAAUAUGCAAGGGAUGACGAAAACGAUUCCCGAGCUCUUCGCGAUGCUGAAAUCGGCGAAGGUAGAAAUCAAGAAAGAGCAUCAAGUGUUGAUGGUUGACAAGACCACUAGUUUCAAGUAAAAGGGCAAGGAAAGAAAUGGAACUUCAAGAAGAAUGACAAGCAAGUUGUCACACCCGUGAAGAAGCCAAAAGCUAGACCUAAGCCAAAAACUGAGCAUUUCUACUGCAAAGGGAAUGGUCACUGGAAGCGGAACUACCCCAAAUACUUGGUGGAUAAGAAGGAUGGCAAAGUGAACAAAGGUAUAUUUGAUAUACAUGUUAUUGAUGUGUACUUUACUAGUGUUCAUAGUAACCCCUGGGUAUUUGAUACCGGUUCAGUUACUAAGAUUAGUAACUCGAAACAGGAGUUGCAAAAUUAAUAGAGACUAGUUAAGGGCGAGGUGACGAUGUGUGUUGGAAGUGAUUCCAAGGUUGAUAAGAUCACCAUCGCACACUCCCUCUACCUUCGAGAUUAGUGUUGGACCUAAAAUAAAUGUUAUUUGGUGUUUGUGUUGAGCAUGAAUAUGAUUGGAUCAUGUUUAUUGCGAUACGGUUAUUCAUUUAAAUCAGAGAAUAAUUGGUGUUCUGUUUAUAUGAAUAAAACCUUCUAUGGUCAUACACACAAUGUAAAUGGUUUAUUGAAUCUCGAUCGUGGUGAUACACAUAUUCAUAAUAUUGAUGCCAAAAGAUGCAAAGUUGAUAAUGAUAGUGCAACCUAUUUAUGGCACUACCGUUUAGGUCAUAUUGGUGUAAAGCGCAUGAAGCAACUCCAUGCAGAUGGGCUUUUGGAAUCACUUGAUUAUGUAUCAUUUGAUACUUGCGAACCAUGCCUCAUGGACAAGAUGACUAAAACUCCGUUCUCCGGAACAAUGGAGCGAGCUACUGAUUUGUUGGAAAUAAUACAUACCGAUGUACGCGGUCCGAUGAGUGUUGAGGCUCAUGGCGUAUCGUUAUUUCUGACCUUCACAGAUGAUUUGAGCAGAUAUGGGUAUAUAUACUUGAUGAAACACAAGUCUGGAACAUUUGAAAAGUUCAAAGAAUUUCAGAGUGAAGUGGAGAAUCAUCGUAACAAGAAAAUAAAGUUUCUACGAUCUGAUCGCGGAGGCGAAUAUUUGAGUUAUGAGUUUGGGCUUCAUCUAAAAGAAUGUGAAAUAGUUUGACAACUCACGCCACCUGGAACACCAAAGCGUAAUGGUGUGUCCGAACGUCGUAAUCGUACUUGUAACAUCCCAAUUUUCAAUUUGGAUGUUUAUAAAGAUCAUUCAUAUGCAUCCAUGAUUUAUGCAUUUUUGCCCCCAUUUGUUUUAUUUGAUUUUUGAUCCAAGGAACUUUGAGCAACUCAAGGACCAAAAGAGAGAGUUGGAAGUUUCCCAAAAAAACAAUUUUGAAUUUUUUCGAAGUUGGGAGUUUGGAUCAAAUUUGGUUUCACCAAAAAAAUUCAUUUCCAUUUUAUCAAAAAUAAAAUAAAUAGAAAAGAUAAAAUGACUUCUUCAAAAUCAGAAAAUAAAAUAUUGGAAAUUGAAUUUGAAACCAAAAUAUAUUUGUUGAGUUUUAUUUGCAAUUUAUUUUAUUAGCAUAGCAAAAAGUUUAUUUUUGAAAACUUGCAUUUUAGGCCAGAUAAAAGUUCACAAGGUCAUAUAUAAGACCAUAUUACUAUGUGAAUUUUCUGGGAAUUCUUAGACUUAUUUUCAUUUGUCUUUUGGUGCUUUAAUGCUGCUGUAAGAAAAAACAUUUAAAAAGAACGCAGCCCAGCAGGCCCAUGCCCAGGCGCUAUCUUCUUCUUCCAAACAUGUACGCACGCACGCACGCAGCACCCCACCCUAGCGCCCUACCCCUCCCCUCUCCUCUUCCUCGCUCCAAAACCGCUCUGAAUCGGUUCCCCUCGCCUCCCUCUACCUUUUCUCCUUCACUAGUGCGCCUUAAUUCCACCUCUAAUGGCCAUUAGAAGCCCAAGUAACAGCCACCAUUAACAUCAUAAAGUCGGCAACGCUCAGCUCAUCUCGAGACCUCCCCAAGCCCUAUAUAAAGCACCCCUGGGAUCCCCUCUCACCCCUCGUCCGAAGCCCUCUCUUGUUGGAGUUUUCCCCCUCCCUGACCUCGCAAAUUGCUCGCCGGAGUUCGUGAAUUCCGGUGACCUCUCACCGUGCAUACAGGAAGCAAUCUACAACCACAACUUGUGCAAGUGGUUCAACUCAUCGUCCUCUACAUCGUUUCGCACGAGUCCUUCACCGAAGCACACCGGAGCCACCUUCUUCCUCGUCUCCGGUGACAAGUCCGGUGAGCACCCAGCCAGCGAAUCAGAGAGCGCCACUUGUCCCUGGCCGAUUUUUUUCUCUUUUUCAGGAAUUUUUCCAAAUUCAGAUUCUUUACCAAAUCUUCUUUCUUGUAUAUCUUUUAGUCUAUAGAUCCGAUUUAGUUGAUUCUUUUUCCUACUAAUUCAUAGAAAUCCCAUCUAUCCAGAAAACCAAACGAAAAAUAUUUUUGAAAAUUUUAAAAAUUUAAAUUCAAAUAUAUCUGAAUUCAAACUUCGUUAGGCCGUAUCUCGAGUUUCGUAACUCCGUUUUAGGUGAUUCUUUUUGCAAAUCGAAGCUCGUAAUGUGUACUUUCUGUUAAAACCAAAACCAUUUAUUUUUGUUGAUGUAAAAAUUACGUUCUGUACAGAAACUUUAUUUGGUUGUUUUUGGAGUUUUCCGAAGUCUUUUAUUUGUUUUCUUUUUGGAUCUUUGCUUGUAUGCUUAUGUAUGUUAUUGCUUGUUUACGCUAGAUCAUCCGGAGUGCGAAGCUUGCUACUACGAAUCUUUACAGUUCAACGAACGUCGGCAAGGCAAGUUCACACUUUGAUCAUACUUUUCAAUACCCAGUUUUUACUAUGCAUUAGUUUCACCCUCAAAGAUUGCAUCAGUAGGAUUGGGAACAUGUGGUUAUGCUAUGUAGUUCAUGUGGUAGGAACCUAUGACCUUUUGAUCACCCCGGGAAUAUUCGUUAUAUCAUAUAUUGCUUAGCCAUGCUCGUAGACGGGGAUUGGUAUGUGUGAUCCAUGCAAGUUGUGAGAGAUAAUAAUUUUGGGACAACAUAAGGUGGCAACUUUAAUACACAUCUGGGUGGAUUGUUUGGGGCACCUGGAGUAACCAGUGCUUGCCCAAGGGGAAUCCCAGAGUACGCGUGUGAUUACCCUAGGUCCGCCACCCAGGCUCAAAGGGAUCAAAAGAUAUUUCAUGCCUAGAAACUUCCGUGUGCAGCCACAAUCCAUUAUGGGCUCUGGCAUAGUUGAGUAAGUUGUGUGACCUCUUUCCGUGGUAGACUAGCUGAUGUAGGGGAAAGUAGGUGUACCGGUCUACCCAGGGUUAAGGGGAAACGCUUCUGAAAGGCUAUGUCUCGAUCUUUCGAUCAUGGAGGUGGUCGAGUCUUGUGGGGAAAAGUGCGCAAACCACUGCAGAGUGUAUAAACUAAUCAUGAUUAGUCGUGUCCCCGGUUAUGGACAAUUUGAGUAUCUAGAAGUGAAUUAUUGGUUGAUCUCAUCACUCUAUUUAAUGAAAUUAUUGGGUUACUAAUAACUUGGGAAUUUUGGGAUUGAGUUGGAGGAACCUUCUCAAUAAUGGCAUUUUAAUUUAGUAGUAAAAAAAGUUUAUUCCUUUGUUGUAAGGUAAAAUUAGCUUUAUGCAAAAAUAAAACUUAGAGCCUCCACCAGCUAAAUUUGCAUAUAAGGAUAGUAUUUUCAUUUAUUAUUAUUCUAUGGUGUGAAAUUGCCAGCAUAUUCCACGUGCUGACCUACACGACUGCAACGUCUCAUGUUGCAAACUUUUCCGACGAAGAUUAAAGGUGCGAUAGGUCGUUGUUCUACACUCAGUUUGCCGUGGAGUUGGAUGGACUCAUUUACCUUCAAUGCUUCCGCAGUUAUUUUUAUUGAGAUGGCCUUUGGCCAUAUUAUUGUAAUAAAUACUUUUUUGAGGACCUUGAUGUAAUAAAAUGUGUGGUUGAACUCUGUUAUAAUUCCUCGAGUACUGUGUGUGUCAGCAUACCGAUUCAGGGAUGACACUUAAGCACAGAGACUUUGAUCCAUUUGGGUCAGGUCGCUACAAGAUGGUAUCAGAGCACACGCUGACUGAGUGACUGUAGGAUGCGACCACUAGGAAAUGGAAAGCCAUAGGAAGAAAACUCUAUUUUACGACUUCCUUAAAUAUCCGUUGGUCUAUACUCUUCUCUAUUCAUUUCUAUCUCUUCUCCACUUCAAUAAAAUAGUUGUCGAACCCCAUCACCAAGUUGCUCACCCCGAUGAGACCAUGACCUAUGAAGAGAUCAUUGACGAAGAAGAAGAAGCUAGAAUUGACUUUGAUUUGAGAAGAUUUAGUUCAGACCAUCACUACCAAGUUGAGUCCAACGAAUGAUUGCGGUAGUAUGAAGAGAUCAUAUCUCUUGUGGAUAUGACCUUACCUGUAGGUUUUUGCUUGUGUGGUGUGAUCUGUGUGAAUUGCUUGAUUUGAAAUUUUCUUGCUAUCAUAAGCAUAUGGGUAGUGAUUUCUCUCAUUAGGCCCUUAUUUUAUUCUAAUUUCUCAUCCACUCUAAACCUAACAGAUGCCUUCAAGACGUGACCCGGAAUUCCCACCGGAACUUACCCAGUUGAUCCAGAACCAGAAUGCCCUCAUGCAGCUACUCAUCCAGAAUCAGAACCAGAACAACAACAACAACCCACCGCCACUACCCCCGGUCGACAACCUUACCCGUUUCCUGAGGUUGAACCCACCGGUGUUCUCUAGCAGCACGGAGCCGAUCGUUGCAGAUGACUGGCUUCGCAAGAUCGGAAGAGAGCUGACCACCGCAGGAUGCACUGACGCUGAGAAGGUGCGCUUUGCCGCACAUCAACUGGAUGGGCCAGCAGCCUCGUGGUGGGAGAAUUACACCACCACAUUCCCCAUAGCCAAUGUGACUUGGGAUCAGUUCCAGCAGGCGUUCCAUGCCGCACAUGUUUCAGCCGGAGCUAUGAGUCUGAAGAAGCUUGAGUUCUGCAACUUACGCCAGGGAAAUCGUUCUGUUGGUGAUUAUGUGGAGGAAUUCAGCAAGUUAUCCAGGUAUGCUCCCGGAGACGUGGCUGAUGAUGCCGCUAAGCAGGAGAAAUUUCUGGAGGGACUAAACGAUGAUCUGGGACUUCAGUUGACUGUGGCUACCUUUAACAGUUAUCAAGAGUUGGUCGACAAGGCUCUCAUUCUGGAAGGCAAGCAGCAGCAGAUGGAGAAUCGCAAGAGGAAGUACGAACAGGGAAAGUACAACUCUUGUGUUCAGCAGAAGCCCCGCUAUACCCCGUACUUGGGAAAUAAUGGACCAGGAUCUGGCAAGUAUAGUGGACACACUCACCAUAACCAUGGAGGACAUUCACAUCAUGGAGGGAAUGGACACAACCAUAAUGGCCAUAGGAAUGGCAAUGGGAACGGAGGAAACAACAAUCAGCAUCAGUCCAACCCCGCUACACCGGCAAAGAAGGAUCUGAGCCACAUUACCUGUUUCAAGUGCGGGAAAACCGGACACUAUGCCACCGAUUGCCCUGAGGCCAAGAACGGGAACGGUAAUGGAAGCUCUGGAGGCAAGAAGCCCAAUCCCUUCACCAGAGGUCAGGUGAACCAUGUCAAUGUGGAGGAAGUUUAUGACCAGCCUGACACCGUUGUUGGUAACUUCUUGAUUAAUUCAUUUACACCCCUUGUUCUUUUUGACACUGGUGCAUCACAUUCAUUCAUAUCAAGGGGGUUUGUAGAUAAGUUUAAGUUGCCGACUGUAGCCCUUAAGUCACCUAUGUUAGUGAGUUCCCCAGGAGCAGAGUAUAUGGCUAGUCAGGGAUGUUUUCAGUUGCCAUUGACCAUAGGGAGACACGUUUUCCCCACAGACCUCAUCAUCCUAGAAUCACAAGGAUUGGACAUAAUUCUAGGCAUGGACUGGCUAUCCAAGUAUGAAGGGAAUAUUGAUUGUGCCAGUAAGUCGAUUCUUCUCACCACCCCAGAGGGGAAACGGAUCAAGUAUGUGUCGAGGCAUACGCCAAGGAGGACUCAAGUGAAUUCUCUUUCGGGAGUUGUUUAGGAGGAAGUACCAGUUGUGAAGGAUUAUCCCGAUGUAUUCCCCGAGGAAUUGCCCGGCAUGCCACCGGAUCGGGACAUAAGUUUUUGAUCGAAUUGUUACCAGGCACCGGACCAAUAUCCAAGAGACCGUACCGGAUGCCCGCAAAUGAUCUGGAGGAAAUUAAGAAGCAGAUUAAGUAAUUAUUGGAGAAAGGUUAUAUUCGACCGAGUUCAUCACCUUGGGGAGCCCCAGUGCUUCUAGUUGAGAAGAAGGAUGGAUCCUUGAGAAUGGUUGUAGAUUAUCGUGCGUUGAAUGAGGUGACGAUCAAGAACAAGUACCCUCUGCCGAUGAUCAAUGAUUUGUUUGACCAGCUACAAGGAGCAAAAGUUUUCUCAAAGAUCGAUCUUCGAUCAGGAUAUCACCAGCUGAAGAUUCGAGAACAGGAUAUACCCAAGACAGCUUUUACCACGAGAUAUGGGCUUUAUGAGUACACGGUCAUGUAUUUUGGUUUGACUAACGCCCCUGCCUAUUUUAUGAGUAUGAUGAAUAAGGUAUUCAUGGAGUUCUUGGAUAAGUUUUUUGUGGUAUUCAUUGAUGACAUAUUGAUUUACUCGAAGAAUGAAGAAGAACACAAGGAACAUUUGCGCUUGGUUCUAGAGAAGCUCAGGGAACAUCAAUUAUACGCAAAGUUCAGCAAGUGCGAAUUCUGGUUGAAGGAAGUCAGAUUUCUCGGACAUAUUAUAUCAGGAGAAGGAAUAGCAGUAGACCCCUCCAAGGUUGAAGCCGUCACCGAAUGGAAGGCACCCACCUCAGUCGGAGAGAUUCGUUGUUUUCUUGGACUCGCGGGAUAUUAUCGGAGGUUUAUUGAGAAUUUCUCCAAGAUCGCGAAGCCCAUGACGGAGUUAUUGAAGAAAGACACUAAGUUUGUUUGGACCGACGAAUGUGAGGCCAGUUUCCAGGAGCUGAAGAAACGUUUGGUCACAGCCCUAGUGCUAAUUCUUCCGAAUAUACGCAAGGAUUUCCAAGUAUAUUGCGACGCUUCUCGUCAGGGACUUGGAGGUGUUCUUAUGCAAGAAGGAAGAGUUGUUUCAUAUGCCUCACGUCAGCUUCGACCUCAUGAGCAGAAUUAUGCCACACAUGAUUUGGAGUUAGCAGCCGUAGUGCACGCACUCAAGACCUGGAGACAUUUUCUUAUUGGAAAUAGGUGUGAUGUUUACACGGAUCACAAUAGUUUGAAAUACAUCUUCACGCAGAAGGAGUUGAACCUCAGGCAGAGAAGAUAGUUGGAGCUCAUAAAGGAUUAUGAUAUGAAAUUGCACUAUCACCCAGGAAAGGCCAAUGUUGUGGCAGAUGCAUUGAGCCGCAAGAGCUACGUCAAUACCCUCACAGCAGGAGGAUUACCUCAGGAGUUAAUUGAUGAUCUCAGAGAUCUUCGAUUGGAGAUAGUACCACGAGGUUUUGUUGCCGCAAUGGAAAUUCAAUCCACUUUGUUGGGAAAGAUCCAAGAAGCCCAGAAGUUAGACAAAGGCAUUGCGGAGAUAAAGGGAAGGAUGAACCAAGGAAAGGCAAAAGGAUUUCGUGAGGAUGAACAUGGAACCUUAUGGUUUGAGUAGCGUAUUUACGUGCCAAAUGACCCAGAGAUCAGGAAAUUUAUUCUUCGGGAGGCUCAUGAUUCGCCUUAUUCAAUACACCCGGGCAACACCAAGAUGUAUUUGGACUUGAAGGAAAGUUUCUGGUGGACAGGUAUGAAGAAGGAUAUUGCCGAGUAUGUCGCAGUAUGUGACGUAUGUCAGAGGGUUAAGGCAGAGCACCAGAAACCAGCAGGAUUACUUCAGCCUUUGCCGAUACCAGAUUGGAAGUGGGACAAGCUUGGCAUGGACUUCAUUACAGGAUUACCCAGGACCCGAUCAGGCUAUGAUUCUAUUUGGGUAGUGGUUGAUCGCUUGACCAAUGUAGCUCACUUCAUCCCCGUGAAAACCACAUAUACAAGUGCUAAGUUAGCCAAAAUAUACAUGACCAGGAUCUAUGUCUGCAUGGAGUUCCGAGGACCAUCGUAUCAGAUAGAGGAACACAAUUUACCUCAAAGUUUUGGCAUCAAUUACACGAAACUUUGGGUACCAGGCUAGAGUUCAGUGCAUCCUUUCAUCCGCGGACAGAUGGGCAGACCGAGAGAGUCAACCAGAUUCUGGAGGACAUGUUGAGAGCUUGUGCGCUAGAUUAUGAAUUUGGUUGGGAUGAUAAUUUGCCAUACGCAGAAUUCUCAUAUAACAACAGCUAUCAAGCCAGUCUAAAGAUGGCCCCUUUUGAAGCUUUGUACGGAAGGAGGUGCAGGACACCAUUGAUGUGGGAUGAAGUUGGAGACCGUAAAUUAUUUGGACCAGAUUUAAUUAGAGAUUCAGAGGAGAAAGUCAAGCUGAUCCGCGACAGACUCAAGGUAGCCCAAUCCAGACAGAAGAGUUAUGCCGAUACUAAACGCAAGGAGGUAACCUAUGAAGUCGGAGAUAGAGCAUAUCUGCGUGUGUCGCCAAUUCGAGGAGUUAAACGAUUCGGAGUCAAAGGAAAGUUAGCACCACGGUUUGUGGGACCGUACAGAGUUUUAGAACGCAUGGGUGAAGUUGCCUACAAGUUGGAAUUACCAGAAGCCUUGUCAGGAGUUCAUGAUGUGUUUCACGUUUCCCAGUUGAAGAAGUGUCAUGCGGAGAUGGCCGAUAUUCCUUUGAGAGAUACAGUGCCACUGGAGGCCAUACAGUUGGAUAGUGAUCUGACCUAUGAGGAGAAGCCCAUCAAGAUUCUAGAGACUGCAAGCAGGGUUACCCGCAGCAAGGUCAUCAAGUUUUGCAAGGUUCGGUGGAGUCAUCAUACUAAGGAAGAAGCCACCUGGGAACGAGAAGAAGACCUCCGACAGGACCACCCACACCUUUUUGCUAGCCAACCCGAAUCUCGAGGGCGAGAUUCAUCUUAAGGGGGGUAGGUUUGUAACAUCCCAAUUUUCAAUUUGGAUGUUUAUAAUAGAUCAUUCAUAUGCAUCCAUGAUUUAUGCAUUUUGCCCCAUUUGUUUUAUUUGAUUUUUGAUCCAAGGAACUUUGAGCAACUCAAGGACCAAAAGAGAGAGUUGGAAGUUUCCAAAAAAAACAAUUUUGAAUUUUUUUCGAAGUUGGGAGUUUGGAUCAAAUUUGGUUUCACCAAAAAAAUUCAUUUCCAUUAUAUCAAAAAUAAAAUAAAGAGAGAAGAUAAAAUGACUUCUUCAAAAUCAGAAAAGAAAAUAUUAGAAAUUGAAUUUGGAACCAAAAUAUAUUUGUUGAGUUUUAUUUGCAAUUUAUUUUAUUAGCAUAGCAAAAAGUUUAUUUUUGAAAACUUGCAUUUUAGGCCGGAUAAAAGUUCACAAGGUCAUAUAUAAGACCAUAUUGCUAUGUGAAUUUUCUGGGAAUUCUUAAACUUAUUUUCAUUUGUCUUUUGGUGCUUUAAUGCUGCUGUAAGAAAAAACGUUUAAAAAAACGCAGCCCAGCAGGCCCAUGCCCAGGCGCUAUCUUCUUCUUCCUCUCAAGGUUACAUAAACAUGUACGCACUCAGGCACGCAGCACCCCACCUUAGCGCCCUACCCCUCCCCUCCUCUCCCUCGCUCCAAAACCGCUCUGAAUCGGUUCCCCUCGCCUCCCUCUACCUUUUCUCCUUCACUGGUGUGCCUUAAUUCCCCCUCUAAUGGCCAUUAGAAGCCCAAGUAACAGCCACCAUUAACAUCAUAAAGUCGGCAACGCUCAGCUCAUCUCCAGACCUCCCCAAGCCCUAUAUAAAGCACCCCUGGGAGCCCCUCUCACCCCUCGUCCGAAGCCCUCUCUUGUUGGAGUUUUUCCCCUCCCUAACCUCGCCAAUUGCUCGCCGGAGUUCGUGAAUUCCGGCGACCUCUUAGCGUGCGUACAGGAAGCAAUCUACAACCACAACUUGUGCAAGUGGUUCAACUCAUCGUCCUCUACAUCGUUUCGCACGCGUCCUUCGCCGAAGCACACCGGAGCCACCUUCUUCCUCGUCUCCGGCGACAAGUCCGGCGAGCACCCAGCCAGCGAAUCACAGAGCGUCAUUUGUCCCUGGCCGAUUUUUUUCUCUUUUUCAGGAAUUUUUUCAAAUUCAGAUUCUUUACCAAAUCUUCUUUCUUGUAUAUCUUUUAGUCUAUAGAUCCAAUUUAGUUGAUUCUUUUUCCUACUAAUUCAUAGAAAUCCUAUCUAUCCAAAGAACCAAACGAAAAAUAUUUUUGAAAAUUUUAAAAAUUUGAAUUCAAACAGAUCUGAAUUCAAACUUCGUUAGGCCGUAUCUCGAGUUUCGUAACUCCGUUUUAGGUGAUUCUUGUUGCAAAUCGAACCUCGUAACGUGUACUUUCUGGUAAAACCAAAACCAUUUAUUUUUGUUGCUGUAAAAAUUACGUUCUGUACAGAAACUUUAUUUGGUUGUUUUUGGAGUUUUCCGAAGUCUUUUAUUUGUUUUCUUUUUGGAUCUUUGCUUGUAUGCUUAUGUAUGUUAUUGCUUGUUUACGCUAGAUCAUCCGGAGUGCGAAGCUUGCUACUACGAAUCUUUAUAGUUCAACGAAUGUCAGCAAGGCAAGUUCACACUUUGAUCAUACUUUUCAAUACCCAGUUUUUACUAUGCAUUAGUUUCACCCUCAAAGAUUGCAUCAGUAGGAUUGGGAAGAUGUGGUUAUGCUAUGUAGUUCAUGUGGUAGGAACCUAUGACCUUUUGACCACCCCGGGAAUAUUCGUUAUAUCAUAUAUUGCUUAGCCAUGCUCGUAGACGGGGAUUGGUAUGUGUGAUCCAUGCAAAUUGUGAGAGAUAAUAAUUUUGGGACAACAUAAGGUGGCAACUUUAAUACACGUCUGGGUGGAUUGUUUGGGACACCUGGAGUAACCAGUGCUUGCCCAAGGGGAAUCCCGGAGUACACAUGUGAUUACCCUAGGUCCGCCACCCAGGCUCAAAGGGAUCAAAAGAUAUUUAAUGCCUAAAAACUUCCGUGUGCAGCCACAAGCCAUUAUGGGCUCUGGCAUAGUUGAGUAAGUUGUGUGACCUCUUUCCGUGGUAUACUAGCUGAUGUAGGGGAAAGUAGGUGUACCGGUCUACCCAGGGUUAAGGGGAAACGCUUCUGAAAGGCUAUGUCUCGAUCUUCCGAUCAUGGAGGUGGUCGAGUCUUGUGGGGAAAAGUGCGCAAACCUCUGCAGAGUGUACAAACUAAUCAUGAUUAGCCGUGUCCCCGGUUAUGGACAAUUUGAGUGUCUAGAAGUGAAUUAUUGGUUGAUCUCAUCACUCUAUUUAAUGAAAUUAUUGGGUUACUAAUAACUUGGGAAUUUUGGGAUUGAGUUGGAGGAACCUUCUCAAUAAUGGCAUUUUAAUUUAGUAGUAAAAAAAGUUUAUUCCUUUGUUGUAAGGUAAAUUUAGCUUUAUGCAAAAAUAAAACUUAGAGCCUUUAAACUGCCUGCUGAAUCCAUGAGCAGGCAAGAGACAACCUCGUUGACAGCCUCCUCAACCCAAGCUUCCAUCUCCUGCUCCAGACAUCGACGCUUAAAAACGCUUUUUUGUCGAUUAUUUAUCAAGAAAGCAAAAAGGGUUAUUCCCAUUUGUCUCUAUCUAUUGGUGGGGAGGUAUAUGAAAUGCUUGCCAUCCACACCAGAAUAGAUAGAGUUUUCCGAAGAAACCUGCUAGUGGAGGCGGCGGGGGAAGGAAGGGGACACUGGGCGGGAUCUUUCAGCAAAUGUAUAACUCCCCAGGAAUUUCAAUUGCUCAACCAAUGAUUUUGAUUAGACACUUCUCCUUGUUGAAUGAGAAUGAAGGAAGAGUGCCGAACGACUAAAGCUAACAGCCAGCCCGGAUCCAUUCAAAGGAUUUCUUUACCACUGCUCCCGAUGGCCAAAGGACCGAUUCUAUUCCUGAUAGAAGGAUCAUGGCGCCCCGGAAGAAACUUCGCUUUGCCACCCAGGUAUAACCAAAGCCUUCCCCACCAGCUAAAUUUGCAUAUAGGGAUAGUCUUUUCAUUUAUUAUUAUUCUAUGGUGUGAAAUUGCCAGCAUAUUCCAUGUGCUAACCUACAUGGCUGCAAUGUCUCAUGUUGCAGACUUUUCCGACGAAGAUUAAAGGUGCGAUAGGUCGUUGUUCUACACUCAAUUUGCCAUGGAGUUGGAUGGACUCAUUUACCUUCAAUGCUUCCGCAGUUAUUUUUAUUGAGAUGGCCUUUGGCCAUAUUAUUGUAAUAAAUACUCUUUUGAGGACCUUGAUGUAAUAAAGCGUGUGGUUGAACUUUGUUAUAAUUCCUCGAGUACUGUGUGUGUCAGCAUACCGAUCCAGGGAUGACACUUAAGCACAGAGACUUCGAUCCAUUUGGGUCAGGUCGCUACAAUACUUUAUUGGAUAUGGUGCGAUCUAUGAUGUCUCUUACCGAUUUACCACUAUCGUUUUGGGGUUAUGCAUUAGAGACAACUCCAUUCACUUUAAAUAGGGCACCGUAUAAACUGUGGUUUUGCAAGAAACCUAAGCUGUCGUUUCUUAAAGUUUGGGGUUGUGAUGCUUAUGUGAAAAAGCUUCAGCCUGAUAAACUCGAACCCAAAUCGGAGAAGUGCGUCUUCAUAGGAUACACAAAAGGGACUGUUGGGUACACCUUCUAUCACAGAUCCGAAGGCAAGAUAUUUGUUGCUAAGAAUGGAUCCUUUUCAGAGAAGGAGUUUUCUCUCGAAAGAAGUGAGUGGGAGGAUAGUAGAACUUGAUGAGGUAAUUGUACCUUCUCUUGAAUUAGAAAGUAGUUCAUCACAGAAAUCAGUUCCAGUGAUGCCUACACCAGUUAGUGAGGAAGCUAAUGAUGAUGAUCAAGAAACUUUAGAUCAAGUUACUACCGAACUUCGUUGGUCAACCAUAGCACGUUCCGCACCAGAGUGGUAUGAUAAUGUUGUUCUCGAAGUCAUGUUACUAGACCAUGACAAACCUACGAACUAUGAGGAAGCGAUGAUGAGCCCAGAUUCCGCAAAAUGGCUUGAGGCCAUGAAAUCUGAGAUGGGAUCCAUGUAUGAGAACAAAGUAUGGACUUUGGUGGACUUGUCCGAUGAUCGGCAAACCAUAGAAAAUAAACGGAUCUUCAAGAGGAAGACGGAUGUUGAUGGUAGUGUUACUAUCUACAAAGCUCGACUUGUCGCAAAAGGUUUUCGACAAGUUCAAGGAGUUGACUACGAUGAGACCUUCUCACCAGUAGCAAUGCUUAAGUCUGUCCGAAUCAUGUUAGCAAUUGACGCAUUUUAUGAUUAUGAAAUCUGGCAAAUGGAUGUCAAAACUGCAUUCCUUAAUGGAUUUCUUAGAGAAGAGUUGUAUAUGAUGCAACCAGAAGGUCUUGUCAAUCCUAAAGGUGCUAACAAAAUGUGCAAGCUCCAGCGAUCCAUCUAUGAACUAGUGCAAACAUCUCGGAGUUGGAAUAUACGCUUUGAUGAACUGAUGAAAGCAUAUAGUUUUAUAUAGACUUGCGGUGAAGCCUGUAUUUACAAGAAAGUGAGUGGGAGCAUCACAACCUUCCUGAUAAGUAUAUGUGAAUGCCAUAUUGUUGAUCGGAAAUGAUGUAGAAUUUUCUGGAAAGCAUAAAGGAGUGUUUGAAAGAAGUUUUUCAAAGAAAGACCUCAGUGAAGUAACUUACAUAUUGGGCAUCAAGAUCUAUAAAGACAGAUCAAGACGCUUGGUAAGACUUUUGAUGAGUACAUACCUUGAUAAGAUUUUGAAGGAGUUCAAAAUGGAACAUUCAAAGAAGGAGUUCUUGCCUGUAUUGCAAGGUGUAAAGUUGAGUAAAACUCAAAACCCGACCAUUACAGAAAAUAGAAUGAGAAUGAAAGUCAUUCCCUAUGCCCCAGCCAUAGGUUCUAUAAAGUAUGCUAUGCUGUGUACCAGACCUAUUGUGUACCUUAUCAUAAGUUUGGCAAGGGGAUACGAUAGUGAUUCAGGAGUGGAUCACUAGACAGCGGUCAAAGUUAUCGUUAGUUACCUAAGAGGACUAAGGAAAUGUUUCUUGGUUAUGGAGGUGAUAAAGAGUUCGUCGUAAAGAGUUAUGUCGAUGCAAGCUUUGACACUGAUCCAGAUGACUCUGAGUCUCAAUCUGGAUACACAUUGAAAGUGGAAGCAAUUAGCUAGAGUAGCUCCGUGCAGAGCAUUGUAGACAUAGAAAAAUUGCAAAAUACAUACGAAUUUGAAUGUGGCAGACCCGUUGACUAAACUUCUCUCACAAGCAAAACAUGAUCACACCUUAGUACUCUUUGGGUGUUAAUCACAUGGCGAUGUGAACUAGAUUAUUGACUUGGGUGUUAGUCACAUGGCGAUGUGAACUAUGGGUGUUAAUCACAUGGUGAUGUGAACUAUCGGUGUUAAAUCACAUGGCGAUGUGAACUAGAUUAUUGACUCUAGUGCAAGUGGGAGACGGAAGGAAAUAUGCCCUAGAGGCAAUAAUAAAGUUGUUAUUUAUAUUUCCUUAUAUCAUGAUAAAUAUCUAUUAUUCAUGCUAGAAUUGUAUUAACCGGAAACUUGAUACAUGUGUGAAUACAUAGACAAAACACCGUGUCCCUAGUAUGCCUCUACUUGACUAGCUGUUAAUCAAAGAUGGUUAAAUUUCCUAACCAUGGGCAUGUGUUGUAAUUUGAUGAACGGGAUCACAUCAUUAGGAAAAUGAUGUGAUGGACAAGACCCAUCCGUUAGCUUAGCAUGAUGAUCGUUAAGUUUUAUGCUAUUGCUUUCUUCAUGACUUAUACAUAUUCCUUUGACUAUGAGAUUAUGCAACUCCCGAAUGUCACAACGUAAAUAGGUGAUUAUAAAGAUGCUCUACAGGUAUGUCCGAAGUUGUUUGUUGGUUUGGCAUAGAUCGAGAUUAGGAUUUGUCACUCCGAGUAUCGGAGAGGUAUCUCUGGGCCCUCUCGGUAAUGCACAUCAUAAUAAGCCUUGCAAGCAAUGUGACUAAUGAGUUAGUUAUGGGAUGAUGCAUUACGGAACGAGUAAAGAGACUUGCCGGUAACGAUAUUGAACUAGGUAUGAAGAUACCGACGAUCGAAUCUCGGGCAAGUAACAUACCGAUGACAAAGGGAAUAACGUAUGUUGUUAUUGCGGUUUGACCGAUAAAGAUCUUCGUAGAAUAUGUAGGAACCAAUAUGAGCAUCCAGGUUCUGCUAUUGGUUAUUGACCGGAGAUGUGUCUUGGUCAUGUCUACAUAAUUCUCGAACCCGUAGGGUCCGCACGCUUAACGUUCGAUGACGAUUUGUAUUAUGAGUUAUGUGUUUUGGUGACCGAAGUUUGUUCGGAGUCCCGGAUGAGAUCACGGAUAUGACGAGGAGUCUCGAAAUGGUCGAGAGAUAAAUAUUGAUAUAUUGGAAGGUAGUAUUCGGACACCGGAAGGGUUCCGGAGUGUAUCGGGUACAUACUGGAAUACCAGAGGGGUUACCGAAACCCCCCGGGAAAAGAUAUGGGCCAUAUGGGCCAUAGGAGGGAGGCUAACCAGCCACAAGGGGCUGGCAUGCCUCCCACAAGGGAGGAGGCCUAAUUGGAUUAGGUAAGGGGGCGGCGCCCCCCUUUCCUUCUCCUACUCCCUCUCCUUUCCCCCUCCGGAAAAAGGAAAAAAGGGGGGCGAAUCCUACUAGGACUGGAGUCCUAGUAGGACUCCCCUCUCCUUGGCGCGCCCCUGGUGGCUGGCCUCCUCCCAUCCUCCUUUAUAUACGGAGGCACCACAAGGCACAUCAGUUAUUCUCUUAGCCGUGUGCGGUGCCCCCCUCCACAGUUUAUGCCUCCGGUUAUAGCGUCGUAGUGCUUAGGCGAAGCCUUGCGCGGAUCACAUCACCAACACCAUCAUCAUGCUGCCGUGCUGACGGAACUCUCCCUCGACCCUCUACUGGAUUAAGAGUUCGAGGUACGUCAUCGUGCUGAACGUGUGCUGAACACGGAGGUGCCGCACGUUCGGUACUUGGAUCGGUUGGAUCGUGAAGACAUUCGACUACAUUAACCACGUUAACAUAAUGCUUCUGCUUUCGGUCUACGAGGGUAUGUGGACACACUCUCCCCUUCUCAUUACUAUGCAUCUCCUAGAUAGAUCUUGCGUGAUCGUAGGAAUUUUUUUAAAAUUGCAUGCUACGUUCCCCAACAAGAACUUUUGUGCACAAGGAGAGAACAGAUGUGCAAGAUAUUUGUUUUCAGUUAUUUAGCUCAGACAGUUUACUUCUGAAUCCUAAAUUUAGCCAUCAUAUGUGAGAAGAAUUCAAAGUGGCGGGAGCGCAGGCGAUCCUGUCGGGUCGAAAGCAUGUACGAUAAUUGAUCAGCAGAGAAAUAAUCCUCAUGGGUGAUUCCUACCCUGCUUCUCUGUAACGGUAUAUACACGAAGCGCUUGGCACACGCAAGAGGGAAAUCGUGGUGGAUGAUUCUUCUGAACUUUUGAUUUCCAAUUCCAUCAAUCUCUGAACUCUUAGUCUGCGCACGACCUACCAAUCAACCGAAAGAACAAGAAGCGAAAGAAAGUGGCACGGAGCGGCGGCGGGGGUACCUGCGGAUCGGCGCCGGGGAAGACGGACUGGAGUGCCUCGAUGGGGUCGAACUCCAUGUUGAUGCCGAGGUCGGCUACCGCGGCCGCAGCGGCGGACGGCGAGCACCGGCCCCGCUUCGCCUGCAGCACCUCGAAGGGGUCCUCCAGGAAGGCCGCCGCCCCGCGCUUCUGGGUACCCUCGACCUCCGCCGCCAUGGCCCGGCGAGAAAGGGGCCGGGGCUUGGAUGGCGACGAGCUUGGCACGCGCUCCUCUGCUAGGUGCCCCUGCCCUCGAUGGUUUGCGGUGCGGCAAGGCGAGCUGUGUGGUCGGUGGAUGCUGCUGCUCCUCUGCUAGGUGCGGCGAGCUGCUGGACGAUCUCAGGCACCCACCUUUAAGCGGGCUGCUGCUGCUCCACCGACGUGGAGGCUCUACGGCGGCUCCCCCGGACGGAUCUGGCACUCUCUCCGUCAGAUCAGAUUGGGGAGGGGAGCUACUAGCCUUGGACGGAAGGAGGAGGGGGGUCGAGACCUACAGCCAGGCGCGUGGUCACCGCCCAUGGUCGUUGGGGGAGGGGUGGCAACGACCGGCUAGGCAGGGUAUCCAUACCUGGACUCUUAUGGUUGACANNNNNNNNNNNNNNNNNNNNNNNNNNNNNNNNNNNNNNNNNNNNNNNNNNNNNNNNNNNNNNNNNNNNNNNNNNNNNNNNNNNNNNNNNNNNNNNNNNNNNNNNNNNNNNNNNNNNNNNNNNNNNNNNNNNNNNNNNNNNNNNNNNNNNNNNNNNNNNNNNNNNNNNNNNNNNNNNNNNNNNNNNNNNNNNNNNNNNNNNNNNNNNNNNNNNNNNNNNNNNNNNNNNNNNNNNNNNNNNNNNNNNNNNNNNNNNNNNNNNNNNNNNNNNNNNNNNNNNNNNNNNNNNNNNNNNNNNNNNNNNNNNNNNNNNNNNNNNNNNNNNNNNNNNNNNNNNNNNNNNNNNNNNNNNNNNNNNNNNNNNNNNNNNNNNNNNNNNNNNNNNNNNNNNNNNNNNNNNNNNNNNNNNNNNNNNNNNNNNNNNNNNNNNNNNNNNCGGCGAUCCGGACAAACGGCGGGGGUGGCGAUCCGGAGAGGGGAUCGAUCGAGAGACGGUGUCGGGGCGGCGGCGAGGGGAUUAACAGACGUGCGGGUGGGGGGUUGGGGGCGAGGGGAUCGUGCGAGGGGUGGUGUGGGGUGGGGUGGGGUGUAGGGACGAAAAAAACCAGACGAAAAAACCCGAACGAAAGUGGGGGACGAAAAUAAACCGUGAAUACUGUUCAACCAAUUCAUCCAUUAGGAAUAGAGAUCAUCCUCUGUCCAAUCUUGCCCUGACUGUGUACGGACUGUCGAAUACUUCAAACAAUGAGCAAUUUGAAGUUCAGAAAUAUGACAAAUAUCUGAAAAUGGAUUCAUUUUUGUUGAAAUAACAUUGUGUAGAGUGGAAAUGCAGAACUAUACGUUCCUAUUUGAACAACUGGUAUUGAAUAUAUGGUCAACCUUCUUAGAAAAACUACAAAGUCUAAACAUUAUUGUGUGAUACAUAUGGAAAUUUGUGAUGUCUAUAUUUCUGAAAUAUAUUUACUUUAGAAAAAGUUUUAAACAUGCCAUUGCAUUAUUUUUCAUAUUUUUGGCCAAGACGCUCCGCGGGGCGAUGGCACAUGGUCGGCAAGGCAGCGUUCUACAGCGCACCAGCCCGCAACGAAGGCGGCGCCCACGGCGCAGCCGUGGCGUUCGGUGGGCACCGCGGGGGCAGUGCUACCGGUCGCCGGCACGGCCCUGCAGCUGCUUCCCCAGACGGCAGUGCCCAUGGCUGUGGCCCAUUGGCCCCCGGCCGGGUUCCCUGCGGAGGCGUGCGGGUGGCGGCCUCUGACUUGAAGUCUUCUUGAGAUUUGUACGCCGAUUGCUUGGUCGUCGCUUUGUGUUGUCACUACGUGUACUAAAGAUUAGUUAUUUCGCUUUGACUUGGAGUGAGGUGCAGUGGGUUCAGGUUGCUGCUGCUGAAUUUUUUGUAUGUGAUGUUCUAAUGAUUGUGUAUCUGACCAAACGUAGUUGCGCUUUUGACAAUGUAUUGGCCUUCCUUUGCUGCACCGAAGUUAGUGAAUUGUUCACCAUGCUUGACUUUGUUCUAAGCAGGGAAAUUUGUGGUGAUUUGUAAUCAAACUUGCAAAGAACAUCCUUACUUCUGAUUAUGUUUGAAGAGGUAUGAUGGAUGGUUGAUCUGAGACCUACUGUUUGAUGUUUGUUUGCCUUUGCUUUCUAACCAGUGAGGGCUGAAGUGACUGAAUCUGGAAGUGCUUUAGCGAUUGAUGCUCUGUCCCAAGUUAAGCAUAUUCUACUUCCGGUC